CGACAUCGAUCAAAUAACCUAUCAGCUGCUCCCUCUUAAUCCUAUGAUCUUCAGGAAAUAAUGCACAGUACAAGAGACAUUUUUGGAGUGCUGAAUCACCUAGCCGUUCAUAACUAAACUUCAAUAACUUGAAUACUUUAUUGUCCCUAAAUUCUGAUGCACUCAAUUUCUUCAAUGUACUUCUCCACUCAUGUAGGUCAUUCACUCCCCUCAAGCUUCCUGCCACUGUAAUAAUUCCCAAUGGCAAACCAGCACAUUCCCACAAAGCUUUUGAUUAUGUGUUAUGGGAAUACAUCAAUGAAGUAAUGGUUGCUAUGGGCUUCGGGAGCAGGUGGCGAGGUUGGAUCAUGCAAUGCAUUUCAAUAGCAAAGAUGUCUGUGCUAGUCAAUGGAUCUCCAACGACAGAAUUUAACUUGGAAAAAGGUCUACGACAAGGAGACCCCCUCUCACCUUUUCUUUUCAAUAUUGCAGUUCAGGGAUUGAGUUGUCUGUUGCAGCAAGGUUGUGAUUUGGGUUUGAUCGAGGGUAUUAAGAUUGGCCAGGAUGGAUUUUCAUUAUCUCAUCUUCAAUUUGCAGAUGACACUCCUAUAUUCAGCUCAAACUCUUUACUUGGUAUGCAGAAUAUCAAGCGCAUCCUUUUAUGUUUUGAAUUAAUGUCAGGUCUGAAGGUUAACUUUUGUAAAAGCAGCAUCUUUGGUGUGGGUAUAGAUGAUCAUAUAUGUAAUUACACUGCUCAAAUUCUUCGAUGUAAGCAGGAGCGCCUCCCAUUCAAAUAUCUUGGCCUCCCCAUUGGUGCAAACUCUUGUAGAACUUCGAUGUGGAAACCUAUUCUCCAUAAUAUCAGUGCUAGGCUGGCUUCGUGGAAAGGCAGACUUCUAUCUAUUGGGGGUAGAUUGUGCUUAAUCAAAUCUGUCUUAGGAAAUUUGCCCAUUUACUUUCUCUCUUUGUUUCCUAUGCCUGCGACAAUUGCAACCUCCAUUGAAAAGAAAUUCAGAGCCUUCUUGUGGUCAGGAAAAGAGGAAGGCAAAAAAAUAUGCAAUGUUAGAUGGUCAACUAUUUCUCUGCCGAAAAAUGCUGGUGGUCUUGGGAUCGGAUCUCUAAGGGACAAAAACAAAGCACUGAUGUUCAAAUGGUUAUGGAGGUUUGGGUCGGAGGAGUCGAGCAUGUGGAAAGAUGUGAUUACCAGCAUAUACAACACUAAAUGCUCCACAAUUAUUCCGAAAUAUCCUAUUGCAGGCACUGGAACAACUUGGUCUCGUAUUAUUAAUCAUUGUGUUUCAGAUUAUAGUCUGCAAGACAUUGUGAAACGUUAAGCUGUUAUGCUAGUUGGAAACGGUAAGAGGAUUAAAUUCUGGCUUGAUGACUGGACAUCUACUGGUCGCCUGGCAGAUCAGUUUCCUUCCCUAUUCCGGUUAUCCGAUGAUAAAGAAGCAAGCCUUGAUAAGAUGGGAAUAUGGGAUGGUCAUGCUUGGUUCUGGCUAUUAAACUGGACUAGACCCUUGCGAGGUAGAAACUAUAGUCUUCUAGACCAAUUGAAUGCCAUUCUUUUGAAAGUACAUCCGGAUAAAGAUGAUGAGGAUAGAUUAGUUUGGAAAGCCAACUCCACUGGUAGAUUCUCGGUCAAAUCUCUUUGUGGGCUGCUAAGUCCCAAUCCCCCUAUGGACACUAGCUUCUCUUUUUCUGGGAUUCGAAGAGGAAUCGUCCCUCCUAAAGUUGAAAUAUUCUGCUGGAUGGCUAUCAUUAAAAAAAUUAAUAAUCGUAGUAUGCUGGUCAGAAAAGGAAUUUUGGACAUCUCAGCUGCUGCAGCUUGUCCAAUUUGCUUUGUUGAGGAAGAAUCAGUGGAUCAUAUAUUGCUGCAUUGUCACAAACAUUGGAUAGUUUGGUCUAAAAUUAUCAAUUGGUGGGGCUUAGCGUGGUGUUGCCCAAAGGACUUGGCGGCUCUUUUCUCUUAGUGGGAUUCCUUGGUUUAUGGAAAAUUUCAAAAAAAAGCUUGGUUGAUGUUGUUCUUUUCAGUGACAUGGUCUCUUUGGCUUCUUCGUAAUGAUGUGAUAUUCAAGCAAACAACCCCGAAUUAUGAUACUUUGUUUAUCCUUAUUAUUACUCGUCUCUGCUUUUGGAUAAAGGCUAUAGAGCCUGAUUUCUCUUAUUCCGCUUCAGAAUUAAUAAGGUCAGCAGAAGGGCUGGUUCGAUGGACUAAUUCUUCAAAUCAUAGGGCAGUUGUUGUGUGGUCCCCCCCUAUGACUAAUUGCUUCAAAUGGAAUGUGGAUGGUUCCUCUCUUGGGAAGUCUGGCCCCUCAAGUAUAGGCGGAGUCUUGCGAAAUCAUCAUGGGAUUCUUCUUGGUAUAUUCUCCUCGCCAGUUGGGAUUUUAGACUCCAAUGUAGCUGAACUAAAAACGGUUGUCAAAGCUAUUGAAUUAUCAGCUUCUAACUGUCAUCUGCAUUAUAAACACAUUAUUGUUGAAUCUGACUCGACCAAUGUCAUUAGCUGGAUGAAUAACCCUCAUAAUAGACCUUGGCUGCAUCAUAAUCUUUUCUCCUCUAUUCAGAGAGUAGCUUCAUGUUUUGGUUCACUCACAUUCACUCAUUCUCUUCGUGAGAGUAAUCAUAUGGCAGAUCACAUGGCAAAAAAGGGGGUGUUUAGAAACUCUAAAUGGGUCGCUUGGCUCUAAUCUGCUUGAUAUUUGGGCCUUUCUUUUUUCUUUAAAUUCUGGUUGCGGAUGCAAAGGAAACUGGAUUGUUUCCCAGAUUACUCUAUUUUUAGAAAGGAGAAGAAUCAUCAAGCUAUACAGAAGCAAUUCCAGCUGGUCAGAUCUUUGUCUUUUGUGAAACUUCUUGGUUUCAGAUUCUGAUGUUGUAAGUCUAGGGGCUUUUGUUGAUGGGCUUCCUUUUGCCUGCUAUGAUUUUCUAUGUUAGUGUCUUGGUUCUUUUAUUGUUAAGUUGUCAAAGGCUUUCUGUGAAGAGUCCAUGGCUGGUAUUUUGUUUCGGAUAAGAAGAUGCAAGAUGGAAAGAUUUUGUUUUACUUCUAAUCUGGAUAUCGGUAGAAGUCUGUUUGGCUUCUCUUCCUGGUAUGGCUCCAAAUCUGCAUCUUUUAGCUGCUUCUUUGAUUUCUUGGCUUCAAAUAUGUAUAUUGUAGCUGCAUUUUGUUCUUUUCGUUUCUUGGUAUGUUGUUCAUUUCAUUGCAUAGUUCUGUUUAGGUGUCCUGUAAACAGAAUCUCUAUAUUCCCAUCAUCUAUUGGCGUCUUCUAAUGCAAUAUUAUACUUCUCAAAAAAAAAAAAAACCAGCACAUUCCCUUGCAAUAUCUUUUGCAAUUCCUUCCACUUUUGAUGAAAGUGCUUUGUCACAUCCAAGAUUCUCCUUGAACAAAGUCCAAGCUUCUCCCUCAAAAAGUGGCUUUACUUUGAUUUUGUGAUCGCAAGCAAUUCCAUGACAAACCAUUUCUGAUCGAGUUGUCAAAAUCAGCUUGCAUCCUUCCAACUUCUCAGGAAUUCCCACUUUGUGUAGCUUAAAAUUGACGUUUGGCAAUAAUAUUUUGCAGUCUAUUAAUGCUGAAAUCUUGAGACACAGUCACCCACCAAACAUGAUAACAAAUAUCUGGUCUUUGUAGAAGCUCAUUAUGGAUAUGUUGCAGUAUUGUGGAUUUACCAACUCCCCCCAUCCCAUAAAUGCCAAUGGUUGAGACAUCCCCAUCCAUUAACAAAGACCAUAUCACCUUCGUAUUCUCUUCGAAUGCUUGACCCACUGGCUUUGUAGAGCUAAGAGGUAAUAGAAGUCCUCUAGUCUUGUUGUAUUUCAGACUUUCAGAAGAUCUAGCUACAACACCAACCUGCACUGAUCUUUGACUAUUCUCAACAUCCUCCUCCACUGGUUCUGUCCUCACUCUAACCCGAUUAAUUCUAUCUUCCCCGGCACCUUGUUCCAGCACCCCCUGAACUCCAACUUGUAUCCUUCCAGCACCCCCAGCCAAAUUGCCAAGUACUGCAUUGCUUUGUUCCAACGAUCGAUCCACUGGUUCUGUCCUCGGUCUGCUCUCGAGUGCCCCUUCGGAAACUCCAUCUUCUUGUGCUCUCAUUCCGGUCAUGCUCACUACGUCGUUUCCCGCUAUUGCAUGUGAAGUAAUCCUCUCUUCCCCUACUCCAGGUUCUACAACCUGAACUUCUCUUUGUACCCUUCCAAUUCCUCCUACCAUUCUUGAAAUUCCACAAUCAUUAACAUUGAUUGAACCUGCUGUGAUUUUAUGUUGACAGUUGCCUCAUUUGCUGCUGAAGAAGAGGUCUUCGAUGCUGUGAAGAUCCAGUCAAGAUUGACUCCAGAUUGUUAGGAUGUUAGUUGCAAAUAAAGCUGUCAUAGAUCAGCUCUUUCUCUGUUUUUAUCUUUUCAAUAUUUUUCGGAAUUCUGUUAUCAAACUCUUCUAUAAAAGAGUGUUUUAUCAAUAAAGAAAGUACACUUCAAUUCACAACAUUUAUAUCUUUAUCUUAUUGCUGAGUUCUUGCCUGUUCUUAUACAAUUUGUUACUGUCGUAAACAACAAAUUGGUAUCAGAGCACAUUGAUUUUAAAGGGACCAGCUUGUGAGAAAGAGAGAAACCUGUGAGAAACCCUUCUUCCACCAAAAAACCACAAAACACCAAAACCAAAACCUUUCAUCAUUCUUUCAAAUGGCAUCCAACACUUAUUCUCUUGCAACACCACCAGUAUUUACUGGUGUGAACUACCAAAUGUGGGCUGUGAGAAUGAAAACUUACUUACAAGCCUGCGAUUUAUGGGAUGCUGUUGAACAAGAACAUGAACCUCAGCCUCUUCCUGCAAAUCCAACCAUAGCCCAAAUCAGAAAUAAUCGUGAGGAGAGAUCAAGGAAGUUCAAAGCCAAAACUUGUCUCUAUGCUGCUGUUUCUGAAGCAAUAUUUCCAAGAAUAAUUGCUUUUGAUACAGGCAAACAAAUAUGGAAUUAUCUCAAGGAGGCGUUCCAUGGUAAUGAGAGGACAAUUCAAAUGCAGGUUUUGAAUUUGAGAAGGGAGUUCGAAAUGCAGAAGAUGAAGGACUCAGAAACUAUCAGAGAUUUUUCUGAUAGAUUACUCUCCAUAGUCAACAAAAUAAGACUAUUGGGAGAGGAGCUUUCUGAUCAAAGGGUUGUUAAAAAGAUCCUUGUGACUUUACCCGAGAGGUUUGAGUCAAAGAUAUCCUCAUUAGAAGAAGCCAAAGAUCUGUCAAAAAUAUCUUUGGGAGAAUUGUUAAAUGCCUUACAAGCUCAAGAACAAAGGAGAACUAUAAGGCAAGAAGAAUCCAUGGAAGGAGCUUUUCCAGCAAAGGUGCAAGUCCAAGAAGGUGACAAAGGGAAAAGGAAGAACAUCAAAUACAAGGGAGCAGGCAGUAACAAUCGAAGAAUUGGAACCUUUCCCCCUUGUCAACACUGUAAGAAAACAAAUCACUCACAAAACUACUGUUGGUGGAGACCUGAUGUUAAAUGCAGGAAAUGCAAUCAGCUGGGACACAUGGAAAAAAUCUGCAAGAACAGAACAAAUCAAUAGCAUGAAGAGGCUCAAGUUGCUGAUCAACAACAGGAGGAACAAUUGUUUGUGGCCACCUGUUUUGUAAGCAAGCAUGCAAGUGAUUGCUGGUUGAUAGACAGUGGUUGCACAAAUCACAUGACAAAUGAUGUGAAUUUGUUCAAACAUCUUGAUAAAUCAAGUGUCUCAAAAGUCAGAAUUGGUAAUGGCGAAUAUAUUCCUGUCAAAGGAAAAGGGACAGUGGCCAUCGAAGGGAAUUCAGGUAUUAAACUCGUUUCAGAUGUCCUUUUUGUACCUGAAAUCGAUCAAAACCUGUUGAGUGUUGGCCAACUUCUUGAAAAAGGAUACUCGGUUGUUUUCAAGAACAAACACUGUUUAAUUUCUGAUCCUACUGGAUUAGAGAUUUUCACCAUAAAAAUGCAAGGGAAAAGCUUUUCUCUAGAUUGGAUGGAAGAGGAGAUAGCAGCAGUAUCAAACACAACAAAUGAAGCUGAAUUAUGGCAUAAGAGGAUGGGCCACUUCAAUCAAGCAGCUUUGGUUCAUAUGCAGAGAAGGAAGAUGGUGAGAGGGGUGCCCAGCCUAGAAGAAAAAAUCACGGUUUGUGUUUCUUGUCAAUAUGGCAAGCAACACAGACUUGGAUUUCCUCAAAACAAAGCUUGGAGAGCAAGUGAAAAACUUCAGCUUAUUCACACUGAUGUUGCAGGCCCUCAGAUGACAGAUUCAUUAAAUGGCAGCAGGUAUUAUGUUGCUUUCAUUGACGAUUAUACAAGAAUGUGUUGGGUGUAUUUUUUAAAAUCCAAAGCUGAAGUAGCAGGUGUCUUUUUGAGGUUUAAAAACUGGGUUGAAAAUCAAAGUGGUCAUAAAAUUCAGAUUGUGAGGUCUGACAAUGGCACAGAAUAUACUUCAAACAAAUUUGCCCAGUUUUGUCAUGAUGCAGGGAUUGAACAUCAAUACACUACACCUUACACACCUCAGCAAAAUGGUGUGAGUGAGAGGAAGAACAGGACAAUCAUGGAGAUGGCAAGGUGCUUAUUAUUGAGAAAGAUUUGCCCAAGAAAUUCUGGGCAGAAGCUGUGAACACUGCUGUGUUCUUGUUAAACAGGCUGCCAACAAGAGCAUUACAACACAAAACACCUUAUGAAGCUUGGCAUGGUUAUAAACCCUCACUUCAAAACUUAAAAGUGUUUGGAUGCUUAUGUUUCACUCAUAUACCUCAGGUGAAAAGAGAUAAGCUUGACAGGAAGGCUGAAGCUGGAAUUUUCGUUGGCUAUAGCAAUGUCACAAAAGGCUAUAGAGUUUAUCAACCUGCAACUGAAAAGUCAUAAUCAGCAGAGACAUUAAAUUCGUUGAAGCUGAAAAAUGGAAUUUUGAAGAUACAACAAGCAAUGCAAGUAAGGAGAUCAUGCAAGAUUUUGAUAAAGAUGUUGAUGACACACCAGUCAGAGGAACCAGACUUCUUGCAGACAUUUAUCAAAGCUUCAAUGUGGCUGUGCUUGAACCUGCAGAAUAUGAGGAGGCCAAAAAUGAUCCAAGAUGGGUCACAACAAUGAAAGAAGAGCUAAGCAUGAUUGAGAAGAAUCAAACAUGGGAAUUAGUGGAUAUGCCGACACACAAAAAACCCAUUGGUGUGAAAUGGGUUUACAGAACAAAAUUGAAUGCAGAUGGCACUAUCAACAAACACAAAGCUAGGCUUGUGGUCAAAGGCUAUGCACAAGUCUUUGGUGUGGAUUUUUCAGAAACAUAUGCCCUAGUAGCUCGACUUGACACCAUCAGAAUGUUGCUAGCAAUUGCAGCUCACAAAGGUUGGAAAAUAUUUCAACUUGAUGUGAAGUCUGCAUUUUUGAAUGGUUACCUGCAGGAGGAGAUUUACGUGGAACAACCUAAAGGUUUCAUGGUAGAAGGAGAAGAAGACAAGGUUUACUUAUUGAAGAAAGCUUUAUAUGGACUGAAACAGGCUCCAAGAGCCUGGUAUAGCAGGAUUGAUGAGCAUUUACUCAAACAUGGCUUCAACAAAAGUUUAAGUGAAUCGACCUUAUAUAUCAAGAGUUCAAACACUGGUUUUAUGGCUGUUUCACUUUAUGUGGAUGAUUUAUUUGUUACAGGUAACAAUUCAACCAUGAUGGACAUCUUCAAAGCUGAAAUGAUGGAAGUUUUUGAGAUGACAGACCUUGGUGAAAUGUCCUAUUUUCUUGGCAUGGAAGUGCAGCAAAAUCAGCUUGGGAUCUUUGUUUGCCAACAAAAGUAUGCCAAAGAGAUUCUGAAGAAAUUCAAAAUGGAAGACUGCAAAUCAAUGACCACGCCCAUGAAUUUGAAAGAGAAGUUCAGUAAAGAAGAUGGGGCAGACAAGGUGGAUGAAGCAAUUUACAGGAGCUUAAUUGGGUGUCUAAUGUACCUUGCGGCAACAAGGCCAGACAUCAUGCAUGCAGUGAGCUUAUUAUCUAGGUUCAUGCAUUGUGCUAGUGAAAUACACUUCAAGGCUGCAAAAAGAGUGGUGAGAUACAUAAAAGGUACACUAAACUAUGGCAUUCAGUUUAGUUGUGCUGAAAAUUUCGAGCUACAAGGAUAUGCAGAUAGUGAUUGGGCUGGCAGCUGUGAUGAUAUGAAGAGCACGUCUGGAUAUUGUUUUAGUUUUGGAUCAGGAAUUUUCUCCUGGUGUUCCAAAAAACAAGAAGUUAUUGCUCAAUCAACGGCAGGAGCAGAGUAUGUUGCAGCUACUGCAGCUGCAAAUCAAGUCUUAUGGCUUAGAAAAAUCCUAGCAGAUCUGGACAUGGAGCAAAGGGAAGCUACUAAAGUUAAUGUUGACAAUCAAGCUGCAAUUGCAAUAUCUAACAAUCCAAUUUUCCAUGGGAAAACAAAGCAUUUCAAGCUCAAGUAUUAUUUUCUAAGAGAAGUUCAGAAAAAUAAAGAACUGCAACUGAUUUAUUGCAAGACAGAAGACCAGCUUGCUGAUAUAUUAACCAAGCCAUUGCCAAAAGCAAGGUUUGAAACUUUGAGGAACAAGAUAGGAGUCUGCAGCAAAAGAUGCAAGGAGGAGUGUUGACAGUUGCCUCAUUUGUUGCUGAAGAAGAGGUCUUCGAUGCUGUGAAGAUCCAGUCAAGAUUGACUCCAGAUUGUUAGGAUGUUAGUUGCAAAUAAAGCUGUCAUAGAUCAACUCUUUCUCUGUUUUUAUCUUUUCAAUAUUUUUCGGAAUUCUGUUAUCAAACUCUUCUAUAAAAGAGUGUUUUAUCAAUAAAGAAAGUACACUUCAAUUCACAACAUUUAUAUCUUUAUCUUAUUGCUGAGUUCUUGCCUGUUCUUAUACAAUUUGUUACUGUCGUGAACAACAUUUUAUGUCUUUUGUUGCCACCACACAUAGCUUUCCAAGCUGCUUCUUGUUCUUUAGGCACCCCAUGAAAAAUGAUGGUCUCAUUGUAUGGGUGACGAACCCCAGAAAAAUGAUGGUCUCAUUGUAUGGGUGACAAACCCCAGAAAUAUGAUGGUCUCAUUGUAUGGGUGACGAACCCCAGAAAAAUGAUGGUCUCAUUGUAUGGGUGACGAACCCAAGAAAAAUGAUGGUCUCAUUGUAUGGGUGACGAACCCCAGAAAUAUGAUGGUCUCAUUGUAUGGGUGACGAACCCCAGAAAUAUGAUGGUCUCAUUGUAUGGGUGACGAACCCAAGAAAAAAUGAUGGUCUCAUUGUAUGGGUGACGAACCCCACGUGGAAAAAAUGUGAAGUGCGGUCUCAUUGUAAUGGGUGACCUACCCACGUGGAAAGAAUAUGAAAAAGUGGUCUCGUUGUGAUGGGCGACCUACCCAAAUAGAAAGAAUGUGAAGUGCGGUCUCAUUGUAAUGGGUGACCUACCCAGAUGGAAAAAAUGUGAUAUGACAAGUGUGAAAAAUAGGACUUACCUGGCGAAGUUCUGAAGGGAUGAUAGAAGAAAGGGCUGGAAAACUUGGUGCUUCCUGAUAAUUCUUGAUCAUAGGGUUUGAAAACUCGGUGUUUCCUGACUGCAAGGGUUGAAAACUCGAGGCUUCCCGAUUGCAAGGUUGAUCUUUUCAUUUCUUUGGGAUUUUCCUAAUGGUAGGGUUCAUCCCAUCGUCCUUUUAUUCCAUGAUCAAAACCGAUUCUUUAUUUAUCAUCACCACAAUGCUUCUUUCUCUUUCCACCAUCUUGCUGGACCCCAUUAGGGAUUUUCCUGUAACAAUUCAAAAAUACGUGCAAAUGUUUUUUUUUUUUUUUAGGUUAGAUGAUAUACAUGCAUCCUUACCUGAUUUGAAAUAUAGGUCCCCCCCUCUUUGAUGCUCCAUCGCCAUAGGGUGCCUUUGUUUGCAUUCCACAGCAUUCCUUGUUCUUUCGAUGUAUUGGCUCAUUCAUGUGCUAGCCAUCCACUCAACUGUAAAUGCAGUGCCCAUCCCGGGUUGUCUUUGACAAUUACUGCUCGCAUCGUUCAUCAAGCUUGACCCUGCCCCCAAGUGUGGUGCUGCUUGAUUCAUUAUGAAGGAUUUUCUCUCUUGGAUUCUUCUGAGAGUUAUCCUUUGAUUGAUUGUGUGCAUCAUGUCCAUACCCCAUCAAGAUUGUUAAUCAGUCAUUGUAAGCGCGAUGUAUUUCUCUAUGGAUUCCUUUUAGCUUGUCAAAUCAGAUCGUGAAAGCAACUGCUUUGGCAUCAUCAAUGAUGUUCAUGUUAUCACCCAUAUUCAUGCGGUGAAGUGCGCAUUUGAGCUUCAGAAUAGAUGGUCCCAUAGUCAAUCUUGGUGGUAUGCAUAUGUUCGAUGUUCAUUCAAAUGCACUCACCCGAUAACAUCUGUCAGGAGUCAUAGCCAUGUUUUACAGGGUAACCCAAGAUGAAGAUAUGAAGAUAUCCUUCAAGUGCAGCGUUGCUCAUCAAUUGCUGCUGAAGUGCACUAGAUCAUGGAUUGUGUUUGAACAACAUUGCCCCCAAUAUGAUCUGAAGGUUCGCUCAUCGGUUUAUACUCAAGAAGGUUUUUCUUUAUCAUUGUCAGAUGUUAAAACUUUCCGGGACUUUGAUGACUCAUCAUCUGAUUCUUUCUUUGCCCCUAGCUGAUCAGGAUAUUGUUUGUUUUCCUUCUUCGGGUCCACUGUAUUGCCCCCAAGUGGUCAACCUUUCAAGGAGUUUUGAGAAGAGUUGAUGUCAUUUUUGUCAAGGACUUUGCAAACUCAAUUGAUGUUCUUGUUUGAAAAUCUUUCUUGUUCUGGAAUCAAAUCUCACAUUUCAACGAUCAUGUCUAUUCAAGUCUAAUUGUUGAAAUGAAAUCAGAGAGAUGUCUGUUUUUGAAAUUUUUUUUUUUUUUUUUUGAAAUUCAAACUUCUUUGGUCAAAGACCCAACACACUAUUCAAUGCAGUCCUUUGAUUGUCUUGUAUCUUGAAAACAGAAAUGAACCGUUGUAAGAUUUAAAAUGACUUUUUCAUGGUUCUUUGUGUCCACUUUAAACUCUGAUUUUGGGUAUAUCUUUUGAUGGUCUGUGCUGAGGUGACAUUUUUAUGAAUUUCAAAUGACUAGAUGCUCAGGCUUUAUCAAGAAAGGUUGUUUCUUUUCUUAGCAUUUAUUUUAUCAGCAUGCAUAAUAACCAGUAGCUUAAUUCAUGAAGUCACGACCCUUAUGGAAAAGCUCUUCAAGUUUUGAGAGCGCCAUUUUUCGAUUCAAAUUGCUUGCUUGAUUAAAAAGGGCUUUUAAAAGCACGUAAUGCAGGCUAUGGUUCAUGGCUAUGAAAGAAAAGAAUUGCAAAGGCUCAAAAGGUGUUUGAGGGUUUCAAACUUAGGAUCAACAUUAACUAUUCAUCGAUUCUCUUUCUCUUGUCGUCAUUGUAGAGAAAGUGACAUAUAACCUUGUUAAUCUUAAAUAUCAGACUUCUCUUAACAUAAGUCAUAAUGCAAAUCCACUUUUCCUUGAUGAAUAACCAACCUUAAUCAUCUGAUAACAUCGUAGGCUUUAUAAUGGAUCCCAAAAGUCAACGUUUAUAGCUUAGUCUUUUUUCUAGUAUUGACUUUUGUUGUGCCUCUCUUUGAUUGAAAUUUCUUUUGCUCUUCCUAGACUUGAUAGACGUUUUCCUUCCUUUACCUUUGACUUGUAUUUAAGUGAAGGCAAUUUCAACUUCUUCUUUUUUUCGUUUUUUUUUUUCAUUCUCUUUUUUCAUAGCCUUCCUCAAAAUUUUCUGAUAUGCCCCCAUGUCUAUGUGUUUUCUUUUACCUCUCUCUCAAUCAUUGGACCUUUGUUCUAAGCCUUCCCCUUUAUCCAUUAAUUAUAUCAAUGUCUCCAAAAUAUCUCUCAUUUGCCCCCAAUGUGGGGUGUGAUCCUAGUCAGGGUUUCUUUUUUUAAAAGAAAAUAUUUUACCAGGCUCAAAAUGGGACUGCAAGGGAUAUAAUCUUUAGAAAGUGAAGGGAUAUCAAAGAUGGCCUUUUCUCAUUUCAAACAAGGUCGGUUAGAACCGAUAAAUUUUGACCUCAACCAGUGUAAUGAUUGGGACUUGUAAGAAUCAUGAUUCACGAGUCCAUAACUACCGAAUCCACUACAUGUCAUUAUGCAUAUUGUUAAAACUUAGCUAUAUGAUGUGUGGUUCAGUUUCAGGAGGUAUGAGUUUAAAAUUGUUUAGUCACCUCAUGUCGUUUUCAAGCAUCGAGUCAUUUCUGUAAUCGAAACACUUUUAAUCUUCCGCAAUGAUUAACUUUUAUCGCAUGUUGGAGUUUGAUCAAAAUAUUUUGUCAGAAUAAAAUGUUGAACAUCUGUUGAUUUCAAAACAACAAAGAGACAAAAGCAAGGCAUGUUUCGUUGAAGGAUGAGAUGUGAUCCCAAAACAAAAUGCAGAAUUCCAUAACAAUAUGAUUGACUGUUCAUCACCAUUCUCGAAUCAGCUUUUCUGGCAAUAUCUGUGUUUAGCAAAGCAUUUUCGAUCACAUGUGAUUCUGAAGUUGUUCGGGGAACAAUAUAGCCAGUGACACCCUUCUUCAACGACUCCACCUGUCUCUUGCUCACCAACUUUCAGACUCCAUUCUUGCAAUUCUUGAAACUAUUCACUUGAAAUGGUUGAGGACCCCACCAUGACAUCACAUCUCUUAUCUGGAUUAUACCACUGAGAAAUUGGUGGUUGCAUGGGAAUUUGUCGGAGUCAAGCAAAAUUCUGGAAUCAUGCGGAUGCUGGUUGACAACUUAAACGGCAGAGGAAUGUCCCAUCUUGGCAAAGAUAUUUGGGCAAUUGAUGCUGUCGUGAGACCUGGCUAUACCACAUAAUUAAGGGUUCACAACGUCAAAGUCAUCUCCUGAUUCACCUCUCAUCAUUGUUCUAAGAAUUCAUGGCAGAUCCUUCAAUCUUUCCUCUCUUCAUAACUUGUUCAAUUUCGUCAGCAAUCCUCACAACAUCAUGUCAAUCUUCCAAUGUUGUUGUGGUUUGAGGAUUGUUGGAACCCUCUUAAACCCUCUUAAUUCUGGCAGCGCCCAAAAACAAAAGCGUGUGGAAUCACACAUUGUCAAAAUUGGAAGAGAACCCGAUGAAUCUACAACAUCUUCUAUUUCCUCUUUGAUUCUUCACUGAUGGUGCAGCAAACAACCACUUUUGUGUUUUAAUGCCGAUACUGGAAAAAGAAAAUUAUGGACAAUCUGAAACCAAUGCAUCCCUUCUUGGAUUUCCCAUUUGCAUAUCCCCAAACGGAUUCAUGUCGAGAGAUCUCUGCUACGUUGAAUUUGGAUGUCUGCUCAUGUUUUUUCAAACCAAGUCUGGCUCUUCAACCUGCUACAGUUUCUUCACGUUGAAAUCGAUGAGAGAAAUAUUUGUAGCAUAUGCAAUUAGUAAAUCCCCUCUUGCACUCUCACCUUGCAGCAUCAUCAACAGAUUUUUGUAGAGAGAGCUCUGCCACGUUGAAGUUUGACGACUACUCAUAUUUUCAGACCAGGCUUGACUCCUCUGUCUACUACAAAGUUUUGCUCGUGCCACAUGUAGAAAUUCAGUGUCUAAUCAUGGUUUUUCAGACCAACAUCUUGUGCUGCUGAAAUGGAAUUAAGCUCAUAAUAAGGGCAGCUUCCAAGAAGACUAAUGCAUCAUGUACAGGAGACCGGUUGUUUUUUGGUUCCAUUAGAUGAUGUGGAGGCGAUGAACAUUUAACAAUGCAACUGGAUAAGAACCAGAGUUGUCAUUAGUUGAUGACUGAAGGCGUUGUUGCUUUUGUUCAUGACGAAAAAGGAGAGAUACAGCUUCAAUUAGAUGUGAAGCAGUGUUCCCACAGAAGACUGUGCAGAUAUUCUCUUUCCAUUUGAUGCUCAACACUUGUUCGAGCAGAUCUGAGUCUAACUACUUCACAUUUAAUGCUCUCAACCUUAAUCUGAUAAUGAGCCUCUAUCUGACAUCUUUCUUCACCUCCAUCAUUUUUUCUCCAAUCACGUGCAGCACAACUUGUGUGGGGGACCUACCUUUCAACCCGGUACAUGCAUGAUAAAUGUAUGAACAUGUAAUCUAUAUGAUAAACUCACCCUUCGAGGGGUGACAAUAUGGUCGUAACUCUUGUAUGAUGGACAAGAAUCGUGAUUUUUGCCCAAACUCUACAAUGAAAAUUUUCGGAGCAACGGCCAAUGUGUCACCCACAAGUCUUGAGUUCAAGAUGCUUCAAGAAGGGUUUGCCCUUAAAAAACGAUAGCACAUACAACCUAAGGACAAGUUCUAUUCAUUAUGUGAACAUGGGUAGGUUUUCUAUCUGGUCUCAAAAGGGUCUCAUAUCUGCCCAGUGACAUUCUUCGUAAAGACAGUAUGGGGGCGUUGCAAAGAAUGGUUAAGGCACGUAUACCCCCCAUUACCAAGCAGGCACUCAGAUAUAAGUUGGGUGUUUCACGCAUCUGAACCCUGACCAAUAGUCUUAGGGCAGAUCGCUAGUUCCCCACCUAACCUAGAAACUUGUGUGUGCUUUUAAAAAUAAAUACAGGUGAUGCAUGAGACAAUUCUAUAAAAUGCAUGGAAAUAAAUAUUAACAAAAAGAUAAAAAUGCAAAAACUUAAACACAUCAAAUACACAAAGCUUAGUCCAAUAAUCGAAAAAAUACCUUCCGCAGUGGAGUCGCCAUUCUGUCGCACCCCAAAAAAAUCAGCGCGCGACAUCUGCUGGCGAUUUUUAUCGUUGUCGUGUUGUGUUUGAAUUUGGUUCGUUGGAGUCGCCACCUAGUAAUUGAUUUCGGGUUACUAGGAAACCGGAUGUACUGGUCUUGUCAGAGAUUCGCGGGUAAGGGACUGGUUGUGGUUAGGGAAGGUAUUAGCACCCCUAACGCACCCUACCUGAGGUAAGCUGCUUCGUGGCUUUGACGUGUUAAAGAAGUUUUAAUAAUUGUCUUUUCAUCAGAAAUUAGAAAUAUCACUUACGUAUAAGUUAAUAAUUCUUAACCGUGAUCCGAUCAAAAUAUUAAAUUCUUCUUUAAUAUAUUUGCAAUUUUAUCCUAAAAUAUAUAUAUAUAUAUAUAUAUAUAUACAAAUAAAUAAAACAAAAUACAAACACACCCAUUCACUAUUUUCAUUUCUUUUAUUUUUCUUUUCUUUUUUCUUUUCUUUUACAUCCACAAUACAAAUACAAAUACAAAUACAAAUUCAAAUUCAAAUUCAAAAUAAAUAAAUAAAAAUACACCAACACACACAUCCCCUUUUUUAUUAUUAUUUUUUUUUCUUUUCUUCUUUUUUUUUUCUUUUACAUUCACAUAUUACAAAUUUAAAAUAAAUAAACAAAAAUUACAUUAAAACUUUAAAAUUUACAAAAUGGUCCCUCAAAACUCCCGAAAUUGCAGGGAAGGACUUCUGCACCCGAAUGAACAGUUCUGGCGCGUCUUCCCACGUGCCACCGCCACUGGGAAGGACUUUGUGGGUUCACGCGCCGCCCAGAAAUUCAGGCGGCGUGAGGGGGCUGCAAUGGCUUCCUCCCCUCUUCAAUCUCUUGUUGUCUGUCACCUGCAAAUCCAAAAAAAAAAAAAAAACACAGCAAGGGCAGUCGAUUUUAAGUUUUUUUCUUAGUUUUUCAAAUCUGUUUUUUUUGUUCUUUCUUUUCAGAUCUGCAGUUCAUCCCUUCUCCUUCUUCGGAUCUGCUUCUCCUUCUCUUCGUCUCGGUUUCGGAUGGCCGGAGGUUGUAGGGGGAGCUGUGAGCGGUCAGUUGAAGAAGGAGCCCGGUGGCGGUCUGUGGAGAUAUGGUCGUGGCUGAGGAGAGACGGCCUGGUGCGCGGCUGUCCGAGUGAGAGAGAUUCUGGUGAGGGGCUGUAGGUGCUGUGUGGAGAAUGGCCGACCGAUCUACGACUGAUGGCGCCGUUGUGGUGGGCGGAGCUGCUGUGGUGGACGGCGCUGCUGGCUCCUACGGAUGAAGAAGAAAGGCAAGCCGGCUUGGAGAAGGAGUGGCCAAGAGUGGGGAGGGGAUGAUGGCUUUGAAAUGGCCGAGAAGAAGGGAAAAUCUGGUGAUGGGGGUGGCGGCCGGUUCUGGUUAGAGAGGGCAGAUUUGUGGCUGUUCGUUGGGGAGAAGAGAAACAAAAAAUGGCCUGGGGUGAGGCUUGUCCGGCGGCUGAGGGGAAGAAGAAAUUCAAACCGGCUGGGGGCUGCUGUUUAGCCGGUUCUGGGAGAAGAAAAAUUCAAAAAAAAAAAAAGGUGAGGGGCUGGCUUUUUGGUUGAGCGGCUGCAGGGAGAAGAGAAAAAAUCAAAAGGUGGGGGGGCGGCGGCUGCCUUCAUAAGGGGAGAAAAAAUUAGGCUCCUAGGGUUUUCUUUUUUUUGUAUCUUUUUUUGAUAUUUCAAAAUUGCCCCCCCCCCUUUAAAAAUCAGUUUAGCAUGGUAUUUAUAGGCAAAAAUAUUGCUAGGUUUUUCGACUUGGUCCCUCAACUUCUUUCUUUUUGUAAAUUUUGAUUUUUCUUAUUUUUUUGUAUUUUUUUGAAAACGAGCAAUAUCAACGUCGACUCAAAUGCGGAAAAUCAAUGAUUUUUAAAAAUGACGCGUGAAAAGUCGAAUGCGUUUGAAAAUAUUUUAACAAUUUAAAUUCUUUUUUAGACGACGUUGAAAAUGCUAAAAUGACGAAAAUAUAUUCAAAACACAUUUUUUGGAUUUUCUUUGUUUUUCUCAAUUUUUUGGAUUUUUAAAAAUAUAUCAAAACAUGGGUCAAAAAUUGGGUAGCAACAAUUUUAACAAACUUGUAAAUUAAGUUAAUUUUAUAUAAAAAAAAAAGAAUAAAAAUUAAUAAAUUAAAGCUGAAUUAUAACCAGCCUAUAAUAAAAUAAACAAAAACAAAAUUUUAAAAACAAAACAAAAAAGGCAAAACACCUUGAAUUACAUACUAUUGUAAUUUACAAUGAAAUAGGUGUGGAUAUAUAGUGAUUCUCCCAAGUCUCUUAGCUUUUCUUUUAAUGAAAAUUAAUAACUGUAUAAUAUACUUGUUGCAACUAAGUCAUUUAAUAAAUGUCCUAGUCUUUAGGAUUAAGAGAUAAGAUUUGAUUUAUUCCUUGUUUACUAAACCACGUUUGUAGGAGUGCUAAACGUGGGUUGCAUAUUUUUCUAUUUUCUGUUGUAAUAGUUGAUAUAUAUAUCAGCUCUAUUUCAUUGAAUAAACGUACUUUCCAUUCUCUCCAUAGUGGUAUCAGAGCACGUUACCAUCAGGGCCUGAUUGAGAAAUAUAAGAACCUGCAGUGUUCUUGUGAAGAGAGAGUGCAGAGAAGGAACAAAGUGAGAGUAGGAUGGCAUCCGAAGGAAAUUUUGUUCAACCAGCUAUUCCCAGGUUUGAUGGUCACUAUGAUCAUUGGGCCAUGCUGAUGGAAAAUUUCCUACGAUCCAAAGAGUAUUGGAGUUUGAUUGAGGCAGGAAUUCCAACAGUUGGAACUGGAACAGAACAGACGGAGGCACAACAAAAGACUGUUGAAGACAUGAGGCUGAAAGAUUUGAAGGUAAAAAAAUAUCUCUUUCAAGCCAUUAUGGAGACAAUCUUGAAUAGAGAUUCAGCAAAAGGAAUAUGGGAUUCCAUGCAUCAAAAGUAUCAAGGAUCUACUAAGGUGAAACGGGCUCAACUACAAGCAUUACAGAGAGAAUUUGAGCUUCUUGGAAUGAAAGCAGGAGAGAGUGUUGAUGACUAUUUCUGUAGAACUCUUACCAUUGCCAACAAGAUGAAAUCUCAAGGUGAAUGCAUGGAACAAACUGUUAUCAUUGAGAAGGUUCUACGAUCCAUGACAACAAAGUUUGAUUAUGUCGUGUGCUCCAUCGAAGAAUCAAAUAAUCUUGUUAUCAUGACCAUUGAUGAACUUCAAAGCAGUUUGCUUGUGCACGAGCAAAGAAUGAAGGGCCACAAAGAGGAAAAGCAAGCUCUAAAAGUUACUGGUGGGGAGAGGUUUGAAGCAAGGGAGGAUGAUAGAAUUGGGAGCAGAAACAAAAGUCGUGGAGGAUUCAGAAGCAGAGGCAGAGGUCGAGGAAGGCAAUCUUUCAACAAAGCUCUCAUUGAGUGCUAUCGUUGUCAUAAACUACGACAUUUUUCUUAUGAAUUUCCUAGUUGGGAAAAGGCAGCAAAUUAUGUGGAACUAGAAGAAGAAGAUGAUAUGUUGCUCAUGUCAUACGUGGAACCUAACAAUUCCACCAAAGAAGAGGUAUGGUUUUUAGACUCCGGUUGUAGCAGUCAUAUGAGUGGGAACAAACUGUGGUUUACACAGUUAGAUGAAGGGUUCAGACACUCAGUUAAGCUAGGCAACAAUUCUAAAAUGGCAGUGAUGGGAAAGGGAUGUGUGAAGCUUAACAUAGCUGGAGUGAUGCAAAAGAUUGAUGGGGUUUACUAUAUCCCUGAAUUAAAAAACAAUUUGUUAAGUAUGGGUCAACUACAGGAGAAAGGCUUAUCUAUACUUAUUCAAAACAAUACGUGCAAAUUGUUCCAUCCAACUAAAGGUCUCAUCAUGGAUACAACCAUGACUUCUAACAGAAUGUUUGUCAUAGGUGCAGUAAUGCCUUCAAAGGAACCUGUGGCUUUCUUUCAAGCUACUGAGACAGAAAAAACACAACUAUGGCACAACAGGUUUGCUCAUCUUAAUUUCAAAGGUUUAAGAACAUUGCAUUCCAAGAAGAUGGUUGAAGGGUUGCCAUUACUUUCAGCUCCAAUGAAAGUGUGUAUUGAUUGUUUAGCGGGAAAACAACACAGGAACAACAUUCUACAGAAAAGCUACUGGAGAGCAACAUGCAAACUGCAACUUGUGCAUUCUGAUAUUUAUGGACCUGUAACUCUAGAAUCCAACAGUGGAAAAAGGUACCUUAUCACUUUCAUCGAUGAUUUUAGUAGAAAGUGUUGGGUUUAUUUCAUUUCAGCAAAGUCAAAAGCUUUUACUAUGUUCAAAAAAUUCAAAAGCUUAGCAGAAAAGGAGGCUGGUUCAUUAAUGGGGUGCUUAAGAACCGACAGAGGUAGGGAAUUUACGUCUAAAGAAUUCAAUGAGUAUUGUCUUUUCAAUGGGAUCAAAAGACAACUAACUGCAGCAUACACGCCUCAGCAAAAUGGUGUUGCUGAGAGGAAGAACCGGGCAAUCAUGAAUCUAGUUAGAAGCAUGGUGUUAGAAAAACAUAUUCCUGGAGAGUUUUGGCCAGAGGCAGUGAACUGGUGUGUACAUGUACUAAACAAGAGCCCUACUUUGGCAGUCAAAGAUCUCACACCUGAAGAAGCAUGGAGUUGUGUUAAACCUUAAGUGGCAUACUUUCGUGUAUUCGGUUGUAUUGGUCACAUUCAUAUUCCAAAUGUGAAAAGAACAAAGCAAGAUUCAAGGAGUUCAAAGUGUGUAUUACUGGGAGUAAGUGAAGAAACAAAAGGCUACAGAAUGUAUAAUCCAAUCACAAAGAAAAUUGUGAUUAGCCGUGAUGUGAUCUUUGAAGAAAACGAAGUUUGGGACUGGACAGAAGGUGAUAUCAAUGUAUUGCUGAAAUGGGGAGAUGCUGAGAUCGAUGUAGCUGAAGAAUUUGAUGCUGAAAUUGAAGAGCAGGAUCAAGAGUAGUUUGGAGAGCAAGAACAAGAGCAGCAUGAAGUAAAUAAUUCUUCAGUUGGAGUAAUUAGUUCUUCUUCAUCAAAUUCAUCUUCAAUAAACUCAACUAAAGAAAAUGAGCCUAAUCAACCUGCUGCUGCUGAACACAAUCCUCUUGCUGAUGCUAAUCAACCUGCUGCCAGAAUUCGAAGACCACCAUACUGGAUGUAGGAUUAUGUCACAGGUACCACUGCUGCUCAUCAACCUGCUGAACACAAUCAACCUGCUGCUAAUGUCAUAGGUACCACUACUACUAAUCAACCUGCCAAACCCAAUCAACCUGCUGCUGCUGAUCAACCUGCUGCUGAUCAACCUGCUGCAAGAAUUCGAAGAACACCAUACUGGAUGCAGGAUUAUGACACAGGUGUAAAUUUUUCUGAAGAAGAAGAAACUCAAAACAUGGUAUUUUAUACCACUGCUGGAGAUCCAUACACCUAUGAAGAAGCCUCAAAAAGUCAUAAAUGGAGGAGCCAUGGAUACUGAAAUUUCAGCAAUAAAGAGGAAUGGUACAUGGGACUUAACUGUGCUUCCGAAGCAUGCAAGGAAGAUUGGUGUAAAAUGGAUUUACAAGACAAAGCUCAAUGAAAAGGGGGAAGUGGACAAAUACAAAGCAAGACUUGUAGCAAAGGGGUAUGCACAACAACAUGGAAUUGACUACACUGAAGUGUUUGCACCAGUAGCACUAUGGGAUACAAUCCGAAUGGUUCUCGCCAUAGCAGCACAGAGAGAUUGGACAGUGUAUCAGCUGGAUGUAAAGAGUGCAUUCCUCUAUGGAGAAUUAGAUGAAGAUGUGUAUGUAGAGCAACCCCUAGGCUAUGAGAAGAAGGGAGAGGAAUUCAAAGUUUACAAAUUAAAGAAAGCAUUAUACGGAUUGAAGCAGGCACCGAGAGCCUGGUUUAGUAGAAUUGAAUCAUAUUUUCUGAAGGAAGGGUUUGUUCGAUGUCCAAGUGAGCAUACUCUAUUUGUAAAAACUCAUCAAGAAUGUCAAGGAGAAGGAAAGAUUCUGGUGGUAAGCUUGUAUGUGGAUGAUCUGGUAUUCACUGGAAAUGACGAGGAAAUGUUUGCAGAUUUUAAAGCUUCAAUGCAACGGGAAUUUGCUAUGACAGAUUUAGGUAAAAUGAAGUUCUUUCUUGGAGUAGAAGUUGUGCAAAACGAUGAAGGAAUUUUCUUGAGUCAAAAGAAAUAUGCAUUGGAGAUCUUGGAGAGGUUUGGCUUGGAGAAUGCAAAUUCUGUUCGUAAUCCAAUAGUACCAGGUGUUAAACUGAUGAAGAAUGAAGAUGAACAACAGGUGCAUAUGAUUCAAUAUAAAUAGAUGGUCAAUAGCCUUAUGUAUCUAUCAGUCACAAGGCCAGACCUUAUGUUUGUAGUGAGUUUAGUGAGUAGAUAUAUGGAGCGACCAACAAAUAUACACAUGCAGGCUAUCAAAAGAAUUUUGAGGUAUGUAAAGGGCACAGUGGACUUGGGAAUUUGCUACAAACGGGGAGCUGCAACUAAUGAAAUGUUGGUGGCCUUUUCUGAUAGUGACUAUGCCGGCGAUCAAGAUGAUCGAAGGAGCACUUCUGGAUAUGUGUUUAUAUUCAGUGGGGGAGCAGUUGCAUGGAGUUCUAAGAAACAGCCAGUGGUUUCUCUUUCAACAACUGAGACAUAAUUCAUAUCUGCAGCUCAUUGUGCUUGCCAGGUAGUGUGGAUGAGAAGAGUGCUUGAAAGAUUGAAUUGCAAACAAGUUACACCUACUGUCAUUUACUGUGAUAACAUGUCUAUAAUUAAACUAGCAAAAAAUCCAGUUAUGCAUGACAGAAGUAAGCAUAUAGAUGUCAGGUUUCACUUUCUGCGUGAGCUGUGCAAAGAAGGUGUUAUUGAGUUGAAGCACUGCAAUACAAGAGAUCAAGUUGCUGACAUCAUGACAAAAGCAUUGAAGAUGGAUACAUUUGAGAAGCUGAGAAAUUUGAUGGGCAUAUGUGUGGUCUGAAAUGAAUAAACCGUUACUUUUAUUACUGCUGCUAAACUGCUUGCUGGAAAACAAUGCAGUUUAAGGGAGGAUUUGUUGCAACUAAGUCAGUUAAUAAAUGUCCUAGUCUUUAGGAUUAAGAGAUAAGAUUUGAUUUAUUCCUUGUUUACUAAACCAUGUUUGUAGGAGUGCUAAACGUGGGUUGCAUAUUUUUCUAUUUUCUGUUGUAAUAGCUGAUAUAUAUAUAUCAGCUUUGUUUCAUUGAAUAAACGUACUUUCCAUUCUCUUCAUUUGUGUGUUUAAAGGAUUCUGACUUCAACAAUACUUUCUUGUGGAUGCUCUAUCGUUGCUAAAUUAAAACAUCUUUUUUUUUUUAUCUACAUCUAUGUGAAACUUUUUUAAAAUAAAAAUAUUUAAAAAGAUAAUGUUAAUAAAAAACAUUGUUAUUUUAGUUUUUUUUCUUUUAAUAAAUACCAUCAUAAUAUGAUGUGGUUUUGUUUUUUACUCAGGUUAUUCAGUUAAUAUGUGAGUCAACUAGUAAACUAAACUUUGGAAUACUUUUCGUAAGCUUCCUAUUUAUUCUUAGUAAUCGAAAUAUUUUUGUAUUUUUAAUAUUAAUAUAUUAAAAAAUAUUUAUUUAAUAUUUAUUUUAAAAUAACCAGAUUUUUUAAUAAACAUAAUUCUGAUUACAAAAACAAAUCAUGUUUAGAUUGCGGGCAUAAGCAUAACAAUCUUGACAGUACCGUUGUUGUUUGGACUUUGAGAAUGAUAAAACAAAAGAGUUAGAAUAAAUUUAAAAUAAAAAAAUUAAUUUUUAAAAAAUAUUUUUAAAAUACAAAAACAAACUAAUAAUAAAAUAGAUUUUUAUACACUUGUAAAAAUCCCAGGAACGCAACAAUCAGGCAUUAGCUUCAAGCAACCAGAGGGAGCUUCACUGCAGUAGAAAACUUCAACAUAGCUUGAUUUGCUAUCCAAUCUGCACACCAGUUGGAUAGCAAUUUCUUUUCAUAACAUUUACCUUUGUAAAAACUUUCUACUUAUUUUUAGUUUUAAUAUCAAAUUCAGUCUUGAAUAUUGAACAUUCAAAAAUUCACUUAUUUUUAAUCAAUUAAAUUGAACAAAAUCUUGUUAAGUCAAACAUCAACUCUACAUUGAAUUGUUUUUUCUUCUUAGACCACAAGAGCUCCAUAACAAGUUUAUUGAAAUAAAUUAUCAAAUGAAAUUUUAAAAAAAUGCUUUAUAAAAAAAAAAAAACAGAGAGACAUCUACCUUGUUUUCUCUAUUGGUACAUGGUAAGAGUCUGAGCAUAUUUAUUUAUUUUUAUUUUUAUUUUUAUUUUAAUAAUAGUCCUGUUUUUUCUACCGUCAAGAAAUCAAGAACGAUUCUAAAGUCUAUAUUUAGAUAAUUUCGGUUGAUUGAAGCCACCAGGUUGAUUGAAGCCACCAGGUUGAUUGAAGCCACCAUGUUGUGAAGUGGUUGUGUUCGGUGUCAUAUAGCCAUGUCCCGGCUGAGGUUGAUGAAUAAAGGAAUUAUGAUGCCUUGAUGGAGUUUGAGGCCAAUUUUAUAUAAAACUUAAUGAUAAAAAAAUAUCAUAAAAAAUGUCUAAAUCUCCCAAUUGUUGUCUGUUUGUUUAACAGUAAACAAUUUGAAGAUGCUCGAGAUCGAUACACUAAACAUAAAACUUUUUGUAUAAUACAAACACUUGCUAAUUCAUUGGACAUUGUAGCGAAUUGGAGCACUCACCAUUGUUUCAGGAAAGGACGUUGGAAACGGAGUUGUUUGUUGAAUACUAUUGUUGAUCACAUUGUUCUGUCCACCUUGAUCAUUGCAUGAUAUGGAGCUUUGGUUGACUGGAACCUCCGGUGGCGGCCAGCUUCCAUGGACAGUGACGACAUUAUAUUGUUUUUUGCGAGUAAUAGGAUAAACUGAAGAAUAACUAAACUGCAAGCAAUCGUCUUCUGAUAAAAUAUGCUUAAGAAUGACGUACGAGUGAAACUCAAGCUCAGACAGUAGUGAUUCAAAGUUGUCAACCUCCUCCAUAAAAGAUGGUUGGAACCCUUCCAUCUGACCAGAAAAGAUCAGAAAUUAAAGACAAAAAACUGAGGUCUAAAAAGAACAGAAAGCACUAAUCAGAAAAGAAUAUAUAUAUAUAUAUAUAUAUAUAUAUAUAUAUGACUUUCUUGUUGGUUAAAGAAAUUCGGAUGAAAAAUAUGAAAUAUAAAUGUUGUUGUUAAUGAUUUAAUCCUUUGUCUUGUAAGAUAAAUUAUCAUACUCAAAUUCAGUAUUGAUUUAGUAUGAACUCUCUCCACAAGGCAUGGAUUAUAAAAUCCGAGAAAAAGAUCAAUUUAUUUAUCAUGGAUUCCUUUCAAGAUUCAAACCAUACUUACAUAAUAAUUUACCAACAAGAUUCAAGUGCUGGUUUGCUUGAGCAGUGAUCAGCCAAAAGAAAAGGAAGAGAAAUCACAGAUCACAGAAGAAUAUAUGGUUUAGAAAAAUAAUAAAGUUGCAGCAUACAUAAAUCUAGUUCGCUCUGAUCAUGAGAUGUGGAAAGGAAAAUAGGGAAUUCUAUAAUGAGAUGAGAUGUGGAAGAGAAUGUUACAGCAGCAAUAAUAAUACUAUUUUUUAGAAAAGUCAGCUCAAUAAUAAUAAUUAAUUAACGUAUUGCUUGAUAGGAAGGAAGUUACCAGGAAGCAACCCAAACAUUACAUUAUAAGAUAUAGAAAGUUAACGUGUGGACCAUGUUCAGACUUCGAAGAACCUGCCAAGAAAAUGUAAACACAUGAAAAUGAGAAAGAAGCAUGCCCCAUCUCGUGAAGUUCUACGUGUACGUAUUUAACUUUACAAUAUUCUUUGCUGUGAAAAUAUAUCAUAUAUAGUAAAUAAUAUAAGUGCUUAUACAUCUUCUUUUCUUUUCUUUUUUUAACUUUAAACAGAGAGGUGGCUGCCCCAAUACAUUCAGCCUGCCGACUCUUAUUUUUUUGGGAGUAUUAAUUCCGUGAUGGAAUUGGAGGUACUGCUUUCUUCAUCUGUUAUUCCUGUUAUCUCCUCCAUUAUCUCACAAUCACUAGCAUCAAUCAUUUUCAGGUUUACGAGGUUUGACAGCAACACAAGUGGGAACAGCUUCUUCAUACUCUUACAUCCAUAACAAUAAAACUUUUUAAGACCAGAAAACAUACCAUUAUAUGAUGGCAAUGGUGAGAUGGAGCAUUGCAGAACCAAGAAGAUGAAACCAAGCUCUACAUGCUAUUGCAAUCCCAAAUGUUGAUGUCCUCUAGUUCAGUUGCAUUCUCUAAUGACAAAACAUCACAUAAACUUCUUGGAUCGAUGCAUUCACAAACCAGUUCUUGAAUGCCAUUUAAGUACUUGACUUGAAAAUCUCUCUAUGUUGAUACUCAAAUGACCCAACGCAACUAUUUUACUUAAAAAAACUCAAUCCUACCUAAUUUAUUUAAAAAAAAAUUAGGAAAAUUAAGAUUUUUUUUUUUAAUGAUAUGCCAUCUAUCUGCACUCCCUGCUAACUCUUCGCUUCAUAUCUUAAGUUAUAUCUAUCAAGUUAGAUUUAUCAAGUUUGCUUAAUUAAGACGGAAUAUUUAUGACUUUUACAUGUAUUAAGUUAAUAUAAUUGUACAUGGCAUGCACUUUAAAGCUCCGAACAUCAGUCAAUGAUUUAAUAGAGAAUAAAAUUUAAUUUUAAAUGCAAAUUAUAGGAUUUGUUGGUGCUGGUUUUAUUAAAUCAAUAUUAUAGUAAAACAAUUAAAUCAAUACAGAUAAAUAAAUGAUCCAAAUAUAAUAAAGAAUUAAUCCAUUUAAUAGAGAAAACAUGACUGAAUCCACAAACUACAUAAAUCCCUUUUUCUUUCUUCCCCCUUUUAUUCUCUAGUGCAACUCCCACGCGUCUUCUUUAUGCCAAAUGCCCCUCUUUUCAAAUUAGGCAUCUUCAACCUCCUUUUUCAUCACUCUCCAUGAUCUGUCAAAAACAAAUUGCUUAGAUUUUAGGAUUUUUUUUUGGCAGCCACGUACAUGCUUUAGGAGUUCCUUUUUUGAAAUCCUCACUAGAGGCUAAUAUCUAGCCCUUCAAGAUACCUUUACAACGCGUCAAGAAUCACAGCAAUCCUGUGAGUGGAAAGUUAUGAUUAAAAAAAAACUAAAAGGGAUCAGACAAUCACUGUAGAUUGUGUCUAAAAUCACUAUGGAUUGCACUGUUUACAUUUAAAAUUCAUUGUCGCCGCAAGUGCCAAUUUUGUUUCACUGUUUUUUCAUUUAUUUCGUGGGGCACGUGGAAAGCUUUUCAUCUCUUUGUUUUUUCUGAUACAAACACAGAGAACGCCUCCCAAACUCAAAUAACACAUUCACAAUUCCAGAUCUAUCUCUUCCCUGAUCUGUUUUAGUUUUUUUUUAAUUAAAAAAAAAUGCUAAAAGGGCUUAAGGAAACAUUGUGCCCACUGUGUGUAAUUACUGUGGGCUGGAGCUUAGUGUCUUCUCGCGCUAAGUUGGAAUUCAUGGAGGGAAGAUCGUCUUGGUUUCACUCCAAGAUCUCAGUUUGCAUUUGAGUUCUCAUCAGGAGGUCUGGGCGGAGCUUGCGUUUCGUUCACUCAGAAAGAAUGGGAUCCGGAUCUGUAAGUGAUUUUCUUCCUUGCUUUUGUUUGGAUGUGAGGUUUUCGGUGGGUUAAUUGGAAGCAAUGCUUGGCAGCUGGGAGCAGUGAAGUCAAGGUGGGAAGAAAGGUAUUAAGGUGUGGGUGUAGUCAGGUGGACACAUGAUAAGGUGUGAGCAUAGCUUUCAUUAGCUCUCCAUUUGAUGGAGUCCUACUAUUGAUUGAUUAUCUGAUUGAUGGUCGAGAUAUGGACAUAUUGUUUGUUCUGCUAAGAUCAAGAGAUCUAGAAAACAAUAGGCUUCGUUCGUUAAAGCGCGGGGCUCCUGGCUAACAAACGCCCACUAAAUGUCAUUUUGAUUACCAAGCGCGUGUAACUGGUAAUAUACUGGAUUUAUUCGUGAAUGACAUAUUGUAUUUUAAAUUGUUACUGAAAUAUAUUAAAAUAAUUUUAUUUUUUAAAAUUUAUUUUUAAUAUCAUCUUAAAAUAAUCAAAUGAUAUAAAAAAAAUAUAUAAUUUUUUUAAAAAAAAAACACAGUUAAAUCGCAUGCAUGACCAUUAUAGCAUGACAUCUUGCCAUUAUUAUUAUAGAAAAUUAUUAUAACAAAAUCUAAAAGGCAUGUGGGAUUUAUUUUGCAAAUCACAUUGUGUAUUAUCUAUUCAUAUGUAUUAGUUAUUUACGAUGUUUUUUAUUCCAAGGCUUUUUUAAAAACAAUUUGCCCUUUUUAGACUAAAUAGAAUGCCAGUUUAAAUAAAACCAUCAAGGUAGUAUAAAAUUAAAAAAAAAAGUGAAAAAAAAGAAGAAGAAAUUAGAUGGAGGAUUUGAAGUUUGCGGAAAAAAUAAAUUGGUUCUUUUUACUGUUUCAAUUAAGCAUUUUUUAUUAUAUCUUUAUGUUUUUUUUUUAGCAGGUUACAGGUAAAACUUUUUAUCGCUUUGUUUUUUCUGGUACAAACACAGAGAACGCCUCCCAAACAAAUCAAAUAACAUAUUCACAAUUCCAGAUCUAUCUCUUCCCUGAUCUGUUUUAAUUUUUUUUUAAUUAAAAAAAAUGCUAAAAGGGCUUAAGGAAACAUUGUGCCCACUGUGUGUAAUUACUAUGGGCUGGAGCUUAGUGUUUUCUCGCACUAAGUUGGAAUUCAUGGAGGGAAGAUCGUCUUGGUUUCACUUCAAGAUCUCAGUUUGCAUUUGAGUUCUCAUCAGGAGGUCUGGGCGGAGCUUGCGUUUCGUUCACUAAAAAAGAAUGGAAUCCAAAUCCGUAAGUUAUUUUCUUCCUUACCUUAUAGCGCUUUGUCUGAUGGGGAAUUUUAGCUCCUCCUUUUUCUUGCUUCUUGGGUCCUCACGGGCAGAUUUUAUAAUUGCAUAAUAUAGAUCCCAAAAGGAAAGACCAGGAAAUGAAGAGUGAACGACGACUUGGAUUUCAUGAUGGCUUAGGCUAAAAGGUAGAGGGACUUUAUUUUGCAGAGACGUCGCCGCCACCAUAAAAUAUGGCUUGAUUUUAGGAGUCCUUUCUUCUGGGUUGUGUGUGUUCUCAGUAUGCUACAUUAAAUGCAACGCCCACUUGGUUAGAUUUGAUUGAGAGAGCAGGUGAGUUUAUUUGUGAUUAGUAAUUUGGUCAGAUUUUGUAUAUUAUUGCAGUGAUUGACUGACCAGUUUUGGUUUUUUUUUAAAUUAAUUUAAUUUUUAGUUUGCUUUUUUGCAAAAUAUCACUUGACAAUGAAGCUUUGUUUGUUAGGUGGCUUGGCAUGGAUUAAAAGUCUUUUUGUGGUUCUUAUUUAUAUGUCUGCUUGCAUUUCUCUAUGCUGGUAUGUUUUUUUUCCAAGAAUUAAGGUGUUGACAUGCAUUUGGAUGUCUCAGUUGAGAUGGUUGAGAGUGUGUUGGUUCAGCAUGCUGAUGAAAGGAGAAGAAAGGUAUGGUUUUAAGCUGUUUCAGCUGACAGGCAUUUAAUGCAUGUCAAGGUUGGCAUGUUGCUGCCAUUGUGAUGUGCAGUGUUUUUCUUGAGUGGGAAAUGUGGAGACAAAGUGAGGGGGUUGAUUUGUUAGUUUGAUUCUGACUUGGGUAGGUGAUGGGUUGUCCUAUUGGAAUAUUUUUUAAGAAAUCUAUUUCAUAUCUGGUUAUUUUUUCUUGAGCGGGAAAUGUGGAGACAAGGUGGAGGGGCUGAUUUGUUAGUUUAGUUCUGACUUGGGUAGGUGGUGGGUUGUCCUGUUGGAAUAUUUUUUAAGGACUCUAUUUCAUAUCUGGUCAGAUUAGUAACCUUCCUUUUUCAUCAUCGGAUUUUAAGAAAAGCAUAGAACACUGACAAAAAAAUUACAAUUCCAAAAGGGGAUGAAGUUAGAGAUUGAGUAUUUGUGUAUAUUUCUACAACAAAUGUUAGUAAAGAAUAGAUGAUACAGCUGGUUUUGACUUUAGAAGGUCUUCUGCUACUAUAGACAUUGUGUUUUGCAACAAUUACACUAGACACGCAGACAGUGGGCUCCCCUUCUUGGCAGGAUGAACCGGGUACCAUGUUCUGAUAGCAGGAUCACAACCCGUGUUAUACUAUGACAAAGGUUAGUUUUUUAAGAUUAUUCUAUGCUUUUUCUCAACUUUAGUUUCAAAUCAAUUUGGGUUGCAAGUUAUGAACUUUGUGCUGAGAGGUUUGCUUAGACAUGUCAAUGCUUUUUUCCAACUUUUUCCUUUCAUGUGAAAGCCAGAUCUCUUCAUUGUUUCUUAACUGUAUUUUUAAGAUUUUGCUCCUUUUAGUUGUCUUUAAUUUUUUUUUGUUUUGUUGAGUGAUUAUUUGUAGCAUUGUUUGUUGCCUUUUUUGUUAUUAGUAAUAUACCAAUUCUUAUGCCCAAGUAAUAUUUGACUAUAAACAUUCAGCAAAUCAAAUUUAAUAGCAUUAGCCCACAAGGACACUCCAAGCACAAAAUUACCUUAGCCAAAACAGCAAAAGACAACUGGAAUAGACCAUUUUGAAGCACGAACUGAUCUUUCGGCCAAAAACUUAUUGCGUCUGGAUUUUAAUUCCUCUGCUUCUAGAUUUUCAGAUUCAUUAGCAAGUAAGGAAAAUACAGAAUCAGUGGCAGGGGCAGUCUUCGGCAUUGAUGAAGUGCGUGCUUAACUUCUAUGAAUCUUUUUUCAAUGGAUAAAUGAAGUCCAGGUAGAUUAACUGGUGUUGUUCUCUCUCCUGCACUUUGCCUUCCAGAACAGUUUGUGUUUGGCUAAAAGCAGAUAACUAUGCACAAUUUGAUUUCUAUGGCUUAGACAAUUCAGGAAAACGAAAGACAUGGUUUUGUAACACUAUGUUAUUUGCAAUCUAUAUUUGGGCUAGAAAAAACAGAGCCUAAUCUUCUAGAACAUUUAACACUGUUUGGCCAUGGAAGCCUACAGAGUUUGACAAUUGUGCUGCACGCUUUAGGGAAUUAAAAAAAAAGCAGCAGAAUGGAAAGACCAUGGAAUUUUCAUAGUGUUAGCAAAAAACCUCUGUAUAUCUUCACUACCUCUUUUUUUUAAACGCCUUUUCAUAACCUGGACUAGAAGUCUAGCACAUAAAAAAAGAUUUUCAAUCAACAACACAAGAGAUUUAGGGUAAGUGUUUUUUGUUCCAUCUUGCUUUAAUGAGAUUCUAUCAUCUACUGUCCAAUACCCGCACGGCCAGCCAGCCUGACUCAUCAUAGUUCAUUCAUUCAUAUAUGAUUAAUUAUGUAUGGGGCCAGUAUUAUUUAAUUUCUUCUUUAUUUUCUCAUCACAGCUCUGCGUUUUCUUCUCUAUACCCAUUUUGAUUUACAAAUAUUUCAAAGGGAAUUUUUUAUUUGUCUCACAAAUUGAAACUGUUCUUGCGUUCUGGCAAGAUUUCCCUUGAAAGAUAUGGAUCAAGGCUCCUGAAAAUGUCUUAUAGCAUUGUUACUGUUACUAUUCUAUAAAUGUCGGUGUCCAAAAAUCACAAAUAAAUACAAAAGUGAGCAUAAAUGUUUUUAUUUGACAUAACAACUGCAAGUCAUGCUAAACAAAUAUAUAUUAACUUGCAUAACAUAUAGGAAAACAAUCAUGUAUGCAUACUAAAUAUGUAUAGAAAUUAUAUUUAAAUAAAGGUAUUUAGGAUGCUUUUUAUUAAUUUAGAGUAUUAUCAGUUUUAAAUCAUCUUGAGAUAUCUUUAUUUGCAUGCAAUUUGUAAGACUUUUUUAAAAUUUUCAGAAAAAGAUAUUAGCUACUAAGUAAAUCAUUGUUCUGGAAAUUCAAUGCAUUUGAAACUUGAAAUGUUUGCUUUCAUGGUUUUGGUAUAAAUUAACUACAAUUUUCAAACUGAAUUCCACGUAAAGCUGGAGAAUUAAGAUUUUUUUUUUCUUGAUUAGGUUAGUGCCCACGUAGAGGAAUUGCUUGAGUCGUUGACUGACCUCUUCUCAGUCCAAAUACAUAAUAAUGAACCUGUCUAGACUGUAGUUAUUAAUUAGUACUAUCUUUUUUCAUUAAGCAUUAAACAAGUAUGUUGUAUCACUUUGUGUUCAAUUCUCUCUAUGUGAGCAAGGCAGUGGAAGUAGGGAACAACUUUGUUGUUCACCAAGCUGAUCAAGUCAUGGCUGAAAAAGCCAAAACCUUGCAAGAUCGCAUUGUAAUCUCUCUUAACAUUGAUUUUUAAUUGUAAUUAGGGUUUUUGACUUGGCUGGAUACAUUUGAUUCUAUCAUAGUUUUUUUAAUUAGUUUAUUUGUUCCGUAAAAUGAAUAGAUUAGUUGUUUAAUUUUCAAUUGGUCUUGAUGCUUUAUUCCUUAAUUUCUUCCCUCCGAUUUUGUGUGCAGUCAAGAGAACUAGCUAUGCUUGCAAUUUCAGUUCUCGCUGUCAUUUUCUUAGACAAUUUGUGUUACCAAAAAGCUUUGGUUGAGACAGGCAACUUCUUAACUACACCAUCUUCACUUUUGUCUUUUCUACUUUGAAUAAUUUUGUCACUCAAUGGAAGGCUGGUUGAAUUUUAAUAACUUGAGUUUGGGGUGUUGUUUUGCUUUGCUGGAAAAUAUAUGAUUGAUGAUGUGUAUUUUUUAAAAAGGUGUUGCUUGAACUCAUGCUUAGUAAUAUGUGUUCUUUUUAAAAAAAAUAAUUGAACUCAUGUUAAUGGUUAUUUAAAGAGAUACAUGCUGAAAUGAAAGAUACUUAAGAAUAAAAAAUAAUAAUAUGUUGACGAUUUUUCCGUUUGCUUCUAUGCUUCAAAACGAAGAAUUAAAUUGGUUUUUGGUUUGGCAUUGUAAUUUAAGGUGUUGUAUGUUGAAUUAAGAAUUUUUAAAUAUUACUUUGUCCAUACAAUUUUUUUUAUAUAUAUUUCGGGUCCAUGUUUUUUAUAGUUGAGAGUUUUUUGCUUUAUUCCAUGUGGUCUUUUUAAUUGGCAAGGGCUAUCAUGUGGCAUUGUUUUUUUUUUUUUUUCCAUUUCAGUAACUACAGCUCCCCUUAUUGUUUUCAUUUGCUUAUGUGGUUUUGUUUGUUUUUUUUUCCUUUUCCUGUCAUCUUAUAUGUAUGCCUUUGAAUGGGUUCCAUUUUUUUUUUCCAGUUUACUAGGUAAUGUGUGAGUUGUAUUGUGUUCUCUCAUUCCUUUGUAACAUGAUCAACAUAAUGCAUACAUUAUCUAAUAACAUUUUUCUCCUGCACUAUGUUCCCACAAAGCCUUAGGUGGCUUCAUUGUUGUUAAGCUUCACGUGUUUUGUUCCCUUUAAAAAAAAAUGUUAUUUAAGAUGAGGCAUUUGAAGUUGAUUGGUGCUUCAGAUAUGAGAAAAACAAUUUGUUUGUGGUUUUUUUCCAUCUGGAUUUUAGGUGCUAAUUUGGCUGAUUAGUGGAUUUAUGCAUAUGAAAAUGUUUAAUUUACAGGUUGUUUUAUUUUGUGUGGAUCUUCUUAGAAUGUUUAAUUGUGUAGGCUAUUGAUCUUGCUAUCCACUUUCAAGGAAUAUUUCACAAGGUAUUUUCAUGCCUCUUUUUUUUUUAUUAAACAGUGUUCUGGUUCUUAGUUGUUUCAUUCUUUCUUACAAGCUAUUUUCUACUAAAUUUUUUAGAAUAUGUUUGUUGUUGUUGAAAGAGCUUAAGUUAAGUUAAUCAAUGCUUAUUCUUUGUUUGCAUGAUAGCUUGAGAUUAGGGUGUUGUUUUGCUCUGUUGGAAAAUAUAUGCUUGCUGAUAUGUGUGUUUUUUUAAAAAAAAAAGGUCUUGCUUGAACUCAUGCUUAGUGAUAUGUGUUUAAAAAAAGAGUUGAUUGAACUCAUGUUAGAGGUUAUUUAAAGAGAUGCAUUCCGAAAUGAAAUAUGCUUAAGAAUAAAAAAUAAUAAUAUAUUGCAGAUUUUUCCAUUUGGGUGUUAAUUUCUAGCUUAACUGAUGAAAUAAUUUAGGCAAUCAAUUUUAUUACUUCUAUGCUUCAAAAUGAAGAAUUAAAUUGUUUAUUGAUUUGACAUGGUAAUUUAAGGUGUUGUAUGUUGAAUUAAGAAUUUUUGACAAGUUGUUUUAUAUUUCGUUGGCCUAUGAAUUAAAUUAUAUAUAGUUAGCAAUUAAAUUACGACUUUAAAUUUCAGUGUGUAUGAUUUCUGCCUGAAAUGGUUUAAAACUUUACGCUUAGCCAUUAUUGUUUUAUUGGGUUCUAUUUUCUCUCCACAAAUAUACAUUGCUCAUUUCAAGACCUUUCAAUUCAAUUACAUAUGAUUGCUGGCUACUUUUUUUUUCAACAAAACUUGCAUAGAGAAAAUUCUGUUUCUGAGAAUGUAUUGUUAAUUGCCAUGACUUUAAUUAAUUUUGGUUGCAUGUAAUUGUAAUGUGUGAGUUGUAUUGUGUUAUCUCAUUCCUUUGUAGCAUGAUCAGCAUAAUACAUACGUUAUCUAAUAACAUUUCUUUGCUGCACUAUGUUCACACAAAGCCUUGGGUUACUUCAUUGUUGUUAAACUUCACGUUGUUUUGUUCCCUUUUAAAAAAAUUGUUAUUUGAGAUGAGGCAUUUGAAGUUGACUGGUGCUUCGGAUAUGAGAAAAACAAUUUGUUUGUGGUUUUUUUCCAUCUUGAUUUUGGGUGCUAAUUUGGGUGAUUAGUGGAUUUAUGCAUUUGAAAAUGUUUGUUUUACAGGUUGCUUUAUUUUGUGUGGACCUUCUCAGAAUGUUUAAUGGUGUAGGCUAUUGAUUUUGCUAUCCACUUUCAAGGAAUGUUUCACAAGGUAUUUUCAUGCCUCUUUUUUUUAUUAAACAGUGUUCUGGUUCUUAAUUGUUUCAUUCUUUCUUACAAGCUAUUUCUACUAAAUUUUUUAGAAUAUCUUCGUUGUUGUUGAAAGAGCUUAAGUUAAAUUAAUCAAUGCUUAUUCUUUGUUUGCAUGAUAGCUUGAGAUUAGGUGUUGUUUUGCUCUGGUCGAAAAUAUAUGCUUGCUGAUAUGUGUUCUUUUUUUAAAAGGUGUUGCUUGAACUCAUGCUUAGUGAUAUAUGUUUUAAAAAAGAGUUGGUUGAACUCAUGUUAGAGGUUAUUUAAAGAGAUGCAUUCCGAAAUGAAAUAUGCUUAAGAAUAAGAAAUAACAGUAUGUUGAAGAUUUUUCCAUUUGGAUGUUAAUUGUUAGGUUAGCUAAUGAAAUAAUGCAGGCAUCAAUGUUAUUUCUUUUAUGCUUGAAAACAUAAAAUUAAAUUGUUUAUUGGUUUGACAUGGUCAUUUAAAGUGCUACCGUUGAAUAAAGAAUUUUUAACAUGUUUUAUUUUUCCUUGGCCUUUAAAUUAAAUUAUAUGUAAUUAGCAAUUAAAUUAUCACUUUAAAUUUCAGUGCAUAUAAUUUGGGCCUAAAAUGGUUUAAAGCUUUGUGCUUAACCAUUAUUGUUUUAUUGGGUUUUAUUUCGCAACAAUAUACAUUGCCAUAUCAAGAUUUUUCAAUUCAAUUACAUUGAUUGCUGGCUAUUUGUUUCCAACAACACUUGCAUAAAAAAUUCUCUUUCUGAAAUUAUGUUGUUAAUUGCCAUUACUUUAGUUAAUUUCAGUUGCAUGUAAUUGGUGAUUGAAUUGUCGCUGCUUUGAAGUGGAUGCAUAUAAUUAGUGGUUGAAUUGGUUUACAACAAGAUUUUGGUGGAAAAUAGAAUAGUUCAUUUGGUAUCACCUUUGUUUGUUGCAACAAAUUCUACUCACUUUCUUUAUUGUUGCAUUUGCUUCUUUUCAUUACAACAACUAUUAUUUUUGCAGCAGAUUAAACAUAUUUUUCAUAAUUUUUUUCUUUUGAUUUUCAUAAUCACACAUUUUUUUAUUAUUGUUGUUGUCCAUCUUUAAAGAUCAAAUUUCCUUGCUAACUUUCUAUUUUUCACCAUAUGUUACAGGCAUGUUAUUUCAAUAGCUGUUGAACUAUCUCCAGGUUGCAGGAAGCUGAAACACCACCUUUUUCCUGUCUCACUCAAGCUAUAGGUACACCUUUAUUUUCAAACUUGACCUGUUUUUUGCUUGCAACUUUGUCACUGUAUUUUUCUUUUCCACUAUAUGCUUGCUUUUUUAUGGAUUAAUUUGGAUUUUUAUAUAUGUUCAUGUUUCCAUUAUUACAUAAUUAACUUUUUUGGUGAAUUUUUUAAUCUUAUUCUUUCAUUAAAUAGUUUUCUUUUAAUUGUUUUCCAUUGAAAUUUUUGAUUUUUACCAUAUUAUUAAAAUUGCCUUGAUUGGAAAAUUAGAAACCAUUUGAUUUAGUUUUAGUUAGAUUUUGAGUUAGAUUGUAUUUAAGUGGAAGUUGAAUUAUCGCUUUGGAUUUGAUUUCAUAUAAUAUGGUUGAAAUCAUUGACAACAUUAUGCUUGGCCGUUAUUUUGUUUUGUUCUUUUUCUCCACAACAAUAUACAUUGCACAUGUCAAGGCUUUUCAAUUCAAUUACAUAUGAUGACCUGCUAAUUUUUUUUGAACAAUGCUUGCAUGAAGAAAAUUUUCUUUGUUAUAAUUAUGUUGUUAAUUCCCAAGAUUUUAAUUUGAGUGUAAUUGGUGGCUGAAUUAAUGCUUUUAGUUGCAUUGCAUAUAAUUAAUGACUAAAUUGGUUUACAACAAGAAUUUGGUGAGAAAAAGUUUGUUCAUUUCGUAACAGCUCUAUUUAUUAGAACAAUUUCCACUCAUUUUCUUUAUUUUGUUGCAUUUCCUUCUUUCUAUUGGAACAACUCUAAAUUUUGCGGCAUAAUGAACACGUUUUACGCUUUGAAUUGAAUUGCAUAUAAUUUGUGGCUUAAUUGGUACUAUUUUUUUUUAUUAAUCAUUUGCAGGACAAUGGCUCUACCUAUAAAGAGAUUAAAAAAUACAACUUCUACCCUUCAUUACGAGCUAGGGCCUGUCGAGUUUGGAUUGCUAAAUUUAAUGGUCAGCCAAGCAGUUUUAAUUGUGUUUUUGUUGACAAUCAGGUAUAAUUUAUCAUGAAAAUAUAACCACUAAUGAAUCUUAUUUUCUAUAUAUUUAAAUGUUUGAAUAAUGCAUGUCCAACUCAUUUCUGAAUAUUUUCUUUACUUUGGCAAUUUAACAUUUUUUUUACUUAACCAGGGUACUUAUUUGCUCUUAAGAUUCCCUAUGGAAAACCAAGUUUCCUUUCCUUUUUAAUUCAUUACUAUAGAACUAUAGUUAAGUUCACUACUAAACCACAAUUGCUUAUUCAACUUAUGGAAAAAACUUUUCAAUAUUGAAAUUGUUAAGAAAAACUAACAUGAUCAAUUUUUAGCAUCCAUUUAUGAUUUACAAUCAACUUUGUUUUCUACAUGCUUAAAAAACCAGACAAUCCCAAGCAUUGCAUUUGCUUUAUAUAAUCCAUAGAAAAUUUCAUACAGGUCAAGCAAAUUUCAUUUUUCUAUUACUUGACAUGAUUUAUAUAAGAGUUUGAGAAAUUUUACGAUGCAUCACUGCUAACUACCAAUUACCAUGAAAAUCUCAGUUACAAUUCCAUACUAGAGCCACGGUUUACCAGGUAUAUUACAUCCAAUUAUAAACAACAUUGAGAAGCAACCAACAAGUAUAUUUAUCUUUUAUUCUAUACAUCUUUUAUAUGCAGCUUUCAUUUAUACAAUGGUCUACUAAUUAAUUAUUAUAUAUGUGCAUCCUGCUAGAAAUAAUGUUUCACCUUCACCUCAAGACAUGUUUGUUGACUUAGAAAAUCUUGCUUCAAAUUCAUAGACUUUAUACGUAACAACCAAUUUAAACAUUUUAAGAAAUAUUAAGACAUAAAAUCUCUUAAAUUCAUUAUUAAAACCAGUCUUUUAACUUAAUGUUCCAGUAGUACCAAUACCUCACUUCCAAUGUCAUCAAAAAUCUUCUUGAAAUAAUUUACAAAACCUUAUUACAUAUUGCAUUCAAAAUUCUAAACCUUAUUACAUAUUGCAUUAAAAACUCUAUUCCAUUUGGUUGUUGGCAUGGUGAACAAUUAUUUUUUUCAUUCCAACGUUAAUCUUUUUUUUAUAUAGGGUGGAGCUAUUCAAGCUGUAGCUAAAACAAGAGAUCUCCCAACAUUUGCAGCAACAGUUAUUGAAGGAAAUCACUAUGAAAUCAAAGGAUUUUAUACUUAUGAAAACAGAGCAGUAAACACAGUUGCUGCCCAUGAUGUUGUGAUUGAUCUCAAAUCUAACACAAAGAUUACAGGCAUUGAAGCUAUUUCACCUUCUGUUCCUAGAUACUACUUUAAUUUUAUUGACUAUGCACAUAUUAUGACCAAGUCAAAAAGCUCCAGAAUUCUUACAGGUUUACCAUUUACUUCAUUCAUUUAGCCUAUUAUUAAACAUUUUUAUUAUUGAACUCAGCUUGAUAACAUCACUUAAAAGCAUUCAUUCCUGUUUUUUAAGAUGUCCUUGGAAGACUUAAAGCAUUGCAGCCACUUGAACAAGUUAUGGUUCGUGGACAGACGCUCGAAAAUAAGAGAGAAUUCAUGCUUGAGAACAUUCGGUGAGUUGAAAAAUUAAAUGCAAAUUACCUUACUUUUAUCAAGCUUAUUGAUCAAAUUUGUUUUGUAUUUUCUUUCAAAGUGGUGAGGAGCUUCGCAUAACUCUUUGGGGUGAUAGUGCUAGAGAUUUUGAUGGACUCGCUCUUCAUAACCUGCCAUCUCCGGUUAUCAUUGCGUUUGCUGGAUUUCGUGUCACGGAAUUUAAGGGUAAUUUUAACUUCUAUUUCUUUUUUUUCUAAAAAUUUUUUUUUUUUUAUUAUCAUUCUGAUCCAACUAAUUCUCCUUUCAUUUUAUUACAAAAACUCUUUUGUUCACAAGGAAAACCAAAUCUUAACAGUACAGCCGCCUCUCUUUGGUACUUCAAUCCAGACAUACCAGAAUGCUUGGCAUAUAAACAUUUGUAAGUUAUUCAACAUCAACCAUCUCUCUUAUGCUUUACCAUUAUCAAUUUUUUUCUAACUAAUUAUUUUUUCACCAUUUUUUAAUCGAUUGUACACGCAGCUUUGCACAACUACCCGUUGAAAUACAACAACUCCCUUCAUCAUCAAAUGUUGUUUUAUCGAUAGAGGAACAAAUCAAAUAGGAGAACAAUACAUGAGAUUCUUUGCAUGAAUCCUUAUGAGCACAAGGUUAUUUUUUAAACCCUUUUAUUAUUAGCUUUGAUAACAUACUUUACCUUCUUCAUAUAAUUAGUUUUUAAAUUUCAUUAACACACUUUGAAACAUGUAUUUCCUUUCCAUUACCAGCAUCUAAGAUUCACUGUCAAGCUUCGAUUGUUGACUUUGAUUUUCCCAAUGGCUGGUGGUAUCCAAGCUGUCCAAAAUGCAACAAAAACUUAGGGGGCGAAACAAUUACACAUGCAUGGAUCAUGAUGCUAUCACCUCUCUUCCAUUCCAUGGUAAGUCAUCUAAUUUCACAACUAAAGCAAUAUUAAGUUGUUAAAUAAAAAAAUCAUAUUCCUUGAUACAUUAUCAUGCACUUCUUAUUAAUGAACAUGUAUCAAUUUUAUAUUAUAGGUUUCGCUUAGAAUGCAUUGUUACCGAUGGAGAAGAUGUCACUAAUUUUCUUCUAUUUGGGAAAACUGCUGAGAACUUUUUUGGAUCAUCGGCCACCAUUAUGUCUAUGAUAAAAAAUUUAUUGAUCCCUCAGUUCUUCCUCCUGCCAUGGCAGCAAAGUUAAACAAAAGCAUGAUUUUUAGCUUCGAUUUGGUGCUUUCAGAUCCAUCACCAACAGAUGUGAGGUUAUCAUUACUAAUAUCUUUGACGACAAAUAAGAGCAUCCAUCCUCUAGAAACAGCAACUCCAGAAGCUAAAUCAUCUCCUACAUCCAAGACAUCUACUCCAUUAAGCUAUAUGAAACAGGUUCUCAAGCUCCAUCAACUCCACAAAUACUGUCACACAACUCAGGAUUGCUCCUGAUUCCUUGGAGACACCACCUCAGAACAUAUCACCAAACAAGGAAACAAGCAUAAACAGUGAAGCACGACGUGCACUUGAUUUUGAAGAUGCACAGCAGCUCAGGCAAGUUUACAUUUCCCCACACUUUCUUUACAUUUUUUUUCCUUAACACGUGCUAAAUUUGAUGGUUCUGCCUUGCAUCUCUUUAAUUCCUUUGGUUACAAUAGUCAUGAAGAUGAGCAUGACAAAGCAAUUGAAGUCCAAGGAAACCUGGGAAACAUAGCUACAUCUGAGACAUUUGAUCACUCACUUCCACCUUUGAAAAAACAACGGGCAACAUCCUCAUCAUCCUCGAAGGUUUGAUUUUUAACCUCACAUUCUUAUAAAUCAAUUUCCAAUUUGUCCAACAUGCCUUUUAUUUGUUAUUUAUUUUGUAAUUCUAUUUGUUUUUUAUUAUUUUACAUUUACCUAUUUCUCUUCACUUCACAGCCUAUAAUUCCUGAGUUCUUUUAUUCUUUACAUGCUAAUUAUACAUUGAAAACAAUUCUUAAAAGAGAAAAAAUCAUUCCCUGGAAAAUUUAUAUAUCAAUAUUAAUACUUUUCAUUAAAACCAAAGAAUUAGUAAAGGUAUGAAUUAUUAACAAUGAGAAGAAAACAUAAUUAUUAUGUGCACACAUAAAUACUUAGAUAAAGAAGAUCAUUACUUUAUAUAUGUGCAUAUGUUACUUAAACAAUUGCAAUAAUAUGGUUACUUUCUUGGUGAAUGCUGUAAAUUAAAGUCAUUCCAGAGGUUGGGGAACCAUGACACCAAUUCCUGAUACAUGAUAUGCACAAUGGAUGUCCACAUUUAGGCAGGACUGCAAGCCUUCUUUUAGGUGUUGUAGGCUUUGAAAGCACACUAUCCAGGCACACUGCACUCAAUUUCUUCACUAUGUUUUAAUGCCACAAGAAACUUUUGUUUCGUUUCUUCUCACAUGAUUCAAAUGCUCCCCUCUUUCAUCUUCCCUGAAGGAAUAAUCAGCAAUGUGAUGCUGGAGUUUUUUGAGAAAAAAUUUUUCCUUUUUUUUUUCAGUUUAGGAUUUUUAUUGCUUUGAAAAAGGUUUUAUAAUGACUACAUAAACUGUAUAUACAAUAAUGUAAAAAAAAAGAACAUGGUCAAUUUUUAUAUCUUGCUUCAUCACACAUUUAACUUCAUCUACUACACAAAUGUUCACAGAAUUUUCAACCUUCAAUUACAUCUAUAAACAAAAACAAAAAAACCAAAAAUUUUUGUGAAGGCUAUUUAACAUGUCCAAAAAAUACUAACAACAAUGACUUGGAUUUGUUGUCUUUACAUUUUUUUUAUUGUUUACAUUGCAGAAACUAGCAAUUCCUUACAAUGACUUGGUUUAGAUUCCUGUAGCAAGACAUGGAGAGGAAUCUGGCAGCUUAUUUCCACUUUUGAUGUUGUUUAUAACUUAAUCUAUAUUAUCAUGACUGCUGCCUCUGUAAUUUUGAUAUAGUUUGGAAACAACAAUGUCCUUUAAGUGCUCAGCAAUCUGACAGUUUAUUUGCAUUUUGUUGUUAUUUAUAACUUUAUCUAUAUUAUCAAACCUUUGAUAUUAUACCUAGCUGCAGUUUUUUUUAUUAUUGCUUAGCAAUUAUUAUUUUUCAUGCAUGUUAUGCUUAUUCUGGUAAAAAACUGCAUUUUCAUUCAUAACCUAAAAUCGCCCGCAGCAAAGCGCGGGCAAUCAAGCUAGUUAAAAUACUAAAGUGUGUGGAGGUUGUUUCCAAGAAAAAAGAACAUUACUACUACUUUUAAGUGUAUCUUUUGAUGUUUUCCGGUUUUGAAAAUGCGCUUAAGCUUUUAAAUGUUUUUUUUUAUUUGUCUCUAGAAAAUAUUAAUUUGAUAAUUUUUCUAGUAUGUUGCAAUAAUUUUAGUAUAGUGAUAUUAAAAAUAAAAAAAAAUUACAAAAAUUAUCUCUAAAAUACACUUUUAAUAUAUACUUUAUAACACAAUAUGUCAUGAAAACAUAGUCCCAAAAGCCUUCGACCGAGCAUAAAAAGGUUUUCAACCCAAUCAUGCUUUUUCCUUAUUAUAAAUACAAAAUAAAGUUCGAGUGAAGUAGUAGGGUACAAUCUUAAAUGGUCCAAACAUUAUUGUUAGAAUGUGACUGUGGUCCCAACAUUAUUGUAGCAUGUGCCAUGUCUCAAACUCCUAUGAUCAAAAAAUCAGGUUAUUGGUGUUUGAUGAAAUUAGUUGUCACUAAAAAUAAAAUAAAAUCCUUUGUGAAUUAAUUAAUUAUUCAAUUAAAUCCUCAAUUAGUUCUUGUUUUCCACCAAUAUUUUAAGAAUAAAAAUAUUUUAUUAGAUGUUUAGACACUCCACAAUUAUAAUAUUUUAUUUAAGUUUAAAUUUUUAUUUUAAAUAUCGAAUUUUAUGGAGGUUGACGCCAUCAUACCUUGGAAAUUCAUGUUUAUAUGUUUUUGUUUUCUAAUAUGCAUGUUUAAAUAUAAUGUUCUUAUAGCAUCAACUUCAUUAUCUACCUGCAUUUUUUUAAAUUUUAAAUUUUUUUAUUGAAUUUUUUUUAAAAUAUUUUUUUUAAAAAAUAUAUUAUUUUAAUAUAUUUCUAAACAAAAAUAUUUUGAAUUGCAAUGGCUAUUAUAAUCACAAAUAUAUUUUUAUGAUUUGCGAGGUAUUUGUUUUGCACCUGUUUUUAUGUUUAGGAUGAAAAAAAAUAAAACAAAUCAAAUUUUUAAAAACACUAGGUUUCCAAACAAGAUAACGCAUCAAGAAUCAUAGCAAUCCGACAUAUGAGAGGAAAGUUGUGAUUAUAUUUUUAAAGUGCAUCCAAGAUGUUUCUAAGGACAAAAAACACUACUACCUUUAGAGUGAUUUUGACAAUGCAGAAGGAACAUGGAUGUUGUUAUUUUAAAAAUUUUAAAGUAUUUUUAUUUAUAAAUAUAUUAAAAUAAUAUAAUUUAAUAUAGAAUAACUCAAAAAUUAAGACCAGUCUUCAAUCUUCACAAACUUUAAUAUGUAUUAAGUCAAAUUUGUGUAAUUAAAUUUAUCAAGUUUGCUUAAUUAAGAUGGAAUAUUUAUGACUUUUACAUGAUAAGCUUUUAUUGAUAUUCUAUUUUUAUUGACAGUAGUGUGCUUUUAUUUAAGAGGUUCUUCAGUCAAUGAGUUUAGAGUACAAUGAACGCCAUACUCCGUUCUUUCAAAACUUUUCAUGAUCUACAAAAAGUUUAAUUUAAUUAAUUAAAUUUUAAAUUUAUUUUUAAAAAUUAUCAAUUUAAAUUCCAAAAAUUUCAGAACCACUGAUAAUUUAUAUAGUCGUUAAUUUCAGGACUUGUAAAAUUAAUCAAGAUAUACACAAGCUAACUCGAAUAUAUUCGUUAGUAAAAAAAAAAACAUGAUCGGGCACUCUUCCAUAACCGUGGAAACAUCUCGCUCCUCCCCCGUCAAUGCUAAGGGUUGUUGCAAAGUAAAUAGGAAAGUUCGUCCAUAGACAAAUCUUUUCUGAUCGGGUUGUAAGAAUAUCUAGACCAUCUAAAAUCAGAAUCCAUUUCUGUUUCUCCAUUAUUUCUUUUUUCAAUUCGACCACUCUAUGCAGCUCCUCAUCUUCAUUAGAAAUAUUUAGACCAAUACGUCUUUCAAUUCCACCAUGUUCUGCACAUCACACAUAAUGACAUCUUUGUUUAGCGAUUGGAGCCCAGAGUUGAUCAUAAUAUAUAUCUUCCAUGGUCAAGACACAAUGGAUCUGUUGGUUGAGAUGAAUCUCCAUCACAGCCCAACAUCAUUAGGUUAUCUGCCAUCCCUUUCAAGAGAAGAAGAUUUCGAAUCAGUCCAUUCAUUCCCAUCUGUAGGCAUCUUUCUCAAACAUUAAGAAAAAAAAUGAAAAAUAAAUAAAAAAGGAAAAUUUUUUUUAUCUUAAGCUAUAUAUCCAACACUCACUUGAAAGAUAUUAAUAACCAUGUAAGCAAUUUACUUGUCAGUAUUUGACAAGGGGUGAGAGAUAUCGAAGACAAAUUAGAGUACACAAAUAGAAUGUAUUAGGUGAAUUGCCCGCGCGGUGCCGCGGGUCAUAACAUGAACUGAGAAAAACCUAAUUAAAAGCACUGAUAUCGAACUAAGCAACCAUAUGCAGUAGGCUAUUUGGCUGCCAGAACAAUUCAAAAAGGGCCUCAGAUUAAACAUCCCGAGGGCAAAUGUAAACACAUGAAAUUUUCAAAAAAGAAUAGUAUAUUUAUGCAUGCUGUAAAUUUAAAGGUUAUGAACUCUAGUAGGAUUAUAUUUAAAAAAAAAUUAUUUAACAAUAUAAUAAAAAUAGAUAAUUAUAAAAUUAAACACCAGCCCAAUAAUAAUAUAUAUAUUUUUAGGCAGCAAUAACAUCAUACAAAGAAAAAUAAAACCAAUUAUGGAACUAAAUUCUAAACCAACCCAAAUAUUAAAUAGACAUUUUUUUAAAAAAAAUUGAUAACCAAAAAAAAAGAAAAUAAAAUAAAAAGCAAAACACUAUAAACACGUGAAUAGCAUUUCUCCCACACCGUUUAGAUUUUUAAAAAAAAUUAAUAAGCAAAAAAAUACUUCAUUAAACCAGUAAACUAGUAUAAAACAUGUUAAUUUUAUAUAAAAAAAAUUAAAAUUAAAAUAAAUAAAUUAUAAAGUUAAAUUUUAAAUCACCAAUGUAAAAUAAACAAAAAUAAAAGAAAAAAACAAAAGAAAUAAAACAAAACACAUUGGAUUACUUAUUAUAAUUACAAUGAAAUGGGUGUGAAUACGUCUCUUAACUAUUCGUGAGCUUCUUAUUCGUUCUUAGUUUUUCUUGUUUUUUUUUUUCUGGUGGAAUUCCCACACGUCUUCUUUGUGGGCAGCCCCACUUUUAAACCCACUUUUUCUUCACGUCCCCAUGGUCCCCGUGUCCCACAUGUUUUCAUCAAAAACCUAAAUUUUAGAACUUCUUUGGCAGCCACGUACAUGCUUUAGUUUUUUAAAAAAAUACAAUCAUCAUCAGAGACUAUUUUAUAUACGGGGGAGCUUGUUUUGAACGCGGUAGUAAUGAUAUUUUAAAGUAUGUAUUAUCUAAAAAUAUAUAAAAAUAAUAUUUUUAUUUUUUAAAAAUUAUUUUUAACGUUAACACAUUAAAAUAAUCUAUAAAUAUAAAUGAAUUAUUUAAAAAAAUCAAAAAUUUUAAAAACACAAGCAUUCCCAAACAAGGUAACGCAUCAAGAAUCAUAACAAUAUGUGAGUGGAAAGUUGUGAUUAAAAUACUUGAAGUGCAUCCAGGCUAUUUCCAAGAAAAAAAAUUUUACUACUUUUAGAGUGAUUUUGACAGCGAAGCAGGAAAUGUAAUUAUUGUUAUUUUUAAAAUAUUUUUUAUUUAUAAUUUUAUUAAAAUAAAGGUUGUUCGUUUCGUUUUAUUUGUAAUGGUUUCAUAUUAAUUUAAAAAAUAAAAUAAAACAAAAUAAUUUUUAUCUCAUUUUAAAUCUCAGUCCCUUCUUGAUUUUUUGGCUAAAUUUAGUUCAGAAUGUUCCGGUUUUAUUCCACAUGUUCUGUUCCGAUCUUAAAAAGCCAUUAAAUCAAAUUGAACCUAGUUCAAUUAAUUAAUUAAACCAUUAAAGUAUAAAAAACACUUUUCAUUACUAUUUUCAUUAACUAUGAUAUUAAUUUUUUAAAAUUAGAUUUAUUACUAAUAUAUAUGGUUUAUAUUCAUGUUGUUUUUUUUCAAGUUUAUACUUUGUAGGAAUUUAAGCAAAAAUAUGGAUGUUUUAGAUCUCAUUGGCCUUGAUAACAUUGACCUAUUUUUAUAUUUAAAUAUUAGUGUAAAAAUAUUUUAAUUUCAUGAUAUUUUAAUAUUUUAUUAAAGUUAAAUUGUUUUAAGUUAAAAAAUUAUUUAAUCUUAUCUAUUUAAAAAUAUUUUAAAUUUUAAAAUUAUAUUUCAUCACGUCUACAUGAUCCCCUUUGUGUCAAAAACAAAUUGCCUAAAUUUUAGGCUUUAGCAGUUCCUUUUUUGAAAUCCUCAUUAGUGAAAUUUCACGACUGCUUUGGCAAUUCCUUUUUUGUGUGCUUUCAUCUUAAACUUGUGACCAAAAGGUAAACACAAUAAAAUUUUAGAUUAUAAUUAAAAAUAAAAAAGAUAAUAAUUAUUGGGAUCAGAAUUUUAGAAAUCACGCAUAUUCUACUUUCUAGUUUUAGUAUUAAAUUUAGUAUUUAAAAAUUGUGUUUAUGAAUAUGGCAGUUUCAGGUUUAGAAACCAAAACUGCCAUAUUCAUACUCUCUUAAGACAUUUUAAAAAUGUUAUCAUUUAGGUGGUGGCCUAGUGGUAAGAACUUGGGACCAAGAGGUUUGCUCCCUUUAUGGUUUCAGGUUCGAGCCCUAGGUUGCUCAUAUGAUGGCCACUGGAGGCUUACAUGGUCGUUAACUUCAGAGCCCGUGAGAUUAAUCAAGGUGCACGCAAGCUGGCCCGGACACCCACAUUAAACUAAAAAAAAAAAUGUGUGUAGAAAAAUACUUUCAGUGAUGAUUUAUAAUAAUGAAUAGAUUUAAUAUUUUAUUAGGUUACUUUAAUGAUAAAUCAAUAUAGUAUUUUUUUUAUUUUUUGGAUUUUCAUCUUGGGGAACUCAAUAGGAUGAAAAUAAAAUAUUAAUCAAACUUAAAAUUAUAAUUGUUUAUCUAUCGAAGUAAAAAAAAAAUAUGACAAUUCAGUAGUCUUUAAUGAAAUAAAAUUAAAAUAAAAAAUGUUAUUUAUGUCAUUAUAAGCACACUAUAUUAUAUUACUUUACAAAGGGACGAAGGACAUCCUUUGCAUUAGGAUGCUCCCACUCCACUACUUUCUCCCACCAUUCUUCUGGACAUGCAUCGAUGUUUCAAAGAGAAGGGGGAGGAGAUGGUUGGCUAUUUUCAAGCAACGGAAGACAAAUUGGUAUCCUCUUCAGCUUCUCACAAGAUGUUACAUCAAUAUCUUUAAGAGAAUUACAAAUCAGUUUUGCACUGGAAAUGCUUUUCAGUUCUGGUAAGCAAACCAAUUCCAGAGUUAUUAACUUUGGGAGAAUGACUUCCGUGAUGGAAUUGGAGGUGCUGCUUUCUUCAUCUGUUGUUCCUAUUAUCUCCUCCAUUUUCUUACAGAAACUCAAUUUAAUCCUUUCCAGGUUUACGAGGUUUGGCAGCAACACAAGCGGGAACAGCUUCUUCAUACUUUUACAGUCAUAACAAAAAAACCUUUUAAGACCAGAAAACGUACCGUUACAUGAUGGCAAUCGUGGUGGAGCAGAGCAGAACCAAGAAGAUGAAACCAAGCUCUCCAUGUUAUGGCAUUCCCGAAUGCUGAUGCGCUCCAGUUCAGUUGCAUUCUCUAAUGAUAAAACAUCACAUAAACUUCUUGCAUCGAUGCAUUCACAAAUCAGUCCUUGAAUGCCAUUUAAGAACUUGACCUGAAAAUCUCUAUCUCCGUUGAUACUCAAAUUACCCAACCCAACUGUUUUACUUGGAAAAGUUUCAAUGCAUUGCUCUAAAUAUCUACCCACCUCUCCUACUAAAAUCUUGCAUGUGCUUAAUGAUAGGAUCCCAUCCCGAGAUCUGAGAUACUCCACGAAGUCAAAAAAACCUUCGAAAUGGCACUCCAAAGUUUCCAAAUUUCUCAAGGAUCCUACUUCCUUUCCCUUAACUGUUAUCGGAGCAUCAUCUUGCGGCAUAAACUCUUCUAGUACAAAGACUUGCAGGUGAGAGAGUUUUGGUAAUAUCCCACUAGGAAACUCCUUUUCACCACAUCCAUUCAUUAUAAGAUACCUCAGGUUGGUUAGGCAUUCCAUUCCUUGCGGCAUCUUUUCAAGCCUAGUAUAAGAGAGAUCCAACCUCUUCAGUGCCGUGAGCUUUUUUAAUGAUGGAACAUGUUUUAAUUGACCACACUUACUGAGCAAUAAGGCAGUAAGAUUCACCAAAUCAGAAACAGAAUCUGGCAAAUUUUUAAUACCUGUGCGAGACAGAUCAAGGACCAUGAGCCUAUGCAAUUGCUUGAAAAAUGAAUCUGCAACAAAUCCCAACCCUUUAUUAUCACAUAGAAAUAGAGUUGACAGAUUUGGACACACUGGUGAAUGGUCGAAAGGAACUUCUUCAAUCUCGUUUUGCAUUAGUGAAACUAUUGUCAGAUUCUUCGUCCACUCCUCUGCAUUUGGCAACUCUUUUAACUGCGCACCUGCUUUAACCAUGCCUUGAGAGUUCUCUAGCAGUAUUUGGAUGGCCAUGUCCCUAAUCAAGUCAUGCAUCUUGACACAUCUAAUAUCAUCAUAAUCCAUUUGAGCACUUUCCAAUAGGCAGACAUAUUCAAGUCUAUUAAGCAUCGUGUGGCCCUCGUCAAAUGCAUCUUUCCUGCUCCUCAUUCCUUUAAUUAUUCCGACAUCGAUCAAAUAACCUAUCAGCUGCUCCCUCUUAAUCCUAUGAUCUUCAGGAAAUAAUGCACAGUACAAGAGACAUUUUUGGAGUGCUGAAUCACCUAGCCGUUCAUAACUAAACUUCAAUAACUUGAAUAAUUUCUUGUCCCUAAAUUCUGAUGCACUCAAUUUCAUCAAUGUACUUCUCCACUCAUGUAGAUCAUCCACUCCCAUCAAGCUUCCUGCCAUUGUAAUAAUUCCCAAUGGCAAACCAGCACAUUCCCUUGCAAUAUCUUUCGCAAUUCCUUCCACUUCUGAUGAAAGUGCUAUGUCACGUCCAAGUUUCUCAAUGAACAAAGUCCAAGCCUCUCCCUCAGAAAGUGGCUUCACCUUGAUUUUGUGGUGGCAAGCCAUCCGAUGACAAACCGUUUCUGAUCGAGUUGUCAUAAUCAGAUUGCAUCCUUUCAACGGGAUAGGAAUUCCCACUUCGUCAAGCUCAAAAUUGUUCCACAAAUCAUCUAAAAUGAGAAUCCAUUUUUGUUUCUUUAUUAGUUCUUCUGAUAAUUUGGCAGCUCUAUGCAGAUCAUCAUCUUCGCUUGAAAGGUCUAGAUGAAGACGUUUAGCAAUAAGAUUCUGCAAUCUAUUAAUGCUGAAAUCUUGAGACACAGUCACCCACCAAACAUGAUCACAAACAUCUGGUCUUUGUAGAAGCUCAUUAUGGAUAUGUUGCAGUAUUGUUGUUUUACCAACUCCCCCCAUCCCAUAAAUGCCAAUGGUUGGGACUUCAUCAUCCAUUAACAAAGACCAUAUCACCUUCGUAUUCUCUUCAAAUGCUUGACCCACUGGCUUUGUGGAGCUAGUAGGUAAUGGAACUCCUCUAGUCUCACUUGAGUUGUAUUUAAGGCUUAUAGAAGAUCUAGCUCCAGCUUCAGGCUGCACUAAUCUCCCACUAUUCUCCACGCCCUCCUCCUCCACUGGUUCUGUCCUCACUCUAACCAUGUUCUGCACAUCAUACAUAACGACAUCAUUGUUUACUGAUGGAGCAAAUAGUUGAUCAUAAUAUCUUCCAUGGUCAAGACACAAUGGAUCUGUUGGUUGGGAUGAAUCUCCUCGAGGCUCAUCAGCUUGAUUAAUUGAUGGCCUCUCACCAGAGCUACCUCUCUCCAGAUGCUGCACUUGUUCUGUUCUCGCUACAGUUUCAAAUCCAUCAUGCAGACGCUCCACAUCCUCAUCUUCCUGCAUUAAAUAGGUAGAGAUUUCAUUCAGCUUCUGCUCCUUUGAAAGGGCAGAGUGUAUCUGAACCCAAGUGCCAUCAGCAAAUUGAUCCACUAAAUCUGUUCCUGGUGUUGCUUCUCCUCUAUUCUCAUGAGCAUCAACUCUGAGUCUCCAAGGAGAGUCACUUCUGUCAACAUGCUGAAAAGAUCCUUCACCAGUGUAUUCCAUGUCACCUUGUUCCAUGCCUUGAACUCCCGCUUGCAUCCUUCCAGCAUCCCCUGCCAAAUUAACAAGUACUGCAUUGUCUUGUUCUUGUGGACAGGGGGAAAUGGCAUAAUCAUUAACAUUGCUUGAACUUGCAUAGCUAGAAAAGCUUUUAUGUCUUUUGUUGCCAACAUGCAUAGCUAGAAAGGCUGCUUCUUGAACUUCUUGAGGCACCUGACCACAAAUGCCAACACCACGCCCUCUCUCUCCUGAUAAAUGCCAUUUGAUCCUCGAAAUGGAAGUACCAUUGGCAAAUAAAUGCCCACAAAACUUACACUUCAUGCUUCCAUCAUUCAUAUCUUCAACUUCCUUCCAAAACGGAUCAUCUGAUCUAACCAUUUUGUCCUACAGAUAAAAAGGGUCAAAAUAUUGAAUAAAAAUUAAUGGAAGUACAUUAAUUAGAAAAGGAAGGUUGAAACUAAAAUAAUAAGUUCCAAACAGCAAAGAAACUAAGAAGAAAAAAAAAUGAAUUCAAGGUUAACUUGGGGUCAAUUUAUUAUGAACUCCUUAAGGCAUGGAUUGUUACAACUGAGAAAGAUCAAAUUAUUUAUUUUUGGAAGCUGUUGAUGAUCCUAACUCCAAAGUUUCUCAUUAGAAUUUCUACAACUUGUGUUUUCCUUGAAAGAUUCAAACCAGAGUUUCAUGUGAAAAACAAAAUGAAGAAGAUGGAGUAUAAAUAAUCUACCUGGAUUCAAGUUGUGCUCCAAGUGCUGGUUCGCUUAAGUAGUAUUCAGGAAGAAAAACAAGAACAGAGAAGAAUAUAUGGUUAAAAAUAACAAGGAAGUUGCAAGAUGUUUAGCUCCGGAUGAUUCGAUUCAAUCGGAAAAGGAAGCACUGAUCAUCAGAAAGGUUUAAGAAAUUUGAUGAGGGAAAUCGGGAAAUCAAUGGUAUAAUGAGAUGAGAUUUGGAGGAGAAGGUUACAGCAGCAAAGAUUAUUGUAUUGUUUGAGAAGAAGGAAGUUGCUAGAAAGAAAGCCACAAACUUUAUCUAAUUUGCUUUUCUUUUAUCUAGCGCUGCAUAUAAUUAAAAUCUUCAACAAAAGAAUUAGAAGCUAAUUGCUGACUGAGUUAACGUGUGGACCCACCCCAUUGUUGAAACUUUGAAAAAGCUAUGCCUCUCACUUCAUUAUCUGAUCCACAACUUCCAUUCCCUACAAAUUCAAUAUUUUUUUAAGGUCAGUAUUUAAAAAUAAAUGAACAAAUAAAUAAAAGCUACGCACCAAUAUUUAAUUUAAAUUUAAAUUUUGAUAUUUUGAUAUUAAAAGGGUCUCUAUCUCCACUCGCUGGCAACUCUUCUUUAAAACAAAAGGCGGAUGACAUGGAUAUGGCUUAGAAAUUAUAGAGAAUCUGUGAGUUCCAGUUUUGUAUAUAUCUUGGUGUGCUUCUCAUUAGUGAAAAAGGCUAAAUGCUGUUUAUUGCUUUUCUUUUGUCUAGCGUUGCAUAUAAUUAAAAACUUCAACAAAAGAAUCAGAAGCUAAUUGCUGGCUGAGUCAACGUGUCGACCCACCCCAUUGUUGAAACUUAGCUUCAAGAGCUGUAAGUACUAUGCUAUGAAUGAUGCCUCUCAUCAAUUUUAUCUAAAUGUUGUUUAUUGCAUUAGUGAAAAAGCUAAAUGCUGUUUAUUGCACGCUGCUAAUUGAGAAAUACAGAACUCAGUUCAACCCAGCAAGUUGCUGCAUCAGAGUUAGGUGUGUUUGGUAUUGCGGUAGCUUUUGUGGUUGUGGUUUGAAAAAAGUUAUUUUAUAAAAAGUACUUUUAGUUGAGGUUGGUUUGAAAAAAUAGGUGUUUGGUUAAAACUGUGGUUGAAAUUGAGGCUGAAAAAAAAGUAAUUUAAUGUGUUUGGUUAAAAAAAUGAUUUUCAAAUUGAGGUUAUAAAAUAAUUAAUAUAUAUAUAUAUAUAUAUAUAUUAAUACUAAUGAUUUUUAAUUUAAAUAUUGUAAAUUUAAUUACUUAUAUUACAUCAUGAAAUAAAAAAUAUUUUAUAUAAUUUUUUUAUUAUUAUUCCAUUAAACUAUUUAUAAUUCCAUUAUGUACAAAAUUUAUCUGAUAAGAAUUACAGUUUUCAUAAUUUUUUUAGCGUAGAUAAAAUAUUAUCAGGUAUAAAUUUGAUAUUACAAUGCGAGUGAAUUUAAUUCACUCUAUACUUGUUUUUUGGGAAAAAAAUAUUGUUCACAUCACAGUACGAGUGAAUUUAAUUCACUUUAAACUAGUGUUUUUUUUUUUUUUUUAAAUGUUAAAAAAUUUAAUACACUGAAAAAAAAAAACGUGAACAGUGCAUUAGUGUGCACUGUUUAACUAGUGUUUUUUUUUUUAAAAAAAAUAAAAAUGUUAAAAAAUUUAAUACACUAAAUAAAUAAGUGAACAGUACAUUAGUGUGCACUGUUUUACUAAUUUUUUUUUUUAAAAAAAAAACAAUUUAAAAAAAUUUAACACACUAAAAAAACAUGAACAGUGCAUUAGUGUGCACUGUUUAACUAUAUAUAUUUUUUUUAUAUAUAAAAAAAAUAAAAAUAUUAAAAAAUUUAAUACACUUAAAAAAAAUGUAUUAGUGUGCACUGUUCAUGGUAAUUGUACUGUUCAGUGAACAGUGCAAUUAGCAUGCACAGUGCGUGAAAAGCAUGAAUUCAUUGAUUUUCAUUACCUGCGGUCCGAACGUAAAAAACAUGUGGGACCCAUGAACAACAACUCGUUUUUUUCCAUUACCAAACGGCUGCCAACUGCGUACGCAGCCGCAACCGCUUACCCAAACACCAUCUUAAAACUCCAUAGCAGUCAGCACAAUCUAUGAAGAUAAAAUUGAAAACAAAACAAUCAAUGACUAAAAUUAAAAAAAUGCAUCUAAGGCUUAGAAAAAACUGAGAUAAAACACUAUUUUUCUCUCUUGAUACAUGGUAGAAGCCUGAGCAUAUUUAUUUAUUUUUAAUUUUAAUUUUAAUAAUAGUUGUGUUCUUUCUACCCCAAGAAAUCAAGAACGCUAAUUUCAUUAAACAAGAUUCUAAAGCCCGUAUUUAGAUAAAUUAGAAGAAAGGACUCCAACCCUAGCGCAAAAGACGUAUAAACUAGCCUAACAAAUCAUACCCAGAGAAGCAAUAUGUUUAUUGACAUAAAUAAUUCUAAAUUUAAUAAGUCUAUUUAAUAAAAAAAAAAUUGAGCUAGCUUGUUUCUGGCUUUUGCUUCUCUGGGUAUGAUUUGUUAGGCUAGUUUAUACUUUAUAGGUCUUUUGCGCUAGGGUACGUGGUUAAAAUCAAGGUUAUCAAUUUUGUUCCGUUUUAUUCUAUUCGGAAUGGCCGAAACAUUCUAUACCAAUUCAAAAAACAGAACAAAACGGAACAAAUUUCACAUCAUUCUAAAUCUCGGUCCGUUCCGGAUUUUUUGGCUAAAUUCCACCCGAAACUUUCCGGUUUCAUUCCACAUGUUCCGUUCCGCUCUUGAAAAGUCAUUGAAUGAAAUUGAACCUUACUCAAUUUCAUUAAUUAAACCACUCAAUUAUAAAAAGCUCUUUUUCAUUACUAUUUUCAAUAGCAAUGAUAUUAAUAAUAAUAUUGAAAUUUAUUAUUACUAUUUUCAUUAACAAUGAUAUUAAUUUUUUAAAAUUAGAUUUAUCACUAAUAUAUAUGGUUUAUAUUCAUGUUUUUUUUUAUGUUUAUACUUUGUAGGAAUUUGAGUAAAACAAUGGAUGUUUUAGAUUCCAUUAGCCACUUGAUAACAUUGACCUAACUUUACAUUUAAAAUAUUUUUGUUAAAACAAUGUACUUUCAUAAUAUUUUGAUAUUUUGUUUAAGUUGAAUUACUUUAAGUUAAAGAUCUAUUUAAUCUUGACUAUUUAGAAAUAUUUUAAAUUUUAAAAUUAUAUUUGUUUGGCAUUGUAUUUGUAUUGCAUAAUUUAUAAUUAAUUUAUCUUGAAUUUGAAUUAUGUUUGUUGAAUAUAUAUAUAUAUGAACAGUACAACCCCGAAACGGCACGCCGAAACACUCCGAAACUGAAACAUUUCAUUCCAAUUGAAAAAACGAGAUACCUACCGAAACGGAAUUGACAACCUUGGUUAAAAUAACUAAACACAUUGACUUUUAGCUACCCAACUAGCUUUUGUGAGAUUUAUUUAUUUUUUUAAAAAAAAUAUUUUAAAAAAAUAUAAAAUAUAAAUUUUUUAAUUUAAAAUUAAUAUUUUUUAUAUUUUCAGAUCAUUUUAAUGUACUGAUAUCAAAAAUAAUUUUUAAAAAUUCAAAAAAUAUUAUUUUAAUAUUUUUUCAAAUAAAAAAUACUUUAAAAAACAAUCAUAACUACACUUCCAAACAACUCUUUUUAACCCAAAAGAUCAAGUACAUGUCCCAAAUGCCAACAACCGAGCUUAAAAAGGUUUCAAACCCAUGGUGCCUUUUCGUUAUUAUAAAUAUAGAAUAAAAAUUAAGUCAAGGAGGUCCAGUCUUAAAUGCUCCAAACAUUAUCCAUGUCUCAAGCUUAUGUAUGAUCCAAGAAUUCAUAUUUAUUACAAAAUUAUAAUUUUAUAUGACUUUUUAUCUUUAUGAUUCAAGAAGUUUAUAUUGUAAAUUCAAGAAUUUUAAGUUUAUAGUCAAUUUUAUAAUUCAUAAAAAUACUUGAUCCCUGAAUUAGUUUUCUAAUUGUGUUCUUAAUCCCUGAAUUAGUUUUCUAAUUGUUUUGCAUAAAUUCUUAAGAAUAAAAAUAUUUUAACAAUAGUUUUUGUGCUAAAAAUGCUACUCUAUUCGACUUUUAAUUCAAAUUGUAUUUAUAUAGUUAAAUGUUUUUCUCUUUAAUAAAUCCAUUAUUGGAUUUGAAAUUUAUAACUUAUUUUAUAAUUUAAAAUGGAGAUUUGGUUUGUUUUUUAAGUUUUUUUAUUUUUGUAAAACUAAUUGAAAAAAUAAAAAAUUACAUCAAGUCAUGUUGGCUUAACUCGAAUCGGCAAGAUCAAAGACACAAGUAAAUAAUAAAUUUUAAUAUUUAUAGUUGAAGACCUGCGGAGCAAAAUCCGACUUUGAUCUAAAGCAUUGUACUGCAUUCCUUUAAAAUUUGAUAUUGUUUUUUUAAAAAAAAUUAAUUUUUUUUUAUAUUUUUAAAUUGUUUUGAUGUGUUGAUAUCAAAAAUAAUUUUUAAAAAAUAAAAAUAUAUAUUAUUUUAAUAUAUUUUUAAACAAAAAAUAUUUUAAACCAUAACUAUUAUUAUAUUACCAAACACACCCUCCCCGUUACUUUGUAUGGACCUCUUAAUUUCCAAGAGAACCUUAGCCAUUCCUUUAUGCAAGUGCACGCUUUGCCAAACAAUCCUUUAGGAUAAUGGGUUGCCCUCCGACGGCUUGCCAUAACAGGCCAGGACUAAUUUCGACUCUUCGUUGGCGAUAGCAGUGAUGGGAAUGAUGACACUUCUCUCCAUCCCAUAAAAAAGUAGUCCUUUUUGUUUGAAGAAUUUUCCCAAUUAGUCCUUUUAUUUUAGAUAUGUUCUUCAACAUGCUUUUAUAAGUUUAAUUACUCUUAAAUUGCCCUUAAGACAUUUUCUAAUCUAUCCUUUUAAUAAGUAUCUUUGUUUAAGCUAAUAAAGAUAUAAUUAUUAAUUACUUUACAAAACUCAAUCCUACCUAAUUUAUUAAAAAAAAGAAAAUUAAGAUUUGUUUUUAUGUUAAUUUUUUCUCAGGGUUAUCUGUAAAGAAGAAACUGUAUAUCUAACCAUUAACAUGUUAUUUAAUAAUUAAUUAAAUUUCAAAUCUUUUGUUCUAUUAAUUUUGACUUAAACUAAUAAAAUCAACCCAUGACACUAUCCAUUUUAUUAUUAAUUAAUUGUUUCUAAAUAAUAUUAUUUUAAUUUAAAAAAAUUCAAAAUUAUUGAAAGGAAACUAUAUUGAAUUGAUCUAUAUCAACUUGGGUUAAUUCACCAAACUUAUAAAUCAGUAAUGUAACAAACUAUUUUUAUAAAUUUAAUCACAUGUAAAUAAAGUUUAAUAAAUCUAGAGACACUAUUGAGUAAUUUGGGACCAAAGUCUAGGACUUCGAUAAUACUUAAAUAAUAGUAAUGUUCCUACAAUAACAAUGACGUUACAUAACUUAAAGAAUUGUUUUUUUUUGGGAUGUACCAAGCACAAAUAAUAAUAAUUCUGGAUGCAAAACACAGGCUGCAACGCCGAUGGAGCAAGAAAUUCCACCCCAAGAAAAAUCCAAAUCAAUGAGAGGCGAAGAGUUCUUGGUGUUUCUGCCAUUAUCAAUUUUAUUUUAUUUUUUACUCUCUUCAUGUGAGUAUAUAAACUAUCUUAACAUUUACAAUUCAAGCCAAAAUUGAUAAUGGCAGAAACACCAAGAACUCUUCGCCUCUCAUUGAACUUCGCCUCUCAUUGAAGACCAGGUUCCUCCUCGCCGCCCACUCCUUUGGGAUUUGCGCCGCCAGCCGUUCCGACCACACCGUAAACCGCAGCGUAUUGAACAUCUUCGACCCCAAGGCCGCUGCUUCCGCCAAACCAAUCAAUGGGGUCUCCUCUUUCGACAACACUAUUGACCCUACCCGCAACCUGUGGUUCCGCCUCUACGCCCCCACAUCCACCGCCACUACCGAUGCUCUGCCUGUGAUCAUAUUCUUUCAUGGUGGGGGCUUCGCAUUCAUGGCGGCUAACUCAAAAUCUUUUGACGUACUCUGCCGGCGACUUGCCCGUGAAAUUAAUGCAGUUGUUAUCUCUAUAAACUAUCGGCUUGCUCCUGAGUACAAGUACCCAUGCCAGUACGAGGAUGGCUUUGAUGCAUUGAAUUACAUCGAUGAAAUGACCUUUGAGAAUUUCCCAGCAAAUUUGGAUCUUGGAAGGUGUUUUAUUGCUGGUGAUAGUGCAGGAGGUAACGUGGCUCAUCAUGUCGUGCUCAAAGCUUGUGAACACACAUUUUCACUAUUUUCACACAUUUUCUAACGUGGCUCAAAUUUUUUUUAUUUAUUUAGAAAUGCAUUAAAUAAUAUAUUUUUUAUUUUUAAAAAAUUAUUUUUAAGAUUAACACAUCAAAACGAUCUGAAAACAUAAAAAAAUAAUUUUUAACAAAAAUAUUAAAAUUUAAGGAAAUUUGGUUUCAACCACGUUCACAAACACUCUAUUCAUGUUUUUUCAAUCACAAAGUUACUAUAAAAAUGCAUAUGUAUUUGGUAUUACAAUAUAAGGUAUUUUUCGUUUAAAAAUAUAUAAAAAUAAUAUAUUUUUUUAAUAUCAACUUAUCAAAAUUAUUGAAGAACAUUAAAAAAUCAUCAAUUUAAUGUUAUUUUAAAUCAAACCCAUUUUUAAAACAUAUUUAAAUGCAUUUUCAAACCCAAAAAUAAAUGAUAUUUUUAUAAUUAUAGUUCAGAAAACAAUCUCCUACAUCCAAGCACAAAAAGGUUUCGAAGUUAAAAAUAAUCUUAUAGAAGCAUGUGUAUCGUCUUAACUAUAGAUGUAGUAAGAUGAUUUGAUUUAGUAAAUAUGUAAUUUAAAAUCAGAUUCGGGUUAAGUUUUAAUUUAUACUUAGUUUUGGUUAAGUUUUAAUUUAUAGUAAUUUUGAUAUUAAUAUGGUUAAUCCUAAAUAAUCUUCCUACAAUCCAAUUUAGUCUUGUUAAAACUUAACCAAAUCAAAACUAGGAAAUAUCUUUCCUUCUAAAAAAAAAGGUUUUGAAAAUCCAGAUCGAUCCUCUAACUCAUAAAUUUGUAGGGCGGAAUCCGAGGACCGGUGAUGAACUGAUCUUUGCUUAUAAGAGGGCAAGCACACUAAGACACAAUAUUUUACGUGGUUCGGUAAAUCGCCUACAUCCACGGGAGAGGUCCAUUUUAUUAGAGAUAGAGAAAUGAUACAAUAAAUACAUGAAGGAGGAUCACAUCCACUCGACUCCCAUCUCUCAUUGCUACAAUGGCAGCAGGGCUGCUGCCCAUGGCAGCAACUCCUCUUUCUCUCUUUCUCUUUAUUGCACUCACAACUCUCUCUCACUCAGCUCUCAAAAUAUGCCUCAUUUUAUAGGCAAAUGGAUGAGCUUCUCCAGCACAUUUUGUCAACAUGGAGGGGACAAUAAAGCCUUAAAACAUGGCUUAAAACAUGGCACCAUUAGUGGCACUAAUGGUGCUUCCACUGGUUUGGUGGUGGGGUAUUGCCACUAAAUGACAAUAUCCUAACAAUCACCCCCUUUGUCAUUUAUGUGGCAAUUGUCCUCUUGCUUCUUCAGCACAAGCUUACCAUUCUGAGAGCAUCUGUGACCAAGUUUACAGGUACUCGCCCAACCUUUCAAUCACCAGAGUCACCAAAAAGCACACCUUUUCUCACACAAAAUGAUCACUUCAACCAGAUGGUCUCACACAUCACAUCUGAAGAGUGUUAACGCUUGUCUCUGGGAUACAACAUUCCCCUUCGAGCGUAUCAUUCAUGCUCGGUCCGGAAUGAUUCAUCAAGCCUCACACCAAGGCUUUCAACACCCCCUCAAACGGAAAUUUCCAUUUCCAAGUGCGACAGUCAUUAUCUGAGUAUCUCAAUAUGAUCACUAGCUCACCACUCUUCCAAGAGUCUACUUAUCCAGGAGUUGCGCCUGCCCUCUGUUACACCCUAGGAACCACACCUUACUUCUCCGUGAGUCUCUCGCUCUUAGUCUCAAGAGUCCAGGUAGCUUUCCACCUUUAACCAUAGGGACAACCCAUUAAAGGUUGAUCCAUAUAUGUCUUGAUACUCUGAGUAUCACAAUACCUUCACCGAGCUCACCACCUUGACAAGAGUCGACUUGUUCUCGGAACCUGCGCAUGCCCUCUGCUCCUUCAUAGCAGUCGCGUCUUAAUGCUCCACAAGUCAUCCACUUAUUGUCCAACGAAAAUGUUUUCUAGCUCAUUGAUCUUUAGCAUGGGGGCAAUAUCCAUGAAAAUCAAUCCUGCAUUUGUCUUCAUACUCAUCACAGCCACUUCAUUGGUCUUCAUGCUCCACAACUCCCAUCUCUCAUUGCUGCAAUGGCAGCAAGGCUGCUGCCAUCCUCUUUCUCUCUUCCUCUCUAUUGCACUCACAACUCUCUCUCACUUAGCUCUCAAAACAUGUCUCAUUUUAUAGGCAAAUGGAUGAGCUUCUCCAGCACAUUUUGUCAAUAUGGAAGGGAUAAUAAAGCCUUAAAACAUGGCUUAAAACAUGCCACCAUUAGUGGCACUAAUGGUGCUUCCACUUGUUUGGUGGUGGGAUAUUGCCACUAAAUAGCAAUAUCCUAACAAAAUUAACCGAGUGACUCGAGCUCUUUUCGAGAUUUUAAGAUCAGAUCACAGGCCAGUUCUGACUACUAUAAUCUCAAGUGACUGGCCCAAUUCAAAAUCAUGUUUUUGACGUUUCUCGUUGGAUCAAAGUGGGCUACCCUUUGUUCCUGAAUGCUGAAAGUUUACUAUUUUUUCACAGAGAUGAAAGCAAUUAGUAAAAGCAACUGAGCCAAGAAAUAUCCAACUAGCUUGAGCAUUUCUGGAAGAUUUAGUCUCUGUAUUAUUUCACUUCUCUGAAUAAUUUUUCAGGUUCCUUUUGCUGUUAUAUAAAAAUUGCUUUCUCUCAUGAGUCAAUAUCCAUUCUAUGAAAUUCUAGCGUUAGAGAGAGGUGAAAGUUUACACUUUGUAUACCAUGUUUGUUUGAUUUAAUAGCAGUGAUGACCCUUGAAAGAUUGCUCUAUAAAACAAUGUCCGGUCAUCUUUACAACUCAUUUUCACAAUCCUUCGCCGGCCCGCUGAAGAACUCUUUGAAGCUCAUCUGCCAUCCCUUGUAAGAGAACUGGUUUUCGGAUCAUUCCAUUCAUUCCCAUCUGCAGGCAUCUCUCCCAAACAUUAUCCUCAGCACUGGAAGUCACAGCUAUAAUCAAUGGCCAACUCCGACUCCGACUUCGGAUCUUCCGGAUUCGCGUUGCCACUUCGAACCCAUCCAUUUCUGGCAUUUGAAUAUCUAAGACAACUAGUCUGAAAGAGUUUCUGGCAUUUGAAUAUCUAAGACAACUAGUUUUGAAUGAUUAUUUAUCCUUAAAAGAUUUACACUUGAAAUACUUUUAUAAUGACGUGUUAAUUUAAUUGAUGAACUUAGUUCUUUUAUUCUUAUAAUUAAUAUCUUCAUAAUAAUUAACACAAUAAUAAAGUCAGUUGAGUUGCAUAAUAAUUCUAAAUCUUUCAUAUGAUAUUUAUAUUAAAAUACACAUCAAUUUAUCAAAACUCAUUUCAAUUAUAUAUAUAUAUAUAUAAUAAGUAUGUUGAUUAAAUUAUACUUAAUCAUGUCUAGACAUUUAAAUUAUUGCUACACACACACAUAAAAGUUGUAUAAACUCAUUAAGUCAAAUAUGUGAAACAAGUUUUAAUAUUAUACUCUAGUUUCAAAGAAGAGAAAAUACUAAAAAAGAGAAAGUAUAACUUAUGGGAUUUAAAUCCAUACCCUCUUCCAACUCCAAGCAUCUCGUUAACAAUUAAUUACAAAUAAAUUUGAUAUAAAAUGACAAUUAAUAUAUGUACAUUGUAAAUUAAGAGACCUCAAUUAAAUAAUUAAUCCAUAAUUAUAAUGAACUAAGAAACCUUAGUUAAAUAAUUUUAAUAAUCUACUCUGUCAAUACAAGAGAUGCAAAAAAUAGUGAUUUUGCAUGAACAUUAAUUUAUUUAUUUAUAAUAAAAAAAUAUUUAAUUGAUUAAAUUAAAAAAUUCAAACAUUUAUUUUGAACAUAUUUGAACACAUUCAUAUCAAAACCCCUAAAUUAUCAUAAACUCUAAUAUCUUUAAUAACUAAUUAUAAAAAAAUAAUAAAAAAAUAAAAUUAAAUAAUGAACUAAAUAAAAAAGAUAAAAAAAAAAAAUCUUACCUAAAACAUAAAGUAAAAGAAGUUACUGGACUUGAAAAAAAAUUUAUGUAAAAAUAAGAGGAGGCAACAACAACUUAAAAGGAAAAAAAAGAAAAAAAACUCUCUGUUAAUCAGUAAAAAAAAAAAAAGGAAAAACUUUAAGUAAAUGAGCCGGAAAUAUAUAUAUUAUAUAUUAUAUUAAAAUAUAAUUAAACAAUAACUCCACUUUUCAUGUAUCAAACCCUCCCCAAAUUAUUAUAUUGAUAUCCUAAUAUAAUAAACAUUUAAAAAAAAAUUAAGGGGGCAAUUGCCCCCUUUUGCACCCAUGUGGCUCCGCCACUGACUGUCCAAGACAGAUCGAGGACCUUGAGCCCAUGCAAUUGCUUGAAAAAUGAAUCCGCAACAAAUCUCAACCAUUUAUUAUCACGUAGAAAUAGAGUUGAUAGAUAGGGACACCGUGGUGAAUAGCUGGAAGGAAUUUCUUUGAUCUUGUUUUGCAUUAGUGAGACUCUUGUGAGAUUCUCCGUCCACUCCUCUACAUCUGGCAACUCUUUCAAUUGCGCACCUGCUUUAACCAUGACUUGAGAGUUGUCUUGUAGAAUUUGGAUGGCCAUGUCCCUAAUCAAGUCAUGCAUCUUGACACGUCUACUACCAUCACCAUCCAUUUUAGCAUUUUCCAAUAGGCAAACAUUUUCAAGUCUAUUAAGCAUCGUGUGGCCCUCAUCAAAUGCAUCUCCCCUGCUCCUCAUUCCUUUAAUUAUUCCCUCAUCGAUCAAAUAAUUAACCUAUCAACUCCUUCCUUUCAAUCUCAUGAUCUACAGGAAAUAAUGCACAGUACAAGAGACAUUGCUUUAGUGCUGAUUCACCUAACCGAUCAUAACUAAACCUCAAUAACUUGAAUACCUUCUCAUCCAUGUCCCUAAAUUCUGAUUCUCUCAAUUUCUUCAAUGUAUUCCUCCAAUCAUGUAGAUCAUCCACUCCCCUCAAGCUUCCUGCCAUUGUAAUAAUUCCCAACGGCAAACCAUCACAUUCUCUAGCAAUAGCUUUUGCAAUUCGUUCCACUUCAGGUAAAAGUGUGAUGUCAUGUCCAAGUUUCUUCAUGAAUAAAGUCCAAGCUUCUCCCUCAAAAGUGACUUCACUUUGAUUUUGGGGUGGCAAGCCAUCUGAUGACAAACUAUUUUUAAUCGAGUUAUCAUAAUCAGCUUGCAUCCUUUCAACGGGACAAGAAUUCCCACUUCCUCAAGCUCAAAAUUGUUCCACAAAUCAUCUAAAAUGAGAAUCCAUUUUUGUUUCUUCUUUAGUUCUUCACACAAUUUAGCAGCUCUAUGCAGAUCAUCAUCUUUGCUUGAAAGGAUUAGAUCAAGACGUGUAGCAAUAAGAUUCUGCAAUCUAUUAAUGCUGAAAUCUUGAGAUACAAUCACCCACCAAACAUGAUCACAAAUAUCUCGUCUUUGUAGAAGCUCAUUAUGGACAUGUUUUAGUAUUGUUGUUUUACCAACUCUUGAGAUACAAUCACCCACCAAACAAACAAAUAAUAAAAUAUUUUUGAACACUUAUCGGAACAAGAGGGAACUUCACUGCAGUAGAAAACUUCAACGCUUGAUUUGCUAUCCAAUCUGUACACCAGCUGGAUAGCAAUUUCUUUUCAUAACAUUUACCAGUGUAAAAACUUUUUACUUAUUUUUAGUUUUAAUAUCAAAUUCAGUCUUGAAUAUAAUUCUAAUAUCAAAUUUUACCUUAAAAAUUUCACUUAUUUUUAAUCAAUUAAAUUGAACAAAAUCACCUCUACAUUGAAUUGUUUUUUCUUCUUAGACCACAAGAGCUCCAUAACAAGCUUAUUGAAAUAAAUUAUCAAAUGAAAUUAAAAACAAAAAUGCUUUAUAAAAAAAAACAGUAAGACAUCUACCUUGUUUUUCACAAAAUUUCUAAGAAUAAAAAUAUUUUAUUAGAUGUCUUAGCUGAAUUCUAAACCAGCCUAUAAUAAAAUAAACAAAAACAAAUUAAAAAAAAAAAAAAACAGGCAAAACACCUUAGAUCACGUACUAUUGUAGUUUACAAUGAAAUAGGUGUGGAUAUAUAUAGUGAUUCUCCCAAGUCUCUUAGCUUUUCUCUUAAUGAAAAUUAAUAACCUUAUAAUAUCUUCCUAUUCGUAAGCUAUCUAUAAUUUGAUGUCAUGAGUGUUUUUCUUGAAGUUAUUCUAUUUAAUGUCAUGAGUGUUCUAUUGAGGAAAAAAAAACUGUAUUUAAUGUCAUGAGAUUUAGUAAUCAAAAUAUUUUUUUAUUUUUAAUAUUAAUAUAUUAAAAAAUAUUAAUUUAAUAUUUUUUUUCAAAAUAAACAUAUUUUUAAAUGCACUCAAACAUAAUUCUGAGUACAAAAACAAAUUAUGUUUUGAUUACGCGCAUAACAAUCAUAGCAGUAAGUAGCAUGAUCCUUUCCAAUUGAGUAAAUUAUAGGACUUUUUUGGCAGCCUUAUAUUAAGUAAAUUAAGAAUUAUUCUUUCCAAUUGAGUAAAUUAAGUACCAGGUAUUCAAUCUUCACAAACUUUAAUAUGUAUUAAGUCAUAUUUGUUUAAUUAGAUUUAUCAAGUUUGCUUAACUAAGAUGGAAUAUUUAUGAAUAUUUUAAUCUAUAGUGUUUUCUCUCCUGGUACAUAGUAAAAGCCUGGGUAGUUUUUUUUUUUUUAAUUUUAAUAAUAAUUCUGUUCUUUCUAACCCAAGAACGAACAAAAAAAGAAGAAGAGAAAUCACAGAUCAGAGAAGAAUAUAUGGCUUAGAAAAAUAAUAAAGUUGCAGUAUACAUAAAUCUAGUUCGCCCUGGUUAGAUGCGGAUAGAAAAUAAGUAAGUAUGUGGUUAUGGUUGUUUUUUAAAAUAUUUUUUAUAUAAAAAUAUAUUAAAAUGAUGUUUGAUUUAAAAAUAAUUUUGAUUUUUUUGAUACCAUAAAAAAAAUAUAUGUUGUUAAUUUUUAAAAGUGUGGUUUGUAUUUUUAAAAAAUUAUUUUUUAAUAAAAAUUCACUAUAUCUCCUAGCCAAAUACAUAUAUUAUAUUAUAAGAUAUAGAAAGUUAACAUGUGGACCCGCCUUAAUGUUGACACUUCGAAGAAGCUGCCAAGAAAAUGUAAACACAUGGAAGUUUCUAAAAAGAAUAGCAUAUUUCUGCAUGCUGUGAAUUUUUUAAAAAACAUUUUUAUUUAAAAAUAUAUUAAAAUAAUUUGUUUAAAUUAUAUAUUUUUUUAUCAACACAUCAAAAUAAUUUAAAAAUAUUAAAAAAUUAAAAUAUUUAAAAAAUAGGUUGUAACUGUAAAGAUAAACCAGUUUUGACAAUGCUAGAUUAAGUGUGCAAAUGAGAGUGAGGCUCCAAAUCUAAUUACGUAGCAAUUACUAAUUGGGAUAAAAAUAAAUUAAAAGACAAAUUACCAAUAUUCGCUUGCAGGUGUGUUUGGUAGAUCUUAUGCUUCUGCCUUUGAGUGUGUAUAUUAGCUUUACCAUGAAAUUUUUGUGAGACAAAUUAUAGUGAAUGUUUUUCUAUUUUACCAAUAUACCCAUGGUGUUUAUAUCAGAGUGAUGCUACAUGCUGAGGUGGAUAUUAGCAACAGAGGAAAGCAUACAAAAGUUACCAAAAAAAAAAAUUGAUAGCAAAGGCGAAAGCAUAUCAAGCUAACAAAAUCAACCCCACCAAUUCUCAAAUAUUCAGAUUUUAAAAAAAGCACAAUAUUUUAUUUGGUUUCAUUACAAAUUCAAUAUUUUUUUUAAGGUCAAUAUUUAGAAAUAAAUAAAUAAAUAAAUAAAAGCUGCCCAUCAAUAUUUAAUUUAAAUAACCUCAAAGACUACUAAUUUAACUUUCGUUAUUAAAAGGGCGCGCGUAUGUUGUUGGUCCCUGCCUAGUUGAUGGGGCAAAUUAAGACUAGGUCUUCAAUCUUCAUAAACUUACAUAUGUAUUAAGUUAGAUUUGUGUAAUUAGAUUUAUCUAGUUUGCUUAACAAACUUUCUAUGUUGUAUUAAUUUAAUUAUCACAAUUUCUAUGACAAUAACUAAAUUUAAUGUACUGCUCAUGUUCAUGUGUUGGGCUUUAUGCUUUCCGUUCUUCUUUGGAUUUUUCUUUGAAGUAUGGAAUUGGCAAUCCCAUUUCAAACCGACCCAAAUCCACCCAUUGUACAAGUAAUUUCAAUAUUAAUUAAUAAGAAUAUCCUUGUUUAUUUAAAGGACUAUUUUCAUCAUUCAUAUCCAAAAUAAUGAUGUUUUGCACAUAAGUUUUAACAAAAAUAAUUGAAAGAAUGAUAUAUUAUUGAAUAAGAGGAAAUUUAAGGUUACAAUCUAUUAGUAUUCUUACAACCAUAUCUUGUCAAACGUUACAAAGGGACGAAGGACAUCCUUUGCAUUAGGAUGCUCCCACUCCACUACUGUCUCCCACCAUUCUUCUGGAUGUACCUUGAUUUUUUUAAGAGAAGGGGGAGGAGAUGGCUGGCCAUUUUCAAGCAACGGAAGACAAAUUGCCAUCCUCUUCAGCUUCUCACAAUACUUUACGGUAAUAUCUUCGAGAGAAUUGCAAAUCAGUUUUGCACUACAAAUGCUUUUUAGUUCCGGUAAUGAAUGCAAUGUCAGAGUUCUUAACUUUGGGAGUGUUAAUUCCGUGAUGGAAUUGGAGGUGCUGCUUUCUUCAUCUGUUGUUCCUAUUAUCUCCUCCAUUUUCUUACAUGAUGUCACUUCAAUCCUUUCCAGGUUUACGAGGUUUGGCAGCAACACAAGUGGAACAACUUCUUCAUACUUCACAUCCAAACAAUAAAACUUUUAAGACCAGAAAACAUACCACUAUAUGAUGGCAAUGGUGGUGGAGCAGAGCAGAACCAAGAAGAUGAAACCAAGCUCUCCAUGCUAUCGCAAAUCCCAAUGCUGAUUUCCUCCAGUUCAGUUGCAUUCUCUAAUGACAAAACAUCACAUAAACUUCUUGCAUCGAUGCAUUCACAAACCAGUCCUUGAAUGCCAUUUAAGAACUUGACCUGAAAAUCUCUAUCUCCGUUGAUACUCAAAUUACCCAACCCAACUGUUUUACUUGGACACUUUUUAGUGACAUAAAAGAAUUUCAGAUUUCCUACUGAAAUUCUGUAUGUGUUUAAUGAUUGGAUCCCAUCCUGAGAUAUGAGAUACUCCACGAAGUCAGAGAAACCUUCGAAAUGGCAUUCCAAAGUUUCCAAAUUCCUCAAGGAUCCUACUUCCUUUCCUUUAACUGUUAUCGGAGCAUAACUGGUCCCCACAAGCUCUUCUAGUACAAAGACUUGCAGGUGAGAGAGUUUUGGUAAUAUCCCACUAGGAAACUCCUUUCCACCACAUCCAUUCAUUCUAAGAUACCUCAGGUUGGUUAGGCAUUCCAUUCCUUGCGGCAUCUUUUCAAGUGCAGUACGAGAGAGAUCCAACCUCUUCAGUUCCCUGAGCUUCUUUAGUGAUGGAGCAUGACUUAAGUUUUCACAAUAAUUGAGCAAUAAUGCUGUAAGACUCACCAAAUCAGAGACAGAGUCUGGCAAAUUUUUAAUACCUGUGCAAGACAGAUCGAGGACCUUGAGCCUAUGCAAUAGCUUGAAAAAUGAAUCCGCAAUAAAUCCCAAAAGAUGAUUUUCACAUAGCAAUAGAGUUGAUAGAUAAGGACACCUGGGUGAAUAGCUGGAAGGAAUUUCUUUAAUUUGGUUUUGCAUUAGUGAGACUCUUGUGAGAUUCUCUGUCCACUCCUCUGCAUCUGGCAAUUCUUUUAAUUGCGCACCUGCUUUAACCAUGACUUGAGAGUUGUCUUGCAGUAUUUGGAUGGCCAUGUCCCUAAUCAAGUCAUGCAUCUUGACACAUCUACUACCAACAUACUUCAUUUUAACACUUUCCAAUAGGCAGACAUUUUCAAGUCUAUUAAGCAUCGUGUGACCCUCGUCAAAUGUUGAUUGCCUACUUCUCAUUCCUUUAAUUAUUCCCUCAUCGAUCAAAUAACCUAUCAACUCCUCCCUUUCAAUCCAAUGAUCUUCAGGAAAUAAUGCACAGUAUAAGAGACAUUGUUGUAGUGUUACAUCACGUAACCGAUUAUAACUAACCCUCAAUACUUGGAAUACCUUCUCAACCAUGUCCCUAAAUUCUGAUUCGCUCAAUUUCUUCAAUGUAUUUCUCCACUCAUGUAGGUCAUCCACUCCCCUCAAGCUUCCUGCCACUGUAAUAAUUCCCAAUGGCAAACCAGCACAUUCCUUUGCAACAGCUUUCGCAAUUCGUUCCACUUCUGGUGAAAGCUAUGCACGUCCAAGUUUCUCCAUGAACAAAGUCCAAGCUUCUCCCUCAAAAGUGGCUUCCUUGAUUUUGCGGUGGCAAGCCAUCUGAUGACAAACCGUUUCUGAUCGAGUUGUCAUAAUCAGCUUGCAUCCUUUCAACGGGACAGGAAUUCCCACUUUGUGUAGCUCAAAAUUGUUCCACAAAUCAUCUAAAAUGAGAAUCCAUUUUUGUUUCUUCCUUAGUUCUUCUGACAAUUUGGCAGCUCUAUGCAAUCAUCAUCUUCGCUUGAAAGGUCUAGAUCAAGAGUUUAGCAAUAAGAUUCUGCAAUCUAUUAAUGCUGAAAUCUUGAGAUACAGUCACCCACCAAACAUGAUCACAAAUAUCUGUCUUUGUAGAAGCUCAUUAUGGAUAUGUUGCAGUAUUGUUGUUUUACCAACUCCCCCCAUCCCAUAAAUGCCAAUGGUUGGAACUUCAUCAUCCAUUAACAAAGACCAUAUCACCUUCUUAUUCUCUUCAAAUGCUCGACCCACUGGCUUUAUAGAGCUAGUAGGUAAUGGAACUCCUCUAGUCUCACUUGUGUUGUAUUUAAGGCUUAUAGAAGAUCUAGCUCCAGCGUCAGGCCGCACUGAUCUUCCACUAUUCUCCACUGGUUCUGUCCUCACUCUAACCAUGUUCUGCACAUCAUACAUAACGACAUCAUUGUUUACUGAUGGAGCAAAUAGUUGGGCAUAAUAUCUUCCAUGAUCAAGACACAAUGGAUCUGUUGGUUGGGAUGAAUCUCCUCGAGGCUCAUGAGCUUGAUUAAUUGAUGGCCUCUCACAAGAGCUACCUCUCUCCAGAUGCUGCACUUGUUCUGUUCUCGCUACAGUUUCAAAUCCAUCAUGCAGACGCUCCACAUCCUCAUCUUCCUGCAUUAAAUAGGUAGAGAUUUCAUUCAGCUGCUGCUCCUUCGAAAGGGCAGAGUGUAUCUGAACCCAAGUGCCAUCAACAAAUUGAUCCACUACAUCUGUUCCUUGUGUUGCUUCUCCUCUAUUCUCAUGAGCAUCAACUCUGAGUCUCCAAGGAGAGUCACUUCUGUCAACAUGCUGAAAAGAUCCUUCACCAGUGUAUUCCAUGUCAUUUGCCGCUUCUAAACGCGAAUGAUUUCUCUCAGGCCCAACACCUUGUUCCAUGCCUUGAACUCCCGCUUGCAUCCUUCCAGCAUCAUUAACAUUGCUUAAAUUUGCUAUGCCUUUAUGCCUUUUGUUGCCACCAUGCAUAGCUAGAAAGGCUGCUUCUUGAACUUCUUGAGGCACCUGACCACAAAUGCCAACACCAUGCCCUCUAUCUCCCGAUAAAUGCCAUUUGAUCCUCGAAAUGGAAGUACCAUUGGCAAAUAAAUGCCCACAAAACUUACACUUCAUGCUUCCGUCAUUCAUAUCUUCAACUUCAUUCCAAAACGGAUCAUCUGAUCUACCCAUUUUGUCCUAUAGAUAAAAAGGGUCAAAAUAUUGAAUAAAAAUUAAUGGAAGUACAUUAAUUGGAAAAGGAAGGUUGAAACUAAAAUAAUAAGUUACAAACAGCAAAGAAAGUAAGAAGAAAAAACAAUGAAUUCAAGGUUAACUUGGGGUCAAUUUAUUAUGAACUCCUUAAGGCAUGGAUUGUUACAACUGAGAAAGAUCAAAUUAUUUAUUUUUGGAAACUGUUGAUGAUCCUAACUCCAAAGUUUCUCAUUAGAAUUUCUACAACUUGUGUUUUCCUUGAAAGAUUCAAACCAGAGUUACAUGUGAAAAACAAAAUGAAGAAGAUGGAUUAUAAAUAAUUUACCUGGAUUCAAGUUGUGCUUCAAGUGCUGGUUUGCUUAAGCAGUAUUCAGCAAAAAAGACAAGAACAGAGAAGAAUAUACGGUUUAAAAAUAAGAAGGAAGUUGCAAGAUGUUGAGCUCCAGAUGAUUCGAUUCAAUCACAAAAGGAAGCACUGAUCAUCAGAAAGGCUUAAGAAAUUUGAUGAGGGAAAUCGGGAAAUCAAUGGUAUAAUGAGAUGAGAUUUGGAGGAGAAUGUUAUAGCAGCGAAGAUUAUUGUAUUGUUUGAGAAGAAGGAAGUUGCUAGGAAGGAAGCCACAAACUUUACCUACCAAAGAUUAUAUUAUAAGAUAUGGCAAGUUGCUGGACACCUCAAAUUUGCAUUGCUUUUGUCUAGCGAUGCAUAUAAUUAAAAACUUCAACAAAAGAAUCAGAAGCUAAUUGCUGGCCGAGUUAACGUGUAGACCCACCUUAUUGUUGAAACUUUGAAAAAGCUGACCUGAAAAUGUAAGAGCCUGAAGCUUAGCUUCAAGAACUGUAAGUACUAUGCUAUGAAUGAUGCCUCUCACUCCUCCCCCAUCAAUUUUAUCUAAAUGCUGUUUAUUGCACGCUGCUAGUUGGGAUAUACAGAACUCAGUUCAACCCAGCAAGUCGCUGCAUCAGAGUUAAAACUCCAUAGCAGUCAGCACAAUCUAUGAAGAUAAAAUUGAAAACAAAACAAUCAAUGACUAAAAUUAAAAAAAUGCAUCUAAGGCUUAGAAAAAACUGAGAUAAAACACUAUUUUUCUCUCUUGAUACAUGGUAGAAGCCUGAGCAUAUUUAUUUAUUUAUAAUUUUAAUUUUAAUAAUAGUUGUGUUCUUUCUACCCCAAGAAAUCAAAAACGCUAAUUUCAUUAAACAAGAUUCUAAAAGCCCAUAUUUAGAUAAAUUAGAAGAAAGGACUCCAACCCUAGCGCAAAAGACCUAUAAACUAGCCUAACAAAUCAUACCCAGAGAAGCAAUAUGUUUAUUGACAUAAAAAUUCUAAAUUUAAUAAGUCUAUUUAAUAAAAAAAAAAAUUGAGCUAACUUGUUUCUGGCUUUUGCUUCUCUGGGUAUGAUUUGUUAGGCUAGUUUAUACUUUAUAGGUCUUUUGCGCUAGGGUUGGAGUCCUUUCUUUAUAUAUAUAUAUAUAAAACGUGGUUAAAAUAACGAAACACAUUGACUAGCUUUUGUUAGCUUUAUUUGUUUUUUUGUUUUAAAAAUAUAUUUAAAAAAUUAAAAUUAAAAUUUUUUUAUUUUAAAUUAAUAUUUUUUAUUUUUUAAAUCAUUUUGAUGUACUGAUAUCAAAAAUAAUUUUUUAAAAAUUAAAAAAUAUUAUUUUAAUAUUUUUUCAAAUAAAAAAUACUUUAAAAAACAAUCAUAACCACACUUUCGAGCAUAACAAGGUUUCAAACCCAUGGUGCCUUUUCCUUAUUAUAAAUAUAGAAAAAAAAUUAAGUCAAGGAGGUCCAAUCUAAAAUGCUCCAAACAUUAUCCAUGUCUCAAGCUUAUGUAUGAUCCAAGAAUUCAUAUUUAUUACAAAAUUAUAAUUUUAUAUGAGUUUUUAUCGUUAUGAUUCAAGAAGUUUAUAUUGUAAAUUCAAGAAUUUUAAGUUUAUAGUCAAUUUUAUAAUUCAUAAAAUAUUUGAUCCCUGAAUUAGUUUUCUAAUUGUGUUCUUAAUCCCUUUAUUAAUUAGUUUUCUAAUUGUUUUGCAUAAAUUCUUAAGAAUAAAAAUAUUUUAACAAUAGUUUUUGUGCUAAAAAUGCUACUCUAUUCGACUUUUAAUUCAAAUUGUAUUUAUAUAGUUAAAUGUUUUUCUCUUUAAUAAAUCCAUUAUUGGAUUUGAAAUUUAUAACUUAUUUUAUAAUUCAAAAUGGAGAUUUGGUUUGUUUUUUAUUUUUGUAAAACUAAUUGAAAAAAUAAAAAAUUACAUCAAAUCAUGUUGGCUUAACUCGAAUCGGCAAGAUCAAAGACACGAGUGAAUAAUAUUUUAAUAUUCAUAGUUGAAGACCGGUGGAGCAAAAUCUGACUCUGAUCUAGAGCGUUGCACUGCAUUCCUUUAAAAUUUGAUAUUGUUUUUUCUUAAUUAAUUUUUUUUAUAUUUUUAAAUUGUUUUGAUAUGGUAAUGUCAAAAAUAAUUUUUAAAAAAUAAAAAAAUAUAUAUAUUUUUAAACAAAAAAUAUUUUAAACCAUAACUAUUAUUAUAUUACCAAACACACCCUCCCCGUUACUUUGUAUAGACCUCUUAAUUUCCAAGAGAACCUUAGCCAUUCAUUUAUGCAAGUGCACGCUUUGCCAAACAAUCCUUUAGGAUAAUGGGUUGCCCUCCGACGGCUUGCCAUAACAGGCCAGGACUAAUUUCGACUCUUCGUUGGCGAUAGCAGUGAUGGGAAUGAUGACACUUCUCUCCAUCCCAUAAAAAAGUAGUCCUUUUUGUUUGAAGAAUUUUCCCAAUUAGUCCUUUUAUUUUAGAUAUGGUCUUCAACAUGCUUUUAUAAGUUUAAUUACUCUUAAAUUGCCCUUAAGACAUUUUCUAAUCUAUCCUUUUAAUAAGUAUCUUUGUUUAAGCUAAUAAAGAUAUAAUUAUUAAUUACUUUAAAAAACUCAAUCCUACCUAAUUUAUUAAAAAAAAGAAAAUUAAGAUUUAUUUUUAUGUUAAUUUUUUCUCAGGGUUAUCUGUAAAGAAGAAACUGUAUAUCUAACCAUUAAAAAUGUUAUUUAAUAAUUAAUUAAAUUUCAAAUCUUUUGUUUUAUUAAUUUUGACUUAAACUAAUAAAAUCAACCCAUGACACUAUCGAUUUUAUUAUUAAUUAAUUUUUCCUAAAUAAUAUUAUUUUAAUUUUAAAAAAAUUCAAAAUUCUUGAAAGGAAACUAUAUUAAAUUGAUUUAUAUCAACUUGAGUUAAUUCACCAAACUCAUAAAUCAGUAAUGUAACAAACUAUUUUUAUAAAUUUAAUCACAUGUAAAUAAAGUUUAAUAAAUCUAGAGACACUAUUGAGUAAUUUGGGACCAAAGUCUAGGACUUCGAUAAUACUUAAAUAAUAGUAAUGUUCCUACAAUAACAAUGACGUUACAUAACUUAAAGAAUUGUUUUUUUUUUUUGGAUGUACAAAGCACAAAUAAUAAUAAUUCUGGAUGCAAAACACAGGCUGCAACGCAGAUGGAGCAAGAAAUUCCACCCCAAGAAAAAUCCAAACCAAUGAGAGGCGAAGAGUUCUUGGUGUUUCUGCCAUUAUCAUUUUUAUUUUAUUUUUUACUCUCUUCAUGUGAGUAUAUAAACUAUCUUAACAUUUACAAUUCAAGCCAAAAUUGAUAAUGGCAGAAACACCAAGAACUCUUCGCCUCUCAUUGAAGACCAGGUUCCUCCUCGCCGCCCACUCCUUUGGGAUUCGCGCCGCCAGCCGUUCCGACCACACCGUAAACCGCAGCGUAUUGAACAUCUUCGACCCCAAGGCCGCUGCUUCCGCCAAACCAAUCAAUGGGGUCUCCUCUUUCGACGACACUAUUGACCCUACCCGCAACCUGUGGUUCCGCCUCUACGCCCCCACAUCCACCACCACUACCGAUGCUCUGCCUGUGAUCAUAUUCUUUCAUGGUGGGGGCUUCGCAUUCAUGGCGGCUAACUCAAAAUCUUUUGACGUACUCUGCCGGCGACUUGCCCGUGAAAUUAAUGCAGUUGUUAUCUCUAUAAACUAUCGGCUUGCUCCUGAGUACAAGUACCCAUGCCAGUACGAAGAUGGCUUUGAUGCAUUGAAUUACAUCGAUGAAAUGACCUUUGAGAAUUUCCCAGCAAAUUUGGAUCUUGGAAGGUGUUUUAUUGCCGGUGAUAGUGCAGGAGGUAACGUGGCUCAUCAUGUCGUGCUCAAAGCUUGUGAACACACAUUUUCUAACAUAAAGAUCAAGGGACUCAUAGCAAUGCAGCCAUUUUUCGGAGGGGAAGAAAGAACAGAAUCAGAAAUCAAGCUUGUUGGGGUUCCUUUAAUAUCAGUGGAAGGUACAGACUGGAUGUGGAAGGCGUUUCUGCCUGAGGGAUCGGACCGAAACCACUCGGUGGUUAAUGUUUUCGGACCAAAUGCGGUGGAUAUUUCAGGCGUGAAGUUCCCUGCGACGUUACUCUUUGUCGGAGGGUUCGAUCCCUUGCAAGAUUGGCAGAAGAGGUACCAUGAGGGGCUGAAGAAAUCUGGGAAAGAAGUACAUUUGGUAGAGUAUCCAAAUGCUUUUCAUGGGUUUUAUUGCCUGCCUGAAUCGCCUGAAUGUUCUUUGUUGAUCGGUGAGGUGAAGAGUUUUGUGCAAAAGCAGUCAUCUCUUACAUAGGGUGAGGAGACGACGAUCUCUAUUUUAGUAUUAUAUCUUAUUUUAUUCACAUUCAAUAAUUAAAUCGUAUUUAAAUUGCAAUGAUUUUGUUUACUAUUGAAGAUAGAUUAUUAUGUGUGUAUUGAAUUGUUCAAUUAUUUGAUGUAUUAGAUUUGACUUUUGAGGGAACGCUAAUUUGUUUUAAAUGCUGGAAGUACGUCUGGUUGGAAAAAUAUUAAAUUAAUAUUGUGUUUAGGUAUUUUUUAAUAUAUUAAUAUAAAAAUAUAUUUUUAAUUAAAUAGCAACAUUAAAAAAAUAUUUUGCUUUCCAUUACCAAUCACACUAAAAUAAUGUUGUGUCCUUUUAGCCAUUUGGUGAGGAAUGGUGAUGGUCGUUUUUUGUUUUUUUUGUUUAUACUAAUUCAAAAGUUGUGGGGUUGCCAUGUUAAAUUUCUAUUUUUAAUUGAAUAAUAUUCUUUUAAAGAAAAAACUUGCACAACAUUUUUUUUAAAUAAAAAAAAUCUUUGAAGUUGAUACUACUUAGAUUUCACUUAGAUCAAUCGAGCCACCAAUUGAUCCGUUAAGUUUCUUGAAUAUUAAUUAAUUUAUUAAGUUAUUUAAAUUCAAACUCGGUUUAAAUCAGAUUUCAAAUCAGUAACGUCACCGAGUUACCCAGCUAGCUGGUUUUUGGAGGCUGUGUUUUUGUACAUGUGGAGGGGAAGGGAAAUAAUGUACAAUGAAAUGUGCAUGACAACUGGGUUGAUGGUUGAUGGUUGAUAGUUUGACACAGUUCAUUUUUCAUUGUAUGUGGGAGAGAAGCAAUGAAGAAGAGAAGAGGAAAAGAUGCCAAGAAAUAAAACGAAGACUUAUUGGAUGUUUGGUCUUAUUAGCAUAGCUAGUUGGAAGUGUACUGUUUCAUCUUUCAUGUGGCUUAUCACGUAUCAAAACUUCGGAUUUGUUUGGAAUUAUAGUAGUGAUUGUGGUUUAAAGUGUUUUUUUUUAUCUAAAAAUAUAUUAAAAUAAUAUAUUUUUUUAUUUUUUUUAAAUUAUUUUUGAGCUUAACACAUCUAAAUGAUUUAAAACAUAAAAAAAAAUUUAACAAAAACAAAAUUGAAAUUUGAGGGAAUGUGAUUUCAACCGCGUUCUCAAACGCUUUCUUCAUGUUUUUUCAAUCACAAAGUUACUAUAAAAAUACAUGUGUAUUUGGUAUUAUAAUAUAAGAUUUUUUUCGCUUAAAAAUAUAUAAAAAUAAUAUUUUUUUUAAAUAUCAACUUAUCAAAAUCAUUGAAAAAUAUUAAAAAAUCAUCAAUCUAAUAUUAUUUUGAAUCAAACCCAUUUUUAAAACAUACUUAAAUGCAUUUUCAAACCCAAAAAUAAAUAAUAUCUUUAUAAUUAUAGUUUAGAAAACAAUCUCCUACAUCCAAGCAUAAAAAGGUUUCGAAGUUAAAAAUAAUCUUAUAGAAGCAUGUGUAUCGUCUUAACUAUAGAUGUAGUAAGAUGAUUUGAUUUAGUAAAUAUGUAAUUUAAAAUCAGAUUCGGGUUAAGUUUUAAUUUACACUUAGUUUUGGUUAAGUUUUAAUUUAUAUUAAUUUUGAUAUUAAUAUGGUUAAUCCCAAAUAAUCUUCCUACAAUCCAAUUUACUCUUGUUAAAACUUAACCACAUCAGAACCAGAAGAGUAGAGGAAAAACAGAAACAUAAAGCCUGCCAAUCAUCGUCUUCGCCACAGCACCUGAGCCAGCAAAACAGAGGAAGAAGGGCAGGGGAAACAGGCCAAGAACCACAAAAAAUGGAGGACGAACAGUCACAAUAAAAAGAAGAACCACCCGAGAGAACCGGCUUCGUCUUCAUCUUCAAGAGCAGCAGAUCACAUGUAAUCUUCCCUUUGCAUUUUAAUUCACUGCUACAGUGGUAGUGAAUUAUAAUUCACUUGCUACUGUAGCAAGUGAAUAAUAAUUUAUUGGCUCAGCUGUAUUCUCGUUGAACAGCUGAGGGUGUGUAGAAAAAAGGAAAGUGUUUUCCUUUCUUUAACAGAAGGAAAACACUUUCCUUUAGCAAUGUUAUUAUUUUUAGGUUGACUGGAAUUCAUUUUUCUUUGACUAUUUUUCCUUGUUGUCGCCAAACAUAGGAAACGCAGGAAAGUGAAUUCCAGGAAUUCACUUUCCUGCAAUCAAACACGGCCUAAAAAAAAAAGUUUUGAAAAUCCAGAUUGAUCCUGUAACUCAUAAAUUAACCAAGUGACUUGAGCUCUUUUCGAGAUUUUAAGAUCAGAUCCCAGGCCAGUUCUGACUACUAUAAUCUCCAGUGACUGGCCCAAUUCAAAAUCAUGUUUUUGACGUUUCUCGUUGGAUCAAAGUGGGCUACCCUUUGUUCCUGAAUGCUGAAAGUCUACUAUUUUUUCACAGAGAUGAAAGCAAUUAGUAAAAGCAACUGAGCCAAGAAAUAUCCAACUAGCUUGAGCACAUCUGGAAGAUUUAGUCUCUGUAUUAUUUCACUUCUCUUAAUAAUUUUUCAGGUUCCUUUUGCUGUUAUAUAAAAAUUGCUUUCUCUCACGAGUCAAUAUCCAUUCUAUGAAAUUCUAGCGUUAGAGAGAGGUAAAAGUUUACAAUUUGUAUACCAUGAAGUAUAACGCUAAGAGUUAAACAUCUACAUGCUGGAUUUGUUUGAUUUAAUAGCAGUGAUGACCCUUGAAAGGUUGCCCUAUAAAACAAUGUCCGGUCAUCUUUACAACUUAUUUUCACAAUCCUUCGCCGGCUCGCUGAAGAACUCUUUGAAGCUCAUCUGCCAUCCCUUGUAAGAGAACUGGUUUUCGGAUCAUUCCAUUCAUUCCCAUCUGCAGGUAUCUCUCCCAAACAUUAUCCUCAGCACUGGAAGUCACAGCUAUAAUCAAUGGCCAACUCCGACUCCGACUUCGGAUCUUCCGGAUUCGCGUUGCCACUUCGAACCCAUCCAUUUCAGGCAUUUGAAUAUCUAAGACAACUAGUCUGAAAGAAUUUUCUGCAGAGCUAAGAGCACUAAGGCAUUCAAAUCCGGAUGAAACAGCAGUCACUUCACAACCUAACUUCUCAAGCAACUUCUUGGUAAUGGUUCUGUUUAAAGCAUCAUCGUCAGCAAGUAUAACACGAAGGCCUCUGAACUGAGGAAUGGAACUUGGUUGUUCUGAGGAAAGUCCUGAGGCAAAUGCGGCUCUUCCAUAAGAUGGUCGGAUUUGAAACCGAAGAACCAGAGUCAUGCUUUGUGCAAAACCCGGAGGGUUCAAAGAUAUCCAGAUAUUACCUUGCAUCAUCUGCAUAUACACUUCUUCUUAAUAUUGUUUCAUAUAGUAUAGUUCAUGCAUCUUAAAUCUGCUACAGGAAGAUAAACUGGAAAAAGAAAACAAAGCUCUUUAUUUCAAGUAUGCUUUCAUAAAAGCCACAGCGCAAACAGAGGCAUGAUAUAGCACCAAAUCAUUUAUAACCCAACCCCCCCUAAAAAAUAAAAUAAAAUAAAAAGCUUUUGAGUCCUAUAUGGAGGUGGCACCAACUGAAAAACAAAUGAGAUAUGGAUGAAGAGUCCAUUUGGUAUGACUUAUAGAGAAUCUUUUUUGACUUCGAGUCAUAAUUCUAAAGUUAAUUGUCAUGAAUGACUUCUGACAAAAAUAAUUUAAGUUGGAAAUAUCUUUGGGAGGCAUUGGCCGAGAACAAUUUCUUUUAGAAAUGGAGAUGGUAAAAAUUAGAAUCAAUAGGUUACAAGUUAGAAAUUUCAACUUUUAACUUGAUUGUAGAAAUAAGUUUUUGAUUCAAGAAAGUUAUUUCAAACCAAACAUAUGGUUUUUCUUUGAGUAAAAAACAAAUAAAAACUUAGAUAAUUUGCAAAAGUCAUGCCAAACGAAAUCUAAGUUGAGUAAUAUUUAGUGAGGUUAUUUGGAAGCGGAAGUGCGUUAUAAUUUCCAGAAAUGGAACUAGCUAAGAGAGAUUACCCAUGGAACAAGGUCAUAAUGAAACAUUCUGCAAGGGGAGAAUGCCUCAAAUCUCAUCAGAUGCAUUUACAAGAAGUUGUAAACUUAGAAAAGAAAGUUUUCUUUCAUAAAUUUUACUAGCAAUUCUCUAGCUCUGUGCAAUGCAUUUUCAUCUCUAGAUUUAGGUGCAUAAAAUGGCAUCAUUUCACCUCACAGGGUGUCUGCUGCCAUUGCCUCUGUUGCACAAUAAUGCAGCAAUAAUUAUCAACUACUGGCAUGUGUAGUCCACGUAGAUAAAAAUAAUAUUUGAUGCCUCACCUGUACAAGCUUUUUGCACAUGAUGAAGCCCAGACCCUCAGCUUCAGCACUGUUUUGCCUCCUACCAGAAGAAUUUGUGGAUGAGCUAGCUCCAUCUGAUAGAGAACUUCCUUCUCUGAUCUCCAUGUCAAACUUUAUACAUACAAACUCAUCAGGAGCAUUUGAUUUCCACAUCCCCAACAUUCUAUCUGUCUUGCCCACGCUAUCACUCUCUGAAAAAACUCGAAAUAUGACAUUCCCCCCUCCAUCAUAGAUAUUUAAAAGAUAUCCGACCAUGUGUAAAAUAACUUGAAAGGCCCUUCUUUCAUCUCCUAUCACUAGAUCAGGCAAAGAACUUUGAACAUCAAGUUCAAAAUCAAAACCUUUAUACACACACAAGCACUUAGCAAGGCAACAAGCUUCUUUGAUCAUGGAGCGUAGACGAAAGGGCACCUUCCGGUGUUAUCUUCUGCUGAAAUAUCCAUCACAUCGUUAAUCAAAGUUGAAAGCACAUUGCUGGUUUUCACCAAUGUGUCAAUAACAAUCCUUUGCUCGACGCCCAUAUUAUCAUUUUGGAACAUAGAAAGCAAUCCCAGGAUUGAGUGCAUUGGAACAUAGAAAGCAAGUGGGAUAUCCAAUUUGCUAAAGUGGUGGGGGCCUAUGUAGUGCUACGCUGUAUUUUGAAUUAUUAUUAUUUUUAAUAUAACAAAGAUAUCCUAAUAAUAAUAGCUUUUAAAAGCAACAAUAAAAAUUUGAAAUUUAGGUUAUUAAUUGAUUCGAAUGGAUUUAAUAAAUUCGAUUAAUUUAUUAAUAUAUAUAUAUAUAAACAAAUGAUAAAAAACAAUAAUGAUUAAUUAGAAAAAAUAAACGCUUGUUAAUAUUACAAAAGAUACCCUCUAAAUAUUUUUAAAAUGAUCUCAACGAUCUUAUUUUAUUACAACAUAAAAAUUCAAUGAGAAUGAGAUUACAUCAUGAAAAGAAAAAUGAAAGAAAUAUGAUGCUCAAUUACCAGCAAAGCAAAGAUUGAAAAUAAACUAGAAAAAAAACAUCAAUUUCAAAAAAGAAAAAAAAAACAUACUCGAGUUAGGAUGUCAAAUCAUGACCAGGAUAAGCCUACAUAUAAGAAUCGAAUAAAACAAUGGAGGUCAACUCUCAAGCAAACUAAAUGAUGAAAGAUAAAACUAGAAAAAAAAAAAAACAAGUGUCAACCUAGGUUAACUCAACUAAAUUGUGACACAGGAUAUAAGAUCGGAAUAAUUCUAUAAAAAAAAAAGCGAAGAAAAUCAUGAAACUCAAGGCUCAAUAACCCAAUAUUGAAGGAUAUUGAAAAAAUAAUCAUUUUUUUAAUAACCUAAAAAAAACUAAAGGUAAAUCGAACUAAUAUAUAAAACAAACUAGCAUGUCAUUUUCCUGCUAUUCAGGAUUUUAUGCAAUGAAAUCAUUCAUGCUAAAAAAACUAUCUUAACUCAAUAAUUUAAGCAUUUAGGCAAGGUUUCAGGAUAUAAUAUAUAUUAUUCUCUAAUACAUUUCCUCAAGUGAAAGCCUUUUGAGCUUGAAACUUAUAUAAAAUCAUAUUAUCUUAUACUUAAUUUUUACCAAAUAAAUAAGAAUGGUAAUAUUCAAACUCGUGACCGUUUGGUCAUUAAAAUUCUGAUAUCACCAUCUUAAUUUAAUAAUUUAAAUUAUUAAAUAAAAUUUUAAGAUAUAAUUUAUAUUAUUCCAUAAUAUUAUAGUAAUUUAAACCUAGCCACUGGCUAGGGGCACCCAACUAGCUAGGGAUGCGAUGAACCUUUUUUUGACGGCCUUGUAACCCAGUAUAUUGCAAAAAUAACAGUGCUCCUAGCCCAAGCCGGCCAACAUCACCCCCAGCAGAUUGGAAAAAAUGCUCAUAACCAUUUCGGAAAAAACACACCUAGGCUACUAUGGUAUGCUAAAAAGUGGAAAUAAAUCGAUAAUAAUCAUGAAAUAAAUCGUAAGCAGAAACCGAAAAAAAUAAAUAAAUUGUUCAUACUACUCCAUCUUGAUUGAUGGGAAUGACUUCGGACUUGCAUACAUAUGUAAUAUGUAAGACUCCUGCUAAAAUUAUCCGAUAAAUUAUCAUGAAAAAAAUUAAUAAAGUCAGAAAACAACCAUGAAAUGCUUCUUAAAUUAAAUAAAAUGGAGAAAAAAACUCAGGUAAUAAAUGUUUUAUUUACUUUUAAGCUGAAAGCAUUUCUAUUCAAUGAUAUUUCUUAGUCACAAAUAAGCUAGCAACAAUUAUAUGAGAAUCAAAUCUUCUCAAUCACAUGUUCAGCACUCAGAAAGCAAAUUUACAGAGUAAUAAGUCUAAUAAACUUCUUGAUCUAGUGCAACAGAUAAUUCUAAAUUUAUUAAAUAGACUCAUUAACAUUUUUUAUAUAUUUAUUGACCUAAAUAAUUCUAAAUUUAUCUAAUUAAAUAUAUACAAAACCUGGUUAGUAUAACUAAACACACUGACUUUUGGCUACCACACUAGCUUUUGGCAUUAAGUGGCUUGUCCCCAGAACCUGGUCCCAAAUGCCAGCAACCGAGCAUAAAAGGUUUCAACACCAUGGUGCCUUUUCCUUGUUGAAAACAUAAAAUAAAAUUUAAGUCAAGGAGGUCCAGUCUUAAAUGCUCCAAACAUUAUCCAUGUCUCAAGCUUAUGUGAUCCAAGAAUUCAUAUUUAUUAUAAAAUUAUAAUUUUAUAUGAGUUUUUAUCUUAUGAUUCAAGAAGUUUAUAUUGUAUAUUCAAGAAUUUUAAGCUUAUAGUUAAUUUUAUAAUUCAUAAGAAUAUUUGAUCCCUGAAUUAGUUUUAUAAUUGUUUUGCAUAAAUUCUUAAGAAUAAAAAUAGUUUAGCAAUAGUUUUCGUGCUAACAAUGCUACUCUAUUCGGCUUUUAAUUCAAAUUGUAUUUUUUAAGUUUUUUUAUUUUUGUAAAAUUGAUUGGAAAAAAAAUAUCAGGUCAUGUGGGCUUAACUCGAAUCGGCAAAAUCAAAGACACAAGUAAAUAAUAAAUUUCAAUAUUCAGAGUUGAAGACCGGUGGAGCAAAAUCUAACUAUGAUAUAAAGCGUGUUGAAAAUAUCGUGCAAAUCAUGUUCCUUUAAAAUUUUAAUUAUUUUUGCUUAAAAUUAAAUUUUUUAAUGUUUUGAAAUCGUUUUGAUAUUCUAAUGUUAAAAAUAAUUUUUUUAAAAAAUAUAUUAUUUUAAUAUACUUUUAAAUAAAAAAUACUUUCAUCCGCAACCACAUUUCAGGCUUGUUUGGGACUGGCAAAGUCAAAUGUUAGACCAGUCAUAUAACAAACUGUCUUUAUAAAUUUGAUCACAUGUAAAUAAAUUUUAAUUAGUGUAGAGACACUAUUGAGUAAAUUGGGACAAAAGUCUAGGACUUCGAUAAUACUUAAAUAAUAGUAAUGUUCCUACAAUAACAAUGACGUUACAUAACUUACAGUAUAUAUAUAUAUAUAUAUAUAUAUAUAUAUAUAUAUAUAUAUAUAUAUUGGAUGUCCAAAGCACAAAUAAUAAUAAUUUUGGAUGCAAAACAUAGGCUGCAACGCAGAUGGAAUCCAAAUAUAAGUUAUUCCAACUUUCUUUCUAUCCCAAGAAAUCGAGAAUGCUUGUAGCUUUUGAUGUUUAAGAAAUCGAGAUAACCAUUUUUGAAAGCAAAGGCUUUAAAUAUUCAAAACAAGGAUCCGUUAUCAUUUAUAGAGAUAUACCACUGUAGCUUUUGAUGUUUACCGGUUUUGGAAAUGCGCUUACGCUUUUAAAUGUUUUUUUAUAUUUGUUUUUAAAAAAUAAUAAUUUGAUAAAUUUUUUCGUAUUUUUUAAUAAUUUUAAUAUAUUAAUAUUAAAAAUUAAAAAUAAUUAAAAAUUUUAUUUUAAAAAGAAAAAAAAUCAAAGUUUUUGAAAAGCAUGUGCUCUAACAAUAACAGAUUAAAUAUGUGAUUAAUAGCAUGUGAUUAAAGGUUUUCAGUCGAUGCCAUUACAUGCAGUCAAAGACUCCAUCCUUACUUUUAAUAAACAAAACCUACACUCAAUAAUAUGUCCUAGUUUUUAAAAAAUAUAAAAAUAAAAUGUUAAGAGCGAAGAAAGUUUGUUGGCGAUAUUAUUAAAUCUGGUUAGGGGAGUUGAUAUUAAAAUCUUUUAAUCUAAUUUUUUAUUUAAUUUAAAUUUUUAAUUAAAUUGUAUGGAAAUUAACUUAAUUUAAAUCAAUUAAUAUCUAAAUAUAAUUUGAAAGUAUGGUAAAGCAUGGCUUAGCUUUUUUAAAAAAAACUCUAAACAACAACUUCUAAAAAAAUAUUGAAACAAUGAUAGAUUUGAUCGAUCCCGGUCUCUCGUGACCUGGGUCAUGAAUUCUAUUGGGUUUAGUAAUUUUUUAUAAAUUUUUUUAUUUAAUUAUAUGAUAAAAAUAAAUGCUCAUAAAAUUGAGUAUCAUUCCUAAAAUAAAUAUUUAUUUAAGAUUAUGAUAAUUUUAUAGAAAACAAAUAAAAAGAAAUCAUGUUGUCUAUUUCCAAACCAAUCUAAUAUUAAAAAAUAAAAUUAAAAAAUCAGAGAAAAAAAAUAUAUCAAAGAAAUCACAUAAGUAGUUGCUAAGAAGGAACCCGCCGCUUACCUACCAAACAAUAUAUAUAAGAAGUUAACGCGUGGACCACCCCAGUUAUGAAGCUUAGAGUGUGUUUGACAGUGUGAUAGCGGUUGCUUUUCAAAUAGCUUUUCGUGCCGAAAUACAUGCCAAUGAUAUUUUUUUAUUUUUUAAAAAUUAUUUUUAACAUCAGCACAUCAAAACGAUCCAAAAAGUACAAACCGAACUCAAUUUUAACAAAAAAAAUUUUUUUUUGAAUUUUGACAAAACACCGUUUGGAACGCAAUGCCAAACGGUGUCUUAGAAGAAGAUGCCUAGAAAAUGUAAACACAUGAAUAUGAGAAACAAUAAUAUUUUUUGGCCCAGAGGUUUUACAGUUCCAUUGAGGAAAAAAAAGAAAAAAUCAAUAUAGUAUUUUCAGGUUAUGCUACUUUCUAGUUUUAGUAUUAAAUUUAGUCUUAGAAGUUUCACUUAUUUAAAAAAUAUGUUUAUGAAUACGGCAGUUUCAGGUUUAGAAACCAAAACUGUCAUAUUCAUACUCUCUCUUAGACACUUUAAAAAUGUGUGUAGAUUUAUAAUAGUGAAUAGAUUUAUUAUUUUAUUAGGUUACUUUAAUGAUAAAUCAAUAUAUUAUUUUUUGGAUUUUCAUCUUGGAGAAACUUGAUAAGGAUGAAAAUAUAAUAUUAAUCAAACUUCAAAUUAUAAUUAUUUAUCUAUCCAGUUAAAAAAAAGGUACAAAGGAUGAAGGAUUAUUUCAAUAUUAACUAGUAAGAAUAUCCUUGUUGAUUUUAAAGGACUAUUUUCAUAUCAUAUCGAAAAUGAUUGAAAGAAUUUGAUAUUAUUGAAUAUGAGCAAAUUUUAAGGUUGCAAUCAAUUACCAUUGCUCGUCAAACUCUACAAAGGGAUGAAGGACUUCCUUUGCAUCAGGAUCCCCACUCCACUACUCUCUCCCACCAGUCUUCUGGAUAUGCCUUGAUUUUUUAAGAGAAGGGGGAGGGAUGGCUGCCCAUUUUCAAGCAACGGAAGACAAUUGGCAUCCUCUUCAGCUUCUCACAAGCCAUUACAGUAAUAUCUUCAAGAGAAUUGCAAAUCAGUUUUGCACUGCAAAUGCUUUUCAGUUCUGGUAACAAAUACAAUUCCAGAGUUAUUAACUUUGGGAGAAAUGACUUCCAUGAUGGAAUGGGAGGUGCUUUCUUCAUCUGUUGUUCCUAUUAUCUCCUCCAUUUUCUCACAAUCAUUCUUCAAUCCUUUCCAGGUUUACGAGGUUGGCCAGCAACACAGCGGGAACAACUUCAUACUUUUACAGUCAAAACAAUAAAACUCUUUAAGAACCAGAAACGUACCGUUACAUGAUGGCAUCGUGGUGGAGCAGAGAAGAACCAAGAAGAUGAAACCAAGCUCUCCAUUUUAAAAAUCCGCAUGCUACUUUCUAGUUUUAGUAUUAAAUUUAGUAUUUAAAAAUAUGUUUAUGAAUAUGGCAGUUUCAGGUUUAGAAACCAAACUUGCCAUAUUCAUACUCUCUUGGACAUUUUAAAAAUGUGUUGUAGAAGAAUACUUUCAAUGAUGAUUUAAUAUUAAGUUACUUUAAUGAUAAAUCAUAUAGUAUUUUUUUUAUUUUUUGGAUUUUCAUCUUGGGGAACUCAAUAGGAUGAAAAUAUAUAUUAAUCAAACUUCAAAUUAUAAUUGUUAAUCUAUCGAGUUAAAAAAAAUAUGACAAUUCAGUAGUCUUAAUGAAAUAAAAAAAAUGAAAAAUGUUAUUUAUGUAAUUGUAAGCAUACUAUUUAUAUUAGUUUACAAAGGGACGAAGGACAUCUUUGCGUUGGAUACUCCACUCCACUACUGACUCCCACCAUUUUUUUAGAUAUACAAAGAUUUUUUUAAGAGAAGGGGGAGGAGAUGGCUGGCCGUUUUCAAGCAAUGGAAGAUAAAUUGGCAUCCUCUUCAGCUUCUCACAACUUUCCUACCAAAGAUUAUAUUACAAGAGACAACAAGUUGCUGUACACCUCUAUUUCGCUUUUCUUUUGUCUAGCGCUGCAUAUAAUUAAAAUCUUCAACAAAAGAAUCAAAAGCUAAAAAUUAUUUAAAAAAAAAACAUUUUCUGACAAUAAUGCCAAACACUUUAACUCGUGGACCCACCCCAUUGUUGAAACUUUGAUAAAGCUGACCUGAAAAUGUAAGAGCCUGAAGCUUAGCUUCAAGAGCUGUAAGUACUAUGCUAGGAAUGAUGCAUCGCACUCCUCUCCCAUCAAUGUCAUUAUCUGAUCCACUCCAACUUCCAUUCCCUAAAAAUUUAACGAAGAAUAGCAUUAGCAAUAAAAAUAGUGCUUAGGGGUACUGAAACAACCGUUAAACCUAUGGUUGGAAAUAAAACUCAGGACUCAAAACCUACAGUACUUUGAGAAUUUGUACACGUUAAACGUUUAUAAGAAAAAAAUGUGGAGUCCAUUGAAAUAAAACCACAACUACGUACCUUGAAUAUCUACACAAGUUUUUCCUAAUAAGAAUUCUGGUAGAAAGCCUUGAAUAUGUAAAAGAAAAAUUGCUAAUAAGAAUCAUAGUAUUCUAGAUGAUAAUACCUAUUUGUAAAGUCCAUACAUAUUCCUUCUCAAAUUAAUUAUGACAUGGUAACAUCAUGAUUGAUGAAUUUUUUAGUCGAGUUGUAUUUGCUUCGUGUUUUUCCUACUAGUUAAGGUUUUUGUUACGAUGAUGUUCUUAACAUCAAAAAGAAUUUUUACUAUAUAUCACUACCAGAAAUUCGCUAAAUACCAACGGAUUAACCGACGGAAUUUUUUCUGUCGGUAUUUUUCGGUCGAAAUCACCGACGGCCAAGUUUCGUCGGUAAUUCGGUCGGUAAUUACCGAUAGAAAAUUCAGAAUUAAUGAAAAAAGGGCGGGUAGAUGGCGCCGAGGUUUUGGCGGGUGAUUUUGCCGACGGAAUCACCGACGGAAUGAAAACCUGGGGCCCGUACGCGUGAUGGGACCUGUUCACCGUCAAUAAUACCGACAGAAUCACCGACGGAUUUGAAAUGCCAGAUCCGUACCGGUGACGUGACCGGUGCACCGUUAAAGUACCAACGGAAUCACCGAGGGAUUUGAAUAGCAAGUCCGUGCGGUGACGUGUCGAUUGCCGUCAGAAUUACCGAUGGUUUCCGAGUUCACGCGGAAUAAACCGUCUGUAAUUCCAUCGGCAAAAGUGAAUAUAUGGCCACUCUGCCGACACUCUCCUCCCCCAUUUCUCCUUCUUCUCCUAAUCCUAACCCUCCCAUCUGCAAAUAACCAGCCCCCCCUCGCCCCAAAACAAAAAUCUUGAAGUUGUAUUUCUUGAAGUUUUUGGUCACAGCAUCCGUGUUUGAUUACCGACGGAUUUUAUCAUUUUUUUAAGUAAUUCUAUCUUUUAAAAUUUUAACAUUUAAAUGUCAAUUUUAUUGUUUUUUUUAGUAUAUGUAUUUUUUUUAGUAGAUGUACAUGUUUUAUUGUUAUUUCUCAAACAAACUUGUUAUAUGAAUGUAAAAUUUAUACUUGUUAUGGUUUGUUUUAGAUUUUGUAAGAUUGUAUUUGUUUGUAAAUUGUUAAAACUUAAUUUGUAGAAUUACCGAAUUACAUGUUUGUUUUGAAAUAAUUAAGAGCUUGCUUAAUGGGUCCUUUUUAUAGAGGUUCGAUAGAAGUCAUGGAUGAUCGUUCAUGGAUGUAUCUAGAUUCACCCCAAGGAUUGCGGAGGAUGGAUUAUUGUAACGGGGUUCAGGGGUUUUAUUAAUUUCGCAACAUCUAUUCCCAGAAAUUUUACUGGAGGCGGUAUUAGGUGUCCAUGCAGGAAGUGUCAAAAUAAAAAGUAUCUGCAUCCAGAUGUUGUAAUAAUGCAUCUUCUACACAAAGGGUUUGUGGAGGAUUACGAGUGUUGGUAUGCACAUGGAGAGGUAUUUGUUAGUAAUAGGAGAAUGGGAGAAACGGUGGUUGGGUCAACUUCUAGUGCUAGCAACGUGCAUGAAGCGGCAAAUGACAACACUAAUCCUUACAGAAACAUGGUUAUGGAUGCAAUGAGAAUGAAUCAAGAUAAUGUCAAUCAAUGUCCAAUCGUAGAAGAAGAACCUAAUGCAGAGGCAGCUAGGUUUUUUGAUUUGUUGAAAGAUUCUGACGAACCAUUAUGGGAUGGCUGCACAAACCACAGUAAAGUAUCGGUCGUGGCACAGGUGUUCACCAUCAAGUCAGAUCACGGGUUGAGUGAGGUCGGGUAUGACAAAAUUAUUGAUUGGACAAGAAGCAUUUUACCUGAAGAGAACUUCUAUACUGCGAAGUCCAUGAUGAAACCCCUCGGUUUAGGAUACCAGAAAAUUGACAUGUGCCCUAACUUCUGCAUGUUAUACUACCUUGAAAAUGAUUUUAAAUUCAACGACAACAACAAUAUACUCAAGACCAAUAUUACAGUAAAGAAAUUAAAACAAUACAGAUCAAUAAAUGAUCCAAAUAUAAUAAAGACUUAGUCCAUUUAAUAGAAGCAACAUGAAUGUACCUUAUAUCCGAGUCGUGAAAAUAAAACACAAUAUUUUUUAAACUAAUAAUUUUUAAAAAAUAUAUUCAGUAAAACAACAUUUAUCAAGUUAACUAUCUCAUGAAGGUUGACGCCAUCAUGCCUUGGAAACAGAGGAUCUGUAAGGUUAGCGUUCCUGUUUAAGAGAACGACAUCAAUUUAAUUAUGCGAGAUUCAAUCUUUUUUCCACUACAAAUUCAAUCAUGUACGUAGACCUCCUACCUACAUUUUUAAUAUUUCUGGAUCUGCUUUUUGAUUCAUCAAGGACAGAGUAGAUUGCAGCUUCAUCAUAGAAAAGUUCGUCUUCUUCAUCUUCUUGGUUGGCACGAGGAAAUAUAAGUGGACUCUUCUCCAGACAAAACUUGACAGUAUCUUCUGUUGCAAACGAAGGUCUUUUUUCAAAAACAUGAUGCUUAGCAUAUUACAUCAAGGGCAAAGUCAUCAUUUAAAUAAUAAAGGGACGAAGGACAUCCUUAGCAUUGGGAUGCUCCCACUCCACCACUGACUCCCACCAUUCUUUUGGAUGAAUCUCCAUUUUUAUAAGAGAAGGGGGGUGAGAUAGCUGGCCAUUUUCAAGCAACGGAAGAUGAAUUCCCAGCAUUUUCAGCAUCUCACAAUUUGUUAUCCCAAUUUGUUGGAGAGAAUCGCAGAUCAGUUCUGCACUAAAAAUGCUUUUCAGUUUUGGUAAUUCGGUCAAAUAUAGAAUUCUUAACUUUGGAAGUUUGAGUUCGAUGCUGCUGCAGCUGCUUUCUUCAUCUGAUCCUGUUCCUAUUAUCUCCUCCAUUUCGACACACCAUCUAACUUCAAUCACUUCCAGGUUUACAAGGGAUGUCAGCAAGACGAUAGGGAACAAUUUCUUCAUACUAUUACAUCCAGAGCAAUAGAACUCCAUAAGACCAGAAAAUAUGCCUUUAGAAGAUGGGCGUGACCUCAAAUCCUCCAUCUCUUUACGUAACAAAGAAGAUGAAACCAAGCCCUCCAUGUUACUGCAAUCCUUGAUGUUGAUGACCUCUAGUUUUUCUGCACGUAUUAUUGAGAGGAAACAUUGCAUAAACUUGUUGCAGCAUCACAAUAAAAAAUCAUCAGCUGUUGAAUGUCAUUUGGAAAAAUGUCCUCAAGAUCUCCAUCGCUCUCGAUACUCAAGUCACCCAACCAAACACUUUACAUCUAUAAUACCUUUUUACAUCGUAAUCAUCAUACCCAAAGUCUCCUACAAAAAAAUUGUAUUCUCUUGGCGAUUGGGUACUAUUAUCCCGAUAUUUGAGAUAAUCCACAAAGUCAGAGUAACCAUCAAAAUGGCAUUUUAAAGUUUCCAACUUCCUCAAGCAUGCUACUUCUUUUCCUUUAACUGUCACCGGAGCAAGUUGUUUAUCCAUACGACCCGCAGUAGGCAUAAAGUCUUCUAGUAUAAAAACUUGCAGGUGCAAGAGUUUUGGUAAUAUCCCACUAGGAAACUCACGUUGACCACAUCCAUUCAUUCUAAGAUACCUCAGGUUGGAGAGAUAUUCCAUGCCUUGAGGCAUCUUUUCAAGUGCAGUACGAUAGAGAUCCAACCUCCUCAGUGCUCUGAGCUUUUCCAAUGAUGGUAAAUGUCUUAGCUUAUCACAAGCGAUGAGCAAUAGUGAAGUGAGAGUCAGCAAAUCAGAGACAGCAUCUGGUAGUCUUUGAUAUUCGUAUAAGACAGAUCAAGAACCUUGAGCCCAAACAACUGCUUAAAAAAGGAUUCUGCAAUAAAUCUCAAGUCGUAAUUACAACUUAACAGUAAGGUUGAUAGAUUUGGACAACUUGGUGAAUGGCUCGAGGGAAUUUCUUCAAUUUUGUUAUACAUAAGUGAAACUCUCGUGAGAUUAUCUGUCCACGCAUCUGUAUCCGGCAAUUCUUUUAAUUGCACAUCUGCUUUAAACAUGCCUGGAGAAUUCUCUUGCAGUAUUUGGAUGGCCAUGUCCCUAAUCAAGUGAUGCAUCUUGACAUUAUCACUAUCAAUUCUUUCCAGCAAACAGAUAUUUUCAAGACUAUUAAGCAUCGAAUAGCCUUUGUCAAAUUCUGCCACCCUACUGUUGAGCCCUUUUAUCACUCCCUCGUCAAUCAAAUACCCUACCAAAUCCUUCCUACAGAUCGUGUAGCCUUCAGGAAAUAAUGCACAAUACAACAGACAUUGUUGCAAUGCUGAAUCUUUUAAGUGCGUAUAACUAAAUCUCAAUAUCCGGAAUACCUCUUCUUCCAUGCCAUCUUGCCUAACUCUUGAUUGUCUCAGGUCCUCUAAGGCAUUCCUCCACUCGUGUAUGUCAUCCACCCCUUUCAUGGUUACAGCCAUUGUUAUAAUUCCUAGCGGCAAACCAUCACACUCCUUUGUGAUAGAUUUUGCAAUUUGUUCCACUUCUGGAGAAAAUGCAAUGACAUGUCCAAGUCUCUCAAUAAAAAGAGUCCAAGCUUCUUCCUCCGAAACAGGCUUUACUUUGAUUAUGUGUUGGGUAUCCAUCUGGUCACAAACCUUUUUUGAUCGAGUUGUAAGAAUCAGCUUGCAUCCCUUAACUUGGAUAGGAACCCCCAACUUGUGUAGUUCAAAAGCCUUCCAUAAAUCAUCUAAAAUCAGAACCCAUUUCUGCUUCUUCAUUAAUUCUUUUGACAAUUUGACCGCUCUGUGCAGCUCCUCGUCUUCAUUAGAAAGAUCUAAACCAAUACUUCUUGCAAUACUGUUCUGCAAUCUACUAAUGCUGGUAUCUUGUGAAACAGUAAUCCAGUAAACAUGACAGAAAGUAUCUGAUGUUUCUAGAAGCUGAUUAUAUAUGUGUGUCACCAAUGUUGUCUUUCCCACUCCACCCAUCCCAUAGAUGCCAAUCCUUGAAACUUCAUCGUUCAUCAACCACUGCCAGAUAAUCCUCCAAUGGUCUUCGAAUUCAUGACCCACCAGCUUUGUCGUUGGUAGUGCAUCUUCUUUAAUCUCAUCUAUGUUCCAUGUAAGCCCUCCAAAAGAGCUAGCUCCUGCACCAGGCUGCACUACUCCUCUAGUCCCGUUAUCUAUAUCAUCCUCUGUUGACAAAUUACAGAUCUCAUCCAAACUUCUCUCAAUUGAUUGACCCGUUACAUCUGGUGCUUGUAUCCUUCCAGCAUCCCAGCCAAAUUGUCAAGUACUGCUUUGUUUUGUUCUAGCAGACCGGUUGAAAUAGCAUAAUCAUUAACAUUGCUCGAACUUUCUAUGCUUUUAUCUCCUCGAGGCUCAUCAGCUUGAUUAAUUGAUGGCCUCUCACAAGAGCUACCUCUCUCCAGAUGCUGCACUUGUUCUGUUCUCGGUACAGUUUCAAAUCCAUCAUGCAGACGCUCCACAUCCUCAUCUUCCUGCAUUAAAUAGGUAGAGAUUGCAUUCAGCUUCUGCUCCUUUGAAAGGGCAGAGUGUAUCUGAUCCCAAUUAUAAUCAGCAAAUGGAUCCACCAAAUCUGUUCCUGGUGUUGCUUCUCCUCUAUUCUCAUGAGCAUCAACUCUGAGUCUCCAAGGAGAGACACUUCUGUCAACAUGCUGAAAAGAUCCUUCACCAGUGUAUUCCAUGCCACUUGCCGCUUCUAAACGCGAAUGAAUUCUCUCAGGCCCACAACCUUGUGCCAAAUUACCAAGUACUGCAUUGUCUUGAUCUUGUCGACAGGUGGAAAUGUCAACAUUGCUUGAACUUGCUAUGCUUUUAUGUCUUUUGUUGCCAACAUGCAUAGCUAGAAAGGCUGCUUCUUGAACUUCUUUAGGCACUUGACCACAAAUGACAACAUUAUGCCCUCUCUCUCCUGAUAAAUGCCAUUUGAUCCUCGAAAUGGAAGUACCAUUGGCAAAUAAAUGCCCACAAAACUUACACUUCAUGCUUCCAUCAUUCAUAUCUUCAACUUCCUUCCAAAACGGAUCAUCUGAUCUACCCAUUUUGUCCUACAGAUAAAAAGGGUCAAAAUAUUGAAUAAAAAUUAAUGGAAGUACAUUAAUUGGAAAAGGAAGGUUGAAACUAAAAUAAUAAGUUACAAACAGCGAAGAAACUAAGAAGAAAAAACAAUGAAUUCAAGGUUAACCUGGGGUCAAUUUAGUUUGAACUUUGAACUGCAUAAGGCAUGGAUUGUUGUUACAACUGAGAGAUCAAUAUUAUUUUUUGGAACUGUUGAUGAUCCUAACUCCAAACUUUCUCAUUAGAAUUUCUACAAGCUGUGUUUUACUUGAAAGAUUCAAACCAGAACAUGUGAAAAACAAAUGAAGAAGAUGGGAGUAGAAAUAAUUUAUACCUGGAUUCAAGUUGUUCUUCAAGUGCUGGUUUCGCUUAAGUAGUAUUCAGGAAGAAAAACAAGAACAGAGAAGAAUAUAUGGUUUAAAAAUAACAAGGAAGUUGCAAGAUGUUGAGCUCCAGAUGAUUCGAUUCAAUCAGAAAAGGAAGCACUGAUCAUCAGAAAGUUUAAGAAAUUUGAUGAGGGAAAUGGGAAAUCAAUGGUAUAAUGAGAUGAGAUUUGGAAGAGAAUGUUACAGUAGCAAAGAUUAUUGUAUUGUUUGAGAAGAAGGAAGUUGCUAGGAAGGAAGCCACAAACUUUACCUACCAGAGAUUAUAUUAUAAGAUAUGGCAAGUUGCUGUACACCUCAAAUUUGCUUUUCUUUUGUCUAGCGCAGCAUAUAAUUAAAAACUUCAACAAAAGAAUAGAAGCUAAUUGCUGUCUGAGUUAACGUGUGGACCCACCCCAUUGUUGAAACUUUUGAAAAAGCUGGCCUGAAAAUGUAAGAGCCUGAAGCUUAGCUUCAAGAGCUGUAGCAAAGUAUUGACCGUCAUUAUCUGAUCCACUCCAACUUCCAUUCCCUAAAAAUUUAACGAAGAACAACAUUAGCAAAAAAAAAAAAAUCUUGCUUAGGGUACUGAAACUACCGUUUUAUAGAUAACUUAAGAAAUUUUACUUAUGAUUACCUACUUAGUUCACACCUUGAGCUUGAGAGAUCAGGCAGAAACACAAGUUUGAUCGCUCCCAGAAAGGUUCAAAAACUGAUUUUCCUAGUUAGCAUUUCCAUGAGCAGUAAGCGUCCUAUUAGUUUCGUUGCCCACGCUUAGUUUCGAGGUGUCAGCAACGUUCUUCUGAGCAUAAAUUCUUCUUUAUGAGUUUUUAUCUUAUGAUUCAAGAAGUUUAUAUUGUAAAUUCAAGAAUUUUAAGUUUAUAGUCAAUUUUAUAGUUCAUAAAAAUAUUUGAUCCCCGAAUUAGUUUUCUAAUUGUGUUCUUAAUUCCUGAACUUGUUUUCUAAUUGUUUUGCAUAAAUUCUUAAGAAAAAAAAAUAUUUUAACAAUAGUUUUUGUGCUAAAAAUGCUACUCUAUUCGUACUUUUAAUUCAAAUUGUAUUUAUAUAGUUAAAUGUUUUUCUCUUUAAUAAAUCCAUUAUUGGAUUUGAAAUUUAUAACUUAUUUUAUAAUUCAAAAUGGAGAUUUGGUUUGUUUUUGAAGUUUUUUAUUUUUGUAAAACUGAUUGAAAAAAUAAAAAUUACAUCAAGACAUGUUUACUUAACUCAAAUCAGCAAGAUCAAAGACACAAAUGAAUAAUAAAUUUUAAUAUUCAUAGUUGAUGACCGAUGCAGUAAAAUCUGACUCUGACCUAUAGCGUUACACUGCAUUCCUUUAAAAUUUGAUAUUGUUUUUGUUUAAAAACUAAUUUGUUUUUUUAUUAUUUUUAAAUUAUUUUGAUAGGCUAAUAUUAAAAAUAAUUUUUUAAAAAUAAAAAAAUAUAUUAUUUUAAUAUAUUUUUAAACAAAAUUUAUUUUAAACCAUAACUGCUAUUAUAUUACCAAACACGUCCUCAUCCCGUUACUUUUUAUUGACCUCUUAAUUUCAAAGAGAACCUUAGCCAUUCCUUUAUGCAAGUGCACGCUUUGCCAAACAAACCUUUAGGAUAAUGGGUUGCCCUCCGACGGCUUGCCAUAACAGGCCAGGACUAAUUUCGACUCUUCGUUGGGGAUAGCAGUGAUGGGAAUGAUGACACUUCUCUCCAUCCUUGACCAUUUUAAUUUCGAGAAACUCCCCCACCAUCCCAUAAAAAAGUAGUCCUUUUGUUUGAAUAAUUUUCCCAAUUAGUCCUUAUAUUUUAGAUAUGGUGUUCAACAUGUUUUUACAAGUUUAAUUACUCUUAAAUUGCCCUUAAGACAUUUUCUAAUCUAUCCUUUUAAUAAGUAUCUUUGUUUAAGCUAAUAAAGAUAAAAUUAUUAAUUACUUAAAAAAACUCAAUCCUGCCUAAUUUAUUAAAAAAAAAAAUUAAAAUUUGUUUUUAUGUUAAUUUUUUCUCAUGGUUAUCUGUAAAGAAGAAACUGUAUCUAACCAUUAACAUGUUAUUUAAUAAUUAAUUAAAUUUCAAAUCUUUUGUUUUAUUAAUUUUGACUUAAACUUAUAAAAUCAACCCAUGAAACUAUCGAUUUUAUUAUUAAUUAAUUUUUCCUAAACAAUAUUGUUUUAAUGUUUUAAAAAAUUAAUUAAAAAUUCUUUAAAAAAAACUAUAUUGAAUUGAUCUAUAUUUGCUAGAGUUAAUUUAUCAAACUCAUAAAUAAGUUAUGUAACAAAUUAUUUUUAUAAAUUUGUUCACAUGUAAAUAAAGUUUAAUAAGUCUAGAGACACUAUUGAGUAAUUUGGGACCGUCUAGGACUUAGAUAAUACUUAAAUAAUAGUAAUGUUCCUACAAUAACAAUGACGUUACAUAACUUAAAGAAUUGUUUUUUUUUUUUUUGGAUGUACAAAGCACAAAUAAUAAUAAUUCUGGAUGCAAAACACAGGCUUCAACGCAGAUGGAGCAAGAAAUUCCAAAUCAAUGAGAGGCGAAGAGUUCUUGGUGUUUCUGCCAUUAUCAAUUUUAUUUUAUUUUUUACUCUCUUCAUGUGAGUAUAUAAACUAUCUUAACAUUUACAAUUCAAGCCAAAAUUGAUAAUGGCAGAAACACCAAGAACUCUUCGCCUCUCAUUGAAGACCAGGUUCCUCCUCGCCGCCCACUCCUUUGGGAUUCGCGCCGCCAGCCGUUCCGACCACACCGUAAACCGCAGCGUAUUGAACAUCUUCGACCCCAAGGCCGCUGCUUCCGCCAAACCAAUCAAUGGGGUCUCCUCUUUCGACAACACUAUUGACCCUACCCGCAACCUGUGGUUCCGCCUCUAUGCCCCCACAUCCACCGCCACUACCGAUGCUCUGCCUGUGAUCAUAUUCUUUCAUGGUGGGGGCUUCGCAUUCAUGGCGGCUAACUCAAAAUCUUUUGACGUACUCUGCCGGCGACUUGCCCGUGAAAUUAAUGCAGUUGUUAUCUCUAUAAACUAUCGGCUUGCUCCUGAGUACAAGUACCCAUGCCAGUACGAGAUGGCUUUGAUGCAUUGAAUUACAUCGAUGACAUGACCUUUGAGAAUUUCCCAGCAAAUUUGGAUCUUGGAAGGUGUUUUAUUGCCGGUGAUAGUGCAGGAGGUAACGUGGCUCAUCAUGUCGUGCUCAAAGCUUGUGAACACACAUUUUCUAACAUAAAGAUCAAGGGACUCAUAGCAAUGCAGCCAUUUUUCGGAGGGGAAGAAAGACAGAAUCAGAAAUCAAGCUUGUUGGGGUUCCUUUAAUAUCAGUGGAAGGUACAGACUGGAUGUGGAAGGCGUUUCUGCCUGAGGGAUCGGACCGAAACCACUCGGUGGUUAAUGUUUUCGGACCAAAUGCGGUGGAUAUUUCAGGCGUGAAGUUCCCUGCGACGUUACUCUUUGUCGGAGGGUUCGAUCCCUUGCAAGAUUGGCAGAAGAGGUACCAUGAGGGGCUGAAGAAAUCUGGGAAAGAAGUACAUUUGGUAGAGUAUCCAAAUGCUUUUCAUGGGUUUUAUUGCCUGCCUGAAUCGCCUGAAUUUUUCUUUGUUGAUCGGUGAGGUGAAGAGUUUUGUGCAAAAGCAGUCAUCUCUUACAUAGGGUGAGGAGACGACGAUCUCUAUUUUAUUAUUAUACCUUAUUUUAUUCACAUUCAAUAAUUAAAUCGUAUUUAAAUUGCAAUGAUUUUAUUUACCAUUGAAGAUAGAUUAUUAUAUGUGUAUUGACUUGUUCAAUUAUUUGAUUUAUUAGAUUUAACAUUAAAAAAAAAUAUUUUGCUUUCUAUUACCAAUCACACUAAAAUAAUGCUGCGUCCUUUGAGCCAUUUGGUGAGGAAUGGUGAUGGUGGUUUUUUGUUUUUUUUUUUUUGUUUAUACUAAUUUAUAAGUUGUGGGGUUGGCAUGUUAAAUUUCUAUUUUUAAUUGAAUAAUAUUGUUUUAAAGAAAAAACUUACACAACAUUCUUUUAAAUAAAUAAAAAAUCUUUGGAGUUCAUACUAGUAGAUUUCACAAUAGUUUACUUGGAUUAAUCGAGUCAUAAAUUAAUCUGUUAAGUUUUUUUAGUGCUAAUUGAUUUGUUAAGUUAUUUAAAUUAAAUUAAAUUAAUUUUUUAUUUAGAUAAAAAGCAAACUCAGUUUGCAUCAGAUUUCAAAUCAGUAACUGGGUUGAUCCUUCUAAUUAAUGUAUAAUGAAAUGUGCAUGACUAACUGGGUUGAUGGUUGAUAGUUUUGACACAGUUCAUUUUUCAUUGUAUGUGGGAGAGAAGCAAUGAAGAAGAGAAGAGGAAAAGAUGCCAAGAAAUAAAACGAAGACUUAUUGGAUGUUUGGUCUUAUUAGCAUAGCCAGUUGGAAGUGUACUGUUUCAUGGGGCUUAUUAUCACCUAUCAAAACUUUAGGUUUGUUUGGAAUUAUAGUAAUUAUAGUAAUUUAAAGUGUUUUUUUUAGAAAUAUAUUAAAAUGAUAUUUUUUUAUUUUUUUAAAUUGUUUUUUAAAAUCAAAACAUCAAAACAAUUUAAAAUAAAAAAAGUAAUUUUUAACAAAAAUAAAAUUAAAAUUUAAAAAAAUACGAUUUCAACCACGUUUUCAAAAACUAUUUUUUUCUCUUGAUUUCUACCCCAAGAAAUCAAGAACGCUAAUUUCAUUAAACCAGAUUCCAAAGGCCAUAUUUAGAUAAAUUAGAAGAAAGGCCUAUAAACUAGCCUAACAGAUCAUACCCAGAGAAGCAAAAGCCAGAAACAAUCUAGCUCAAAUUUUUUUAUUAAAUAGACUUGUUAACAUUUUUUUAUUUAUUAGCAUAAAUAAUUUUAAAUUUAUUUAAUUAAAUAUAUAUAAGACAAGUUUAAAAAAACUAAACACACUGAUUUUUGGCUACCAACCUAGGUUUUGAUAUUAAAACGUGUUUGAGAAUGUAGUAAUAAUUAUAUUUCAAAAUAAUUUUCAUUCCAAGACACAUUAAAUUAAUAUUUUAUUAUUUUUUAAAAAUUAUUUUUGAUAUCAACACAUCAAAAUAAUCAAAAAAUAUAAAAAACAUAUUCAUUUAAAACAAAAAAAAAAAAAUUUUAAAUUUUUUAAAAAACACUUUCCAAAACAUAAAUCACUAACACACCUUAAGUGGCUUGACCCAUAACCUGGGCGCAAAUGCCAUCAUUUGAGCAUAAAAAGGUUUCAACCCCAUGGUGCCUUUUCCUUAUUAUAAAUAUAAAAUAAAAUAAAAUUUAAGUCAAGGAGGUCCAGUCUUAAAUGCUCCAAACAUUAUCCAUGUCUCAAGCUUAUGUGAUCCAAGAAUUCAUAUUUAUUAUAAAAUUAUAAUUUUAUAUGAGUUUUUAUCUUAUGAUUCAAGAAGUUUAUAUUGUAUAUUCAAGAAUUUUAAGUUUAUAGUCAAUUUUAUAAUUCAUAAAAAUAUUUGAUCCCUGAAUUAGUUUUCUAAUUGUUUUGCAUAAAUUCUUAGAAAAAAAAUAUUUUAACAAUAGUUUUCGUGCUAAAAAUGCUAUUCUAUUCGACUUUUAAUUCAAAUUGUAUUUAUAUAGUUAAUUUUUUUUCUCUUUAAUAAAUCCAUUAUUGGAUUUGAAAUUUAUAACUUAUUUUAUAAUUCAAAUUAGAGAUUUGGUUUAUUUAUUAAGUUUUUUUAUUUUUGUAAAAUUGAUUGAAAAAAAAUAGAUCGGGUCACGUCGGUUUAACUCGAAUCAGCAAAAUAAAAGACAUAAGUGAAUAAUAAAUUUCAAUAUUCAAAGUUCAAGACCGGUGGAGCAAAAUCCAACUCUGACCUAGGCUUGUUUGGGAUUGUGGUAGUAGUUGCGGUUCAAAGUGUUUUUCGCUUAGAAAUGCAUCAAAAUAAUAUUUUUUUUAAUUUUUUAAAAAUUAUCUUUGAUAUCAGCAUAUCAAAACAAUCUAAAAUUAUAAAAAAUAAUAAUAAAAAUAAAAUAAAAUUUUUAAAAAAUAUAAUUUACACGGAGUUACCACACACUUGUCCAAUCAACACACAUUCAAUCUCGUUACUUUUUAUACACCUCUUAAUUUUCAAUAGAGCCUUAACCAUUCCUUUAUGCAAGUGCACGCAUUGCCAAACAAUCCUUUAGGAAAAUGAGUUGCCCUCCGACGACUUUCCAUAACUGGCCAGGAUUAAUUUGGACUCUUCGCUGGCGAUAACAGCGAUGGGAAUGAAGACACUUCUCUGCAUCCUUGACCAUUUCAAUUCCGAGAACUCCCCCACCAUCCCAUAAAAAAGUAGUCCUUCUUCUUUGAAGACUUUUCCCAAUUAGUCCUUAUAUUGUUUUUAGGUUUUUUUAAUAUAUUAAUAUAAAAAUAUAAAAAAAUAUUAUUUUAAUAUAUUUUUAAUUAAAUAACAACAUUAAAAAAAUAUAUUUUGCUUUCCAUUACCAAUCACACUAAAAUAAUGUUGUGUCCUUUGAGCCAUUUGGUGAGGAAUGGUGAUGGUGGUUUUUUGUUUUUUUUGUUUAUCCUAUUUGUCUGUCUAAAGAUAAGUUGUGGGGUUGCCAUGUUAAAUUUCUAUUUUUAAUUGAAUAAUGUUGUUUGAAAGAAAAACUUAGAUAAAAAAAAAAAAAAAAUCCUUCGAGUUGGUACUAUAUUUUAUAAUAAUUUAUUUUUUAAAGUGUUUUGUAUUUGAAAAUAUAUCAAAAUAAUAUAUUUUUUGUUUUUUAAAAAUUAUUUUUGACAUCAGCAUGUCAAAAUAAUUUUAAAACAUCAAAAAAAUAUUAAUUUGAAAUAAAAAAAAAAUAAAAAAAAUUUAAAUUUUUUUAAAAAUACUAUUAAAACACAAAAAUAAAUAUAUCUUAACAAAUCACUAAUUAAUUUGUCAAAUUACAUGAGUACCAAUUAAUCUAUCGAAUUAUUUAAAUUUGAACGGAUCAAUGUUUCACUUAGAUGAAAAGCAAACUCGGUUUGAAUCACAUUUCAAAUCAGUAACGUCACCAGGUUGACCCAGCUAGCUGGUUAUUGCAGGUUGUGUUUUUGUACAUAUUAAGGGGCAGGGAAAUGUAUAAUGAAAUGUGCAUGACAACUGGGUUGAUAAUUGAUAAUUUGAACAGUCCAUUUUUCAUUGCAUGUGGGAGAGAAGCAAUGAAGAGAAGAGGACAAGAGGCCAAGAAAUAAAACGAAGACUUAUUGGAUGUUUGGGGCAUAUUAAAAUUUCAUGCUGUGAUUUUAAAAUGUUUUUUAUUUAAAAAUAUAUUAAAAUGAUAUUAUUUUAUUUUUUAAAAAUUAUUUUUGAGAUUAAAACAUUAAAACCAUCUGAAAACAUAAAAAAAUUAACAAAAAAAAUUGAAAUUUAAAGGAACUCUAUUUCAACCGCGUUCCCAAACACUCUCUUCAUGUUUUUUCAAUCACAAAGUUACCAUAAAAAUAAAUGUGUAUUUGGUAUUAUAGUAUAAGAUAUUUUUUCGCUUGAAAAUAUAUAAAAAUAAUUUUUUUUUAUUUUUAACAUCAACGUAAUAAAAUCAUUGAAAAAUAUUUAAAACUCAUCAAUUUAAUGUUAUUUUGAAUCAAACACAUUUUUAAAAACAUACUUAAAUACAUUUUCAAACCCAAAAAUAAAUGAUAUCUUUAUAAUUAUAGUUCAGAAAACAAUCUCCUACAUCUAAGCACAAAAGGUUUCGAAGUUAAAAGUAAUCUUAGUUUUAAUUAUAGUUCAGAAAACAAUCUCCUACAUCUAAGCAUGUAUUGUCUUAACUAUAGAUGUAGUAAGAUGAUUUGAUUUAGUAAAUAUGUAAUUUAAAAUUCGAUUCGAGUUAAGUUUUAAUUUAUACUUAGUUUUGGUUAAGUUUUAAUUUAUAUUAAUUUUGAUAUUAAUAUGGUUAAUCCCAAAUAAUCUUCCUACAAUCCAAUUUACUCUUGUUAAAACUUAACCAAAUCAAAACUAGGAAAUAUCUUUCCUUCUAAAAAAAAAAAAAAGGUUUUGAAAAUCCAGAUUGAUCCUCUAACUCAUAAAUUAACCAAGUGACUUGAGCUCUUUUCGAGAUUUUAAGAUUAGAUCCCAGGCCAGUUCUGACUACUAUAAUCUCAAGUGACUGGCCCAAUUCAAAAUCAUGUUUUUGACGUUUCUCGUUGGAUCAAAGUGGGCUACCCUUUGUUCCUGAAUGAUGAAAGCAAUUAGUAAAAGCUUCUGAGCCAAGAAACAUCCAACUAGCUUGAGCACAUCUGGAAGAUUUAGUCUCUGUAUUAUUUCACUUCUCUGAAUAAUUUUUCAGGUUCCUUUUGCUGUUAUAUAAAAAUUGCUGUUUCUCAUGAGUCAAUAUCCAUUCUAUGAAAUUCUAGCGUUAGAGAGAGGUAAAAGUUUACACUUUGUAUACCAUGAAGUAUAACGCUAAGAGAUAAACAUCUCCAUGCCGGAUUUGUUUGAUUUAAGAGCAGUGAUGACCCUUGAAAGAUUGCUCUAUAAAACAAUGUCCGGUCAUCUUUACAACUUAUUUUCACAAUCCUUCGCCGGCCCGCUGAAGAACUCUUUGAAGCUCAUCUGCCAUCCCUUGUAAGAGAACUGGUUUUCGGAUCAUUCCAUUCAUUCCCAUCUGCAGGCAUCUCUCCCAAACAUUAUCCUCAGCACUGGAAGUCACAGCUAUAAUCAAUGGCCAACUGGAUCUUCCGGAUUCGCGUUGCCACUUCGAACCCAUCCAUUUCUGGCAUUUGAAUAUCUAAGACAACUAGUCUGAAAGAAUUUUCAGCAGAGCUAAGAGCACUAAGGCAUUCAAACCCGGAUGAAACAGCAGUCACUUCACAACCUAACUUCUCAAGCAACUUCUUGGUAAUGGUUCUGUUUAAAGCAUCAUCAUCAGCAAGUAUAACACGAAGGCCUCUGAACUGAGGAAUGGAACUUGGUUGUUCUGAGGAGAGUCCCGAGGCAAAUGUGGCUCUUCCAUAAGAUGGUCGGAUUUGAAACCGAAGAACCAGAGUCAUGCUUUGUGCAAAACCCAGAGGGUUCAAAGAUAUCCAGAUAUUACCUUGCAUCAUCUGCAAAUACACUUCUUCUUAAUAUAGUUUCAUAUGGUAUAGUUCAUGCAUCUUAAAUCUGCUACAGGAAGAUAAAUUGGAAAAAGAAAACAAAGCUCUUUAUUUCAAGUAUGCUUUCGUAAAAGCCACAGCGCAAACAAAGGCAUGGUAUAGCACCAAAUCAUUUAUAACCUAACCCCCCUAAAAAAUAAAAAAAAAAUUAAAAAAGCUUUUGAGUCCUAUAUGGAGGUGGCACCAACUGAAAAACAAAUGAGAUAUGGAUGAAGAGUCCAUUUGGUAUGACUUAUAGAGAAUCUUUUUUGACUUCGAGUCAUAAUUCUAAAGUUAAUUGUCAUGAAUGACUUCUGACAAAAAUAAUUUAAGUUGGAAAUAUCUUUGGGAGGCAUUGGCUGAGAACAAUUUCUUUUAGGAAUGGAGAUGGUAAAAAUUAGAAUCAAUAGGUUACAAGUUAGAAAUUUCAACUUUUAACUUGAUUGUAGAAAUAAGUUUUUGAUUCAAGAAAUAAGUUCUUGUUAUUUGGAAGCGGAAGUGCGUUAUAAUUUCCAGAAAUGGAACUAGCUAAGAGAGAUUGCCCAUGGAACAAGGUCAUAUUGAAACAUUCUGCAAGGGGAGAAUGCCUCAAAUCUCAUCAGAUGCAUUUACAAGAAGUUGUAAACUUAGAAAAGAGAGUUUUCUUUCAUAAAUUUUACUAGCAAUUCUCUCUGUGCAAUGCAUUUUCAUCUCUAGAUUUAGGUGCAUAAAAUGGCAUCAUUUCACCUCACAGGGUGUCUGCUGCCAUUGACUCUAUUGCACAAUAAUGCAGCAAUAAUUAUCAAUUACUGGCAUGUGUAGUCCACGUAGAUAAAAAUAAUAUUUGAUGCCUCACCUGUACAAGCCUUUUGCACAUGAUGAAGCCCAGACCCUCAGCUUCAGCACUGUUUUGCCUCCUACCAGAAGAAUUUGUGGAUGAGCUAGCUCCAUCUGAUAGAGAACUUCCUUCUCUGAUCUCCAUGUCAAACUUUAUACAUACAAACUCAUCAAGAGCAUUUGAUUUCCACAUCCCCAACAUUCUAUCUGUCUUGCCCACGCUAUCACUCUCUGAAAAAACUCGAAAUAUGACAUUCCCCCCUCCAUCAUAGAUACUUAAAAGAUAUCCGACCAUGUGUAAAAUAACUUGAAAGGCCCUUCUUUCAUCUCCUAUCACUAGAUCAGGCAAAGAACUUUGAACAUCAAGUUCAAAAUCAAAACCUUUAUACACACACAAGCACUUAGCAAGGCAACAAGCUUCUUUGAUCAUGGAGCGUAGACGAAAGGGCACCUUCCGGUGUUAUCUUCUGCUGAAAUAUCCAUCACAUCGUUAAUCAAAGUUGAAAGCACAUUGCUGGUUUUCACCAAUGUGUCAAUAACAAUCCUUUGCUCGACGCCCAUAUUAUCAUUUUGGAACAUAGAAAGCAAUCCCAGGAUUGAGUGCAUUGGAACAUAGAAAGCAAGUGGGAUAUCCAAUUUGCUAAAGUGGUGGGGGCCUAUGUAGUGCUACGCUGUAUUUUGAAUUAUUAUUAUUUUUAAUAUAACAAAGAUAUCCUAAUAAUAAUAGCUUUUAAAAGCAACAAUAAAAAUUUGAAAUUUAGGUUAUUAAUUGAUUCGAAUGGAUUUAAUAAAUUCGAUUAAUUUAUUAAUAUAUAUAUAUAUAAACAAAUGAUAAAAAACAAUAAUGAUUAAUUAGAAAAAAUAAACGCUUGUUAAUAUUACAAAAGAUACCCUCUAAAUAUUUUUAAAAUGAUCUCAACGAUCUUAUUUAUUACAACAUAAAAAUUCAAUGAAAAUGAGAUUACUCAUGAAAAGAAAAAUGAAAGAAAUAUGAUGCUCAAUUACCAGCAAAGCAAAGAUUGAAAAUAAACUAGAAAAAAAACAUCAAUUUCAAAAAAGAAAAAAAAAACAUACUCGAGUUAGGAUGUCAAAUCAUGACCAGGAUAAGCCUACAUAUAAGAAUCGAAUAAAACAAUGGAGGUCAACUCUCAAGCAAACUAAAUGAUGAAAGAUAAAACUAGAAAAAGAAAAAAAAAACAAGUGUCAACCUAGGUUAACUCAACUAAAUUGUGACACAGGAUAUAAGAUCGGAAUAAUUCUAUAAAAAAAAAAGCGAAGAAAAUUAUGAAACUCAAGGCUCAAUAACCCAAUAUUAAAGGAUAUUGAAAAAAUAAUCAUUUUUUUAAUAACCUAAAAAAAAACUAAAGGUAAAUCGAACUAAUAUAUAAAACAAACUAGCAUGUCAUUUUCCUGCUAUUCAGGAUUUUAUGCAAUGAAAUCAUUCAUGCUAAAAAAACUAUCUUAACUCAAUAAUUUAAGCAUUUAGGUAAGGUUUCAGGAUAUAAUUUAUAUUAUUCUCUAAUACAUUUCUUCAAGUGAAAGCCUUUUGAGCUUGAAACUUAUAUAAAAUCAUAUUAUCUUAUACUUAAUUUUUACCAAAUAAAUAAGAAUGGUAAUAUUCGAACUCGUGACCGUUUGGUCAUUAAAGCUCUGAUAUCACCAUCUUAAUUCAAUAAUUUAAAUUAUUAAAUAAAAUUUUAAAAUAUAAUUUAUAUUAUUUCAUAAUAUUAUAGUAAUUUAAACCUAGCCACUGGCUAGGGGCACCCAGCUAGCUAGGGAUGCGAUGAACCUUUUUUUGACGGCCUUGUAACCCAGUAUAUUGGAAAAAUAACAGUGCUCCUAGCCCAAGCCGGCCAACAUCACCUCCAGCAGAUUGGAAAAAAUGCUCAUAACCAUUUCGGAAAAAACACACCUAGGCUACUAUGGUAUGCUAAAAAGUGGAAAUAAAUCGAUAAUAAUCAUGAAAUAAAUCGUAAGCAGAAACCGAAAAAAAUAAAUAAAUUGUUCAUACUACUCCAUCUUGAUUGAUGGGAAUGACUUCGGACUUGCAUACAUAUGUAAUAUGUAAGACUCCUGCUAAAAUUAUCCGAUAAAUUAUCAUGAAAAAAAUUAAUAAAGUCAGAAAACAACCAUGAAAUGCUUCUUAAAUUAAAUAAAAUGGAGAAAAAAACUCAGGUAAUAAAUGUUUAAUUCACUUUUAAGCUGAAAGCAUUUCUAUUCAAUGAUAUUUCUUAGUCACAAAUAAGCUAGCAACAAUUAUAUGAGAAUCAAAUCUUCUCAAUCACAUGUUCAGCGCUCAGAAAGCAAAUUUACAGAGUAAUAAGUCUAAUAAACUUCUUGAUCUAGUGCAACAGAUAAUUCUAAAUUUAUUAAAUAGACUCAUUAACAUUUUUUAUAUAUUUAUUGACCUAAAUGAUUCUAAAUUUAUCUAAUUAAAUAUAUACAAAACCUGGUUAGUAUAACUAAACAGACUGACUUUUGGCUACCACACUAGCUUUUGGCAUUAAGUGGCUUGUCCCCAGAACCUGGUCCCAAAUGCCAGCAACCGAGCAUAAAAAGGUUUCAACACCAUGGUGCCUUUUCCUUGUUGAAAACAUAAAAUAAAAUUUAAGUCAAGGAGGUCCAGUCUUAAAUGCUCCAAACAUUAUCCAUGUCUCAAGCUUAUGUGAUCCAAGAAUUCAUAUUUAUUAUAAAAUUAUAAUUUUAUAUGAGUUUUUAUCUUAUGAUUCAAGAAGUUUAUAUUGUAUAUUCAAGAAUUUUAAGCUUAUAGUUAAUUUUAUAAUUCAUAAGAAUAUUUGAUCCCUGAAUUAGUUUUAUAAUUGUUUUGCAUAAAUUCUUAAGAAUAAAAAUAGUUUAGCAAUAGUUUUCGUGCUAACAAUGCUACUCUAUUCGACUUUUAAUUCAAAUUGUAUUUUUUAAGUUUUUUUAUUUUUGUAAAAUUGAUUGGAAAAAAAAUAUCAGGUCAUGUGGGCUUAACUCGAAUCGGCAAAAUCAAAGACACAAGUAAAUAAUAAAUUUCAAUAUUCAGAGUUGAAGACCGGUGGAGCGACUAUGAUAUAAAGCGUGUUGAAAACAUCGUGCAAAUCGUGUUCUUUUAAAAUUUUAAUUAUUUUUGUUUAAAAUUAAAUUUUUUAAUGUUUUGAAAUCGUUUUGAUAUUCUAAUGUUAAAAAUAAUUUUUUUAAAAAAUAUAUUAUUUUAAUAUACUUUUAAAUAAAAAAUACUUUCAUCCGCAACCACAUUUCAGGCUUGUUUGGGACUGGCAAAGUCAAAUGUUAGACCAGUCAUAUAACAAACUGUCUUUAUAAAUUUGAUCACAUGUAAAUAAAUUUUAAUUAGUGCAGAGACACUAUUGAGUAAAUUGGGACCAAAGUCUAGGACUUCGAUAAUACUUAAAUAAUAGUAAUGUUCCUACAAUAACAAUGACGUUACAUAACUUACAGUAUAUAUAUAUAUUGGAUGUGCAAAGCACAAAUAAUAAUAAUUUUGGAUGCAAAACAUAGGCUGCAACGCAGAUGGAAUCCAAAUAUAAGUUAUUCCAACUUUCUUUCUAUCCCAAGAAAUCGAGAAUGCUUGUAGCUUUUGAUGUUUAAGAAAUCGAGAUAACCAUUUUUGAAAGCAAAGGCUUUAAAUAUUCAAAACAAGGAUCCGUUAUCAUUUAUAGAGAUAUACCACUGUAGCUUUUGAUGUUUACCGGUUUUGGAAAUGCGCUUACGCUUUUAAAUGUUUUUUUAUGUUUGUUUUAAAAAAUAAUAAUUUGAUAAAUUUUUUUGUAUUUUUUAAUAAUUUUAAUAUAUUAAUAUUAAAAAUUAAAAAUAAUUAAAAAUUUUAUUUUAAAAAAAAACUUCUAAUACAUACUUUAUACCAAAAUACCAAACACAUGAAAACGUUGAAGUGAAGUGGUAGGAUACAAUCUUAAAUGGUCCAAACAUUAGUACCGCAAAGGCUAUUGGUGUUUGAUGAAAUUAGUUGUCACUGAAAAUAAAAUAAAAUAAAAUCAUUCUUUGUGAAUUAAUUAAUUACUCAAUUAAUCCCUAAAUUAGUUUUCUUGUUUUUCACAAAAUUUUUAAGAAUACAAAUAUUUUAUUAGAUGUUUAUUAUAAUAUUUUAUUUAAGUUUAGAUUUUUAUUUUAAAGAUUGAAUUUUAUUUAAUGUAACAAAUAUUAUGGAUUGUUGUUUUAUUUGAUCUGACGACGAUAAAUUCUGAAAUAUUAUUUGAUUUUAUUGAUUUUAAAAGAAUAUAAUAUUUUAUAAUAUAAUGAAAUGUUGUGUGAAUUUUAUAUGUAUUUUUUUUAUUGAUUUAAUUUUCUAUUUCCUGUAUAUGCUACGCAGAUGAAUUAAUCUUCAUUUUAUAUGCUACGCUCCUAAAUUCUUACAUUUUUGUUAACAAUAAGAGAUGAAGAGGAGGAGUUGGGUAUGGAGGUGAAGGUAUAAUGUAACAAACAAUCGACACAAUUGUCCCUUCCACUUUUUGUCUCUCUUCCUUGAACUCUUAACUUAGCAUCUAUCCAGUAGAAAACUUCAUUUUGAUAUUUGUUUUUUAAAAUGAGGUAGCUUGUUGCCGCCAAUAUGCAGUUUUUGCACCCUUCAGAAACAUGCGUCUUUGGAUUAACCAAUUCUUUUAGUUUAUUUUUAUGUUGUUCAUAAAGACAGAAAAAACUUAAAAAUACAAAUUAAAAAAUCUUGAGGAAUUGAUUAACCAAUCCUUUUAGUUUUUUUUUUUAUGUUGUUUAUAAAGACAGAAAAAACUUAAAAAUAUAGAUUAAAAAAUCCUGAGAAAUAUAGAAAAAUAGAAUGAAUUUUUGUACGAGGAAAAUAGAAUAGAUAGAGGUAUGAAAUUUUAUUCUAAAUAUAUCCUUAUAAAAGUGUCUUCUCUCUCUCUCUUUAUUCUUUUUAAUCUGUAUUAUAUAUUUUAAAAGAAUAAUUUAUUGCUAGUUAAUGAUAUAAGAUGAUUUGUACUAGUGAAUAGAUCUAUUAUUUUAUUAGGUUACUUUAAUGAUAAAUCAAUAUAGUAUUUUUUUAUUUUAUUUUUGGAUUUUCAUCUUGGAGAAACUCAAUAGGAUGAAAAUAUAAUAUUAAUCAAACUUCAAAUUAUAAUUAUUUAUCUAUUGAGUUAAAAAAAAAAGGUACAAAGAGACGAAGGACUAUUUUCAUCAUUCAUAUAGAAAAUAAUUAUGUUUUGCACAUGAUUUUUAACAAAAAUGAUUGAAAGAAUGAUAUAUUAUUGAAUAUGAGCAAAUUUAAGGUUACAAUCGAUUAAUAUUCUUUAGUCAAACUUUACAAAGGGACGAAGGAUAUCCUUUGCAUUAGGAUGCUCCCACUCCACUACUGUCUCCCACCAUUCUUUUGGAUAUACUAUGAAAUCUUUAAGAGAAGGGGGAGGAGAUGGCUGGCCAUUUUCAAGCAACGGAAGACAAAUUGGUAUCCUCUUCAGCUUCUCACAAUACUCUACAUGAAUAUCUUCAAGAGAAUUGCAAAUCAGCUUUACACUGCAAAUGCUUUUCAGUUCUGGUAAACCAAACAAUUCCAAAGUUAUUAACUUUGGGAGAAUGACUUCCGUGAUGGAAUGGGAGGUGCUGCUUUCUUCAUCUGUUGUUCCUAUUAUCUCCUCCAUUUUCUCACAAUCAUUAACUUCAAUCCUUUCCAGGUUUACGAGGUUUGGCAGCAACACAAGCGGGAACAGCUUCUUCAUACUUUCACAUCCAUAACAAAAAAAUUCUUUAAGACCAGAAAACGUACCGUUACAUGAUGGCAAUCGUGGUGGAGCAGAGCAGAACCAAGAAGAUAAAACCAAGCUCUCCAUGUUAUGGCAUUUCCAAAUGCUGAUGCGCUCCAGUUCAGUUGCAUUCUCUAAUAACAAAACAUCACAUAAACUUCUUGCAUCGAUGCAUUCACAAAACAGUCCUUGAAUGCCAUUUAAAAACUUGACCUGAAAAUCUCCAUCCUUGUUGAUACUCAAAUUAAAUUACCCAACCUAACUGUUUUACUUGGAAAACCGUCAGUGCAAUGCUCUAUACCUUGAUCCACCUCUCCAACUAAAAUCUUGAAUGUGCUUAAUGAUAGGAUCCCAUCCCGAGAUCUGAGAUACUCCACGAAGUCAGAAAAACCUUCGAAAUGGCACUCCAAAGUUUCCAAAUUUCUCAAGGAUCCUACUUCCUUUCCUUUAACUGUUAUCGGAGCAUCAUCUUGCGGCAUAAACUCUUCUAGUACAAAGACUUGCAGGUGAGAGAGUUUUGGUAAUAUCCCACUAGGAAACUCCUUUUCACCACAUCCAUUCAUUCUAAGAUACCUCAGGUUGGUUAGGCAUUCCAUUCCUUGCGGCAUCUUUUCAAGCACAGUACGAGUGAGAUCCAACCUCUUCAGUGCCCUGAGCUUCUUUAAUGAUGGAACAUAUCUUAAGUUCUCACACAUUUUGAGCAAUAACGCAGUGAGACUCACCAAAUCAGAGACAGAGUCUGGCAAGUUUUCAAUACCUGUCCAAGACAGAUCGAGGACCUUGAGCCCAUGCAAUUGCUUGAAAAAUGAAUCAGCAAUAAAUCGCAACCAACGAUUUUUACAUAGCAAUAGAGUUGAUAGAUUGGGACACCUGGGUGAAUAGCUGGAAGGAAUUUCUUCGAUCUCGUUUCUCAUUAGUGAAACCAUCGUCAGAUCCACUGCUCUGCAUCUGGCAACUUUUUAAAUUGUGCACCUGCUUUAACCAUGACUUGAUAGUUGUCUUGUAGUAUAUUGAUGGCCAUGUCCCUAAUCAAGUCAUGCAUCUUGACAUGUCUACUACCACGAUACAUGAAUUUAUCACCUUCCAAUAGGCAGACAUUUUCAAGUCUAUUAAGCAUCGUGUGGCCCUCCUCAAAUGCAUCUCCCCUGCUCCUCAUUCCUUUAAUUAUUCCCUCAUCGAUCAAAUAACCUAUCAACUCCUCCCUUUCAAUCAUAUCAUCUUCAGGAAAUAAUGCACAGUACAAGAGACAUUGUUGUAGUGCUAAAUCACCUAACCGAUCAUAACUAAACCUCAAUAACUUGAAUACCUUCUCAUCCAUAUCCCUAAAUUCUGAUUCUCUCAAUUUCUUCAAUGUAUUUCUCCACUCAUGUAGGUCAUCCACUCCCCUCAAGCUUCUUGCUACUGUAAUAAUUCCCAACGGCAAACCAGCACAUUCCUUUGCAACAGCUUUUGCAAUCCUUUCCACUUCUUGCGAAAGUGCCAUGUCACGUCCAAGUUUCUCCAUGAACAAAGUCCAAGCUUCUCCCUCAAAAAGUCGCUUAACCUUGAUUUUGCGGUGGCAAGCCAUCUGAUGACAAACCGUUUCUAAUCGAGUUGUCAUAAUCAGCUUGCAUCCUUCCAACUUCUCAGGAAUUCCCACUUCAUGUAGCUCAAAAUUAUUCCACAAAUCAUCUAGAAUGAGAAUCCAUUUUUGUUUCUUCAUUAGUUCUUCUGACAAUUUGGCAGCUCUAUGCAGAUCAUCAUCUUCGCUUGAAAGGUCUAGAUGAAGACGUUUAGCAAUAAUAUUCUGCAAUCUAUUAUUGCUGAAAUCUUGAGACACAGUCACCCACCAAACAUGAUCACAAAUAUCUGGUCUUUGUAGAAGCUCAUUAUGGAUAUGUUGCAGUAUUGUUGUUUUACCAACUCCCCCCAUCCCAUAAAUGCCAAUGGUUGGGACUUCAUCAUCCAUUAACAAAGACCAUAUCACCUUCUUAUUCUCUUCAAAUGCUCGACCCACUGGCUUUAUAGAAAUAGUAGGUAAUGGAACUCCUCUAGUCUCACAAGAGAUACCUCUCUCCAGAUGCUGCACUUGUUCUGUUCUCGGUAUAGUUUCAGAUCCAUCAUGCAGACGCUCCACAUCCUCAUCUUCCUGCAUUAAAUAGGUAGAGAUUUCAUUCAGCUGCUGCUCCUUUGAAAGGGCAGAGUGUAUCUGAACCCAAGUACCAUCAGCAAAUUGAUCCACUGAGUCAACUCUGAGUCUCCAGGGAGAGACACUUCUGUCAACAUGCUGAAAAGAUCCUUCACCAGUGUAUUCCAUGCCAUUUGCCGCUUCUAAACGCGAAUGAAUUCUCUCAGGCCCAACACCUUGUUCCAUGCCUUGAACUCCCACUUGCAUCCUUCCAGCAUCCCCUGCCAAAUUAACAUUGCUUUGAUGUCUUUUGUUGCCACCACGCAUAGCUAGAAAGGCUGCUUCUUGAACUUCUUUAGGCACCUGACCACAAAUGCCAACACCAUGCCCUCUCUCUCCAGAUAAAUGCCAUUUGAUCCUCGAAAUGGAAGUACCAUUGGCAAAUAAAUGCCCACAAAACUUACACUUCAUGCUUCCAUCAUUCAUAACUUCAACUUCCUUCCAAAACGGAUCAUCUGAUCUACCCAUUUUGUCCUAUAGAUAAAAAGGGUCAAAAUAUUGGAUAAAAAUUAAUGGAAGUACAUUAAUUGGAAAAGGAAGGUUGAAACUAAAAUAAUAAGUUACAAACGGCAAAGAAACUAAGAAGAAAAAAAAAAGAAUUCAAGGUUAACUUGGGGUCAAUUUAGUAUGAACUCCAUAAGGCAUGGAUUGUUACAACUGAGAAAGAUCAAAUUUGGAAGAGAAUGUUACAGUAGCAAAGACUAUUGUAUUGUCUGAGAAGAAGGAAGUUGCUAGGAAGGAAGCCACAAACUUUACCUACCAGAGAUUAUAUUAUAAGAUAUGGCAAGUUGCUGUACACCUCAAAUUUGCUUUUCUUUUUUCUAGCGCUGCAUAUAAUUAAAAACUUCAACAAAAGAAUCAGAAGCUAAUUGCUGGCUGAGUCAACGUGUCGACCCACCCCAUUGUUGAAACUUAGCUUCAAGAGCUGUAAGUACUAUGCUAUGAAUGAUGCCUCUCAUCAAUUUUAUCUAAAUGUUGUUUAUUGCAUUAGUGAAAAAGCUAAAUGCUGUUUAUUGCACGCUGCUAAUUGAGAAAUACAGAACUCAGUUCAACCCAGCAAGUUGCUGCAUCAGAGUUAAAACUCCAUAGCAGUCAGCACAAUCUAUGAAGAUAAAAUUGAAAACAAAACAAUCAAUGACUAAAAUUUAAAAAUGCAUCUAAGGCUUAGAAAAAACUGAGAUAAAACACUAUUUUUCUCUCUUGAUACUUGGUCCCAAAUGCCAACAACCGAGCAUAAAAAGGUUUCAUCCCCAUGGUGCCUUUUCCUUAUUAUAAAUAUAAAAUAAAAUUUAAGUCAAGGAGAUCCAGUCUUAAACGCUCCAAACACUAUCCAUGUCUCCAGCUUAUGUGAUCCAAGAAUUCAUAUUUAUUACAAAAUUAUAAUUUUAUAUGAGUUUUUAUCUUAUGAUUCAAGAAGUUUAUAUUGUAAAUUCAAGAAUCUUAAGUUUAUAGUCAAUUUUAUAGUUCAUACAAAUAUUUGAUCCCUGAAUUAGUUUUCUAAUUGUGUUCUUAAUCCCUGAAUUUGUUUUCUAAUUGUUUUGCAUAAAUUCUUAAUUCAUCCUAAUCUCGUUGCUUCUAAUUCUCUAAAUUUUCAAGAGAGCCUUAACCAUUUCUUUAUGCAAGUGCACGCUUUGCCAAACAAUCCUUUAGGAAAGUGGGUUGCCCUCCUUCCGACGACUUGCCAGAACAGGCCAGGACUAAUUUCGACUCAUCGUUGGCGAUAACAGUGAUGGGAAUGAUGACACUCCUCUACAUCCUCGACCAUUUCAAUUCCAAGAACUCCCCCACCAUCUCAUAAAAAGUAGUCCUUUUUCUCUGAAGAAUUUUCCCAAUUAGUCCUUAUAUUUUAGAUAUGGUCUUCAACAUGCUCUUACAAGUUUAAGUACUCUUAAAUUUUCCUGAAGACAUUUUCUAAUCUAUCCUUUUAAUAAGUAUCUUUUUUUAAGCUAAUAAAGAUAUAAUUACUUAAAAAAACUCAAACCUACCUAAUUUAUUUAAAAAAAAAGAAGAGAAAAUUAAGAUUUUUCUUUUAUGUACAUUUUUUUCCCAUGGUUAUUUGUAAAGAAGAAACUGUAAUCUAACCAUUAACAUGUUAUUUAAUAAUUAAUUAAAUUUCAAAUCUUUUGUUCUAUUAAUUUUGACUUAAACUAAUAAAAUCAACCCGUUUUAUUGAUUUUAUUUAUUAAUUAAAUUGUAUUAAACAACAUUAUUUCAAUUUUUUUAAAAAAUAAUUCAAAAUUUUUAAAAUGAAACAAUAUUAAAUUGAUCUAUAUCGGCUUGGGUUGAUCUACCUAACCCAUAAAUCAAACUUUAAACCAAUCAUGUUAUUAUAAAUUCAAUCACAUGUAAAUAAAGUUUAAUUAGUCUAGAUACUACUGUUGAGCAAUUUGGGACCAAAGUUUAGGACUUCGAUAAUACUUAAAUAAUAGUAAUGUACCUACAAUAACAAUGACGUUACACAACUUAAAGAUUUUUUUUUUUUUGAUGUACAAAGCACAAAUAAUAAUAAUUUUGAAUGCAAAACAUAGGUUGCAACGCAGAUGGAGCAAGAAAUUCCAAAUAUAAGUUAUUCCAACUUUUUUUCUAUCCUAAGAAAUCGAAAAUGCUAGUUUCAUUCAUCAAGAUUAUAAAUUCUAUAUUUAGAUAAAUUAGUAGAAAGGACAAAAAUCCUAGUGCAAAAUACAUAUAAACUAUAUUAUAAGAUAUAGAAAGUUAACGUGUGGACUCACCCAAUAUUCAAACUUUGAAGAAGCUGCCAAGAAAAUGUAAACACAUGAAUAUGAGAAAGAAUACCAUAUUUCUGCAUUGUGCGAAUUUUUUUUUAAAAAAAAAUUAUUUAAAAAUAUAUUAAAAUAAUUUUUGGGACCAUGUUUUUAUAAAAUCUAUAUUUUUUUUGUUUUAAAUUAAUUUUUUAAAUAAGAUUUUAUCAUUUUGAAGUGUUAAUGUUAAAAAAUAAAAACAUUAUUAUUUUAAUAUAUUUUCAACUAAAAUAUAUUUUAAAAAAUAUUUACUACUACAAUAUCAUGUACUCAUUUAAUCACAGUUUGUUAGAGAGAGGGCAGAAAGCCUUAAUUAGAAAAUAACUUCAUAUUCUGGGGGUAGAAACCCCACGAACGCAAUCAUGCAUUUGCUUCAAACAAUAAGAGGGAGCUUCAGUGCAGUAGGAAACUUCAACAUUUGCUAUAAAAGGUCUGUUUUCAAAUUUUGAAUUUUUUUUUAUUUUAAAUCGUAUUGAUAUGUUGAUAUUAAAAAUAAUUAAAAAAAAUAUUUUGAUGUAUUUCUAAAUAAAAAACAUUUUGAAUUGCAACCGCUAUUAUAAUCUCAAACAUACACUUAUGAUUUGCUAUCCAAUCUACACACCAGUUUUCCAUUAAUAUAAAGAUCUUGUUUUUUUUGUUUUCGAAAAUUAUCGACCGAUAAUUUUUCAGUGAUUUUUUUAUUUUGGAUUCAUGAAUUAAAAGGUAAAUAAAAUAAAAUUUUAGAUCAAAAUGCAAAAACUUUAGGGAUCAAAAUUUUAAAAAACACACCUAGGCUACUUUCUGGUUUCAAUAUCAUAUUUGAUCUUGGAAGUUUCAAUUAUUUUAAAUGAAUUAAAUUGAACAAAAUUUUGCCAAAUCAAAAGGUAGCAGCGUGAAGCCUAGGAAAUUCUACUACUUCUCGAGAUAAUAGUGACUUUGAUGACAAUUUUGUAGCUAGGCCAUGAAAUGUACAUGUGCUAGUGAUUCGUGUUAGUCCAAAUCCGUGCCAAGACAUUUCCAGUCUCUACGAGAUCCUCCCAUUAAAACAAACUAGCCUGUCAUUUUCCUGCUGUUCUGCUAUUCAGGACUUUCUGCCAUGACACAAGAAUUUAAACCUAGCUAGGGAUACGAUGAACCUUUUUUUGACCGCCUUGUAACCCAGCAGAUUGGAAAAAAUAACCAUGCUCCUAGCCCAAGCCCACCAACAUCACCCCCAGCAGAUUGGAAAAAAUGCUCAUUACCAUUUCGGAAAAAACACACCUAGGCUACUAUGGUAUACUAGAAAGUGGAAAUAAAUCGAUAUUAAUCAUGAAAUAAAUCGUUAGCAGAAACCAAAAACAAAUAAAUAAAUUGUUCAUACUACUCCAUCUUAUUGAUGGGAAUGAAUUCUGACCUGCAUAUAUAUAUAUAUAUAUAUAUAUAUAUAUAUAUAUAUAUAUAUGUAAGGACUCUGCUAAAAUAUACGAUAAAUUAUCAUGAAAAAACUUAAUGAAAUUAGAAAAACAACCGCUUCUUAAAUUAAAAAAAUGGAGAAGAAAACUAAGGUAAUAAAUAUUUAAUUCACUUUCAAGCUGACAAUAAAGAAUGAAAGCAUUUCUAUUCAAUAAUAUUUCUUGGCACACAAAUAAGCUAGCAACAAUUAUAUGAGAAUCAAAUCUCCCUAAUUACAUGCUCAGCACUCUCAGAAAGCAAAUUUGCAGAACAAUAAGUCUAAUAAGCUUCUUGAUUUAGUGCAACAAGAUAAUGUAAACAAAAUGUAACAGUUGCUGAACUCACUUUCUCUAAAAAAGGAUCCAGAUCCUCUAUCACCAAUAACUCUUGGAUUUCUAGGUCAACUAUGUUCAACUGUGUAGGUGAACAACAAAUUUACAAUCCAAGAAAAAAAAUUAGAAAGCAUCCCUCAAACAGGUUGGAAAAGAUACUAAAGGUAAGAAGAUUAUAAGCCAUAGUAGCAGCGAAUAUAGAGAGCAUUAUCCUAGCAGAAAAAAGUGAUAUAAUGACAAGAAAAGCUGAUCCUAACUUCCCUAGCUAGUGCUUAUGAUGGCAGUUUCAGGUUUAGAAACCAAAACUCAUCUUGUGUGUAGUGUGUUGUUACUUAUUAUUGGGUUUCUACACAAAAAAUGAGAAAAAACAAAAAAAAAUAUUUAGAAAAAAUCCAAAAAAUAAUAGGAGCAAGAAAAUAAUGCUGGAAUGCCUAUAAAAUGAUAAAAAAUUGGUUGAGGAUAUUCAAAAAUACAAAGAUUGAAAUUUGAUAGUAUAUCAUUGACUGAUGAGAGUUCUGUUGACAACAAAAAUUCAAUUUAAAAAAAAUAAUCCAAAAUCAGAUGUUUAUGAACUCAAUUAAAUUUUAUUGAAGGUUUAAUUGAAUUUAUAGAGGGUUUGAUUGCAAGAAAAAAUGUUUUUAAGUCAAUUUAAACUUUAUUUAAAAGAAAUUAAAGUUCAGGGAUCGAAUUACAAUUUAUUCGGAGCUUUGGUUACAAAAUUGCAAAACAUCCAAUGAACAAAUCGAAAAUAUUCAUUUUGAAUUCAAAAACAGCAUCGUUCCCUUAACAACUAUUCAUUGCCCUCUUCGGCAACGGUUUCAUGCAGCUGGCCGUGAGACAUAACAGCAGUAACAGCGCCAAUUCGCUUCAAUGAUGGGGCAUGUGUCACGGCUGCAUCCCUCUGCAAACCGUUACCAAGCCAGCCGUUACUAGCACCAGGCCGUCUCUGGCCUAUAAAAGCAGAAGAAAAGAGAGUACAUGGGGAGAGAAAAGAAAAGGGGGGAGGCAGAGUGAGCAAAGAGGAGAGUAGAGGGAACGAGAAAGAAAAAGGAGAGAGUACGGAGAGAAAAAAAACAGAGGAGAGGAAACAGUGUUGGUGGAACAGCCCUUCCACACUGUCAUCUUCGUCUGCAACUGCAAGCAGCUGGUUCCAGGAACCAGGGUGAUUCUCUUUUGUUUAAGAACAGAGGCAAAGAGAAGACGAGGGCGAUUGAACCAGAGGAAACAGCGAGCACAUAAGGAGAACAGAGACAAGCAGAAAAAGAAGAACCACGCAGAAAAAGACCACUGACAACAGGCAUCACCAUCGUCUUCAUUCCUUCAUCUCAAAGCACCGGGACAACAGGGUAGAUAGCCAGAAGCAAAGGAGACGCAAACCUAGAGAGAAGAACAUCAGCGGACGAAAACGCAAAGGCAAGAAGCGGCAUUGACCAUCGUCUUCGGAGUCUUCAGCAAUCAGCUUCCAAAACUAGAGGCAGCAGAACAAGGAAUCUAAAACAAGGAAAAGGAUGCAGAGAGAAGGGCAAGGAGACAAGAAACCCACAGACGAAAGCACCAGCAUCACCAUCGGCUUCCUCUUCUCCAGCGCCAGGGAGGAGAAACAGAGAGAGCAUAAGGAGAGUGGAACAGAAGGGAGGCAAAAAAAAAAAACAGAGAGGGGAAGAGAGCAGCACAAGAGGGAGACAGAAACGAGCAGAAGGAAAGAAUGUAAGCAGAGGAAAUCGUUGAGACCAAAACCAGCGUUGAUCGUCUUCAUCGUCUCCAGAACCAGUCACCACCGAUGCUGCGCAGAAGUUUCAUCGCCAUCAUCUUCAUCUGUCUCAUUUACCAUGUAAGCUUCAUACAUUCUCUUCACGUUGCUUUUUUUUCUUUCAUUGCAUGCAUUUGUUCUUUCAUUUUUUUAGUUUCACUUGAAUAGUAAUUGUUGCUCUUUACUGUUCAAGUGAAUAAACAGUAGCUGAGCAUGCAAGCCUGAGGAAGCUCACGUGUGCCUCUUGUCCGCCCAGCCAGGUCACCGGCUUGGGCCAGUGAUCUGGUUAGGCCUGCUGGGUCCAACCCGACCACAUGGGUCGAGCUGGACUCAGUCCAAAAUAUCGGGUCGGGUCGGGUCGGGUCGAGUCUAGUCUAAAAAAAUAUUCAAAAUUCCAAAAGUCUUUUUUAAAAACAUUUAUGAUUUUUUUGUGUAUCUAUCUAGCAAUUUUGCUCAAUACUGGAUUGUAUUUUUAUACCGUAAAAAUACAAAUUCGGUAUUAAAAUACUCGGUUUUCGUCAAAAUAUUUGGAAAUAAAAAAAAAACAUUUUUUUUUGUUUUCAUGCAUACGACCAAGUAUCUCAAGAAAAAAUCAUAUUAUAUUUUCAUACAACCAAAACUCAAAAAAUAUGUGUUAACAUGCAUUUUGACUUUAAUAACCAGUUUAUUAAAGCCACGAGAACUAGGCCAAAAUUUUAAAAAAACUCCAAAAAAAAUCAUUUUGUUUUCUUUUAAUAUUAAGGAUUACACGCUUAUAUGUAAGGCAUAGUCUCGAUAUUAAAAAGAUAGUUUUUUUAUUAACUUUAGAAUGGUUAGGUUUUCACCCGAUAAGAUAAGGACCUUCUUACCGAGGAAGACUUUUUUUAAACCAUAGAUAAACCAACAACUAGAAAACAUGGCAAGACCUUAGAUUUUAUCAGACAAUAAAACAAUGCAACUUACCUUAGGUAGGGCGUAUUUGAGGUGCUAAUACCUUCCCUUUACGCAACUAGUCCUCGUACCGGAUUUCUAAGACCAGUUAGGGUUCCUAGUGACCAAAAUACUAGGUGGCGACUCGCAUUCCAUUUUUCCACUAAUAAAAGACAAGAAUUUCUUGUCUCCCCAUAUUUCAUAGAUUGAUAGAAGAUAAUAUAUAUGAGAGUGGAUUUUUUUUUCGCCGUGACAGAAUGGCGACUCCACGGGGGACCUUGUGGACUAAGCUUUGUUUUUAUUUGAUAAUUGUGUUUUGUUUGGUUUGUGUUUUUUUUUCCCUUAAUAAGCUUAUUUUAUUUAUUUAUUUUUACACGUUUUAAUUUACACAAGCUUCUAAGUUAGGUGCGGGAUUAACGAUCUACCCUAUGACUAUUGAUUAGGGUUCAGAUGCGUGAAAUACCCAACUCAUAUCUGAGUGUCUGCUUGGUAAUGGUGGGCAUACAUGCCUUAACCAUAUCUCGUAACGCCCAUAUACUGUCUUUACGAAGAUCGUCACUAGGCAGAUAUAAGACCUUUUUUUAGAAUAAAUAGUCAGCCUACCCUUUGUCUCACUUAAUGAAUAGAACCUAUCCUUAGGUUGUGUGUGUUACCUUUUGUGUUGCAUCAAAGUAAACCCUUCCUGAAGCAUCUUGAACUCAAGACUUGUGGUUGACACAAUGGCCGUUACUUAGGAAAUUUCUGUUGUAGAGCAAGAAUCAAAAUUCUUGCAUGCAAGGGUUAUGACCAUGUGUCAACCCUGGAAGGGCGAGCUCAUCAUAUAGAAACAUACUCAUACAUUUAUCAUACAUGUUGCCAAGUUGAAACAUAGGUCUCCCACCUAAAAUUUGCUACACCUGAAAGAUGGAAAAUGAAGAAAGAGCUCAGUUGAAGGCCCAUUAUCAAAAUGAAAUUGAGAGCAUCAAAGGUGAAGUAGCUAGACUUGCAGAUCCACUUGAACAAGUGCUGAGCUCCAAGAAUGGAAAAGGGAUUUCUGCACAACCUCCUAUGAAACACCAUCGAUCCACGUCCCUCACACAUCUCAGAACUUGGGGGUAGACUCAAUAACUGGAAAUCAUUUUGUCCCUUUUACUGUUGUCUAUCCAAGCCAAGCUCAGAUCAUCAUGAAUCCAACAACGAAGGGACCUUCUGACAAUAGGUUUACCAAUCCCACGGGUCAUGAUAACUAGGUUGACCUAAAAGAAAGAUUGAGAGCAGUUGAAGGAAAUAAUUUGAUUCACCCUGUGAUAGUAGCUGAAUUUUGUUUAGUUCCAAAUAUUAUGGUGCUGAAGGAGUUUAGAGUGCCGAACUUCGUCAAGUAUACUAGACUAGAAUGUCCAUACACCCAUCUCCAGUCAUACUACAACAAGAUGGCUGAAAUGAUCCAUAACAAUAAGAUGUUGUUAUACUUUUUCCAAGAUAAUCUCAUUGGAUCUGCUCUGAGCUGGUACAUGAGACUAGAUAAUAUUAAGAUCAAGACAUGGAAAGACCUGGUAGAUGCCUUCUUGAAGCAGUAUAAAUUUAAUCUGGAAUUGCUCUUGACAGAACCAUCCUAAUGGCUAUGGAGAAGGAAAACCAAGAGUUUGUAAGGGCAUAUGUGCAAAGAUUGUAAGAUAAAGCAACAUAUGUUCAACCUCCACUAAUGGAUACAAAAAUGGUGAUGUUGUUUGCCAACGCCUUUCAAUCCCCUUAUUAUGAGCAUUUAAUAGGAAGCUCAGCUCAACAUUUCCAUGAAGUUGUGAGGAUUGCUGAAAGAAUUGAACAAGCUAUGAAAAGGGGAAAGGUUGAAGGUUCUGCCAUGGAUUCCAGAACAAUGAUGAGAGAUGACUUUGAAGGUGGGAAACCUUAGUUAUGUGGUCUAGUCAAGUCUUGUUGUAGCAUCAACUACUCAAAUGUUUUUGUCAAAGGUUAACAUUCCUCUGCCACUUAAUUUUGUCUACCAGCAUCUGUUAGGCUCGAGACUUAUUGCCUCAACUUCGUCAAAUCCCAUGCAACCACCGUUUCCUAUGUGAUAUAAUCCAUACAAGACAUGUGAAUAUCACGAUGGGGUCCUGGGCCAUUCAUUUGAACAGUUGCAAAAAUUUCAAGAAUCAAGUCUGGAGGAUAGUGAGCAAGAGGCAAGUUGUGUUUCUAAAAAGAUGAUGUCAUUGGCCAUAUUGUCACCAAAACAACCUCAGAAUGACAAGUGAUUGAAAUACUUUUCAAAACAUAGAUAUUCCUGAAAACGCUGAUCCAAGAAGGAUGUUUAAGUGUUAAUCAUUUUGUUAUGGAAUUUUGCUAUUCUCCAAUUUGUUUUGGGAUCACAUCUCAUUCUUUAACGAAACAUGCCUUUUCUUUGUCUCUUUGUUGUUUUGAAGUUAGAAGAUGUUUAGCAUUUCAUUUUUGACAAAAUGUUUUGAUUAAACUCCAACAUGCAAUUAAGGCUAAUCAAUCCUGAAAGAUUAAAAGUGUUUUGAUUGUAGAAAUGACUCAAUAUUUGUUAAAAUGACAAGAUAAACAACAAGAGGCGACCGAACAAAUUUUGAGCUCACACACAAAAUUGAACUACACAACUAAGUUUUAGCAGUAUGCAUAAUGACACGUAGUGUAUUCAGUACUUAUAGACUCAUGAAUCAUGAUUCUUACAAAACUCCACAUCAUUACAUUGGACGAGGUCAAAAUUUAUCGGUACACACCGACCUUGCUUGAAAUGAGAAAAUGUCAUCUUUGUUUUAUCCUUUCACAAUAUUUGAAAUAUAUCAUUUGCAAUUCUAUUUUGAGCCUGAUAGAAUAUUCUUUUUAAAUGAAACCCUGACCAGGAUCACACCCCACACUGGGGGCAAAUAAGAGAUUUUUUGUUAGAAAAGGAAGAAGACAAAAGUGGAAUCAAUGGUAAAAAAAAGGCUAAGAACAAAAGUCCAACAUUUGAGGGAGAGCUAAAAGAAAGAAGACAUAGACUGGGGACAUGUUAGAAAACUUUGAGGAAGGCUAUUUGAAAGCUAUUAAAAAAAAAUACUAAGCUACAAACAAGACUUUUGGUACCCAUGAUAAAGCCUUUGAUGUCUUCAAAGGAUUAGACUGAAUAUUCAUCAAAGGAAAAGGAGGAUUUGCAUCAUGAGCCAUGUUGUAACCCAUUUUUGGGUCCUCGCACAAAAAAAGAAGAAAAUAAAAAAAAAAUAAAAAAAUAUAUGUUCGAAAAAAAUAAAAAAAAUAUAAUAGUGAAAAGAGGAUGCCAAAGCGCCCUAAAAAUGGUUAAAAAUUGGUUGAGGAGGUUCAAAAAUACAAAGAUUAAAAUUUGGCAGUAUUUUAUUGAUUGAUGAGAGCCAUGUUAAUAAAGAAAAUUCAAUUUGAGGAAGAAAAGUCCAAAAUCAGAUGUUUAUGGACUCAAUUAAAUUUUAUUGAAGGUUUAAUCGAAUUUAUGGAGGUUUUGAUUGCAAGAAAAAUUGAUUUUGGAGUUAAUUUGGUCUUUAAUUGGAAGAAAUUAAAGUUCUGGGGUCAAAUUAUAAUUUUUGAGAGUUAAUUUGGUCAAAUCAAGGGCUUAAUUGCAUAAAUAUUGAAGUUUGAUGGCCAAUUAAGAGCUUAAUUGAAGAAAUCUGAAACCAAGAACCAAACUGGAAAAGGCGUGUAAAUAGAGGGGCUGUAAUUAAAACUAAAUCAAGGGACAAAUUAAAGAAAUUAGAAGUUUAUUGAUCAAUUGGGGGUUAAAUUGCAUAAAUCGAAGACCAGGAACCAAUUUGGAAAAGGCGGCCAACUUCAAGGCCGCCGAUUGAAUUUGGCAGGGACACAAUUAAAUUGAUUUUUAAAAUCAAAAUUGCAAUUUAGGACUUGAUUAAACAAAUCACAAAUUGAAGAUUGAUUUGGACUUUAACAUGUUUGGCGCCGUUUUCAUUUAAAUGAAAUGGUGCGUUUUGAACAGAACAGAGAAAGGGAAGAAGGAAGAAGAGAGAGGUGGGGAACAAACCUGCGGUGGCUACUGUGGAGACUCACGGUGGUGCUCGCUGGUGGUGGUGGUUCCAACCGACGCUGCUAACGGAGGCGGUGACAGUUUCUCCCCCCCUGUUUUCUCUCUGUUUUUUUCCUUCUUAUUCUUCUUCUGUUCUUCCUUUCUUUCUUCCUCUUCAGGUCUUCCUUUUUUUUUUUUAUCGGUGCUUUCCACCCUUUUUUUUUUAUCCCCUUUUUGUGCUCUCCCUCUCUGUGUAUAAAACAUAGGGGAUAUAAAGGCAGGGGCGGCCACUGUGUAGCCUCCCCAUAAAAUUGCCAGAGGGGCACGUCCCCUCUGUGUUUUCACCGCCCUGUGGUAAGCCAUGGGUCAAAGUUUAUGCAAGUGGGGUUAUGGUCGGCAUCUUUUUGAUAUUUAGGAGAGAGAGGGAGAGGAUAAAAUUCGGUGAAAAUGAAGGGGAACGCAGCUGGUGAAAACGGCACCGUUUUGAGCUCUCUUUUUUUAACAGUGUAUGGAACGACGCCGUUUUGGGCAAAACGCAUCGUUUCAUGUAAAUGAAAACGGCGCCAAACAUUUUAAAGUCCAAAUCAGUCUUCAAUUUGUGAUUUGUUCAAUCAAGUCCUAAAUUGCAAUUUUGAUUUUAAAAAUCAAUUUAAUUGUGUCCCUGCCAAAUUCAAUCGGCGGCCUUGAAGUUGGCCGCCUUUUCCAAAUUGGUCCUUGGUCUUAGAUUUAUGCAAUUUAACCCCCAAUUGAUCAAUAAACUUCUAAUUUCUUUAAUUUGUCCCCUGAUUUAGUUUUAAUUACAACCCCUCUAUUUACACGCCUUUUCCAGUUUGGUUCUUGGUUUUAGAUUUCUUCAAUUAAGCUCUUAAUUGGCCAUCAAACUUCAAUAUUUAUGCAAUUAAGCCCCUGAUUUGACCAAAUUAACUCUCAACAAUUAUAAUUUGAGCCCAGAACUUUAAUUUCUUCCAAUUAAAGCCCAAAUUAACUCCAAAAUCAAUUUUUCUUGCAAUCAAAACCUCCAUAAAUUCAAUUAAACCCUUAAUAAAACUUAAUUGAGUCCAUAAGCAUCUGAUUUUGGACUUUUCUUCCUAAAAUUGAAUUUUCUUUGUUAAGAUGGCUCUCAUUAGUCAAUAAAAGACUGCCAAAUUUUAAUCUUUUUAUUUUUUAACCUCCUCAACCAAUUUUUAACCAUUUUUAGGUCGCUCAAGCAUCCUCUUUUCACUAUUAUAUUUUUUUUAUUUUUUUUUGUAUUUUCUUCUUUUUUUGUGCGGGGAUCCAAAAAUUAGUUACAACAGAUGCCCCCUCUUUACAAUACUUACGGAGCAAAGAUUUGGGUAGUAAGUUUUGUAAAGAUAAACAAAACUGGUCUUCCGAAACUAGUCUUUCUCGAAAAGCUUGGUUGACCAGAAACCCCAUUCAGCGAUUCCUUUGUAUCAAAGCUAAAGUGUAUGUGUGGUUGGGUUAAACUAAGAUCCUUUUCAUUAAUCCCCCUUUAACCAGAACCAAAUUCAUGUGUGGUUGGGCUAAACUGAGAUUCUUUUCGCCAAUCCCCUUUAACCAGAACCAAAAUCCUGUGUGGUUGGGCUAAACGGAGAUUUCUUUCGUCAAUCCCCUUUAACCAGAACCAAAAUCCUGUGUGGUUGGGCUAAACGGAGAUUCCUUUCUCCAAUCCCCUUUACCAGAACCAAAAUCUGGUGUGUGGUUGGGCUUUAACUAGAACCAAAAUUUGGUGUGUGGUUGGGCUAAAUUGAGAUCCCUUUCGCCAAUCCCUUUUAACCAUAAAUAAAAAAUCCGGUGUGGUUGGGCUAAACUGAGAUCCCUUUUGCUGAUCUCCUUUAACCAUAACCAAAAUGCGGUGUGGUUGGGCUAAACUGAGAUCUCUUUCUCGAAUCUCCUUUAACCAUAACCAAAAUCCAAUGUAUGGUUAGGUUAAACUGAGAUUCCUUUUGCCAAUCCCCUUUAACUAGAAUCAAAUUUCUAUGUGUGGUUGGGCUAAACUGAGAUUCCUUUCGCCAAUCCCCUUUAACCAGAACCAAAAUCCGAUGUGUGGUUGGGCUAAACUGAGAUCCAUUUUGCUGAUCCCCUUUAACCAAAACUGAAAAAAAAUCAAUUUUUCUUGCAAUCAAAACCUCCAUAAAUUCAAUUAAACCCUUAAUAAAACUUAAUUGAGUCCAUAAGCAUCUGAUUUUGGACUUUUCUUCCUAAAAUUGAAUUUUCUUUGUUAAGAUGGCUCUCAUUAGUCAAUAAAAGACUGCCAAAUUUUAAUCUUUUUAUUUUUUAACCUCCUCAACCAAUUUUUAACCAUUUUUAGGUCGCUCAAGCAUCCUCUUUUCACUAUUAUAUUUUUUUUAUUUUUUUUGUAUUUUCUUCUUUUUUUGUGCGGGGAUCCAAAAAUUAGUUACAACAGAUGCCCCCUCUUUACAAUACUUACGGAGCAAAGAUUUUGGGUAGUAAGUUUUGUAAAGAUAAACAAAACUGGUCUUCCGAAACUAGUCUUCUCGAAAGCUUGGUUGACCAGAAACCCCAUUCAGCGAUUCCUUUGUAUCAAAGCUAAAGUGUAUGUGUGGUUGGGUUAAACUAAGAUCCUUUUCAUCAAUCCCCUUUAACCAGAACCAAAUUCAUGUGUGGUUGGGCUAAACUGAGAUUCUUUUCGCCAAUCCCCUUUAACCAAAACCAAAAUCCUGUGUGGUUGGGCUAAACGGAGAUUUCUUUCGUCAAUCCCCUUUAACCAGAACCAAAAUCCUGUGUGGUUGGGCUAAACGGAGAUUCCUUUCUCCAAUCCCCUUUACCAGAACCAAAAUCUGGUGUGUGGUUGGGCUUUAACUAGAACCAAAAUUUGGUGUGUGGUUGGGCUAAAUUGAGAUCCCUUUCGCCAAUCCCUUUUAACCUUAAAUAAAAAAUCCGGUGUGGUUGGGCUAAACUGAGAUCCCUUUUGCUGAUCUCCUUUAACCAUAACCAAAAUGCGGUGUGGUUGGGCUAAACUGAGAUCUCUUUCUCGAAUCUCCUUUAACCAUAACCAAAAUCCAAUGUAUGGUUAGGUUAAACUGAGAUUCCUUUUGCCAAUCCCCUUUAACUAGAAUCAAAUUUCUAUGUGUGGUUGGGCUAAACUGAGAUUCCUUUCGCCAAUCCCCUUUAACCAGAACCAAAAUCCGAUGUGUGGUUGGGCUAAACUGAGAUCCAUUUUGCUGAUCCCCUUUAACCAAAACUGAAAAAAUCCGGUGUUGUUGGGCUAAACUAAGAUUUCUUUCACCGAUCUCCUUCAACUAGAACCAAAAUCCGAUAUGUGUUCUUCCCGAUGGCAGGAUUUGAACUUUUUUAUUUUGAGAAUUUCCUAAUAGUAGGAUUCUUCUCAUUUUUCUUCUUGCUGAUAAGGAUGAUCAAAACUUAUUUUUUUUUGCUUGAUGUUUUUUGAUUUUGCAGGGCUGACAUCGGUCUUUCCUGAUUGCAGGGUUGAUAUCACGUCCUUCCAGAUGACUGACACUAACUAGGUUUUUCUUGAUGACAGAGUUGGAAAACUUGGUGCUUCCUGAUUGCAGGAUUGACCUAAUAAUUCCCGAUUGCGGGGUUAACCUGAAGACUCUUCCUGAUGACAGGGUUGUUCUUCUCAUUUCUUUGAGAGCAUGCUUUUCUUUUUCUUCCUAAUGACAAUGCUUGAACUUUCUUAUUUUCUUUGAGAAUUUCCUAAUAGUAGGCUUCUUCUCACUUUUUUUAUUGAUUGCAAGGAUUCCUAGUGGCAAGGUUGUCUAGGUAACUCCCGAUCGUGGGGUUUGAAAAUUUAAUACUUCCUGAUUACAGGGUUGACCUAAAGACGUUUCUUGAUGGCAAGGUUAAUCUUCUCAUUUCUUUGAGAUUUUCCUAAUUGUAGGCCUUAUCUCAUCUUCUUCCCAUUCCAGGGUCAAAACCAUGAUUCUUUGUCGGUCAUGAACUCAAUGAUUCUUUUUUUUUUUAUCCCAAAUCUUGCUAGACUACAUUGAUGAUUUUUCCUAUAACAAAUCAAAAGUAUAUGUAAUGCUUUGACGUUAGAUAACAUGCAUGCAUCCUUACCUGAUUUUGAAAUAUAGGUCCCCCCCUCUUCAUUGUUCUAUCAUCAUAGGGUGUCUUUGUUUGAAUUCCAAAGCCUUCUUUGUCCUUCUGAUUUACCGGCUCAUUUGUGUGCUUUCCCUUCACUUCAAUGUAAACAUAAACGUAGUGCCUAUUAUGGGUUGUAUGCGAUGAUUGCUACUCUCAUUAUUUACCAAGCAAUCCAUGCCCCUCAAGUGUGGUGUUGUUCGAUUCAUCAUGAAGGAGUUGAACAAAUCAUCCAUGUCCUAGAUUCUCUCAAGAAUUGUCCUUUGUGUGUUUUGCCAACACCUUUCAAGAGGUUUUCUAGUGUUUACCCUCAUUUUAGAUUGCCAAGCAGUCAUGAACCUAUCCCUAGUUGAAACAAUACUUUUCAAGUAUAUGUUAUUAUCAGUGUUCUUGGAAACUAUCCAAUCGUCCAGACAUGCAUCUCAUAGCUUGUAGUAAAAGACUCAUAGUUGAUAUGCUCAGUGUUCUUCUUAAUAGAUUUUCCUCAGCUCAUCUAAUCAGAUUGUGAAAAGAAAUGUCUCAGCCUCAUCAAUAAUGUUGCUUUUAUCACACGUACUCAUGUGGUGAAGUGCACCUUUGGGCUUCAUAAUAGCUUAUCCCACAAUCAAACUUCAUGGUGAGCUCCCUUUCCAACAUUCAUUCAAUGCAGUUAUGUGAUAACAUCUAUCGAUAACCAUGUUUCAAAGGAUGACAAUAUGAGAUUGUCCUUCAAGUGCAGCAUUGUUCCACAGUCAGUCUUGGUGGUGUGUAUUUUUUUGCCAUUCAAUUACAUUCAUUCAUGUAUCCUUAUCGAUUAAUAGCCAUGUUUCAAAAAUGAUGAUAUGAAGAUGUCAUUUAGGUACAUCUUUGUUUCUCAAUUGCUGACGGGGUUCACUAGAGCAUGGACUGUUUUUGAACGACAUUUCCCCCAAUAUGAUUUGAAUGUGCUCGUUUAUUCUUCUCACGGUCCACUAUAUUGCCCCUGGUUGCUCCACUUUUCAAGAAGUGUCAAUGUCAUUUAUGUCAAGGAUUUUGCAGACUGGAAUGAACUCUCACAUUUCAAAGAUCAUGUCUAUUCAAAGUCUAGUUUGUUGAAAUGAAAUCAGAGAUGUCUUUGUUCAAAUUUUUUUUUUUGAAAAAUCAAACUUUUUGGUCAAAGACCCAACACAUGUUUUUCAAAAUAUAUAGUCCUUUGAUUGUAAUGUAUUUUGAAAACAAAAAUUGACUUGUAAAAUUAAAAAAAAAUGGCUUUUUCAUUGUUCUUUGUACCCAUUUUAGACUCUGAUUUUGGGUGUCACUUUUGAUGGUUUGUGAUGAGGUGACCUUCUAUAUAUGUCAAAAGAAUGCUCAAGUCAAAACUCGAGGCUUUAUCAAAAAAGAUUAUUUCCCUUUUUUAGCAUCAAUUGUUAUCAACAUGCAUAGUAACAAGUAGCUAAAUCCAUGAAGCCAUGACCCUUAUGGAAAAACUCUUCCAGUUUUAAGAGCGUCAUUUAUCGGUUUAAAUUGCUUCCUUGAUCAAAAAGGGCUUUUAGAAGCACGUAAUGUAGGCUAUGGUUCAUGGCUAUGAAAGAAAUGAGAUUUCAUCGGCUCAAAAUGUGUUUGAGGGUUUCAAAGAUCUAUGAUCAACAUCAGCUAUUCAUCAAUCUCUUUCUCUUGUUGUUUUUGUAGAGGAAUGCCAUCAAGUCAUGUUAAAGAUAAAAUCAAAAGUCUCUUAACAUGGGUCAUAAUCUAUCUUCUUGAUGAAUGACCAUUCUGGAUCAUUUUGAAGACAUUAGAGACUUUAUCAUAGAUACCAAAAGUUAUGCUUUGUAGCUCAGUAUUUUUUUUUCUUGGGUGUUUGAUUUUCGGUGUUUGUUGUGUCCAAUAAUUGUGACAUGAUUAAUUCCAGCAUUCAUCUUCACUGCUUUGUCUUGAUGAUAAUGGAAGACCAACAUCGAUAUUUUCUGCCCCCCCAAUCUAUGUCUUUUUUUUCUUUAGCCUUUCUCAAAUGUUAGACUUUUGGUCUUAGCCUUCUCUUUUUUAAUGACUUUAUCGGUGUCUUCAAAAUAUCUUUUCUUUGCCCCUAGUGUGGGGUGUAAUCCUAGUCAGGGUUUUUUUUUUUUAUAAAAAUAUUCUAUCAGGCUCAAAUGAGGACCACAAGGGAUAUAAUUUUUAGAAAGUGAAGGGAUAAGAAAGAUGGCAUUUUCUCAUUUCAAGCAAGGUCGGUUAAAAUAGAUAAAUUUUGACCUCAUCCAGUGUAAUGAUUUGGACUUGUAAGAAUCAUAAUUCACAAGUCCAUAACUACUGAAUGCACUACUUGUCAUUAUGCAUACUGCUAAAACUUAGCUACAUGAUUUAGUUUAAUGUGUGAGUUCAAAAUUUUAUGGUCACCUCAUUUCAUUUCAACAAGCAUCAAGUCAUUUUUGUAAUCAAAACACUUUUAAUCCUUUAGAAUUGAUUAGCCUUAACUACAUGUUGGAGUUUGAUCAAAAUGUUUUGUCAAAAUACCAUUUGAAAGAAACAUCUCAUGAUUUCAAGACAAUAAUAAGACAAAGAAAAGCAUAAUUCAUUAAACAUAUGUGAUGUAUCAAUGAUAUAUGAAAGCAUAUCGCAGCAAAAUACAACUACUCAUUCUCUCAAUAGUUGCAUAAUGUUUACGUCUUUGUCAGCAUUUUGCAAGCUACUGGUCAUUGUUGAAGAUAGAGGUAACUGAUGAGUACUUAAUAGUACAUAUUUAUCAAGGUUUUAUAUCAUCAUUUUGCACUUAAAGUAUCAAUAACUCCUUAACUAAAGCAUGUUUUAUAAUAAAAAGUCUAAUACUAUAAAAUGUCUUAAUAUAUGGUAAAUUUUCAUCUUAAAUGAAGGCCUAUUACAUAAAAUCAAAGGAUUGAUUGAUGAGUUCAAGUAUGGAAAUUCAAAGGACAAAGAGAGGGACAAACUUAGAAAAGAGAUGUUGGUGCAGUCCAAACUGGAACACUGUUCGGUAAUUGGGUCAUAUCUCGAGUUCUAGAUGUCAAAAUGAUCUCAAAUUUUACACAAAUUCAGUAAGACAUAGGCCUACAACUUUCAUGUGGACACCAAGAUCUAAGAAGGCCGUUUGCAAGUCCAAAUUAUAGCAACAACGGAGAAGUCGAAUCUGUCCUGCAGCCCGAACACUGUUCAGUGUUUGGCCCAUAUCUGGAGUUCUAGAAGUCCAAAUGACCUCCAUUUUUUUUUCCUGGAAAGCUGAGUCAAUUUCCUACAACUUUCAUGUUUUCAAGUGGUCCCAGUUCUGAUGCUAGCAAUUUGUUUUAUUCAGACAAGAAGAUAAGGAUUUUCACAAAGUCAAGAGUUGGCCACCCACUCAACAAUUAGUCAUCAAAUCAAUAAUUCGAAUUUUGGCCUAUAAAAGGAGGCAUUUGCCAUGUAUUUAGGGGCUUGGUUGUUCAGAUCAAGAUCAUGCUCUUUAUUUCUCUCUUUAUAUUUUUUUGUAAUUCUUAAGUUUUGCUUUCAUUAAUAUCUUGUUUAUGCUUUUCAUUUCCUUUCCUUUCCUUAGUUAACUUGUAUCUUAUUUAUGUUCUUGUUUUGUUUAUUUAUGUUUCUCUUCUUCAUUAUGUUUAGCUAAGUUUAUUAUGUCAAGGUGAAAAGGUUACACUAAUGGUGUAAGAAUAAGUAUAGUGUAAACUCAACAUGGACCUUAACAUUUAAUAUUAACAUGUCUUAUCUUUAAUACCUUGCUUGUUAAAUGGUUAAUCUAGAUUUAUGUUGUAUAACACUUGGUACAACAAAUGCUUGACACUCUCAUAGCCAACCGUAUGGUAUUACCUACACUUGUGCUAUGAAAGGAACUUGAUUUGUUGUUAACAUAAGUUAAGCAUCAUGAAUUCCUGACAAUAUUUAAAAGUUUGGUGUUACGUAAAUAAGAUAAUUAAUAUGAUCAUGUUAACAAUUUAUAAUGAGCUAUUAAUGACAAAUCAUCCGAUUGGAACCUCCUUCGUGUGUGGUUUCCAAAUUGAGUAAUAAGAGUUUAUACUAUACUUGUUUGAAAUACCAUUAGUGGAUCCUCUAACCUUGACAUUUGUUUUUAUCAUUGUUUAAUCCUUACAGUAAUCUUCCAUCUCAAAGUUCUCAUUAAUUUCUUCCUUCUUUUUUUUACUACUACUACUACUACUAUUAUUAUUUACAUUCUUGUUAUAUUUUAUGUACGUUAAGUAUGCUCUGUGUUUGAUCAAGGAUCCUGACAUUGUUGGUCUUGCCUUGUUCAUUCGCAUCAGAAAUCUGUUUAUAUUAUAUAAUAUAUCUCUUUGAUCUUUUCAUAAACUCAGUAUAUAGGCUGGAAACCUGUGACCCGAUCUUUUAGAUCAUUCUCAGGUAUAACAACGCCACGUACUGAGUAUUAUUAUUACUAUUAAUAUUAUUAUUACUAAUACUAUUAUUGUUGUUAUUGUUGUUGUUGUUGUUGUUGUUGUUGUUGUAUUGUUAUUUAUAAUUUAUACAAUUAACCUCUCUGUGGUUCGACCCCGGUCUUGCCGGGUUAUUUAUUACUUCGACAGUCCUACACUUGGGAGAAGACAUCAAUCUUUUGGUCGUGUCAGUAACUAUGUGGUAGGUAACUACCACUCUUCACAAACACAAUCCGCCCCUUGCUUACUACCUUCCAAACUUGAUACAUGAAAUUUUUGCAGUUUUUAAUUGAAUGGCCCAAGACCCCGCUAUGAUAAUCACAUCUCUAGUUUGGAUCAUACCACCUAAGAAAUGGUGGUUACAUGGGUUUUGACAGAGUCGAACUCAGAAUUCCGGAGUCUAAUAGAUAUUGGUAGACAAACUCGAGUGGAAGGGGUAUGUUGAUCUCUAACAAAGGCUUUACAAAUAUAAUCUCAGUACGAGAAAAGUACUAAAGAAAGGUUGUACAUCAUACCUUACCUAUGUGAUAAAUUCGAGAAAGGGUAAAAUAGGACUGUCUGACAUUCCAAUUGUGAGGGAAUUUCCGGACGUAUUUCCGAAAGAACUGCUAAGACUACCCCCAGAAAGAGAAGUUGAAGUCACCGUUGACAUAUUGCCUGAGGUGUCUCCUAUAGCCCAACCACCAUAUAGAAUGGCCCUAAAGGAAUUGGAUGAGUUGAAAAUUCAAUUGCAGGAGCUCUUAGACAAAGGGCUCAUAUGACCAAGUAACUCACCUUGGGGGGCGCCUGUAUUAUUGGUGAAUAAGAAAGAUGGAAUGUUGAGGCUUUGCAUAGAUUACCGUUAGCUAAAUAAAGUGACGGUAAAGAACAAAUAUCAAUGCUUUAUUCGAUCAAAAAGGUGCUAAAGUAUUCUCAAAGAUCGAUUUAAGAUCAGGAUACUACCAGAUGCGAAUCAAAGGGCAAGAUGUCCUGAAAACUGCCUUAAGAACUUGUUACGAACACUAUGAGUUUUUGGUGCUACCAUUUGGAUUAACUAAUGCUCCAACACUUUUUAUAGAUUUAAUGAACUAAGUAUUCCAACCAUACCUUGAUAAGUUUGUUAUCGUAUUCAUCGAUGACAUCUUGGUUUACUCCAAAUCCUAUAAGGAGCAUGAACAACACCUGAGACAGACACUACAGACUCUGAGGAGCCGCCAGUUGUAUGCCAAGUUGGAUAAAUAUGACUUCUGGUUAAAAGAAGUUACCUUUUUAGGGUUUGAAGUGUCUUCAGAAGGCAUUUUUGUGGACCCUCAGAAGGUGGAAGCAAUUCUCAGAUGGGAAAGGCCUACUACGGUAACUGAAAUUCAUAGUUUUCUUGGAUAGGCAGGGUAUUAUAGAAGGUUUAUUGAAGGGUUUUCAACAAUAGCAACUCCAUUGACAUGACUCACCAGGAAGAAUAUAAGAUGGGAGUGGUCAAAGGAGUGCGAUGAGAGCUUUCAAGAAUUGAAGAGAAGGCUUACUACUGCCCCUGUACUAAUCCUUCCAUCCGGAACAGAAGGCUUUGUAGUCUACAACAAUGCCUUAAGAAAAGGAUCGGGUUAUGUCCUAAUGCAGCAUGGAAGAGUAGUUGCCUAUGAAUCGAGACAACUAAAGACUCAUGAAAACAACUACCCAGUUUAUGACUUAGAAUUGGUAGCACUAGUUUUUGCCUUACAAGUAUGGAGGCACUACUUAUACGGAUCCCGGGUUCAAAUUUUCAUGAAUCAUAAGAGUCUUAAAUAUCUGAUGUUACCAAAGGAGUUGAACAUGUGACAAUGAAGAUCGGUAGAAUUAAUUAAAGACUAUGACUAUAUUAUGGAUUAUCAUCCAGGAAAAGCGAAUGUAGUCGCGGAUGCUCUCAGCCGUAAAGACAAGGCACUUAGGGGUGGACCAGCGACUUGGAAUGAGAAAACCAUGAUUGAGCUAAAGAGAUUGGGGGCAAUAUUAAAUGUGAGUCUAGAAGGAUCCUUAAUGGCUCAACUAAGGGUGAAGUCAGGAUAUCGAGAGCAAUAUUAGAGGCAUAACAGCUUGAUGAUGAAGUGUCAAAAGUAAGAAUCAAACUGGAAUCAGGGUGUGAAACUCUUUUUCGAAUGGGAGAUGAUGGAAUAGUGAUGUUGGGGCGACGUAUGUAUGUGCCUAAUAACAAAGUCCUUAAACAAAAGUUACUAUAAGAGGCCCAUGAGUCUAAGUUCAUUAUACAUCCAGGUAGUACUAAGAUGUACCAGGAUCCAAAACAAUACUACUGGUGGCCAAAUAUGAGAAAAGAAGUGGCUGACUAUGUGGCAAAAUGUAGUAUUUGCCAGAAAGUAAAAGUAAAGCACCAAAAGCCGGCAGGGCUAUUACAAACAUUAGCAAUCCUUGAGUGGAAGUGGGAGAUUAUCACAAUGGACUUUGUGUUGGGACUACCUAGGGGGAAGAGGGGAAAUGAUGAAAUCUGGGCCAUUGUGGAUUGACUAACUAAGUCUGCCCUUUUCCUACUAGUAAAAAUGACGGAUCUAGUUGACAAGUUGGCUAAGAUUUAUGUGAACAAAGUUGUGAGGCUUCAUGGAGUCCCAAUAUCAAUUGUUUCAGACCGAGACCCAAGGUUUGCUUGACAUCUCUGGCCAAGCAUACAACGUGCCUUGGGAACAAAUUUGAAUGUCAGUACUACCUUUCAUUUGAGAGAGUUAUUCAAAUCUUAGAGGAUUUACUAAGGGCAUAUGCUUUGAAAUUUAGUGGAAACUGAGAGGAGCACCUGUCACUAUUAGAAUUCACGUAUAACAACAGUUAUCAGGCAACAAUUAGAAUUGCCCCAUUUGAAGCUCUUUAUGGUAGAAAGUGUAGGACACCCUUGUGUUGGGAAGAAGUUGGGGACAUAAAGCUGUAUGGGGCAGAAUUAGUACAAAUCACAACUGAAAAAGUGAGGAUCAUUAAGGAUCAAAUGAAGGUGGCUCAGGAUAGGUAGAAGAAGUAUGCAGAUAUUCGAAGAAGACCGCUUGAAUUUUGUCUUGGAGAUACAGUAUUUCUGAAGGUAGCUCCUUGGAAGCACAUGCUGAGAUUCGACAUGAAAGGGAAGUUAGCCCCGAGGUUCAUUAGACCAUUAAAAUCCGAAAACAUAUUGGACCUGUAGCAUAUGAAAUAAACUUGUCUUAACAAUUGGCCAAGGUUCACAAUGUAUUCCAUGUUUCUUUUCUGCGAAAAGCCGAUGUAGACCCUUCGAAAGUGUUACCUCAAGUGCUAGUGGAGGUAAAAGAAGACUUAACACUUGAGGUAAGACCGAUAAAGAUACUCGAUUGGGGCAAGAGAGAACUUCGUAAUAAGAAAGUUCCCAUCAUCAGAGUCUUAUGGCGAAGCUCACAAAUCGAUGAAGAAACAUGGGAGAGAUAAUCAGAAAUAAGAUGAAAAUUCCCCGACUUGUUUAUAAACUUAGGUACAUCAUUCAAAUUUCGAGGAUAAAAUUUUAAUUAAGAGGGGAGAAUGUAAACCACAUAAAAUAUAAUUAAAGUUGCUUAAAUGGCAAACUAACUGUUGUAACCCAUUUUCGGGUCCCCAAAUAAAUGAAAUAAAAUAAAUAGCCAAAGGAGGUUAGAAAAAUAACAGGAGGCAGAAGCACUCAGAAAGUGGUCAGAAAAAUCAGUCAAGGAGGAUAAAAAUACAAAGAUGGAUUUUUGACAAUAUAUUCUUGAAGGAUAAGAGCCCUGAUGGAUAAAAAAUUUGAUUUUUGAGGAGAAAAGUCCAAAUUUGGAGGUUUAUGGACUUAAUUGGAUUUUUAAUUGAAUUUAUAGAGGAUUUGAGUGCAAGAAAAAUUGAUUUUUAAGUCAAUUUGGACUUUAAUUAGAAGAAAUUUAAGUUCUGGGGCCAAAAUAUAUUUUUUAGGAAUUUAUUGGGUCAAAUCAGGGCUUAAUUGCAUAAAUAUUGAAGUUUAAUGGCCAAUUAGGGACUUAAUUAAGAAAAUCUGAAACCAGGGACCAAAUUGGAAGAGGCGCGUAAAUGGAGGGGCUGCAAUUAUUCGGUUCAGGGGCCUAAUUGAAGAAAUUGAAAGUUUAUUAAUCAAUUGAGGGUUCAAUUGCAUAAAUCAGAGGCCAAGGACCAAAAUGAAAAAGGCGGCCAACAAGAGGGACGGGUACCGAAUUUGGCAGGGAUACAAUUGAAAUGAACAAGAAAUGAUGGAGGACUGAUGUGAAGUUUGGUUAACUUAAAUGAAACGGCGCGUUUUCUCCAAAACGACGCCGUUUCAUAUAUAUAUAUAUAUAAAAAAAGGAAUACCAGAACGGUGUCGUUUUGAACGACACUGUUCAUCUUCCUCCUUCCCCCCGAAUGAGCAGAGCAGCAGAAGAAGAAAACAGUUUGUUUUCAAAUCUUCCCGCCUCUCUCUCCUCGCCCCCACCACCUUUAGACAAUGGCCGACCAGCCGUUGUGUGAUCUGCUCCCGCACUAACAAUGGUCCCCCACACCUGUUCUGCCCCUAUAAAUAGAGAAGAAAACCGAAGGAAAAGAGGGAGAGAAAAAGAGGAAACCGAAGGGAGGAGAGAGAGAGGAGACCGAAGAGAGAGAGAGAACCAACGAGAGAGAGGGAAAGAGAAAGGAAUAAACCGAAAACAAAAAGAAAAGAAAACAGAAAACAAAGAGAAAGGAAGGAAAAGAGAGAAAUACCGAAAACGAAAAAGAAGAGGGGAAGAGGAAGAAAAUAUUUUCUCUCUCCCGCUUGGGAACAGCCACAGCGCCGCCGUCUUCGAGGCCACGACACCGCAGCGCCACCGCAGCUCCACCAGAGAUCGCCUCCACGCCAGGUACACAUUUCUUCCCCCCUGCAUUCUUUUUUUUCCGUCGUGGUCGUCUUGCCUCCUGCAUGUUGCAUGCAGGAGGCGGGGGGGAGAAAAAUAAUUCUCCCCCCCGCUGGGCCGAGGGUGUUGGGCCAGCCCGAUGCUGGCCCAGCCUUGCAAGUCUGGGCCGGUCCGGGCCCAGACUGUAGGAGUUCUUGGGCCGAGAUCGGCCCAAUUGCAUUUUGGGCCGAGGUCGGCCCGUUUUUAUAUUACUUUUUGGGCUGAGCCUGGCCCAUUUAUUUGGGCCGGCCCAGCCCCAUAAUAUAAUAUAUUAUAUAUUACAUAUUAUGAUAUAUUAUAAUAUAUGUGUGUGUAUAUGCUAUAUAUAUGUAUAUAAAAUAUUUAAAUUAAAAAAUAUAUAUUUUGAAAAAUCUUAAAAAAUAUUGUUGAUUGUUCUGCAUAGUUUUAUCAAAAUGGUUUAAUGUUGGUUUGUAUUUUUAUACCGUAAAGAUACAAAACCAGUGUUAAAAAUGCCCGGUUUUCGUCAAAAUAUCAAAGAUUUUCAAAAUAAAAAAUGUUUUUGCUUUCAAAAAAUUCUAAAAAAUCCCUAAAAAUGUUGUUGAUUUUUCUGCAUAUUUUUAUUAAAGUGAAUUAAUAUUGGGUUGUAUUUUUAUACCGUAAGGAUACAAGCUCAGUAUUAAAAUACCCGAUUUUCGUCAAAGCAAAAAAAAAUAAUAAUAUUUUCAAAAAUUUGUUUUUUGUUUUAAAAUACAGCCUAGUCUCUCCAAUAUAUAUAUAAAUAUUAUAACAUCAUAUUUUCACACAAUAAAGGAAAUUUUCAAAACAAUAUAUGUAUUAGCAUGCAUUUUGGCUUUAAUAACCAGUUUGUUCAAGUCAUGAGAACUAGGCCAAUAUUUCAAAAAUUCUAAAAAAAUCUUUUUGUUUUCUUUUAGUAUUUGGGAUUACGAAUUUAUACGUAAAAAGUAUUCCUAAAUAUUAUUAAUAAGGUUUUGGUGUAGACGUUAGAACGGUUAGGAUUUUACCCGAUAAGAUAAAGACCUUCUUACCGAGGAGGAUUUUUCUUGAACCAUAGACAGACCAACAACUAGAAGUCCAAUAACACCUUAGUUUUUAUCAGACAAUAAACAAUGCAGCUUACCUUAGGUAGGGCGUAUUUGGGGUGCUAAUACCUUCCCUUUACGCAACCAGUCCCCGUACCCGAUCUCUGUGACCUGUUAGGGUUCCUAGUGAUCAAAAUACUAGGUGGCGACUCCAAAGAACCAAAUCAAAUAAAAAAAAAUUCGCCAGUCGAACCCGCAAAUAUUAUUUUUUUUGGGGUGCGACACUAACUAAAUGAGAAAUAAAAGUAAAGAAAUUCAUGCGUAUGGUUAAAUAAAAACAAGAAUUUAUAAAUUUUUUAAUAUAAAUUUCCGGGCGAAAUAAUUCAAGACAUUAUAAAUAAACCCGGUAAUAUUGAGAUUGAGUCGAUAAUGAAUUGAUGCCUUGAUAUUGAAUUAUAGGUUAGGGUUCUUACACAUGAAUUGAAGAAAAAGUAUUUGUUGUUAAAAUUAAGUUAAUUCAUGUGUGGCAUGUGAUGGGGGGCGUAAAACCAAAAUAAUUUACCCAGGAAAUGUAGUUUUUGAAAGUAUUGUGUGAAGGAAAAGGGGUGACGAAUCUAGACAGACUUGUCUCUUGAAUUUCGGUGAGAUUUCAGGUAGGAGGAUGAGGGAAUUAGGAUCAGGUUCCUCAUAGCAAUUGUAGAUUUGGAUGUUAGUUAACCAAGAAAACUUGUCUUGCUUAAUUUGGAGCUGUAGAACUCUAGUUAUGGGUUACCAACCGAGACUGAGUCAUGACUGAUUCUAUAGGGCAGUAGAACUGAUUAGUUGAUGAGCAACAAAACUGAGUUCUCCUUCCUUCAGAGAACUUGUAGCCUCGUGUCUUAGCUUUCUAACAAGAUCAAUCUCACUUAAAAUGGAGUUCUAGAACUCUAGAUAUAGUUAAAAAUCUGAUGAGUGUUCAGAUAGUAACAAUUGGACAGUAACAGUUCAAUGUCUAGACAGUAACAGUUAGACUUUCAUAUGAAUACUCUAUGUAAGAAUAUAAAAGAACUGAGUCAAAAAACACUUGCACGUUGAGACACUAACUCUGAAAAUAUACAUGAUAUAUGAAUGUAUCUUAUUAUGAGGAAAUGACCAUGCAUAGAAAGUAAUAUAUGUGUAAUGAAUGAAUAUGGAUUCUCUAUAAUAAUAGGCUUGAAGGAAUCAUAACCAAAAACUUCCUUGUGACUCAAGAGGAGCGACCAGGAUUGGAUCUUCUGUUCGAGGAGGUCAUGAGACAGGCGGAGCAGGUGCGUGAUUUUCCCUCCUAUUUGUACUUAUGCUAUUUAAAGUUUUUCUGGUGAAUGCAAUUACAAUAAAUACCAUGUUCAAUGUAAAUAAAGUCCAGCAUAUUUAUAAGAUUAGCUACGGCUAAUGGCAUCCGUGAUAGGAUUGCCGGGAAAUGAAUUACAAGAUUAGUUACGGCUAAUGGCAUUUGUGAUAGGAUUGCCGGGAAAUGAAUUACAAGAUUAGCUUCGGCUAAUGAUGUCCGCGUUGGGAUGCCCAGGAAUGAUUGAUAAGACUCGAUUUGUAAAGGGUAUCAGUGUUUGAAUGACCUGGGAAAUUGAUAAAUAUAAUUGCCUAAAAAUAUCCAGGUUGGACUUUGCAAAGUCACCCAAUGCAUGCAAGUAAAUAAGAAUAUUCAAAUUAAGGAUAUGCAAAUAAGUGUUAAUUGGGGUUAAAUGAUUUACAAGCAAAAUAUAAGUUGACUGUUAGAAUUAUUAUGGAUUCGAUAAAAACUUUAUACUUCAUUCGUAUAAAUUACAUGAGCAUAUAUAUAUAUAUAUAUAUAUAUUUCUUUUAUCAAUAUAAUGGUAUGUUUAUUUAUGUAACAGGGCCAUCAAAUAUCCAGGGAGAUCAUUAGUUUAGGACUCUACUUUGUCAAGCUUAUGUAAAUAUUUAACUUAAGCAUAAUGGAAUUAACGUGUUUAUGCAAUAUGCUUUUGUGUAAACUGUCACACGUAACUCGUGUGGUGUCGGUUUGUGAUUUUCGUAAAUAUUUAAUUGAUUUGUUUGUUGGGAGUCGUCACCUAGUAUCUAAUUGAGAGCUACUAGGAAACUUGGGUACACUAGUAUUGUCCGAGAUUCACGACUAAGGGACUAGUUGUGGUUAGAGAAGGUAUUAGCACCCCUAACGCACCCUACCUUAGCUAAACUGAGAUCCCUUCGCCGAUCCCUUUAACCAGAACCAAAAUCCUUUGUAGUUAGGCUAAACUGAGAUACCCCUCCCCAAUCCCCUUUAACCAGAACCAAAGUCUGUGUGUGGUUAGGAUAAACUAAGAUUUCUUUCGCCAAUCCCCUUUAACCCUUUAACGAGAACCAAAAUCCAUAUGCGGUUAGGAUAAACUGAGAUUCCUUUCGCCAAUUUCCUUUAACCAAAACCAAAAAUCCUGUGUGGUUAGGAUAAACUGAGAUUCCUUUAGCAGAUCCCCUUUAACUAGAAUCAAAGUCUCUGUGUGGUUAGGCUAAAGUGAGAUUCCUUGCGCCUAUCCCCUUUAACCAGAACCAAAAAUCCUGUGUGGUUAGGAUAAACUAAGAUUCCUUUCGCCAAUCCCCUUUAAUCAGAACCAAAAACCUGUGUGGUUAGGAUAAAAUGAGAUUACUUUUGCCGAUCCCCUUCAACACAUAACCAAACUCCUUUAUAGUUAGGCUAAACAAAGAUCCCUUUCGCCGAUCCCCUUUAACUAGAACUAAAGUCUGUGUGUGGUUAGGCUAAACUAAACUCCCUUUGGCAGAUCCCCUUUAACCAGAACCAAAGUCGGUGUGUGGUUAGGUUAAACUGAGAUUCCUUUUACCAAUCCCGUUUAACCAGAACCAAAAUCCUGUGUGGUUAGGAUAAACUUAGAUUCCUGUCGGCAAUCCCCUUUAACCAGACCUAAAAUCCUGUGUGGUUAGGAUAAACUGAGAUUCCUUUCGCCAAUCCCCAUUAAUCAUAACCAAACUCCAUUGUUGUUAGGCUAAACUAAGAUCCAUUUCGCCGAUCCCUUUUAACCAGAACCAAAGUCUGUGUGUGGUUGAGCUAAAGUGAGAUUCCUUGCUCCUAUCCACUUUAACCAAAACCAAAAAUCCUGUGUGGUUAUGAUAAACUGAGAUUCCUUUCGCUAAUGCCCUUUAACCAGAACCAAAAUCCUGUGUGCUUAGGAUAAACUGAGAUUCCUUUCGCCAAUCCCCUUUAAACAUAAACAAACUCCUUUGUAGUAAUGCUAAACUAAGAUCCCUUUCGCCAAUCCCCUUUAACUCGAACCAAAGUCAGUGCGUGGUUAGGUUAAACUGAGAUUCUUUUCGCCGAUCCCCUUUAACCAGAACCAAAAUCCUGUGUGGUUAGGAUAAACUGAGAUUACUUUUAGCCCACCCCUUUAACAAGAACCAAAGUCGGUUUGUGGUUAGGAUAAACUGAGAUUUCUUUCGCCAAUCCCCUUUAACAAGAACAAAAAUCUUGUGUGGUUAGGAUAAACUAAGAUUCUUUUCGACGAUCCCGUUUAACCAGAACCAAAGUUUGUGUGUGGUUAUGAUAAAGUGAGAUUCCUUGCGCCUAUCCCCUUUAACCAGAAACAAAAAUCCUGUGUGGUUAGGAUACACUGAGACUCCUUCCGCCUAUCCCCUUUAAACAUAACCAAACUCCUUUGUAGUUAGCCUAAACUAAGAUCCCUUUUGCCGAUCCCUUUAACUAGAACCAAAGUUUGUGUAUGGUUAGGCUAAACUAAGAUCCAUUUCGCCGAUCCCCUUUAACUAGAACCAAAAAUCCUAUGUGGUUAGGAUAAACUGAGAUUCCUUUUGCCAAUCCACUUUAACCAGAACGAAAAAUCCUUUGUGGUUAGGAUAAACUGAGAUUCCUUUCGCCAAUCCCCUUUAACUAGAACUAAAAUCAUGUGUGCUUAGGAUAAACUGAGAUUCCUUUCGCCAAUCCCCUUUAACCAGAAACAAAAAUCAUGUGUGGUUAGGAUAAACUGAGACUCCUUUCACCUAUCCCCUUUAAACAUAACCAAACUCCUUUGUAGUUACGCUAAACUAAGAUCCCUUUUGUCGAUCCCUUUUAACCAGAACCAAAGUCUGUGUAUGGUUAGGCUAAACUAAGAUCCAUUUCCCCGAUCCCCUUUAACCAGAACCAAAAAUCUUGUGUGGUUAGGAUAAACUGAGAUUCCUUUUACUAAUCCACUUUAACCAGAACAAAAAAUCCUUUGUGGUUAGGAUAAACUGAGAUUCCUUUCGCCAAUCCCCUUUAACCAGAACCAAAAUCAUGUGUGCUUAGGAUAAACUGAGAUUCUUUUCACCAAUCCCCUUUAAACAUAACCAAACUCUUUUAUAGUUAGAUUAAACUAAGAUCCAUUUGGCCGAUACCCUUUAACCAGAACCAAAGUCUGUGUGUGGUUGGGUUAAACUGAGAUUGCUUUCGCCAAUCCCCUUUAACCAGAACCAAACUCCUGUGUGGUUAGGAUAAAAUGAGACUCCUUUCGUCGAUCCCCUUUAAACAUAACGAAACUACUUUGUAGUUAGGCUAAACGAAGAUCCCUUUCGCCGAUCCCCUUUAACUAGAACCAAAGUCUGUGUGUGGUUAGGCUAAACUAAGCUCCCUUUGGCAGAUCCCCUUUAACCAGAACCAAAGUCGGUGUGUGGUUAGGUUAAACUGAGAUUCCUUUUACCAAUCCCGUUUAACCAGAAUCAAAAUCCUGUGUGGCUAGGAUAAACUGAGAUUCCUGUCGGCGAUCCCCUUUAACUAGACCUAAAAUCCUGUGUGGUUAGGAUAAACUGAGAUUCCUUUCGCCAAUCCCUAUUAAUCAUAACCAAACUCCAUUGUUGUUAGGCGACACUAAGAUCCAUUUCGCCGAUCCCCUUUAACCAGAACCAAAGUCUGUGUGUGGUUGAGCUAAAGUGAGAUUCCUUGCUCCUAUCCCCUUUAACCAGAACCAAAAAUCAUGUGUGGUCAUGAUAAACUGAGAUUCCUUUCGCUAAUGCCCUUUAAGCAGAACCAAAAUCCUGUGUGCUUAGGAUAAACUGAGAUUCCUUUCGUCAAUCCCCUUUAAACAUAAACAAACUCCUUUGUAGUAAGGCUAAACUAAGAUCCCUUUCGCCAAUCCCCUUUAACUAGAACCAAAGUCAGUGUGUGGUUAGGUUAAACUGAGAUUCUUUUCGCCGAUCCCCUUUAACCAGAACAAAAAUCCUGUGUGGUUAGGAUAAACUGAGAUUACUUUAGCCCACCCCUUUAACAAGAACCAAAGUCGGUUUGUGGUUAGGAUAAACUGAGAUUUCUUUCGCCAAUCCCCUUUAACAAGAACAAAAAUCUUGUGUGGUUAUGAUAAACUGAGAUUCUUUUCGACGAUCCCGUUUAACCAGAACCAAAGUUUGUGUGUGGUUAUGAUAAAGUGAGAUUCCUUGCGCCUAUCUCCUUUAACCAGAAACAAAAAUCCUGUGUGGUUAGGAUAAACUGAGACUCCUUCCGCCUAUCCCCUUUAAACAUAACCAAAUUCCUUUGUAGUUAGACUAAACUAAGAUCCCUUUUGCCGAUCCCUUUAACUAGAACCAAAGUCUGUGUAUGGUUAGGCUAAACCAAGAUCCAUUUCACCGAUCCCCUUUAACUAGAACCAAAAAUCCUGUGUGGUUAGGAUAAACUGAGAUUCCUUUUUCCAAUCCACUUUAACCAGAACGAAAAAUCCUUUGUGGUUAGGAUAAACUGAGAUUCCUUUCGCCAAUCCCCUUUAACUAGAACCAAAAUCAUGUGUGCUUAGGAUAAACUGAGAUUCCUUUCACCAAUCCCCUUUAACCAGAAACAAAAAUCAUGUGUGGUUAGGAUAAACUGAGACUCCUUUCACCUAUCCCCUUUAAACAUAACCAAACUCCUUUGUAGUUAGGCUAAACUAAGAUCCCUUUUGUCGAUCCCUUUUAAUCAGAACCAAAGUCUGUGUAUGGUUAGGCUAAACUAAGAUCCAUUUCCCCGAUCCCCUUUAACCAGAACCAAAAAUCCUGUGUGGUUAGGAUAAACUGAGAUUCCUUUUGCUAAUCCACUUUAACCAUAACAAAAAAUCCUUUGUGGCCGAUACCCUUUAACCAGAACCAAAGUCUGUGUGUGGUUGGGUUAAACUGAGAUUGCUUUCGCCAAUCCCCUUUAACUAGAACCAAACUCCUGUGUGGUUAGGAUAAACUAAGACUCCUUUCGCCGAUCCCCUUUAAACAUAACCAAACUCCUUUGUAGAUAGGCUAAACUAAAAUCCGUUUCACCGAUCCCCUUUACCAAGAACCAAAGUCUGUGUGUGGUAAUGCUAAACUAAGAUCCCUUAGGCAUAUCCCCUUUAAGCAGAAUCAAAGUCUGUGUGUGGUUAGGUUAAACUGAGAUUCCUCUCGCUAAUCCCCUUGAACUAGGACCAAAAAUCCUGUGUGGUUAGGAUAAACUGAGAUUCAUUUCGCCGAUCCCCUUUAACCAGAACCAAAGUCUGUGUGUGAUUAGGCUAAAGUGAGAUUCCUUGCGCCUAUCCAGUUUAACAAGAAAAAAAAAUCUUGUGUGGUAGGAUAAACUAAGAUUCCUUUUGCGGAUCCCCUUUAACCAAAACAAAAAUCUGUGUGUGGUUAAGGUAAACUAAGAUUCUUUGUGCCAAUCCCCUUUAACCAGAACCAAAAAUCCUGUGUGGUUAGGUUAAACUCAGAUUCCUUUCGCCGAUCCCCUCUAACCAGAACCAAAAUCCAUGUGUGGUUCGGAUAAACUAAGAUUCCUUUCGCCCAUCCCCUUUAAGCAGAAUAAAAAAUCCUGUGUGGUUAGGAUAUUUUGAUAUUCCUUUGGCCAAUCCCCUUUAACGAGAACCAAAAAUCCUAUGUGGUUAGGAUAAACUGAGAUUCCUUUCACCGAUCUCCUUUAACCAGAACAGAAAUCCAAGUGUGGUUAGGAUAAACUAAGAUUCUGUUCGCCAAUCCCCUUUAACCAGAACAAAAAAUCAUGUAUGGUUAGGAUAAACAAAAAUUCCCUUCGCCAAUCCCCUUUAACCAGAACCAAAGUCUGUGUGGGGUUAGGUUAAACUAAGAUUCCUUUCGCAAAUCCCUAUUAAGAAGAACCAAAGUUUGUUUGUGGUUAUGAUAAACUAAGAUUUCUUUUGCCGAUCCCCUUUAACCCGAACCAAAGUCUGUGUGUAGUUAGGCUAAACUAAGAUCCCUUUCGCCGAUCCCCUUUAACCAGGACCAAAGUCUGUGUGUGGUUAGGUUAAACUGAGAUUCCUUUCGCCGAUCCCCUUUAACCAGAACCAAAAUCCUGUGUGGUUAGGAUAAACUAAGAUUCCUUUAGUCGAUCCCCUUUAACCAGAACCAAAGUCGGUAUGUGGUUAGGAUAAACUGAGAUUUCUUUCGCCUAUCCCCUUUAACAAGAACAAAAAUCUUGUGUGGUUAGUAUAAACUGAGAUUGCUUUAGUCGAUCCCCUUUAACCAGAACCAAAGUCUAUGUGUGGUUAGGCUAAAGUGAGAUUCCUUUUGGCAAUCCCUUUUAAACAUAACCCAACUCCUUUGUAGUUAGGCUAAACUAAGAUCCCUUUUGCCGAUCCCUUUUAACAAGAACCAAAGUCUGUGUGUGGUUAGGUUAAACUGAGAUUCCUUUCACCGAUCUCCUUUAACCAGAACAGAAAUCCAAGUGUGGUUAGGAUAAACUAAGAUUCUGUUCGCCAAUCCCCUUUAACCAGAACAAAAAAUCAUGAAUGGUUAGGAUAAACAAAAAUUCCCUUCGCCAAUCCCCUUUAACCAGAACCAAAGUCUGUGUGGGGUUAGGUUAAACUAAGAUUCCUUUUGCAAAUCCCUAUUAAGAAGAACCAAAGUUUGUUUGUGGUUAUGAUAAACUAAGAUUUCUUUUGCCGAUCCCCUUUAACCCGAACCAAAGUCUGUGUGUAGUUAGGCUAAACUAAGAUCCCUUUCGCCGAUCCCCUUUAACCAGGACCAAAGUCUGUGUGUGGUUAGGUUAAACUGAGAUUCCUUUCGUCGAUCCCCUUUAACCAGAACCAAAAUCCUGUGUGGUUAGGAUAAACUAAGAUUCCUUUAGUCGAUCCCCUUUAACCAGAACCAAAGUCGGUAUGUGGUUAGGAUAAACUGAGAUUUCUUUCGCCUAUCCCCUUUAACAAGAACAAAAAUCUUGUGUGGUUAGUAUAAACUGAGAUUGCUUUAGUCGAUCCCCUUUAACCAGAACCAAAGUCUAUGUGUGGUUAGGCUAAAGUGAGAUUCCUUUCGGCAAUCCCCUUUAAACAUAACCCAACUCCUUUGUAGUUAGGCUAAACUAAGAUCCCUUUUGCCGAUCCCUUUUAACAAGAACCAAAGUCUGUGUGUGGUUAGGUUAAACUGAGAUUCCUUUCGCCAAUCACCUUUAACCAGAACCAAAAUCUUGUGUGCUUAGGACAAACUAAGAUUCCAUUCGCCAAUCCCCUUUAACCAGAACCAAAGUCUGUGUGUCAUUAGGCUAAACUAAGAUCCCUUUGCCGAUCCCCUGUAACCAGAACGAAAAAUCAUGUGUGGUUAGGAUAAACUGAGAUUCCAUUCACCAAUCCCAUUUAACCAGAACCAAAGUCUGUGAGUGGUUACGUUAAACUAAGAUUCCUUUCGCCGAUCCCCUUUAACCAGAACCAAAAAUCCUGUUUGGUUAGGGUAAAUUGAGAUUCCUUUCACCAAUCCCCUUUAACCAGAACCAAAAUCCUGUGUGGUUAUACUAAAGUGAGUUUCCUUGCGCCUAUCACCUUUAACCAGAAACAAAAAUCAUGUGUGGUUAGGAUAAACUGAGAUUCAUGUCGCAGAUCCCCUUUAAACAAAACCAAACUCCUUUGUAGUUAGGCUAAACUAAGAUCCCUUUCGCCGAUCCCCUUUAACCAUAACCAAAGUCUGUGUGUGGUUAGGUUAAAUUGAGAUUCCUUUUGCCGAUCCCCUUUAACCAGAACCAAAAUCCUGUGUGGUUAGGAUAAACUAAGAUUCCUUUAGUCGAUCCCCUUUAACUAGAACCAAAGUCGGUGUGUGGUUAGGAUAAACUGAGAUUUCUUUUGCCUAUUACCUUUAACAAAAACAAAAAUCUUGUGUGGUUAGUAUAAACUAAGAUUCCUUCCGCCGAUCCCCUUUAACCAGAUCCAAAUUUUGUGUGUGGUUAGGCUAAAGUGAUAUUCCUUGCGCCUAUCCCCUUUAACCAGAAACAAAAAUCUUGUGUGGUUAGGAUAAACUGAGACUCCUUUCGCCGAUCCCCUUUAAACAUAACCAAACUCCUUUACAGUUAGGCUAAGCUAAGAUCCCUUUUGCAUAUCCCUUUUAAAUAGAACCAAAGUCUGUAUAUGGUUAGGCUAAACUAAGAUCCAUUUCACCGAUCCCCUUUAACCAGAACCAAAGUCUGUGUGUGGUUAGGCUAAAGUGAGAUUCCUUACGCCUAUCCCCUUUAACCAGAACCAAAAAUCCUGUGUGCUUAAGUUAAACUGAGAUUCCAUUCGCCAAUCCACUUUAACCAGAACGAAAAAUCUUGUGUGGUUAGGAUAAAUUGAGAUUCCUUUCACCAAUCCCCUUUAAACAUAACCAAACUCCUUUAUAGUUAGGUUAAACUAAGUCCCUUUCGUCGAUACCCUUUAACCAGAACCAAAGUCUGUGUGUGGUUGGGUUAAACUAAGAUUCAUUUCACCAAUCCCCUUUAACCAGAACCAAAAUCCUGUGUGGUUAGGAUAAACUAAGAUUCCUUUCGCCGAUCCCCUUGAACCAGAACCAAAGACUGUGUGUGGUUACGUAAAAUUGAGAUUCUUUAUGCCAAUCCCCUUUAACCAGAACAAAAAAUCCUAUGUGGUUAGGAUAAACAAAGAUUCCUUUUGCCAAUCCCCUUUAACCAGAACAAAAAUCCUAUGUGGAUAGGAUAAACUGAGAUUCGUUGCGCCAAACCUCUUUAACAACAACCAAAAAUCUUGUGUGGUUAGGAUAAACUGGGAUUCCUUUCGCUAAUCUCCUUUAACUAGAACCAAAAAUCCUUUGUGGUUAGGAUAAACUGAGACUCCUUUCGUCGAUCCCCUUAAACAUAACCAAACUCCUUUGAAAAUAGGCUAAACUAAAAUCCCUUUCGCUAAUCCCCUUUAACAAGAACCAAAGUCUAUGUGUGGUAAGGUUAAACUAAGAUCCCUUAGCCAUAUCCCCUUUAACCAGAAUCAAAGUCUGUGUGUGGUUAGGUUAAACUGAGAUUCCUUUCGCCAAUCCCCUUUAACCAAAACAAAACAUCCUGUAGGGUGAGGAUAAAUUGAGAUUCCAUUCACCAAUCCCCUUUAACCAGAACCAAAGUUUGUGAGUGGUUAGGUUAAACUAAGAGUCCUUUCGCCUAUCCCGUUUCCAGAAUAAAAAAUCCUAUGUGGUUAGGAUAAACUGAGUUUCCUUUCGCCGAUCCUCUUUAAACAAAACCAAACUCCUUUGUAGUUACGCUAAACUAAGAUCCCUUUCGCCGAUCCACUUUAACCAGAACCAAAGUCUAUGUGUUAUUAGGCUAAACUAAGAUCCCUUUCGCAGAUCCCUUUUAACCAUAACUAAAGUCUGUGUGUGGUUAGGUUAAACUCAGAUUCCUUUCGCCAAUUCCCUUUAACCAGAACCAAAAUCCAUUUGCGGAUAGUAUAAACUGAGAUUCUUUCCGCCGAUCCCCUUUAACUAGAAUGAAACAUCUUGUGUGGUUAGCAUAAAUUGAGAUUCCUUUCGCCAAUCCCCUUUAAACAUAACCAAACUCCUUUAUAGUUAGGCUAAAUUAAGAUCCCUUUCACCAAUCCUCUUUAACCAGAACCAAAGUCUGUGUGUGGUUAGGAUAAACUGAGAUUCCUUUCACCAAUUCCAUUUAACCAGACCCAAAAUCCUUUAUGGUUAGGAUAAACAGAGAUUACUUUCGCCAAUCGCCUUAAACCAGAACAAAAAAUCAUGUGUGGUUAGGAUAAACUGAGAUUGCUUUCGCCAAUCUCCUUGAAACAUAACCAAAAUCCUUUAUAGUAAGGCUAAACAAAAAUCCCUUUCCCUGAUCCUCUUUAACCAGAACAAAAAUCCUGUGUGGUUAGGAUAAACUGAGAUUUGUUGCGCCAAUCCACUUUAACCACAACCAAAAAUCCUGUGUGGUUAGGAUAAACUGAGAUUCCUUUCACCAAUCGUCUUUAACCAGAACCAAAAAUCUUGUGUGGUUAGGAUAAACUAAGAUUCCUUUCGGCGAUCGCCUUUAAAGAGAACCAAAAUCCAUUUGUGGUUAGGAUAAACUGAGAUUCCUUUAAUCGAUCCCCUUUAACAAGAACCAAAAAUCCUGUGUGGUUAGGAUAAACUGAGAUUCCAUUCGCCCAUCCCCUUUAACCAGAACCAAAAUCCUCUAUGGUUCGGAUAAACGAAGAUGUCUUUUGCCAAUCCUUUUUAACCAGAACAAAAAUCUAUGUGUGGUUAUGAUAAACUGAGAUUCCUUUCGCCAAUCCCCUUUAACCAGAACCAAGAUCCUAUGUGGUUUGCAUAAACAGAGAUUCCUUUAGCCGAUCCCUUUUAAGCAGAACCAAAAAUCUUGUGUGGUUAGGAUAAACUAAGAUUCGUUUCGCCGAUCUCUUUUAACCAGAAUCAAAAUCUGUGUGUGGUUAGGAUAAACUGAGAUUCCUUGCGCCCAUCUCUUUUAACCAGAAACAAAAAAUUUAUAUUGUUAGGAUAAAUUGAGAUUGGUUGCGCCAAUCCCCUUUACCCAGAACAAAAAAUCCUGUGUGGUUAGGAUAAACUGAGAUUCCUUUCGGCGAUCCCCUUUAAACAGAACCAAAAUCCAUUUCUGGUUAGGAUAAACUCAGAUUCUUUUUGCCGAUCCCCUUUAAUUAGAACUAAAAAUCCUGUGUGGUUAGGAUAAACUGAGAUUCCAUUCGCCCAUCCCCUUUAACCAGAACCAAAAUCCUCUAUGGUUCGGAUAAACAAAGAUUCCUUUUGCCAAUCCUCUUUAACUAGAACCAAAGCCUAUGUGUGGGUAUGAUAAACUAAGAUUCCUUUCGCCAAUCCCGUUUAACCAGACCAAAAAUCCUGUGUGGUUAGGAUAAACAGAGAUUCCUUUCGCUAAUCCCCUUUAACCAGAACCAAGAUCCUAUGUGGUUUUCAUAAACAGAGAUUGCUUUAGCCGAUCCCUUUUAAGCAGAACCAAAAAUCUUUUGUGGUUAGGAUAAACUGAGAUUCGUUUCGCUGAUCUCGUUUAACUAGGAUCAAAAUCUGUAUGUGGUUAGGAUAAACUGACAUUCCUUGCGCCCAUCUCUUUUAACCAUAACCAAAAAUUUUGUAUGGUUAGGAUAAACUGAGAUUGCUUUUGCCAAUCCCCUUUAACCAGAACUAAAAUCCAUAUAUGGUUAGGAUAAAUUGAGAUUCGUUUCGUUUAUUCCCUUUAACAAGAACCUAAAUAAUUUGUGGUUAGGAUAAACUAAGAUUCCUUUCGUAAAUCCCCUUUAACAAGAACGAAAUUCUGUAUGUGGUUAGGCUAAACUGAGAAUCCUUGCGCCUAUUCCCUUUAACCAGAACCAAAAAACCUAUGUGGUUAGGAUAAAUUGAGAUUCUUUUCGCCAAUCCCCUUUAACCAGAAUAAAAAAUCCUAUGUGGUUUUGAUAAAUUGAGAUUCUUUUCACCAAUCCCCUUUAACCAUAACCAAAAAUUAUGUGUGGUUAGGAUAAACUGAUAUUCCUUUCGCUGAUCCCCUUUAAACAUAACUAGAACCAAAGUCUGUUUGUUGUUAGGCUAAACUAAGAUCCCUUUCGCAGAUCCCUUUUAACCAGAACCAAAGUCUGUGUGUGGUUAGGUUGAACGGAGAUUCCUUUCUUCAAUCCCUUUAACCAAAACCAAAAUCUUGUAUGGUUAGGAUAAACUAAGAUUCGUUGGGACUAUCCCCUUUAACCAGAACCAAAAAUCCUGUGUGGUUAGGAUAAAUUGAGAUUCCUUUCGCCAAUCCUCUUUAACCAGAACCAAAAAUCCUGUGUGGUUAGGAUAAACUCAGAUUCCUUUCCCCGAUCCCCUUUCACCAGAACAAAAAUCCAUUUGUGAAUAGGAUAAACUGAGAUUCUUUUCGCCGAUCCCCUUGAAUCAGAACCAAAAAUCCUGUGUGGUUAGGAUAAACUGAUAUUCCUUUCGUUGAUCCCCUUUAAACAUAACCAGAACCAAAGUCUGUGUGUUGUUAGGCUAAACUGAGAUCCCUUUCGCAGAUCCUUUUUAACUAGAACCAAAGUGUGUGUGUCGUUAGGUUAAACUAAGAUUCCUUUCUUCAAUCCUUUAACCAGAACAAAAAUCUUAUGUGGUUCGGAUAAUCUGAGAAUCGUUUGGCCUAUCCCCUUUAACCAGAACCAAAAAUGUUGUGGGGUUAGGAUAAACUGAGAUUCCUUUCGCCAAUCCUCUUUAACCAGAACCAAAAAUCCUAUGUGGUUAGGAUAAACUAAGAUUCCUUUCACCCAUCCCCUUUAAUCAGAAUCAAAUACAUUUGUGAAUAGGAUAAACAUAGAUUCUUUUCGCUGAUCCGCUUUAACCAGAACAAAAAAUCCCGUGUGGUUAGGAUAAACUGAGAUUCCUUUCGCCGAUCCCCUUUAAACAGAACCAAAAUUAUUUGUGGUUAGGAUAAACAAAGAUUUCUUUUGCCUAUCCUCUUUAACCAGAACCAAAGUCUGUGUGUGGUUAGGAUAAAUUGAGAUUCAUUUCGGCAAUCCCCUUUAACCUGACAUAAAAUCUUGUGUGGUUAGGAUAAACUGAGAUUCUUUUCGCCAAUCCCCUUUAAACAUAACCAAAAUCGUUUAUAGUUAGGCUAAACUAAGAUCCCUUUCGCUGAUCCCCUUUAACCAAAACAAAAAUCAUGUGUGGUUAGGAUGAACUGAGAUUCGUUGCGCCAAUCCCCUUUAACCAUAACAAAAAAUCCUGUGUGGUUAGGAUAAACUGUGAUUCAUUUCGCCAAUCCUCGUUAACCAGAACUAAAAAUCUGUGUGGUUAGGAUAAACUAAGAUUCUUUUUGCCAAUCCCCUUUAACAAGAACCAAAAUCCUCUAUGGUUAGGAUAAACAAAGAUUCAUUUUGGCAAUCCUCUUUAACCAGAACCAAAGUCUGUGUGUGGUUAGGAUAAACUGAGAUUCUUUUCGCCAAUCCCCUUUAACCUGACCUAAAAUCCUGUGUGGUUAGGAUAAACUUAGAUUCUUGUCGCCAAUCCCCUUUAAACAUAACCCAAAUCGUUUAUAGUUACGCUAAACUAAGAUCCCUUUCGCUGAUCCCCUUUAACCAAAACCAAAAUCCUGUGUGGUUAGGAUAAACUGUGAUUCCUUUCGACAAUCCUCUUUAACCAGAACCAAAAAUCUGUGCGGUUAGGAUAAACUAAAAUUCUUUUUGCCGAUCCCCUUUAACAAGAACCAAAAUCCUUGUGUGGUUAGGCUAAAGUGAGAUUCCUUGCACCUAUGCCCUUUAACUAAAACCAAAAAUCCUGUGUGGUUAGGAUAAACGGAUAUUCCAUUCGCCAAUCCCCUUUAACAAGAACUAAAAUCGUCUAUGGUUAGGAUAAAUAAAGAUUCAUUUUGGCAAUCCACUGUAACCAGAACCAAAGUCUGUGUGUUGUUAGGAUAAACUGAGAUUCAUUUCGACAAUCCCCUUUAACCUGACCUAAAAUCCUGUGUGGUUAGGAUAAACUGAGAUUCUUUUUGCGAAUCCCCUUUAAACAUCACCAAAAUCGUUUAUAGUUAGGCUAAACUAAGAUCCCUUUCGCUGAUCCCCUUUAACCAAAACAAAAAUCCUGUGUGGUUAAGAUGAAUUGAGAUUCGUUGUGCCAAUCCCCUUUAACCAUAACAAAAAAUCCUGUGUGGUUAGGAUAAGCUGUGAUUCCUUUCGCCAAUCCUCUUUAACGAGAACCAAAAAUCUGUGCGAUUAGGAUAAACUAAGAUUCUUUUUUCCGAUCCCCUUUAACAACAACAAGAAUCUGUGCGUGGUUAGGCUAAAGUGAGAUUCCUUGAACCUAUCCCCUUUAACUAGAACCAAAAAUCCUGUGUGGUUAGGAUAACCUGAAAUUCCAUUCGCCAAUCCCCUUUAACAAGAACCAAAAUCCUCUGAGGUUAGGAUAAACAAAGAUUCAUUUGGGCAAUCCUCUUUAACAAGAACCAAAGUCUAUGUGGUUAGGAUAAACUGAGAUUCUUUUCGCCAAUCCCCUUUAAACAUAACCAAAAUCGUUUUUUGUUAGGCUAAACUAAAAUCCUCUGUGGGUAGGAUAAACAAAUAUUCAUUUUGGCAAUCCUCUUUAACCAGAACCAAAGUCUGUGUGGUUAGGAUAAACUGAGAUUCAUUUGGGCAAUCCUCUUUAACCAGAACCAAAGUCUGUGUGUGGUUAGGAUAAACUGAGAUUCUUUUAUCCAAUCCCCUUUAACCUGACCUAAAAUCCUGUGUGGUUAGGAUAAACUGAGAUUCUUUUCGCCAAUCCCCUUUAAACAUAACCAAAAUUGUUUUUUGUUAGGCUAAACUAAUAUACCUUUCGCUGAUCCCCUUUAACCAAAACCAAAAUCCUGUAUGGUUAGGAUAAACUGUGAUUCUUUUCGACAAUCCUCUUUAACCAGAACCAAAAAUCUGUGUGGUUAGGAUAAACUAACAUUCUUUUUGCUGAUCCCCUUUAAACAAGAACCAAAAUCCGUGUGUGGUUAGGAUAAAGUGAGAUUCCUUGCACCUAUCCCCUUUAACUAGAACCAAAAAUCCUGUGUGGUUAGGAUAAACGGAGAUUCCAUUUGCCAAUCCCCUUUAACAAGAACCAAAAUCCUCUGUGGCUAGGAUAAACAAAGAUUCAUUUUGACAAUCCUCUUUAACUAGAGCCAAAGUCUGUGUGUGGUUAGGAUAAACUGAGAUUCAUUUCGGCAAUCCCCUUUAACCUGACCUAAAAUCCUGUGUGGUUAGAAUAAACUGAGAUUCUUUUAUCCAAUCCCCUUUAACCUGACCUAAAAUCCUGUGUGGUUAGGAUAAACUAUGAUUGUUUUCUCCAAUCCUCUUUAAACAUAACCAAAAUCGUUUAUAGUUAGGCUAAACUAAGAUCCCCUUCGCUGACCUCUUUUAACCAAAACAAAAAUCCUGUGUGGUUAGGAUGAACUGAGAUUCGUUGCGCCAAUCCCCUUUAACCAUAACCAAAAAUCCUGUGUGGUUAGGAUAAGCUGUGAUUACUUUCGCCAAUCCUCUUUGACCAGAACAAAAAAUCUGUGCGGUUAGGAUAAACUAAGAUUCUUUUUGCCGAUCCCCUUUAACAAAAACCAAAAUCCUUGUGUAGUUAGGCUAAAGUGAGAUUCCUUGCACCUAUCCCCUUUAACUAGAACCAAAAAUCCUUUGUGGUUAGGAUAAACGUAGAUUCCAUUCACCAAUCCCCUUUAACAAGAACUAAAAUCCUCUGUGCUUAGGAUAAAUAAGGAUUCAUUUUGGCAAUCCUCUUUAACCAGAUCCAAAGUCUGUGUGUGGUUAGGAUAAACUGAGAUUCAUUUUGGCAAUCCCCUUUAACCUGACCUAAAAUCCUGUGUGGUUAGGAUAAACUGUGAUUAAUUUCGCCAACCCCCUUUAAACAUAACCAAAAUAGUUUAUAGUUAGGCUAAACUAAGAUCCCUUUUGGUGAUCCCCUUUAAGCAAAACAAAAAUCCUGUGUUGUUAGGAUGAACUGAGAUUCCUUUCGCCAAUCCUCUUUAACCAGAACCAAAAAUCUGUACGGUUAGGAUAAACUAAGAUUCGUUUUGCCGAUCCCCUUUAACAAGAACCAAAAUCCUUGUGUGGUUAGGCUAAAGUGAGAUUUGUUGCACCUAUCCCUUUAACUAGAACCAAAAAUCCUGUGUGGUUACGAUAAACGGAGAUUCCAUUCGCCAAUACUCUUUAACAAGAUCCAAAAUCCUUUGUGGUUAGGAUAAACAAAGAUUCAUUUUGGGCAAUCCUCUUUAACCAGAACCAAAGUCUGUGUGUGGUUAGGAUAAACUUAGAUUCAUUUCGGCAAUCCCCUUUAACCAGACCUAAAAUCCUGUGUGGUUAGGAUAAACUGAGAUUCUUUUCGCCAAUCCCCUUUAAACAUAACCAAAAUAGUUUAUAGUUAGGCUAAACUAAGAUCCCUUUUGGUGAUCCCCUUUAAGCAAAACAAAAAUCAUGUGUGGUUAGGACAAACUGAGAUUCGUUGUGCCAAUCCCCUUUAACCAUAACCAAAAAUCCUCUUUGGUUAGGAUAAACUGUGAUUCCUUUCGCCAAUCCUCUUUAACCAGAACCAAAAAUCUGUGCGGUUAGGAUAAACUAAGAUUCUUUUUGCAGAUCCCCUUUAACAAGAACCAAAAUCCUUGUGUGGUUAGGCUUAAGUGAGAUUCCGUAGGCAUAUCCCCUUUAACCAGAACCAAAAAUCCUAUGUUGUUAGGAUAAACUGAGAUUCCAUUCGCCAAUCCCCUUUAACAAGAACCAAAAUCCUCUGUGGUUAGGAUAAACAAGGAUUCAUUUUGGCAAUCCUCUUUAACCAGAUCCAAAGUCUGUGUGUGGUUAGGAUAAACUGAGAUUCAUUUCGGCAAUCCCCUUUAACCUGACCUAAAAUCCUGUGUGGUUAGGAUAAACUGUGAUUGUUUUCGCCAAUCCCCUUUAAACAUAACUAAAAUCAUUUAUAGUUAGGCUAAACUAAGAUCCCUUUCGCUGAUCCCCUUUAACCAAAACAAAAAUCCUGUGUGGUUAGGAUGAACUGAGAUUCGUUGUGCCAAUCCCCUUUAACCAUAACCAAAAAUCCUGUGUGGUUAGGAUAAACUGUGAUUCCUUUCGCCAAUCCUCUUUAACCAGAACCAAAAAUCUGUACGGUUAGGAUAAACUAAAAUUCUUUUUGCCGAUCCCCUUUAACAAGAACCAAAAUCCUUGUGUGGUUAGGCUAAAGUGAGAUUCUUUGCACCUAUCCCCUUUAACUAGAACCAAAAAUCCUGUGUGGUUAGGAUAAACGGAGAUUCCAUUCGCCAAUCCCCUUUAACAAGAGCCAAAAUCCUCUGUGGUUAUGAUAAACAAAGAUUCAUUUUGGCAAUCGUCUUUAACCAGAGCCAAAGUCUGUGUGUGGUUAGGAUAAACUGAGAUUCAUUUCGGCAAUCCCCUUUAACCUGACCUAAAAUCCUGUGUGGUUAGGAUAAACUGAGAUUCUUUUGUCCAAUCCCCUUUAACCUGACCUAAAAUCAUGUGGUUAGGAUAAACUUUGAUUGUUUUCACCAAUCCUCUUUAAACAUAACCAAAAUAGUUUAUAGUUAGGCUAAACUAAGAUCCCCUUCGCUGACCCCUUUUAACCAAAACAAAAAUCCGGUGUGGUUAGGAUGAACUGAGAUUUGUUGCGCCAAUCCCCUUUAACCAUAAUCAAAAAUCCUGUGUGGUUAGGAUAAACUGUGAUUCCUUUCGCCAAUCCUCUUUAACCAGAACCAAAAAUAUAUGCGGUUAGGAUAAACUAAGAUUCUUUUUGCUGAUCCCCUUUAACAAGAACCAAAAUCCUUGUGUGGUUAGGAUAAACUGUGAUUGUUUGCACCUAUCCCCUUUAACUAGAACCAAAAAUCAUGUGUGGUUAGGAUAAACGGAGAUUCCAUUCGCCAAUCCCCUUUAACAAGAGCCAAAAUCCUCUGUGGUUAUGAUAAACAAAGAUUCAUUUUGGCAAUCCUCUUUAACCAGAGCCAAAGUCUGUGUGUGGUUAGGAUAAACUGAGAUUCAUUUCGGCAAUCGCCUUUAACCUGACCUAAAAUCCUGUGUGGUUAGGAUAAACUGAGAUUCUUUUGUCCAAUCCCCUUUAACCUGACCUAAAAUCAUGUGUGGUUAGGAUAAACUGUGAUUGUUUUCCCCAAUCCUCUUUAAACAUAACCAAAAUCGUUUAUAGUUAGGCUAAACUAAGAUCCCCUUCGCUGACCCCUUUUAACCAAAACAAAAAUCCUGUGUGGUUAGGAUGAACUGAGAUUUGUUGCGCCAAUCCCUUUUAACCAUAACCAAAAAUCCUGUGUGGUUAGGAUAAACUGUGAUUCCUUUCGCCAAUCCUCUUUAACCAGAACCAAAAAUAUAUGCGGUUAGGAUAAACUAAGAUUCUUUUUGCUGAUCCCCUUUAACAAGAACCAAAAUCCUUGUGUGGUUAGGCUAAAGUGAGAUUCCUUGCACCUAUCCCCUUUAACUAGAACCAAAAAUCCUGUGUGGUUAGGAUAAACGGAGAUUCUAUUUGCCGAUCCCCUUUAACAAGAACCAAAAUCCUUGUGUGGUUAGGCUUAAGUGAGAUUCCUUAGGCCAAUCCCUUUUAACCAGAACCAAAAUCCUCUGUGGUUAGGAUAAACAAAGAUUCAUUUUGGCAAUCUUCUUUAACCAGAUCCAAAGUCUGUGUGUGGUUAGGAUAAACUGAGAUUCAUUUCGGCAAUCCCCUUUAACCUGACCUAAAAUCCUGUGUGGUUAGGAUAAACUUAGAUUCUUGUCGCCAAUCCCCUUUAAACAUAACUAAAAUCAUUUAUAGUUAGGCUAAACUAAGAUCCCUUUCGCUGAUCCCCUUUAAACUAAAAUCCUGUGUGUGGUUAGGAUGAACUAUGAUUCGUUGUGCCAAUCCCCUUUAACCAUAACCAAAAAUCAUGUGUGCUAAGGAUAAACUGUGAUUCCUUUCGCCAAUCCUCUUUAACCAGAACCAAAAAUCUGUACGGUUAGGAUAAACUAAAAUUCUUUUUGCCGAUCCCCUUUAACAAGAACCAAAAUCCUUGUGUGGUUAGGCUAAAGUGAGAUUCUUUGCACCUAUCCCCUUUAACUAGAACGAAAAAUCCUGUGUGGUUAGGAUAAACGGAGAUUCCAUUCGCCAAUCCCCUUUAACAAGAGCCAAAAUCCUCUGUGGUUAUGAUAAACAAAGAUUCAUUUUGGCAAUCGUCUUUAACCAGAGCCAAAGUCUGUGUGUGGUUAGGAUAAACUGAGAUUCAUUUCGGCAAUCCCCUUUAACCUGACCUAAAAUCCUGUGUGGUUAGGAUAAACUGAGAUUCUUUUGUCCAAUCCCCUUUAACCUGACCUAAAAUCAUGUGGUUAGGAUAAACUUUGAUUGUUUUCACCAAUCCUCUUUAAACAUAACCAAAAUCGUUUAUAGUUAGGCUAAACUAAGAUCCCCUUCGCUGACCCCUUUUAACCAAAACAAAAAUCCGGUGUGGUUAGGAUGAACUGAGAUUUGUUGCGCCAAUCCCCUUUAACCAUAACCAAAAAUCCUGUGUGGUUAGGAUAAACUGUGAUUCCUUUCGCCAAUCCUCUUUAACCAGAACCAAAAAUAUAUGCGGUUAGGAUAAACUAAGAUUCUUUUUGCUGAUCCCCUUUAACAAGAACCAAAAUCCUUGUGUGGUUAGGAUAAACUGUGAUUGUUUGCACCUAUCCCCUUUAACUAGAACCAAAAAUCAUGUGUGGUUAGGAUAAACGGAGAUUCCAUUCGCCAAUCCCCUUUAACAAGAGCCAAAAUCCUCUGUGGUUAUGAUAAACAAAGAUUCAUUUUGGCAAUCCUCUUUAACCAGAGCCAAAGUCUGUGUGUGGUUAGGAUAAACUGAGAUUCAUUUCGGCAAUCGCCUUUAACCUGACCUAAAAUCCUGUGUGGUUAGGAUAAACUGAGAUUCUUUUGUCCAAUCCCCUUUAACCUGACCUAAAAUCAUGUGUGGUUAGGAUAAACUGUGAUUGUUUUCCCCAAUCCUCUUUAAACAUAACCAAAAUCGUUUAUAGUUAGGCUAAACUAAGAUCCCCUUCGCUGACCCCUUUUAACCAAAACAAAAAUCCUGUGUGGUUAGGAUGAACUGAGAUUUGUUGCGCCAAUCCCUUUUAACCAUAACCAAAAAUCCUGUGUGGUUAGGAUAAACUGUGAUUCCUUUCGCCAAUCCUCUUUAACCAGAACCAAAAAUAUAUGCGGUUAGGAUAAACUAAGAUUCUUUUUGCUGAUCCCCUUUAACAAGAACCAAAAUCCUUGUGUGGUUAGGCUAAAGUGAGAUUCCUUGCACCUAUCCCCUUUAACUAGAACCAAAAAUCUUGUGUGGUUAGGAUAAACGGAGAUUCCAUUUGCCGAUCCCCUUUAACAAGAACCAAAAUCCUUGUGUGGUUAGGCUUAAGUGAGAUUCCUUAGGCCAAUCCCUUUUAACCAGAACCAAAAUCCUCUGUGGUUAGGAUAAACAAAGAUUCAUUUUGGCAAUCUUCUUUAACCAGAUCCAAAGUCUGUGUGUGGUUAGGAUAAACUGAGAUUCAUUUCGGCAAUCCCCUUUAACCUGACCUAAAAUCCUGUGUGGUUAGGAUAAACUUAGAUUCUUGUCGCCAAUCCCCUUUAAACAUAACUAAAAUCAUUUAUAGUUAGGCUAAACUAAGAUCCCUUUCGCUGAUCCCCUUUAAACUAAAAUCCUGUGUGUGGUUAGGAUGAACUAUGAUUCGUUGUGCCAAUCCCCUUUAACCAUAACCAAAAAUCAUGUGUGCUAAGGAUAAACUAUGAUUCCUUUCGCCAAUCCUCUUUAACCAGAACCAAAAAUCUAUACGGUUAAGAUAAACUAAGAUUCUUUUUGCCGAUCCCCUUUAACAAGAACCAAAAUCCUUGUGUGGUUAGGCUAAAGUGAGAUUCGUUGCACCUAUCCCCUUUAACUAGAACCAAAAAUCCUGUGUGGUUAGGAUAAACGGAGAUUCCAUUCGCAAAUCCCCUUUAACAAGAACCAAAAUCCUCUGUGGUUAGGAUAAACAAAGAUUCAUUUUGGCAAUCCUCUUUAACCAGAACCAAAGUCUGUGUGUGGUUAGGAUAAACUGAGAUUCAUUUCGGCAAUCCCCUUUAACCUGAACUAAAAUCCUGUGUGGUUAGGAUAAACUGAGAUUCUUUUCGUCAAUCCCCUUUAACCUGACCUAAAAUCAUGUGUGGUUAGGAUAAACUGUGAUUGUUUUCCCCAAUCCCCUUUAAACAUAACCAAAAUCGUUUAUAGUUAGGCUAAACUAAGAUCCCUUUCGCUGAUCCCCUUUAACCAAAACAAAAAUCCUGUGUGGUUAGGAUGAACUGAGAUUCGUUGCGCCAAUCCCCUUUAACCAUAACCAAAAAUCCUGUGUGGUUAGGAUAAACUGUUAUUCGUUUCGCCAAUCCUCUUUAACCAUAACCAAAAAUUUGUGCGGUUAGGAUAAACUAACAUUCUUUUUACCGAUCCCCUUUAACAAGAACCAAAAUCCUUGUGUUGUUAGGAUAAACAAAGAUUCCUAGCACCUAUCCUCUUUAACUAGAACCAAAAGUCUGUGUGGUUAGGAUAAACGGAGAUUCCAUUCGCCAAUCCUCUUUAACAAGAUCAAAAAUCCUCUGUGGUUAGGAUAAACAAAGAUUCAUUUUGGGCAAUCCUCUUUAACCAGAACCAAAGUCUGUGUGUGGUUAGGAUAAACUGAGAUUCAUUUCUGCAAUCCCCUUUAACCAGACCUAAAAUUCUGUGUGGUUAGGAUAAACUGAGAUUCUUUUCGCCAAUCCCCUUUAAACAUAACCAAAAUAGUUUAUAGUUAGGCUAAACUAAGAUCCCUUUUGGUGAUCCCCUUAACCAAAACAAAAAUCCUGUGUGGUUAGGACGAACUUAGAUUCAUUGCGCCAAUCCCCUUUAACCAUAACCAAAAAUCCUGUGUGGUUAGGAUAAACUGUGAUUCCUUUCGCCAAUCCUCUUUAACCAGAACCAAAAAUCUAUGCGGUUAGGAUAAACUAAGAUUCUUUUUGCCGAUCCCCUUUAACAAGAACCAAAAUCCUUGUGUGGUUAGGCUUAAGUGAGAUUCCUUAGGCCUAUCCCUUUUAACCAGAACCAAAAAUCCUCUGUGGUUAGGAUAAACAACGAUUCAUUUUGGCAAUCCUCUUUAACCAUAUCCAAAGUUUGUGUGUGGUUAGGAUAAACUGAGAUUCAUUUCGGAAAUCCCCUUUAACCAUACCUAAAAUCCUGUGUGAUUAGGAUAAACUGAGAUUCUUUUCGCCAAUCCCCUUUAAACAUAACCAAAAUCGUUUAUAGUUAGGCUAAACUAAGAUCCCUUUUGCGGAUCCCUUUUAACCAAAACAAAAAUCCUGUGUGGUUAGGAUGAACUGAGAUUCGUUGCGCCAAUCCCCUUUAACCAUAACAAAAAAUCCUGUGUGGUUAGGAUAAACUUUGAUUCGUUUCGCCAAUCCUCUUUAACCAAAACCAAAAAUCUGUGCAGUUAGGAUAAACUAAUAUUCUUUUUGCCGAUCCCCUUUAACAAGAACCAAAAUCCUGUGUGGUUAGGAUAAACGGAGAUUCCAUUCGCCAAUCCUCUUUAACAAGAUCCAAAAUCCUUUGUGGUUAGGAUAAACAAAGAUUCAUUUUGGCAAUUCUCUUUAACCAGAACCAAUGUAAACCCCCGUAAAUAAAAAUAAAUAAUAAGAACAAUAAUAAUGAAAAGAAAAAAUAAAAAAACAAGACAUAGGAUCGAAGUAAUGACGUUUCAAUGAGUAAUGGAUAUUCGGUAUGAAAGAAAUGAAUAAAUAGUAGGAAUGACAUUAAAUGUGUCAUGUGAGAGAGAGAAUGAUCUCCAUAAACAAAUUUAAAGAUAAUGUUGAAGUCGAAAAGAGAGUCAUGAUUUUUAGUAUAAAACUUGUAACGUUGGCGAAACCAGUGAUGAGGUUUCAAUGGAUGAAAGAAUAAGAAAAAAAAAUAGAAGAUAUGUAAACCCCGGUCAAAAUACGUAUUUUGACAAAUUAAUGAUAAAUGUGGUAAUAUUGAAUUUAUUGAUUAUAAAUUAAGGGGAAAUGUCAUGAGGAUCUAAGUAAAUAAAUUAAUGCAUGAAAUUCAGAUUUUUGUGUAAAAGACACUAAUUGUCUAGUUUUACAAUAUCGAUGAUAUAUCUCAAUCCGACCGUUGGAUCGAGUUGAAAUUUUGUAAGGAAUCUCCAGACAUAUUGUUUUAUAUUAGGUUCAAAUUUCGUGUCAAUCGGAGUUGGAAAAUAUUUACGAAGAGUACUGAAAAUCGGGUAAAUGAAAGAAGAUGACACAAGGGGCAUUUUUGUAAUUUUAUCAAAACAAAUACUCUCCUCUCCUCUCUUUAAAAACAGAACACGUUCUCUGCAAAUGAAAAAGGAAACAGGAGGGAGACCAUUUGUUUUGCCCCAUUUUCUUCAUUUUCUCUUCAUCUCUUCAAGUUAAAUCAAAAGGGAGUGUUCUUAGGAGGAUCCUAUCCAAGAAAACAAAUUAAAUAACAACUUAGAGAGUAUAGAGCUUGAGAGAAACAAAGAGAAGAAGCUGGAAAUUGGAAGAGGAGGACAUGAUUUUUGUAAAGUUUUGCAAGAAUUCAUUGAAAUAAGUUAAAGUAGCAAAGGUAAGUAAUAUACCCUUUAGUAAUUUCGUUUUUCUCUCUUGUUCUUGCAUGAGGAGAAGAAAACCCCCAAGUUUAAAAUUUUAGGGUUCAUAUAAAUAUUUUGGGGGAGUAAUUGUUCAUGUGAAUUUCGAGAUUAAUUGCAUGAUAAUGGCUUGAUGUGCUGAAAAAUAGAAAGAAUCAAUUGAUUUGAAACUAUGGGUUUUGGGAUUGCGACAGGGCAGGCACUUCGGCAGCCAUAGUUUGACUUUCCACCGUUGGAUUAAAUUGAAUUUUGGAUAUGUUAUUAUGCUCAAUGUCAUCUACAUUCUGACCGGAGAGAUUGUAAAUAUCAGACUUCUUUUGAGGGCUGUCACCGGAGGAACAUUUCUGGAAAAUCACACUUCAAGACAGCCUUGUUCGUCAGAUGUUAUAUCAUCAUUUCACCGUUGGAUUGGUCUGGAUUUUGGAUAUGUUGUUGAUCCAGAUGUUAUCUAAAUUCUGAACGGUUUAGAUCGGAAAAGAACACUCCUACCAGAAAUUGUACUUCCUGAAUAGCAGGUCUCCAAAUUUCAGGUCAGUCCGUUAUUGUUCUGAUAUCGGGAGUUUUAACCGUUGGAUGUAUGUUAAUUUUGGAUAUGUUAUUAUGCUCAAUGUCACCUACAUUCUGACCGAAGGGAUUGUAAAUAUCAGACUUUUUUGUAGGGCUGUCACCGGAGGAACAUUUCUGGAAAAUCACCCUUCAAGACAGCCUUGUUCGUCAGCCGUUAUGUACUUCCUGAACAGCAGAUCUCCAAAUUUCAGGUCAGUCCGGUAUUGUUAUGAUAUCGGGAGUUUUAACCGUUGGAUGUAUGUUAAUUUUGGAUAUGUUAUUCUAAUGACGAUGAUGUAUAAUUCCACCGUUUGGAUGUAUUGAACUCUAAAUUUAAAUAAUGAUGUUUUAAGUUUGGUUUGAGAAAUAUUGAAUGAGAAUAUGAGGGUUAGCAUAAAAAGUAUGUUUUGGGACUAAGGAUAAUGGUAAUGGGUUUAAUGAUGAUGGUUGUGUUUGUGUUCUGUUUGAGUCAUGUUUGAUGUGUUGAUAAGUGAUGGUAUAGUUAAAUUCUAUAAAGAAUAGUGAUUGACUAAUAUUUUGGUUGUGUUAGAAUGGGAAAUCAUGUUGUAAGUUGAAUUAUGAUAUAAGGAAUCAUUUUGAGUGUGCUUUUGGAAAAAUUUGGCAUGUGUAGUCAUUGAUGAAAUUUAAGUUAAAUUACAUUGUUUGGUGAUAGAUUAAAUGUCUUGGGACAAAAGAAAAUCGGUGACGAAAAGUCAUGCCCUUUGGACAUUGAAGAUCAUUGAUGAAGAAUUGAAUUAAAUGGGCGUUUAAUUUAAAUUACAAGUACAAAAAUAAAAUACAUUCAUGGAAAUUAUUUACGGAAGUAUUUGAUUUUGUGAUUUUAUGAAUAUUAUGAAUAAAUCGGGAAGAUUCAAUAAUGAUUCAGGAUGUUAUAUUAAAAAUGUAGGAGAAGCAUUCACUCGACUUCUCAGGAGCUCGUAUAGUAGGAGCUUUGCAGGAGGGGCACAACAACAAGGAAGAGCGAGUUGAGCUUCUGCAGCUGGUAGGUGUUCUAUACCUACACUUUUUACGUAGCGUUAAUUUACGAACUUAUUAAAUUCUUGGUCUUUGCGUCUAUGGAUGAAACCACAAAGAGAGAGGAUAAAGUGAAAUAAACGAGAAAUUAAAAAUGGAUUUGAGUACUUGACUGGGUUAAGAAUAUGAAUUACACUAAUAGACUUCGUUGAUGAUCAUUCCUUGAACUUGAUUAGCCGGUCCCGAAUGCGGAGGCUAAUGAUGUUAGUAAGGUUUACUAACAUCGGGCUUAAAUGUUGACAAAUGGUUGAUUAGCUUCGGCUAAUGGCAUCCGAAUGGAUGACCGGGAUGAAGGAAUGAUUAGCUUCGGCUAAUGGCAUCCGGAUGGAUAGCCGGGACAAAUGAAUGAUUAGCUUCGGCUAAUGGCAUCCGAAUGGAUGGCCGGGACAAUGAAUGAUUAGCUUCGGCUAAUGGCAUCCGGAUGGAUGGCCUGGACAAAUGAAUGAUUAGCUUUGGCUAAUGGCAUCCGAAGUGGAUGACCGGGGUGAGUGAAAGGUUAAUGAUAUUGACCGGUGCUGUCAAUAUCGGCAAUCACACGAAACUUCAUUAGCCGGUCCCGAAUGCGGAGGCUAAUGAUGUUAGUAAGGUUUAGUAACAUUGGCAUAAUCAUCCCUGAAAACGAGGGAUACUGAACUUGAUUAACUAUUUGGGUGAGAAUAGUUAAUGAUAUUGACCGGUGCUGUCCAUAUCGGCAAUCACACGAAACUUGACUAGUUAUUCCUAAAGUGAAAGCUAAUGAUGUCAAGAAUCUUGACAUCAACAUUUUUGGAAAUAUUCCAAAUAAUUAUAGAAAGAAAAAUCUGAUUGGCUAUUUCAUGUUAGAAAUAGUCGAUAACAUCAAUCAAUGGUAUUAAUUUUGACGUUUAUAAUGAACUUGAUUAGCCGAUCCUAAUAUGAGAGACUAAUAACACUAAUGAAAAUUUAUUAGUAUCAGCAUUCCCUUCCAAGUUUUAGGGGAGAGGUAAUAAUUAAAAAUAUUAAUGAAAUGGGGAUUGACAUCUUGAUAGGAUUAUUCAUUUGGCCUUGAAGAGGCGAAUAUUGAUUGGAAAUUAUGGAAUAAGAUGGGCGGAGGAACUAGUUACCCGGUGAUGGGCUAGUGGCAUUAGUUUUGUUUUCAAAUGACCGGAAUAUACAACUUGAAUUAAACUUACUUGUGUGGUGUUAAUAAUGUCAGGAUGACUGACUUGUCAGAUUAUAAAUGGAAUGUUGGAUGAUACCUAAUUGUUAAACAAAAAUGGUAAUUUGUGUUUAUAUCAUGGAUUAUUGGAGAAAAAAAAAGAGAAACUAAUGAGGAUCUAAUUCUUGUGAAGGAUGGAGGCAAAUAUCGUAUCGCUUGGGACGUGAGAGCAGAAGUUCAUUAACCAUGGUAGGUGUUAUCGUAUCGCUUGGGACGUGAGAGCAAAAGUUCAUUAACCAUGGUAGGUGUUAUACACAUAAUGAAUGCAAUGAUAUAUAUAUAUAUAUAUAUAUAUAUAUAUAUAUAUAUCUAUGAUGUAUUUUGAAUUAAUUAAGGAAUUGUAAUUGAUAUAAUUUGAGAAUCAUGUCAUGCGCAUAGGGAGGAUGUCAAAGAAAUUAUGACCAAUAAUGUAAAUAUGUUGUAUUAAGGUUUCAUGUUGUUACUGGCAUGAUAAGAAUUUAGUGAUAAUUAUAAUAGUCAUAUUAUUCGAAGAUGGAUCGGAUGUGAAUAUUGUGAAAAUGAUGGCAGGUUCCAUGAUAAUGAGAGAUUUUACUGAAAAUCUAAAGAAACAUUGGAAUGUGUUGAAAUGGGCACAAGAAAUAUGUAAGUGGAAUAUAUUUAUAAACUAAAAUUGGACCGAAAUCAUGUUGAGUUUGACAACUUAUAUGGAAAAGCCAUAAUGGAUAUAAUAGAUGUUGGGAUUGAAAUUGAUAUAAAGAGAUAGAGUAAGAGGGAGAGAAAUCACAUGGUAGAUAUUAUAAUGAAUGAAAUGCGCUCAUGAGGUGAAACAAGACACGAAAUGAAAAUGUUGAAUGAUUAUAGGAAGGAUGGAUAGAGACAUAAUAAUGGAAGGAUAAAUGAGAAUUUCAAGGAACUAUGAUUGCAUAUCGUUGAAUAUAUGUUUAACUUCGUGCAUGUAUUGUGUGAUUUUCCUUUUAUGCUAUAUUUAUUAUAUACAUUAUGAAAUUGCAGGUCCUUCAGAUUCACGCUAGGAGUAGCGUUUCAGGUCCUCUAGUUUCCUUUUGCAUGAUUGAAUAAGAAGAUGAACAUUAAUGUAUUUUGUCAUUAAGGAACUAAAUGACUUAAUAUGUAAUACUACUCUUUUUACAUUAAGUGUCGGGACAUAAAAAUGUAUUAUUCUGAAUUUGUAAUCUUAGUUUGUUUACUUGCAAUUAUUAUGAAUUACGUGUGUUAAUGGGAAAGAAAUGAGCAUGCGAAAUGUGAGGCAUGUACCGUGAAUGAUGUGUUGUUGAGGUUCUACAUGAUUAUGAUGUGAUUGAAGUAUAACUGGACAGGAUGAUUGUCGAUAACUUGGGACCUCCAGAUAUGAAGGAAACUCUGCCAAAAUUUCAAUGGAAAUUUCGGCAAGUCUCAGAUAAGUUCGGUGGAUAAAAAAAAAACCCAUUUUUUUAAAAGUUAAUGCUCAAAGUUCUUUUAUGAAUGCACUAAAUUACAGGGCGUUACAACCAAAGUCUGUGUGUGGUUAGGAUAAACUGAGAUUCAUUUCGGCAAUCCCCUUUAACCAGACCUAAAAUCCUGUGUGGUUAGGAUAAACUGUGAUUGUUUUUCGCCAAUCCCCUUUAAUCAUAACCAAAAUCGUUUAUAGUUAGGCUAAACUAAGAUCCCUUUCGCUGAUCCCCUUUAACCAAAACAAAAAUCAUGUGUGGUUAGGAUGAACUGAGAUUCGUUGCGCCAAUCCCCUUUAACCAUAACCAAAAAUCCUGUGUGGUUAGGAUAAACUGUGAUUCCUUUCGCCAAUUCUCUUUAACCAGAACCAAAAAUCUAUGCAGUUAGGAUAAACUAACAUUCUUUUUACCGAUUCCCUUUAACAAGAACCAAAAUCCUUGUGUGGUUAGGAUAAACAAAGAUUCCUUGCACCUAUCCCCUUUAACUAGAACCAAAAAUCAUGUGUGGUUAGGAUAAACGAAGAUUCCAUUCGCCAAUCCUCUUUAACAAGAUCCAAAAUCCUCUGUGGUUAGGAUAAACAAAGAUUCAUUUUGGGCAAUCCUCUUUAACCAGAACCAAAGUCUGUGUGUGGUUAGGAUAAACUGAGAUUCAUUUCGGCAAUCCCCUUUAACCUGACCUAAAAUCCUGUGUGGUUAGGAUAGACUGAGAUUCUUGUCGCCAAUCCCCUUUAAACAUAACUAAAAAGCUCCUCUCUGGUUACUCAUAGAUGGCCAAAUCUAAAAAGAAGUCAUCAGUGAUGAGAUCGGCUCAGCAAGAUUAUCUUUACUGUUCAUCCCGUCCUUCGAGCUCAUAUCAACAACGGCCCUUGAGCCGGAGAAUCUCUCCAGAUCUUCAGAGACCCACAGACUCCCCCAUCCACCCUUGUCCGGCUCGAUCCUCUGUUGCCUUUGCUGAUGUGGUUAAUCAUUACCAACAACCUAGGGUUCGGGACAAGAUCCAAAAUCGGGGCAGUUACCCUACUACCUCUGCUGAUCAAUCGGGGUCUUCUAGACGCAAUCUCCAUCACAGGGACACUUUGGGAAACCCUGGGUCUUCAAACCCACGACCCGGAGGUGGUGCACCGGAUCCAGAGGCAAUGCUGGGAGUUGAAGCUUCAUCGCCUUCUCAUAUGUCGGGUAAAGCUUCAACAGCAGGUCUAGGGGCCCCUUCUUCAGAUGCCCCCCUGGUCCCCCAUCACCUCCUCUAGUCCACUUCUCCAACUUCACGGCUAGCUCUACAUGUACAUUUCUGGAUACAGAUGUGGGCACUUACAAGGACCGAUGGAGGUUCAGCUUAAUUGGGUUUAUUGCUGGCAAAUUUCCAGGUUAUACCUCAAUAUCUACAUUUAUUGCUAAUUCCUGGAAAUGCCCAGUUAAUUUUUCCAUGCAUGACUCAGGUUGGUUAAUAUUCACUUUUAACUCUGAACUGGAUAUGCUAAAUGUGUUGAAUGGGGGCCCUUAUCAUGUGCUUGGACAACUUAUGAUUCUAAAGUUAAUGCCUGAAUUUUUUUACUUUGAUACUGCUGAUAUGGUAAGGAUGCCCAUUUGGAUCAGAUUCCCUAAUCUACCACUUCAAUGUUGGUCCCCACUUUGCUUAUCCAAACUAGCAAGUGUGGUAGGGAAACCUCUUCGACUGGAUACCCCAACAUCUUCCAUGACUAGGUUAUCAUAUGCCCGGGUGUUAGUUGAGACUGAUCUACUAGCUGACCUUCCAAAUUUGAUUACCAUUUCUUUACCCAAUGGAGUUAGCAUGUCUCAGAAAGUUCAAUAUGAAUCCCUUCCGAGAUUUUGUAAGAAAUGCAGGUCUUUGGGGCACAACACCUCAGCAUGCAUCUCUCAUCCUCACAAGCGCAAACAACAAGCAAAGACAACUCACACUCCAUCUGGUUGUUCUCCUUCAGCAGACACUGAAGCGGUGGAAAAACAGAAUCCUCAUGAUGUGCCUCAUGGUAUGUCAGGAUUGAUCCUAUGUCUGCAGAGGCUGAUGUGCUGGAUGAAGCACGAAUAGAUUCUUCUACUCGUAAGCGGGUCAAACUAGCAACUCCUAUCCCUUCCACGACCCCUCUGGUUGUGCCUGUAUCCGAGGAUGCUGAUGAUGGGCCACCCCCAAGGAGACAAUACCUGACCAGAAGCAAGGCAGCUGCUACCUCGGGCCGUGCUGGGAAACAGAAACAACAUCAACCCAGCAGCUCUUCUUUGGAGGAGACCACAAGGAGCACAGCCUCUGCAUCAUCCCCAUCUUUAUGAUGGGGAAUAAGCACUCGGGCGUUCCUAGUUGCUAUGUUAUUAGCUUGUAUUCUAUAGAUCUGCUGGCUUCUAGGUCUUUGUAUUUUGCGUUGGUUGGCCUAAUGGUCUAAUGCUGCUUCUGGAAAGCGUCUGUUCUUCUUCUGUUUUGUCUCUUCUAUGGGGCGCUGCUGCUGCAUCUAGCAGGUUGCUUAGUCCCUGGUUCCCUGCAUGAGGGUUGUUCAUGAUAUAUGUUACUUCUGUUGCUUAGGUUAAAGCAUGUGUCUUUUCAGCGUCUUUGCUGAAAUUCUGUUUCUUGUACUUACUUCUGAACUUUACUGGUUUCCAGCUUGUUUUGCAAGCCCGUCUUGCUCUUUUUGACUUAAUAUACUUCUUACAUUUGAUCAAAAAAAAAUCGUUUAUAGUUAGGCUAAACUAAGAUCCCUUUCACUUAUCCCCUUUAAACUAAAAUCCUGUGUGUGGUUAGGAUGAACUGAGAUUCGUUGUGCCAAUCCCCUUUAACCAUAACCAAAAAUCCUGUGUGCUUAGGAUAAACUGUGAUUCCUUUCGCCAAUCCUCUUUAACCAGAACCAAAAAUCUGUACGGUUAAGAUAAACUAAGAUUCUUUUUGCCGAUCCCCUUUAACAAGAACCAAAAAUCCUGUGUGUUUAUGAUAAAUUAAGAUUCCUUCCGCCAAUCCCCUUUAACUAGAACAAAAAAUCAUGUGUCGUUAGUAUAAACUGAGAUUCCUUUCGCGAAUCCCAUUUAAACAUAACCAAAAUCCUUUGUAGUUAGGCUAAACUAAGAUCCCUUUCACCGAUCCCCUAUAACCAGAACGAAGGUCUAUGUAUGCUUAGGGUAAGGUGAGAUCCCUUUCACCAAUUCCCUUUAACCAAUACAAAAAUAAUGUGGUUAGACUAAACAAAGAUUCCUUACGCCAAUCCCUUUUAACCAGAACCAAAAAUCAUGUGUGGUUAGGAUAAAGUGAGAUUCCUUUCGCCAAUCCUUUUUAAACAUAACCAAAAUUCUUUGUAGUUAGGCUAAACUGAGAUCCCUUUCGCCAAUCCCCUUUAACCAGAACCAAAAUCCUAUGUGGUUACGAUAAAUUGAGAUUCCUUCCGCCAAUCCCCUUUAACUAGAACACAAAAUCAUGUGUAGUUAGUAUAAACUGAGAUUCCUUUCGCUAAUCCCAUUUAAACAUAACCAAAAUCCUUUGUAGUUAGACUAAACUAAGAACCCUUUCGCUGAUGCCCUUAAACCAGAACGAAAGUAUGUUUGUGCUUAGGGAAAACUGAGAUCCUUUUCCCCAAUCCCCUUCAACCAGUACUAAAAUCCUGUGUGUUUAGGAUAAAUUAAGAUUCCUUCCACCAAUCCCUUUUAACUAAAACAAAAAAUCAUGUGUGGUUAGGAUAAACUAAGAUUCCUUUUGCCAAUCCCUUUUAAACAUAACCAAAAUCCUUUGUAGUUAGGCUAAAAUAAGAUCCCUUUCACCGAUCCCCUUUAACCAGAACCAAAGUCUGUGUGCGGUUAGGUUAAACUUAGAUUCCUUUCGCCAAUCCUCUUUAACCAGAACCAAAAUCCUAGGUGGUUAGAAUAAACUGUGAUUGCUUUCGCCAAUCCCCAUUAAACAUAACCAAAAUCCUUUGUAGUUAGGCUAAAAUAAGAUCCCUUUCGACAAUCCCUUUUAACCAGAACCAAAGUCUGUGCAUGGUUAGGUUAAACUUAGAUUCGUUUCGCCAAUCCUGUUUAACCAGAACCAAACUCCUGUGUGGUUAGGAUAAACAAAGAUUCCUUUCUCCAAUCCCCUUUAACUAGAACAAAAAAUCAUGUGUGGUUAGGAUAAAUUGUGAUUCCUUUUGCCAAUCCCCUUUAAACAUAACCAAAAUCCUUUAUAGUUAGGCUAAACUAAGAUCCCUUUCGCCGAUCCCCUUUAACCAGAACGAAGGUCUGUGUGUGCUUAGGGUAAACUGAGAUCAAUUUCGCCAAUCCCUUUAACCAGUACCAAAAUCCUGUGUGGUUAGACUAAACUGAGAUACCUUAUGCCAAUCUCGUUUAACCAGAACCAAAAAUCAUGUGUGGUUAGGAUAAACUGAGAUUCAUUUCGCCAAUCCUAUUUAAACAUAACCAAAAUCCAUUGUAGUUAGCCUAAAAUAAGAUCCCUUUCGCCGAUCCCCUUUAACCAGAACCAAAGUCUGUGUGUGGUUAGGUUAAACUGAGAUUCAUUUCGCCGUUCCUGUUUAACGAGAACCAAAGUCCUGUGUGGUUAGGUUAAACUGAGAUUCCUUUCACCGACAGCUUUAACCAAAACAAAAAUCCUAUGUGGUUUGGAUAAACUGAGAUUCCUUUCGCCAAUACCCAUUAAACAUAACCAAAAUCCUUUGUAGUUAGGCUAAACUAAGAUCCCUUUCGCCGAUCCCCUUUAACCAGAAUCAAAUUCUAUGUGUGGUUAGGUUAAACUUAGAUUCCUUUCGCCAAUCCUCUUUAACCAUAACCAAAAUACUGUGUGGUUAGGAUAAACUGUGAUUGCUUUUGCCAAUCCCCUUUAAAUAUAACCAAAAUCCUUUGUAGUUUUUUUUUUUUUUUUAGUCGUGCAGCUCCGCAAGCCAUCUCCCACCAGAGAUCAAAAUAACUGAGAGCUCUAUCUUAUGAUAAAAACAUACAUCCAAACAGCAUCUCUAGGACCAACCAAUAGAAUCAACACGAGAAUAGCCACAUAAAGAAACCAAGCAGGACAUGAAGAGACCAGACCAUAGAAACCGGAACCAAGCUGAGUCGUGCAGCUCCGCAAGCCAUCUCCCACCAGAGAUCAAAAUAAUUGAAGCCUAACACAGCCAAGACAGCCCAAUAAAAGCAACCGACAGAUCAUGUGUAGGGACCGCGCGUAGGCAACUUAACCAAACAGGGGCCGACACUCACCAUAAUAGCAGGCCUAACAAAUUAAUAUUUUAGCAGCAAUGGACAUUAGUCAGCAGACCACAUUCAGAGAACGAAGGAAGGAGAGCCCUUUCAUCAUCACAUUCAUGGAACUUUCAUCAUCACAACCAAGAAAGCAGAGCCCUUUCAUCAUAACAAAGGAAGCCAAUCAGAAUAUCCCACCCAUCCAGAUUAAAGGAAGAACCAUGCGGAGGCUAAAAGGCUAACAGCCAAUAACGGGCAGCUAUGUGUAACUCCAGCAUGAGGGAAGAAUAAGAGGGGGCCCAUCAUCAAAGAGUUUCUCGUGAGGCCGAAAGCAUGAGCCAUGCAUUCAUGUUGCAACACUCUGAAGGAGAGGGCCAUGACUAUAUAAUUCCAGCACAAAAGAGAGCAGCCACCCGAGGACGAAGCUUAGUCAAGAAAAACCCCAUUUGCAUGAACCAUGCACACUCGGGAUGAACCCGCUUCAUAUAUCUGCCAAAGAAGAACUCACUUGGACCCACCCAUGCAUUACCCAUGCAGCAGCAUACGUCCAAAGAGCCACGUGAAAUGGAGCCAAAUAAAUUCAGCUUCUUCAUAUACAAGCAGCCAGUCUUGAAUCACAGUGUUCAUCUUCGAUAUGUAUAUGCAGCAGUUCCCAUCAACCAACUAGCAGCGAAAGUUGAACAAAAGCAUUGCCAUGAGCAGCUUAUCUUCUGAGGACCGCAACAUGCACCUCAACCAACAUUGAGAAUGUGCUGGUCUUUCUCGUAGAAGUGAAAAACAGUAUAGAACAUAAUCUGAAAUUUUCUAAAAAGAAUGCCCACAGCAGUACUCUUUCCUUCAAAAGUUCUCUUAUUUCUUUCUUCCCAGAUGAGAUAAACCGUGAGACCCAAAGAGACUCUUCUCAUUCGGGCUUCUAAGUUAUUUCCUCCAGUAUGAAGCCCCCUGAUGGCACUGGUCAAGGCCAUCAUCCUUCUAUUGAUGCGCAUCCACAACUUGAUUUGCAACUAGAGGCAAGCUGACCAAGGGCAAGUGAAAAAUAAGUGGCUAUGGGAUUCCUCUAUCUGCCCACACAGUACACACGAGGUAUCUAAUUGAACAAAACGCAGUCGAUCUUUUGUUCUUAAUUUUCCCAACACUGCUAACCAUAAAAUGAAGUUGUGUCUUGGCAUAGACCAUUUCUCCCAUACCACUCGCGCCCAGUUAACUUGAGGACCAGAGAGUCUAAAAUAAUUAUAUGCUUGCAUCGAGAAGCUGUCAACCCCUCUGUUCCAUUGCCGAAGUAAUGCUACUGCUUCCUUUUGGCACCCACAGUCUUCAAGCAACUGAUCUUUUAGCAUAAUAAUAGAUUUCCAAAGAGGGGAUGAAGAGUGAGGAGCAGUCACAGCCCAUAUAAUAUUCUGACACAGGUAAAAGUGAUGAACCCAUUUGAUCCAUAUGGAGUCAGUUUUGAGAUGGAUAUUCCAGAGCUGUUUUGCUAAGAAACUCUUGUUACGAGCUUUUAGAUCAAAUAGACCUAGGCCUCCUUCUUUUUUGGGGAGACACAGCUGCUUCCAGGCCACCAGAGCAGAGUUGUUGUUUGUAUGGUUGCCUGACCACAAGAAGUUUCUGCAGAUGCAAAUAAUUUGAUGAAUGACAUUGCUUGGCAUAGGAAAGAUGCUAAGCCAGAACUGAACCAUUCCAUAGAGUAUUGUCCGCACUAGCUCCAAUCUCCCAGCGUAAGUGAGAUGUUUUCCCAUCCAACUUUGCACUGCCAAUUUCAGUUUUUGCAACAGAGGAGAGUAUUGGCUUGCUAGAAGUCUGUGGGGACUGAGAGGGACACCAAGAUAUUUGAAGGGGAAACUUCCUUCUCUGAAGCCGGUGUCAUGGAGGAUUAACUGCUUCAAACUGUCUCUAACUCCCCCAAAAAAGAUUGAUGAUUUCGCUGCAUUUAUAGUCAACCCUGAAGUUUGCCCGAAGAUGAUUAGCUGCUGGAAAAUAGUGGAAACCGAGUGUCUAUCUCCACGAGACAGCAAAAGCACAUCAUCAGCAAAGGCAAGGUGGCAUAUAUCAUGGACAUUACAUUUCGGGUGGAAGCGAAAAUCAUUAUUCCUCGAUGCUAGCUUAAGCAUUCUAGAGAAGUAUUCCAUGCAUAUGAUGAAUAAAUAUGGUGAUAAUGGAUCACCUUGUCUAACUCCACUCUUCCCCAGGAAAGAAACCAUAAAGAGUGCCAUUAACUACAAUAGAGAAGGAUGUAGUUUCAACACAUUUCAUAAUUAAGUGCACAAAUCGGUAUGGGAAGCCAAACACAUGCAGCAGCUGACGCAGAAAAUGCCACUGAACUGAAUCAAAAGCUUUCUUAAAAUCAACCUUCAUGAGACAUCUAGGAGAAGCUCUUUUCCUGCCGUAAUGACGAAGGAGCUCCUGGACUAAAUUGAUGUUGUCUGACAUCAUUCUCCCACCUAGAAAGGCAUUUUGCAAUGGGCUAAUAAUGACAUUUAGAGCAGAAGCUAAUCUCCCCGAAAGGAUUUUAGAUAUCACUUUAUAGAUCACAUUACAACAAGAAAUGGGCCAAAAGUCAGCUGCUGUAUUUAUAUAUAUAUAUAAAAAAAAAGAGUUUUUUCAGAAACAUUUUGCUGCCAUGAUGCUUAUUCAAAGGAGUUUGUUCCCUUUGAUUCUAGGUAGGGAGGUUGUUCCCUUAGUUUCUUUUCAGCAAGCUUGCCUUGCUUAUGGUUUGUUCAAGGGAGUCUGUUCCCUUUGCGUUCUGUCCAGCAAGUUUAUCUUGCUUUUGUUUUAGUCAAGGGAUUUUAUUCCCUUCUCCUUGUAUUGCUGGUCUCCAGCUUCUUUUUGAUCUAUACAAUUCUUACAUUUGAUCAAAAUAAUAAUAAUAAUAAUCCUUUGUAGUUAGGAUAAUCUAAGAUCCCUUUCGACUAUCCCCUUUAACCAUAACCAAAGUCUGUGUGUGGUUAGGUUAAACUUAGAUUCGUUUCGCCAAUCCUCUUUAACCAGAACCAAACUCCUGUGUGGUUAGGAUAAACUGAGAUUCCUUUCUCCAAUCCCCUUUAACCAGAACCAAAAAUCUUAUUUGGUAAGGAUAAAAUGAGAUUCCUUUUGCUAAUCCCAUUUAAACAUAACGAAAAUCCUUUGUAGUUAGGCUAAACUGAGAUCCCUUUUGCCAAUCCCCUUUCACCAGUACUAAAAUCUUGUGUUUUUAGGAUAAAUUGAGAUUCCUUUCGCCAAUCCCCUUUAACUAGAACCAAAAAUCAUGUGUAGUUAGUAUAAACUGAGAUUCCUUUCGCUAAUCCCAUUUAAACAUAACCAAAAUCCUUUAUAGUUAGGCUAAACUAAGAUCCCUUUCGCCGAUCCCCUUUAACCAGAACGAAGGUCUGUGUGUGCUUAGGGUAAACUGAGAUCCCUUUCGCCAAUCCCUUUAACCAGUACCAAAAUCCUAUGUGGUUAGACUAAGUUGAGAUACCUUACACCAAUCCCGUUUAACCAGAACCAAAAAUCAUGUGUGGUUAGGAUAAACUGAGAUUCCUUUCUCCAAUCCUAUUUAAACAUAACCAAAAUCCAUUGUAGUUAGCCUAAAAUAAGAUCCCUUUCGCCGAUCCCCUUUAACCAGAACCAAAGUCUGUGUGUGGUUAGGUUAAACUGAGAUUCAUUUCGCUGAUCCUGUUUAACGAGAACCAAAGUCCUGUGUGGUUAGGUUAAACUGAGAUUCCUUUCGCCGACAGCUUUAACCAAAACAAAAAUCCUAUGUGGUUUGGAUAAACUGAGAUUCCUUUCGCCAAUACCCAUUAAACAUAACCAAAAUCCUUUAUAGUUAGGCUAAACUAAGAUCCCUUUCGCCGAUCCCCUUAAACCAGAAUGAAGGUGUGUGUGUGCUUAGGAUAAACUGAGAUCCCUUUCGCCAAUCCCCUUUGACCAGUACCAAAAUCUUGUGUGGUUAGACUAAACUGAGAUUCCUUACGCCAAUCCCAUUUAACCUGAACCAAAAAUCAUGUGUGGUUAGGAUAAACUGAGAUUCCUUUCGCCAAUCCCAUUUAAACAUAACCAAAAUCCAUUGUAGUUAGGCUAAAAUAAGAUCCCUUUCGCCGAUCCCCUUUAACCAGAACCAAAGUCUGUGUGCGAUUAGGUUAAACUUAGAUUCGUUUCGCCAAUCCUCUUUAACAAGAACCAAAAUCCUGUGUGGUUAGAAUAAACUGUGAUUGCUUUUAUCAAUCCCCUUUAAACAUAACCAAAAUCCUUUGUAGUUAGGCUAAAAUAAUAUCCCUUUCGACUAUCCCCUUUAACUAGAACCAAAGUCUGUGUGUGGUUAGGUUAAAAUUAGAUUCGUUUCGCCAAUCCCCUUUAACCAGAACAAAAAUCCUGUGUGGUUAGGAUAAACAGAUAUUCCUUACGCAAAUCCCGUUUAACAAGAACCAAAAAUCAUGUGUGGUUAGGAUAAAAUGAGAUUCCUUUUGCUAAUCCCAUUUAAACAUAACGAAAAUCCUUUGUAGUUAGGCUAAACUAAGAUCCCUUUCACGGAUGUCCUUUAACCAGAACGAAAGUGUGUGUGUGCUUAGGGUAAACUGAGAUCCUUUUCGCCAAUCCCCUUUAACCAAUACCAAAAUCCUAUGUGGUUAGCCUAAACUGAGAUUCCUUACGCCAAUCCCUUUUAACCAGAAUCAAAAAUCAUGUGUGGUUAGGAUAAAUUGUGAUUCCUUUCGCCAAUCCCUUUAAACAUAACCAAAAUCCUUUGUAGUUAGGCUAAACUGAGAUCCCUUUCGCCAAUCCCCUUUAACCAGUACUAAAAUCCUGUGUGUUUAGGAUAAAUUGAUAUUCCUUUCGCCAAUCCCCUUUAACUAGAACAAAAAAUCAUAUUGUAGUUAGUAUAAACUGAGAUUCCUUUCGCUAAUCCCAUUUAAACAUAACCAAAAUCCUUUGUAGUUAGGCUAAUCUAAGAUCCCUUUCGCCGAUCCCAUUUAACCAGAACGAAGGUCCGUGUGUGCUUAGGGUAACCUGAGAUCCCUUUCGCCAAUCCCCUUUAACCAGUACCAAAAUCCUGUGUAGUUAGACUAAACUGAGAUUCCUUACGCCAAUCCCUUUUAACCAGAACCAAAAAUCAUGUGUGGUUAGGAUAAACUGUGAUUCCUUUCUCCAAUCCCCUUUAAACAUAACCAAAAUCCAUUGUAGUUAGGCUAAAAUAAGAUCCCUUACACCGAUCCCCUUUAACCAGAACCAAAGUCUGUGUGGGGUUAGCUUGAACUGAGAUUCAUUUCGCCAAUUCUGUUUAACGAGAACCAAAAUCCUGUGUGGUUAGGUUAAACUAAGAUUUCUUUCACUGACCGCUUUAACCAAAACAAAAAUCCUGUGUGGUUUGGAUAAACUGAGAUUCCUUUCGCCAAUCCCCUUUAACCAGUACUAAAAUCCUGUGUGUUUAGGAUAAAUUGAGAUUCAUUGCGCCAAUGCCCUUUAACUAGAACCAAAAAACAUGUGUAGUUACUAUAAACUGAGAUUCCUUUCGCAAAUCUCAUUUAAACAUAACCAAAAUCCUUUGUAGUUAGGCUAAUAUAAUAUCCGUUUAGACUGUCCCGUUUAACCAGAACCAAAGUCUGUGUGUGGUUAGGUUAAACUUAGAUUCGUUUCGCCAAUCCUCUUUAACCAGAACCAAAAUCCUGUGUGGUUAGGAUAAACAGAGAUUCCUUACGCAAAUCCCCUUUAACAAGAACCAAAAAUCUUGUGUGGUAAGGAUAAAAUGAGAUUCCUUUUGCUAAUCCCAUUUAAACAUAACAAAAAUCCUUUGUAGUUAGGCUAAACUAAGAUCUCUUUCGCCGUUGCCCUUUAACCAAAACGAAAGGCUGUGUGUGCUUAGGGUAAACUGAGAUCCCUUUCGCCAAUCCCCUUUAACCAGUACCAAAAUCCUUUGUUGUUAGACUAAACUGAGAUUCCUUACGCCAAUCCCUUUUAACCAGAAGCAAAAAUCAUGUGUGAUUAUGAUGAACUUAGAUUCCUUUCGCCAAUCCCAUUGAAACAUAACCAAAAUCCUUUGUAGUUAGGCUAAAAUAAGAUCCUUUUCACCGAUCCCCUUUAAACAGAAACAAAUUCUAUAUGUGGUUAGGUUAAACUUAGAUUCCUUUUGUCAAUCCUCUUUAACCAGAACCAAAAUACUGUGUGGUUAGGAUAAACUGUGAUUGCUUUCGCCAAUCCCCUUUAAACAUAACCAAAAUACACUGUAGUUAGGCUAAACUAAGAUCCCUUUCGACUAUCCCCUUUAACCAAAACCAAAGUCUGUGCGUGGUUAGGUUAAACUUACAUUCGUUUCGCCAAUCCUCUUUAACCAGAACCAAAAUCCUGUGUGGUUAGGAAAACAAAGAUUCCUUACGCAAAUCCCCUUUAACAAGAACCAAAAAUCUUGUGUGGUAUGGAUAAAAUGGCAUUCCUUUUGCGAAUCCCAUCUAAACAUAACGAAAAUCCUUUGUAGUUAGGCUAAACUAAGAUCCCUUUCGCCGAUGUCCUUUAACCAAAACGAAAGUCAGUGUGUGCUUAGGGUAAAUUGAGAUCCCUUUCGCCAAUCCCCUUUAACCAGUACCAAAAUCCUGUGUGGUUAGACUAUUGAUGUAACCAUAUUAUUCGAUAGUUUCACCCGCAUUUAACUAGUGUUUUGCAUAUGUUAUUUAUAUAAAAUGCCUUGAUAUUCUUUGUUUUAUGUUUUAAAGGCAUUUUUGGAUGAAAGAUGCAAAAAGGAGUAAAUUGGAGGUAAUUGGCAGAUUUGAUGUUCAGUCGGUAUUUUGUGCAGAGCGUGAGUUCCAGAGAUCGAAAUGAAGUGAUUCCAGUGGCAUUAAAAAGCUAUCAUCCAUACCUUUUUGGAAAUGUAAUGCAAGAAAAAUAAAAAGAGAAAGAUCAUGGAAAUCACAUCCUUCAAAGUCAAAUCUCGCAGUCUGCCAAUGUUGACCUUUGCCCAUUCAAAAUUCAAUAUCUGGAGCUUCAGAAGUCCAAUUGAUGCAAACUCAAUUUUUUGGAUUCCUUACUCAAAGAUCUAUAAACGCUCCAAAUUUCAGCCAAAAACGAUGUCAUAUGAGGUAUAUAUGAUUUUUCAAAGAUGACAGCUGAAUUCUGCCAGCAAGCAGGUUGCGUGAAGAAACGAAUCCAAAUUUCAUCUAGAAGCAUCCAAACCCACCAGCAAUUUAGCUCCUCUAGUAAAUAUUCUAGAAGGUCAAGGAAGGCAGCCACCAACCUCAUGGCAGCCACCAACCUCAUGGCAGCCACCAACCUCAAGACAGCAGCCAGCAGCCAGCAGCCACCAGCCGCCAGCCGCCUUCACACUACCACCAUCUAUUGAUGUUCACACUUGAACUUUGAUUUUCUUACUUACAAUUUGUGUAUAAAUAGAGGGUGAGUAGAAGGAGGUAGCAAGAAGAAGAAGAAGAAGAAGAAGAAGAAGAAGAAGAAGAAGAAGUAGAAGGAGUAGAGAAGAAGAAGAAGGAGGAGGAAAACACAAACUCUCCUCUCUACAAAUCAGAAAUUAUGUAUUCUUUCAUCUUUAGGAGUAGUUGUUCAAUAGAUAUGCAAGGCUAAGCUCGUUUUCUUGGUUGCAAGGACACAAACAAACCUUCGGAUUUCAAGAACUGUGAGAUUUAUUCUUCCUUUUAUUUUCAGUUUAUGUUAUGAAUGAGUAUGUUUGUUUUCCUAUGCAUAUUUCCUAUGAUUGUUUAUCUUAAUUGCUAGAGCGGACUCUAAGUUAUUAUUGUGAACAAUCUAUUGCUAAGUUUGAUAUCAAAACCGGAGUUGUGGUAUAUAAACUUGUGAAGCAACUAAGCUUGAUAAUUGUAGCGGAACUACGUUAUUAAACUUAGGGAGAACAUUCGAUCAUAGCAACACAAAUUGACAACUUGGUUGUUAAGAUUAAUGAAUUUAUCUGGAUCUUAAGGCUGUCAUUGGAUUAAAUCAUUAGUGCGGACACUGUGAUUGUUUGUUGGUUAGGGCUAGUUAUACGGCGGAUCCGUUAAUUAACCAAUAUUAAGAAAAGAUAAAAUUCAUAAUAUAAACUGGAGUUUCGUUUCAAGGAUCGGUUCUAAUUUCCGUUGGUGGUGUGUGCUUGCAACCAAGGUUUGUUUUCUUGAUAUAUUUCAGUUUCAAUUAAUUUUGUUUGCUAGUUUAAUUUCUGCCAUAGUUUAAAUCAUUUCAAAUCAAUCCCCCCCCAAUUACAUAACGUACAACAUAAAAAUCUAACUUCAAACUUCCUCGUGGGAUCGACCCCUUGCUUGCUCUAUACUAUCUUGUGUGUUUUAAGCUAGGGUAAUUAAUUUGUGCGACCGCGACAUCGCAACAACUAUACUGAGAUUCCUUACGCCAAUCCCUUUUAACCAGAAGCAAAAAUCAUGAGUGAUUAGGAUGAACAGAGAUUCCUUUUGCCAAUCCCAUUGAAACGUAACCAAAAUCCUUUGUAGUUAGGCUAAAAUAAGAUCCUUUUCACCGAUCCCCUUUAACCAGAACCAAAUUCUGUGUGUCGUUAGGUUAAACUUAGAUUCCUUUCGCCAAUCCUCUUUAACCAAAACAAAAAUCCUUUGUGGUUAGGAUAAACUGUGAUUGCUUUCGCGAAUCCCUUUUAAACAUAACCAAAAUCCUUUGUAGUUAGGCUAAAAUAAGAUCCCUUUCGACUAUCCCCUUUAACCAGAACCAAAGUUUGUGCGUGGUUAGGUUAAAAUUAGAUUCGUUUCGCCAAUCCUCUUUAACCAGAACCAAAAUCCUGUGUGGUUAGGAUAAACAGAGAUUCCUUACGCAAAUUCCCUUUAAAAAAAACCAAAAAUCUUGUGUGGUAAGGAUAAAAUGAGAUUCCUUUUGCUAAUCCCAUUUAAACAUAACGAAAAUCCUUUGUAGUUAGGCUAAACUAAGAUCCCUUUCGCCGAUGUCCUUUAACCAAAACGAAAGUCUGUGUGUGCUUAGGGUAAACUGAGAUCCCUUUCGCCAAUCCCCUUUAACCAGUACCAAAAUCCUGUGUGGUUAGACUAAACUAAGAUUCCUUACGCCAAUCCCUUUUAACCAAAACCAAAAAUCAUGUGUGAUUAGGAUGAACUGAGAUUCCUUUUGCCAAUCCCAUUGAAACAUAACCAAAAUCCUUUGUAGUUAGGCUAAAAUAAGAUCCUUUUCACCGAUCCCCUUUAACCAGAACCAAAUUAUGUAUGUGGUUAGGUUAAACUUAGAUUCCUUUCGCCAAUUCUCUUUAACCAGAACCAAGAUAUUGUGUGGUUAGGAUAAAUUGUGAUUGCUUUUGCCAAUCCCCUUUAAAUAUAACCAAAAUCCUUUGUAGUUAGGCUAAAAUAAGAUCCCUUUCGCCGAUGCCUUUUAACCAAAACGAAGGUCUGUGUGUACUUAGGGUAAACUGAGAUCCCUUUCACCAAUCCCCUUUAACCAAUACCAAAAUCCUAUGUGGUUAGCAUAAACUGAGAUUCCUUACGCCAAUCCCUUUUAACUAGAAUCAAAAAUCAUGUGUGGUUAGGAUAAAUUGUGAUUCCUUUCACCAAUCCCCUUUAAACAUAACCAAAAUCCUUUAUAGUUAGGCUAAACUAAGAUCCCUUUCGCCGAUCCCCUUUAACCAGAACGAAGGUCUGUGUGUGCUUAGGGUAAACUGAGAUCCCUUUCGCGAAUCCCUUUAACCAGUACCAAAAUCCUGUGUGGUUAGACUAAAAUGAGAUACCUUACGCCAAUCCCGUUUAACCAGAACCAAAAAUCAUGUGUGGUUAGGAUAAACUGAGAUUCCUUUCGCCAAUCCUAUUUAAACAUAACCAAAAUCCAUUGUAGUUAGCCUAAAAUAACAUCCCUUUCGUCGAUCCCCUUUAACCAGAACCAAAGUCUGUGUGUGGUUAGGUUAAACUGAGAUUCAUUUCGCCGAUCCUGUUUAACGAGAACCAAAGUCCUGUAUGGUUAGGUAAAACUGAGAUUGCUUUCGCCGACAGCUUUAACCAAAACAAAAAUCCUAUGUGGUUUGGAUAAACUGAGAUUCCUUUCGCCAAUACCCAUUAAACAUAACCAAAAUCCUUUGUAGUUAGGCUAAACUAAGAUCCUUUUCGCCGAUCCCCUUAAACCAGAACGAAGGUGUGUGUGUGCUUAGGAUAAACUGAGAUCCCUUUCGCCAAUCCCCUUUGACCAGUACCAAAAUCUUGUGUGGUUAGACUAAACUGAGAUUCCUUACGCCAAUCCCAUUUAACCUGAACCAAAAAUCAUGUGUGGUUAGGAUAAACUGAGAUUCCUUUCGCCAAUCCCAUUUAAACAUAACCAAAAUCCAUUGUAGUUAGGCUAAAAUAAGAUCCCUUUCGUCGAUCCCCUUUAACCAGAACCAAAGUCUGUGUGCGAUUAGGUUAAACUUAGAUUCGUUUCGCCAAUCCUCUUUAACAAGAACCAAAAUCCUGUGUGGUUAGGUUAAACUGAGAUUCCUUUCGCCGAACCGCUUUAAACAGAACCGAAAUCCUCUGUGGUUUGGAUAAACUAAGAUUCCUUUCACCAAUCCCCUUUAAACAUAACCAAAAUCCUUUGUAGUUAGGCUAAAAUAAGAUCCCUUUCACCGAUCCCCUUUAACCAAAACCAAAAUCCUGUGUGUUUAGGAUAAAUUGAGAUUCAUUCCGCCAAACCCCUUAAACUAGAACCAAAAAACAUGUGUAGUUACUAUAAACUAAGAUUCCUUUCGCGAAUCUCAUUUAAACAUAACCAAAAUCCUUUGUAGUUAGGCUAAAAUAAGAUCCCUUUCGACUAUCCCCUUUCACCAGAACCAAAGUCUGUGCCUGGUUAGGUUAAACUUAGAUUCGUUUCGCCAAUCCUCUUUAACCAGAACCAAAAAUCAUGUGUGGUUAGGAUAAAAUGUGAUUCCUUUCCCCAAUCCCCUUUAAAUAUAACCAAAAUCCUUUGUAGUUAGGCUAAACUGAGAUCCCUUUCGCCAAUCCCCUUUAACCAGUACUAAAAUCCUGUGUGUUUAGGAUAAACUGAGAUUCCUUUCUCCAACCUCCUUUAACAAGAACCAAAAAUCAUGUGUGGUUAGGAUAAAUUGUGAUUCCUUUCGCUAAUCCCCUUUAAACAUAACCAAAAUCCUUUGUAGUUAGGAUAAACUGAGAGCCCUUUCGCCGAACCCCUUUAACCAAAACCGAAGUCUUUGUGUGGUUAGGUAAACUGAGAUUCCUUUCGCCGAUCCUCUUUAACGAGAACCAAAAUCCUGUGUGGUUAGGAUAAACUGAGAUUCCUUUCGCCAAUCCCUUUUAAGAAGAACCAAAAUCCAAGUGUGGUUAGGAUAAACUGGGAUUCGUUUUGCCAAUCCCCUUUAACUAGAACCAAAAUCCUGUGUGGUUAGGAUAAACAGAGAUUCCUUACGCAAAUCCCCUUUAACAAGAACCAAAAAUCAUGUGUUGUUAGGAUAAACUGAGAUUCCUUUUGCGAAUCCCAUUUAAACAUAACCAAAAUCCUUUGUAGUUAAGCUAAACUAAGAUCCCUUUCGCCGAUCCCCUUUAACGAGAACAAAAGUAUGUGUGUAGUUAGGGUGAACUGAGAUCCUUUUCGCCAAUCCACUUUAACCAAUACCAAAAUCCUCUGUGUUUAGGAUAAAUUGAGAUUCCUUUCGUCAAUCCCCUUUAACCAGAACCAAAAAUCAUGUGUGGUUAGGAUAAAUUAUGAUUCCUUUCCCCAAUUCCCUUUAAACAUAACCAAAAUCCUUUGUUUUUACGCUAAACUGAGAUCCGUUUCGCCGAUCCCUUUUAACCAGAACCAAAAUCUAUGUGUGGUUAGGCUAAAUUGAGAUUCCUAGUUGCAAUCCCUUUUAACCAGAACCAAAAAUCCUAUGUGGUUAGAAUAAACUGAGAUUCCUUUCGCCAAUCCCCUUAAAACAUAACCAAAUUGCUUUAUCGUUAGGCUAAAAUGAGAUUCCUUUCGCCGAUCCCCUUUAACUAGAACCAAUGUCUGUGUGUGGUUAGGUUAAACUAAGAUCCCUUUCACCGAUCCCCUUUAACCAGAACCAAAGUCUGUGUGUGGUUAGGUUAAACUAAGAUCCCUUUCGCCGAUCCCCUUUAACCAGAGCCAAAAUCUGUGUGUGGUUAGGUUAAAAUGAGAUUCCUUGCGCAAAUCCCCUUUAACCAAAACCAAAAAUUAUAUGUGAUUAGGAUAAACUGAGAUUCCUUUCACCAAUCCCCUUUAAACAUAACCAAAAUCCUUUGUAGUUAGGCUAAACUGAGAUCCCUUUUGCUGAUCCUCUUUAACCAAAACCAAAGUUUGUGUGUAGCUCGAUCAACCUGGGAUCCUAUUUGGCGACUCCCUUCAACCAAAGCUAAAAUCUUCAUGUUGUUGUUAACCUAAGAUUCCUUCUAGCAAUCUCUUUUAACCAAAAAAUAUGUUUCUUCUUCAAGAUGAUAGGGUUCGAAUUGAAUACUCUUCUUUAUUAAUCUUCUUAUUUCUUUGAGACUUCUCUAAUGUUAGGGUUUAUCUCAUCUUCCCCCCGUUUCAGGGUCAAAACCAUGAUUCUUUGUUGUUCAUCAGCUCAAUGAUUCUUUUUUUUUUUCCAAUCCUACUGGACUACAUUGAGGAUUUUUCCUGCAAGAAAUCAAAAAUAUAUGCAAUGUUUUGAUAUUAGAUGGCAUGUAUACAUCCUUACUUGAUUUGAAAUAUAGGUCCCCCCUCUGCGAUGUUCCAUCAUCACAGGUUGCCUUUGUUUGUUAUUCAAAGCUUUCUUUAUUCUUUCAGUUCACUGGUUCAUUCAUGUGCUAGCUUUCCACUCAAAUGUAAGUGCAGUGCCUGUAGUGGGCUGUCCAGGAAGAUUACUGCUCUCAUUACUUCUCAAGCUUGACCAUGCUUCCAAGUGUGGUGUUGCUUAAUUCAUCAUGAAGGUGUCGAACAAAUCACCCAUCUCCUAGAUUCUCUCAAAAAUUGUCCUUUGAUUGAUUGUGCGUGUUUUGCCAACACCCUUCAAGAGGUUUUCUAGUGUUUAACCUCAUUUUAGAUUGCCAAUCAGUCAUGGACUUCCAUGAGUUGAAACAAUACUCUUCAAGUAUAUGUUAUCAUCAUUCUUCUUGGAAACUAUUCAAUCAUCCAGACCUGCAUCUUAUAGCUUGCAGUACAAAGGCUCAUGGUUGUAUGCUCAGUGUUCUUCUCAAUAGAUUCCUCUCAGCUCUUCUAAUCAGAUUGUGAAAAGAAAUGUCUUAGCCUCAUCAAUGAUGUUGCUUUUAUCACUGCAUACUCAUGCGGUGAAGUGUGUAUUUGGCUUCAAAACAAAUUGUUCCACAGUCAGCCUUCAAGGUGGAUAUCUUUCUGACAUUCAUUCAAUGCAGUCGUGUGAUAACAUCUAUCGAUAACCAUGUUUCAAAGGAUGAUAAUAUGAAAUUAUCCUUCAAAUACAGCAUUGUUCCACAAGCAGUCUUAGUGGUGUGCAUCUUUUCCCCAUUCAAUUUCAUUCAUUCGUGUAUCCUCAUCGAUCAAUAGCCAUGUUUCAAAAGAUGAUGAUAUGAAAAUCUCCUUCAGGUACAUCUUUGGUCCACCAUUAGUCUUGGUGGUGUGCACAUCUUUUCGAUAUUCAUUCAAAUGCAACUGUAUGCCCACAUUGGUCGAUAGCCAUAUUUUAAAAGAUGAUGAUAUGAAGAUGUCCUUCAAGUACAUCUUUGUUUUCUCGAUUGUUGUCGGGGUUUACUAGAUCAUGGAAUGUCUUUGAACAACAUUGCCCCUAGUAUGAUCUGAAUGUGCUCGUUCAUUGAUUAUCUUUUUUUGAACACCAUUGUCUCUAGUUCACUGAUUCAUCCUUUAAUCAUCUUUUAUUGCCUCAUAGCUGAUCUAAAUACUGCUUUUUUUUCCUUCUCAGGGUCCACUGUAUUGCCCCAGCUGCUCAACUUUUCAAGGAGUGUCGAUGAGCGUCAAUGUCAUUUCUAUCAAGGAUUUUGCAUGCCCAAUCGAUGUUUUUCUGUGUUUGAUAAUCUUCCUUGUUUUGGAAUCAAUUCUCAUAUUUCAAAGAUCAUGUCUAUUCAAAGUCUAAUUUGUUGAAAUGAAAUCAGAGAUGUUCUUUUUUGAAAAGACCUUUUGAAAAGCAAGCUUUUUUAUCAAAGAUCCAACACACGAUAUUCGAAAUACACAGUCCUUUGAUUGUCAUGUAUUUUGAAAAGAAAUUGACCCAUUGUAAGACUAAAAUGGCUUUUUUUCUUCUUCUUUUUUCAUGGUUCUUUGUAUCCAUUUUAGACUCUGAUUUUGGGUAUAUCUUUUGAUGGUCUAUGAUAAGGUGACCUUUUUUUGUGAAUUUCAAAAAAACAAGAUGCUUAAUUCAAAACUCAGGCUUUAUCAAGAAAGUUUGUUUCUCUUCUUAGCACUUAUUUUAUCAGCAUGCAUAAUAACCAAUAGCUUAAUUCAUGAAUUCACGACCCUUAUGGUUCAAAUUGUUUACUUGAUCAAAAAGGGCUUUUAAAAGCACGUAAUACAGGCUAUGGUUCUUGGCCUAUAAAAGAAAGGAAAUUCAUAGACUCAAAAGGUGUUUGAGAGUUUCGAAGACCUAGGAUCAACAUCAAUUAUCCAUUAACUCUCUUUCUCUUGUUGUCGUUGCAGAGGAAUGACAUAAAGUCAUGUUAAGGACAAAAUCAAAAUUCUCUUAACAUGGGUCAUAAUCUAUUUUUUUUAUGAAUGACCAAUCUUGAUCAAUUUGAAGAUACCAGAGGCUUUAUCAUGGACCUCAAAAGUCAUGUUUGUAGCUCAUCACCUUUUGGUUUUUUGACUUUCGGCCUUUGCUGUGUCUAAUAACUGUGACAUGAUUAAUUACAACACCCAUCUUCACUACUUUGUCUGGAUGAUAAAGAAAAACCAACAUUUGUAUUUUCUGCCCCCAGUCAAUGUAUCUUUUCUUUUUCUUUUAGCCCUAUCUCAAAUGUUAGGCUUUUGCUCUUUCUCUUUUCUAAUGAUUCUAUCAGUGUCUUUAAAAUAUCUAUCGUUUGCCCCCGAUGUGAGGUGUGAACUUACUCAGCAUUCCUUUGAAAGAAAUAUUCUAUCAGGCUCAAAUAGGGACCACAAGGGAUAUAAUCUUUAGAAAGUGAAGGGAUAACAAAGAUGGCCUUUUUUCAUUUCAAGUAAGGUCAGUUAGAACCGAUAAAUUUUGACCUCAUCCAGUGUAAUGAUUUGGAUUUGCAAGAAUCAUGAUUCCAGACUCCAUAACUACUGACUCCACUACGUGUCAUUAUGCAUACUGUUGAAACUUAGCUACAUGAUGUGGUUUAAUUUCAUGUAAGGGCUCAAAAUUUGUUUGGUCACCUCAUGUCAUUUCAACAAGCAUUGAGUCAUUUAUGUAAUCAAAACACUUUUAAUCUUUAAGAUUGAUUAAUCUUUAUCGCAUGUUGGAGUUUAAUCAAAAUAUUUUGUCAGAAUGAAAUGCUAAACAUUUGUUGAUUUCAAAACAACAAGGAGACAAAAACAAGACAUGUUUCGUUAAAGGAAGAGAUGUGAACCCAAAACAAAAUGCAAAAUUCCAUAACAAUAUGAUUGACAAUUCAUCGCCAUUCUUGAAUCAGCAUUUUUGGCAAUAUCUAUGUUUUGCCAAGCAUUUUCGAUCACAUGUCAUUCUGAAGAUGUUCGAGGGACAAUAUAGCCAAUGACACCAUCCUUCAUAGACUCCAUUAAUCUCUUGCUCACCAACUUUCGGACUCGAUUCUUGAAAUUCUUUCAACUGUUCAAUUAAAAUGGCUGAGGACUCCACUAUGACAUCCCAUCUCUUGUCUGGAUUAUACCACCUAGAAAACAAUGGUUGCAUGAGAUUUGUCGGAGUCAUGCAAAAGUUUGGAAUCUGGUAGAUGCUAGUAAAUAAACUCACAUGGCAAAUGAAUGUAUAUCUUUGGCAAAGACAUAGGAGUAGUUGAUGAUACAGCAAGACUUGGAUAAACCACCUAAUUAAGGUUUCCCACCGCCAGAGUCUUCUUUUGAUUCAUCUCUCAUCAUUGUUCUGGAAUCCUUAGCAGAACUUUCAAUUUUUUCCAUCUUGAUAGCUUGUUCAGUUUUUUUUUGGCAAUCCACACACCUAAUUAAAUUGUUGUUGUAGUUGUUUUAGGACUGUUGGAAACCUCUCAAUAGCUAGGUAAUCCUGGCAGCGCACACAAACAAAAACGUGUGGAAUCUCACAUUUUCAAAACUGGAAGAGAACCUGAUGAAUCUAAAACUCUUCUAUUUCCUCUUUGAUUCCUCAUCAACGGUGCAGCAAACAGCCACCUGUAGAGGGAGUUCUGUUAUGUUGAAGUUUCAGUCUUCUUCAUGUUGUUUAGUCCAGGUUUGUCUUUUCUCCUACUUUUUCGUUUUAAUGUCGAUACUGGUAGGAGAAAAUUAUAGAUGAUUUGAAACUACUACAUCCAUUCUUGGAUUUACCAGUUGCAGAUCCACAAACAAAUUCCUGCCGAGAGACCUCUGUCACAUUGAAGUUUGAUGUCUACUCAUGUUUUUCAGACCAGGUCUAACUCUUCAACCUACUACAGUGUCUUCGUGUUGAAACUAAUGAGAGAAAUAUUUAUAGCAUAUGCAAUUAAUAAAUCCCCUCUUGCAUUCUCAACUUGCAGUGCCAUAAACGGAUUUUUGUAGAGAGAGCUCUGCCACGUUGAAGUUCGACGACUGGUCAUAUUUUCAAACCAGGUCUGACUCUUCUACCUACUACAAUGUUUUGUUGGUGCCAUUGGUGGGAGAAAGUUUCAAAGCAUAUGAAACUACUACAUCCCCUCUUGCAUUCCCCACUGGCAGAUCCACAAUCAAAUCUCUACAAAGAGAGCUUUGCCACGUAGAAGUUUAGUGUCUAAUCAUGUUUUUUUUUCAAACCCGCAUCUUAUGCUGAUGAACUGGAAUUGAGCUCACAAUUGGGGUAACUUUAAAGAAGACUAAUGCACCAUGCACAAAAGGCUAGCAGUCAUUUGGUGCCAUUAGAAGAUGUGGAGAGGCAAUGAACAAUUAACAGUGCAACUGAACAAGAACAAAGGUUGUCAUUGGUUGAUGACUGAAGGCAUUGCUGUUAUUGUUCAUGACUGAAAAGGAGAGGUGCAACUUUAAUUGGACGUGGACAAGCAGUGUUCCCAUAAAAAGCUAUGCAGACAUUCCCUUUCCAUUUGAUGCUCAACACUUGUUCAAGCCAGAUCUGAGUCUAGCUACUUCACCUUUGAUGCUCUCAACUUCAUUUUGAUAAUGAGCCUUUAUCUGACAUCUUUCUUCAUUUCCAUCAUCUUUUUUCAAUCACGUGUAGCACAGCUUAUAUGAGGGAACCUACUUUUCAACCCGGUAUAUGCAUGAUAAAUGUAUGAACAUGUAAUCUAUAUGAUGAACUCGCCCUUCGAGGGGUGACAUAUGAUCGCAACUCUUGCAUGAUGAAAUAAGAAUCUUGAUUCUUGCAUAAACUCUAUAAUGAAAAUUGUCUAAGCGACGGUCAUUGUGUCACCCACAAGUCUUGAGUUCAAGAUGCUUCAAGAAGGGCUUGCUCGAAUGCAAAACAAUGUGUACGAAGCAUACAUCCUAAAGGCAGGUUCUAAUCUUUUUACAUGAGAGAAAGGGUAGGUUGACUACUUGGUCUCUAAAAAGGUCUCUUGUUGCCCUAGUGACGUGUAGCAAUAUGGGGGUCCAGUAGGCAAUGAGAUGUCACGUGUAGCAACUGUUACCAGUCUAAGCACUCAACGAAGAGUUGGGGUUUACACAAACUUAAACCUUGACUAAAAGUCAUAAGGUAAGCUGCUAGUCCCCCUCCUAACCUGAAGCUUGUGUGUGCUUUAAAAAAUUACAAUAUGUGAUGCAUGAGACAAUACUAUACAAUGCAUGGAUAAAAAAAAUAAGACAAAACGCAAAAAACUUAAACACAUCAAAAACACAAAGCUUGGUUGGAGGAAGGUGACUGAUCUGCCAAUGACUGAUCUGGUCACUGUUGUUGUCCUGGCCAUUGAAGCUGCGGUGGAGAUGGAAGGUAGUUGCCCAAUCAGCGAGUUUGGUUGGAGGAAGGUGAGCAACGGUUGGCUUUUGUGGGCGCCGCCAUAUGGGGAUUGUUGCUACAGGGGCUGAUUCGGGUCUGUGAUGGCUUUGGGUCAGUCUGUGCAAAAGAGAGCUAGUGGUUGAGGAAGGGGACGACAUCUGUGGGCGUUGUCGUGUGCUGGCUAUAAGGGGUUGUCUGGGCUGGCGGCUGGGGGGAAGAAAAGUUGUUGUUGGCUUUAUCGGGUUUUGGGAAAUGGGGGAAGGAGAAAAGUGAGUCCCGGCUGGGAAAAGGGAGCAGCUGAGGGGGAAGAUUUGUGGAGGGGGGGCUGGUUAAGUAUGGUUGUAGACCAAGAAAAAGGAACAGCAAUGGCCGGGGAGGAGGAGGAGAAAAAAAAUCAGAGGGGGAGGCGGCAGCUGCUUUGGGUGAGGGAGAAGAAAAAAAGUUAAGCUUUUUAGGGUUUCCUUUUUGUGUUGCCUCCCCCUCAAAUGUUCAAAAUUACCCCCCCGCUCUUUUUAUUUUGAGUUGUGGACCUAUAUUUAUAGGUAAAAUGUUGCUCGGGCCUCAAAAUUGGUCCCUCAACUUUCUUUUUUUGUAAAUUUUGAUUUUUCUUGUAUUUUUUGGAAACAAGUAAUCUCAAUGUCGACUCAACAAGGAAAAUCAAAGAUUUUUAAAAUGACACGUGAAAAGUUGAACGCGUUCAAAAGACCUUUGAAAAAUUAAAUUAUUUUGAGACGAUGCUGAAAAUGCUAAAAACGAUAAUAAAUAUAUUUAAAAACAUAUUUUUUGGAUUUUCUUUGUUUUUCUCUAUUUUUGGAUUUUUCAAGAAUUUUAUCAAAUCGAUGGGUCAAAAAUUGAUUGGCAACAUAAACCUUGAUGUAUUUAUAAAAGUCCAGCUUAGCAUGUAGUACAUUAGUUAUCUUGUAAUUAACCAUUUUGAAAUGUGUAAGAACACUUGUUAUAUUGUAAAUGUUCUCUUUGCAUGUUAGUAUUCCUUUUUCUUUAAAAUUUAUGACAUGAUAUGUGCGCUAUGUUCAUAUUGAACUUACUCGUAGGAUAUAUAUAUAUAUAUAUAUAUAUAUAUAUAUAUAUAUUGUGUGGAUUGUAUGAGGUGUUGAAUAUUGAUGAUUGAAAUAAGGUCUGGAAUUAUGGGACCUUGUGAUGAUGGGUUGAUUGAGUAAAUUGAUAAUAGUCGAUAACUUGGGAUGUCCUAAAUACAAAUGAAACUCUGCUAAAUUUUUGGUAGAUUUCUAAAAAAAAAAAUUAAAUUACCCUCAAAUUAAGAACAUAUAUUGUGAUCUUUUAACGUUGAUCAAGUCGUAUAGUCGAGUCUAUUACAGACAACUUCAUAUUGUCAUCUGGAGUUUACCCUCCAACAUGGCUAUGACUUUUGAAUGAUGUUUAUCGCAUAGUCGCAUUUGAAUGAAUGUGGAAGGAUGCACCCACCAAGACUUACUAUGGGACCAUUUGUUUUGAGGCUCGUGGGAACACUUCACCGCAUGAAUAUGGGUGAUAAAUUGAACAUCAUUGAUAAUUCCAAUGCAUUCCUUUUCACAAUCUGAUUAGACGAGCUGAGAGGGAUCCAUUGAGAAAAACAUGAAGCCUACAACCAAUAGCCUUUUACUGCAAGUUAUGAGAUGCAUGUCUAGAUGAUUGGAUAGUUCCCAAGAAGGUUGAUGAUAACAUAUACUUGAAAAGUAUUGUUUGAACUAGAGGUAAGUUGAUGGCUGAUUAGCAAUCUAAGAUGAGGAUGACACCAUAAAACCUCUUGAUGAGUACUAGUAGGAUGCACAAAACUAAUCAAAGAACGAUUCUCGAGAGAAUCCAGGAGAUGAAUGAUUUGUUAAGCUCCUUUAUGACGAAUCAAGCAAUACCACACUUGGGGGCACGGUCAUUCUUGAUAAACAGCGAAAACAGUAAUUAUUAAAGACAACCUAGGAUAGGCACUGCAUUUACAGCUGAGUGGAUGGCUAGCACAUGAAUGAGCCAGUAUAUUAAAAGAGCAAAGAAGGCUUUGGAUAGCAAAUAAAGGCACCCUAUGACGAUGGAACAUCAAAUAGGGGGGCCUAUAUUUCAAAUUAGGUAAGGAUGCAUGCAUGUCAUCUAACCUCAUAGCAUUGCACACAUAUUUUUUAUUCGUUAAAGUAAAAUCCUCAAAGAAGUCCAGCAAGAUUGAGGACAAAGAAAGAAUCAUUGAGCUAAUAAUAACAGAGAAUCAUGGUUGUGACCUCAAAACAAGAAGAGAUGAACCAUACCAUUAAUAAAAUCUCAAAGAAAUGAGAAGAUCAACCUUGUCAUCAAGAAGAGUUUUCAUUUCAAACAUUGCCAUCAAGAAAAUACACAGAUCUUGGUUCUGGUUAAAGGCGAUCGCCGGAUGGGAUCUCAGGUUAGCCCAACCAUGCAGAUUUUGGUUCUGGUUAAAGGGGAUCGUCGGAUGGGAUCUUAAGUUAGUCCAACUACGCAUAUUUUAGUUCUGGUUAAAAGGGAUUGCUGGAUGGGAUCUCAGGUUAGCUCAACCGCAAUACAAAUUUUAGCUUUGGUUAAGGAAAUUGCCAAAUGAAAUUUCAAGUAAAAAAAAAGACAAAAUUUAGAGGGGCGUCAAGAUCGAGUUCUCAAGAUAAUCGAGUUAUACAAGGUUUUGAUCGUUAGUUCCUGAUUAAAAGGAUUGUUGUAAAGACAGAAUUUCAGAUCAACCAAGUUUUGAGAAGCUCAAGAUUGGAAGUUUGGUUUUGUUUAUCUUUACAAUACUUACUACGCAAAGUUUUUGCUCCGUAAGUAUUGUAAAGAGAGGGCAUUUGUUGUUAUCCAUUUUUGGGUUCCCACACAAAAAAAAAAGAGAAAAUACAAAAAACAAUAUCAAAACAUAUUCGGAAGAAAUCCAAAAAAUAAUAGGAGCAAGAAAAUGAUGCUAGAAUGCCUAUAAAAUACCAAAAAUUGGUUGAGGAGGUUCAAAAAUGCAAAGAUUGAAAUUUGACAGUGUAUCAUUGAUUGAUGAGAGCCCUGUUGAUAAGGAAAAUUCAAUUUUGAGAAAAAAAGUCCAAAAUCAGAUGUUUAUGGACUGAAUUAAAUUUUAUUGAAGGUUUAAUUGAAUUUAUGGAGGGUUUGAUUGCAAAAAAAAUGUUUUUAAGUCAAUUUGGGCUUCAUUUGGAAGAAAUUAAAGUUCAGAGAUCCAAUUACAAUUUAUCUGGGGGCUUGAUUACAAAAUAGCAAAACAUCCAAUGACCAAAUCGGAAACAUUCAUUUUGAAUUAAAAAAUGGUGUCGUUUCCUUAACAACUAUUCAUUGCCUUCUUCAGCAACGGUUUCAUGCAGCUGGCCGUGAAACAUUACAGCAACAACAACGCCAAUUCGCUUCAAUGAUGGGGCCUGUGUCAAGGUUGUCAUCCCUCUGCAAACCGUUACCAAGCCAGUCGUUACUAGCACAAGGUCGUCUCUAGCCUAUAAAAGCAGAAGAAAAGAGAGUACAUGGGGAGAAAAAAGAAAAAGAGGGAGGCAGAGUGAGCAAAGAGGAGAGCAGAGGAAACGAGAAAGAAAAAGGAGAGAGUACGAAGAGAAAAAAACAGAGGAGAGGAAGCAGUGUUGGUGGAACAGCCCUUCCACACUGUCAUCUUCGUCUGCAACUGCAAGCAGCAGGUUCCAGGAACCAGGGUGAUUCUCUUUUGUUUAAGAACAGAGGCAAAGAGAAGACGAGGGGGAUAGAACCAGAGGAAACAAUGAGCACAUAAGGAGAACAAAGACAAGCAGAAAAAAGAAGAACCACGCAGAAAAAGACCACUAACAACAGGCAUCACCAUCAUCUUCAUUCCUUCAUCUCAAAGAAUCAGGACAACAGGGUACAUAGUCAGAAGCAAAGUAGACGCAUACCUAGAGAGAAGAACAUCAGCGGAUGAAAACGCAGAGGCAAGAAGCGGCAUUGACCAUCGUCUUCACAGUCUUCAGCAAUCAGCUUCCAAAACUAGAGGCAGCAAAACAAGGAAUCUAAAACAAGGAAAAGGAUGUAGAGAGUGCUGGGGAUUCUGGCUCCCCUAUGCGUGGACUAGUGGUGUUGUGAUAAUUGCCCAUUGAAGGCUUAGCACAUUGACACACAAUAUUUAACGUGGUUCAGCAAAUCACCUACAUCCACAGGAGAGGUCCAUCGAGGAGGAGGUCCAUCUAUUAUUAGAGAUAGAGAAAGGAUACAAUACAAAUACAUCGAGGAGGAGGAUCACUUUCCUCAAACUCAACUCCCAGCUCUCACACUUUGUUGCACAAGGCAGUAGGGCUGCUGCCCUUGGCAACUACACCACUUUCUCUCUUUGUCUCUCUUUUCUUCCACUACUCUCUCUGAUCUCUGCUCUCUCUCGGUGCCUAUUUAUAGGCAAGAAUGGUACCACCAACUCCAGCUCUUCUUCAACAAUGGUGGUUGCCAACUUUAGCUCUUCUUCAAUAAUGGUGGCUGCCAAAGUCAAUGGAUGGUGUCGUCCAUUUGCUGCACAUUAAUGGCAACCAACCCAACAGAAAGAAGGGCAGGGGAAAGAAACCCAUAGACGAAAACACCAGCAUCACCAUUGGAUUCCUCUUCUCCAACGCUAGGGAGGAGAAACAGAGAGAGCAUAAGGAGAGUGGAACAGAAGGGGGCAAAAAAAAAACAGAGAGGAGAACAGAGCAACACAAGAGGGGGACAAAAACGAGCAAAAGAAAAGAAUGUAAGUAAAGGAAAUCGUUGAGACCAAAACCAGCGUUGAUCGUCUUCAUCAUCUCCAGAACUAGUCACCACCGCUCCUGCGCAGAAGUUUCAUCGCCAUCAUCUUCAUCUGUCUCAGUUACCAGGUAAGCUUCAUACAUUCUCUUCAUGUUGCAUUAUUUUCUUUCAUUGCAUGCAUUUGUUCUCAUUUUUUAGUUUUAUUGUUCAAGUGAAUUUUAAUUCACUUGAACAGUAAUUGUUGCUCUUUACUGUUAAAGUGAAUUAUAAUUCACGAAGCUCACGCAUGCCUCUUGUCUGCCCAGCCGGGUUACUGGCUUAGGCCAGUGGCCCAGUUAGGCCUGCUGGGUCCAGCCCCGCCACAUGGGCCGAGCUGGGCCCAACCCAAAAUGAUCGGGCCGGGUCCGAUCUAGUCAAAAAAAAAUUCAAAAUUUUCAAAAAUCUUUUUUAAAACAAAAUUUUCAAAAAUCUUUUUUAAAACAAAAUUUUGAUUUUUCUGUGUAUCUAUCUAGCAAUUUUUCUCAAUACUGGAUUCUAUUUUAUACCGUAAAGAUACAAAUUUAGUAUUAAAACACUCGGUUUUUGUCAAAAUAUUAGGAAAUUAAAAAAAAAUUAUUUUCAUGCAUAUGACCAAGUAUCUCAAGAAAAAAUCGUAUUGUAAUUUCAUACAACCAAAACUCAAAAAAUAUGUGUUAACAUGCAUUUUGACUUUAAUAACCAGUUUAUUAAAGCCACGAGAACUAGGCCAAAAUUUAAAAAAAACUCCAAAAAAAAUCAUUUUGUUUUCUUUUAAUUUUAAGGAUUACAUGCUUAUACGUAAGGCGUAGUCUCAAUAUUAAAAAGAUAGUUUUUUAUUAACUUUAGAAUGGUUAGGUUUUUACCCAAUAAGAUAAGGACCUCCUUACCGAUGAAGACUUUUCUUAAAUUAUAGAUAGACCAACAACUAUAAAACACGACAAGACCUCAGAUUUUAUCCAAUAAAAAAACAAUACAGCUUACCUUAGGUAGGACGUAUUUGGGGUGUUAAUACAUUCCCUUUACGCAACCAGUUCCCGUACCAGAUCUCUAAGACCGGUUAGGGUUCUUAGUGAUCAAAAUACUUUGUGGUGACUCCCAUUCUAUUUUUUUCACUAAUAAAAAAUAAAACUUCCUUGUCUCCCCAUAUUUGCUAGAUAGAUAGAAGAUAAUAUAUAUGAGAAUGGAUUAUUUUUUAGAAGAAUACUUUUAACAUGUUUAUGAUGUUUGUUGUGAUUUGGAUUGACAAGAAUUCAAGAAUGUUCUAAGAGAUGAAUUCACUGGAGAUGAAAUACCUUACUUUUAUUGAUUUAAUCUUCUAUUUCCUGUAUUAUUCUAUGGAGAUGAAUUAAUCUUCAUUGUGAAAAUGUUCUCUCAUGCUCCUAAAUUCUUAAAUUUUUAUUAACAAUAAGAGAUGAAGAGGAGUUGGGUAUGAAGGUGAAGGUAUCAUGCAACUAAAAAAUGAUACAGAAUAUGCUCAAAUCAAGAGAACAAUCGACACAAUUAUCCCUUCCACUUUUUGUUUCUCUUCCUUGAACUCUUGACUUAGCAUUAGGUUCUCUCCACUUUUUGUUUCUACAUAACUCCCUUUUACUCAGACAAAACCACCAGGCACCAGUAGAAAACUUCAUAAGAACCAAUUCAACCUUGAGAUUCAUCAUCAGCCCUAGUAGAAAACUUCAUUUUGAUAAAAAAAUUUUUAAUUGAGAUUCAUCAUAAGAACCAAUUCAACCUUGUUGCGGCCCUGCUAGCUUUUGAACCUUUCACAAUUUAUAUGAUAUUAACUAAACUUAACAUCUUCAUAAACAUCAAAUGAAAGAAGAAAAAAACAACCUUUAGAAACAUGCGUCUUUGGAUUAACCAAUUCUUUUAGUUUAUUUUUUAUGUUGUUCAUAAAGACAGAAAAAACUGAAAAAUACAAAUUAAAAAAUCUUGAGGAAUUGAUUAACCAAUCCUUUUACUUUUUUUUAUGUUGUUUAUAAAGACAGAAAAAAACUUAAAAAUACAGAUUUAACUGUGUUCCCAAACACGGUCAUCUAACCAUGUGUUGGGCUUUAUGCUUUUCGUUCGUCCUUCGAUUUUGUCUUUGAAAUAUCGAAUUGGCAAUACCAUUUCAAACCGAUCCAAAUCCACCCUUUGAGCAUCUUUAAUCCAAAAGCAUCAUGCAAGUAAUUUCAAUAUUAAUUAAUAAAAAUAUCCUCGUUGAUUUAAAGGACUAUUUUCAUCAUAAUUAUGUUUUGCAAAUGAUUUUUAACAAAAAUAAUUGAAAUAAUGAUAUAUUAUUGAAUUGAUUAGCAUCCUUACAGAAGGAUAGAAUUGAUAAAUGAUGCAACAUAGAAGGAUACAUAUUAUUACAACGAAAGGAUUAACAAUACAUAAAAGGAGUAAUUAACCAUUCCAUCAUGCUACAUAUUAAUUAUUUUGAGAAAAAAAAUCCAAUUCUAUAUUAUAUUAUAUUAAGGGUAGAGUAGUCUCCUCCUAUAGAAACUUUACAAAGGGACUAAGGACAUCCUUCGUGUUAGGGUGCUCCCACUCCAUUAUUGUUUCCCACCAUUCUUCUGGAUGUAUCCAAACAUAUUACAGAUGGUUGGCCAUUUUCAAGCAACGGAAGAGAAAUUGGCAUCCUUUUCAGCUUCUCACAACACAUUACAGUAAUCUUUUUAAGAGAAUUGCAAAUCAGUUUUGCACUGCAAAUCCUUUUUAGUUCUGGUAAUUAUUAACUUUGGGAGUAUUAAUUCCGUGAUGGAAUUGGAGGUGCUACUUUCUUCAUCUGUUGUUCCUAUUAUCUUCUCCAUUUUCCCACAAUCACUUCCAGGUUUGGGAGCAACACAAGUGGGAACAACUUCUUCAUAUUGUUACAUCCAUAACAAUAAAACUCUUUAAGACCAGAAAACAUACCAUUAUAUGAUGGCAAUGGUGGCGGAUCAAAGCAGAACCAAAAAGAUGAAACCAAGCUCUCCAUGCUAUUGCAAUCCCAAAUGUUGAUGUACUCCAGUUCAGUUGCAUUCUUUAAUGACAAAACAUCACAUAAACUUCUUGCAUCGUUGCAUUGACAAACCAGUCCUUGAAUGCCUUUUAAGAACUUGAGCUGAAAAUCUCUAUCUCCGUUGAUACUCAAAUUACCCAGCCCAACUGUUUUACUUGGAAAAUUAUGAAUGCAUUGCCCAAAUCUUCAUCCACAUCUCCUACUGAAAUUUUGUACGUGCUUAAUGAUAGGAUCCCAUCCCGAGCUGUGAGAUACUCCACGAAGUCAGAAAGACCUUUGAAAUGGCAUUCCAAAGCUUCCAAAUUUCUCAAGGAUCCUACUUCCUUUCCUACAACUAAUAUCGGUUCAUAAGGAUAGCACAAAGCAUCCUCAAAAUACUCUUCUAGUACAAAGACUUGCAGGUGAGAGAGUUUUGGUAAUAUCCCACUAGUAAACUCCUUUUCACCACAUCCAUUCAUUCUAAGAUACCUCAAGUUGGUUAGGCAUUCCAUUCCUUGCGGUAUAUUUUCAAGGGCAGUACGAGAGAGAGCCAACUUCUUCAGUGCCCUGAGCUUCUUUAAUAAUGGAACAUGUCUUAAUUUCUUACAAUCAUUGAGCAAUAAUGUUGUGAGACUCACCAAAUCAGAGACAGAGUUUGGCAAAUUUUCAAUACCUGUGCAACACAGAUCGAGGAACUUGAGCCCAUGCAAUUGCUUGAAAAAUGAAUACGCAAUAAAUCCCAACCCUUUAUUAUCACGUAGAAAUAUAGUUGACAGAUUUGGACACCUUGGUGAAUGGCUGCAAGGAAUUUCUUCGAUAUGGUUUUGCAUUAGUGAAACUAUCGAUAGAUUCUUCGUCCACUCCUCUGCAUCUAGCAACUCUUUUAAUUGUGCACCUGCUUUAACCAUGCCUUGAGAGUUCUCUAGCAGUAUUUGGAUGGCGAUGUCCCUAAUCAAGUCAUGCAUCUUGACAUAUCUACUACCAUCAUGCAUCUUGACCUUAACAUAUCUACUACCAUCAUGCAUCUUGACAUACGUCAUUUGAGCAGUUUCCAAUAGGCAGACAUUUUCAAGUCUAUUAAGCAUCGUGUGGCCUUAGUCAAAUGCAUCUUUCGUGCUCCUCAUUCCUUUAAUUAUUUCCUCAUCGAUCAAAUAACCUAUCAACUCCUCCCUUUCAAUAUCAUCAUCUUCAGGAAAUAAUGCACUGUACAAGAUGUUAGAGAAUAAUAUAAAUCAUAUCUUGAAACUUUACCUAACAGCUUAAGCUCUUAGGUUGAGAUGGUUCUUUAACAUGGUAUCAGAGCCUUAAUGACCAAGUGGUCAUGAGUUCGAAUCUCACCAUCCCCAUUUAUUUAAUAAAAAUUAAGUACAAGGUAUGUGGGUCUGUGCAAGUUUCAAGCCAAAAGAACUUUCAUUUGAGGGGGUGUGUUAGAGAAUAAUAUAAAUCAUAUCUUGGAACCUUACGUAAUAGCUUAAGCUAUUAGGUUGAGAUGAUUCUUUAACAUAAGAGACAUUGUUGUAGUGUUAAAUCACCUAGCCGAGCAUAACUAACCCUCAAUACAUGGAAUACCUUCUCAUCCAUGUCCCUAUAUCCUGAUUCUCUCAAUUUCUUCAAUGUAUUGCUCCACUCAUGUAGAUCAUCCACUCCCCUCAAGCUUCUUGUUGGUAUAAUAAUUCUCAAUGGCAAACCAGCACAUUCCCUUGCAACAGCUUUUGCAAUUCCUUCCAUUUCUGGUGAAAUAUUAUGUCACAUCCAAGAUUCUCCUUGAACAAAGUCCAAGCUUCUCCCUCAGAAAGUGGCUUCACUUUGAUUUUGUGGUGGCAAGUCAUCCGAUUACAAACCGUUUUUGAUCGAGUUGUCAUAAUCAGCUUACAUCCUUUCAAUGGGACAAGAAUUUCCACUUUGUGAAGCUCAAAAUUGUUCCACAAAUCAUCUAAAAUAAGAAUCUAUUUUUGUUUCUUCAUUAAUUCUUUUGACAAUUUAGCAGCUCUAUGUUCGUAGAUCAUCAUCUUCGCUUGAAAGAUCUAAAUAAAGAUGCUUGGCAAUAAGAUUUUGUAAUCUAUUAAUGCUGAAAUCUUAAGACACAGUCACACACCAAACAUGAUCACAAAUGUCUAGUCUUCGUAAAAGCUCAUUAUAGAUAUGUAGUAUUAUUGUUGUUUUACCAAUUCCCCCUAUCCCGUAAAUGUCAAUGGUUGAGACUUCAUCAUCCAUUAACAAAGACCAUAUCACCUUCAUAUCCUCUUCAAAUGCUCGACCCACUAGCUUCUUAGAGCUAGUAGGUAAUGGAACUCCUCUAGUCUUGUUGUAUUUCAGACUUUCAGAAGAUCUAGCUCCUGCGCUAGCCUACACUACUGAUCUUCAACUAUUCUGCACGUACUCCUCCUCCACUAGUUUUCUCGUCUAUCUAACCAUGUCCUGCACAUCAUGCCUAUUUACAUCAUUGUUUACUGAUGGAGCACAAGAUUGAUUAUAACAUCUUCCAAUGUCACGACAAAAUUGGGAUGAAUCUCCCUGCACUUGCUCUGUUCUUGGUAUAGUCUCAAAUGCAUCAUGCUGAAAAGAUCCUUCACCAGUGUUUUCCAUGCCAUUUUUCGCUUGUAAAUGCGACUGAAUUCUCUCUUCUCCUGGACCUUGUUCCAUGCCCUGAACUCCCACUUGUAUCCUUCUAUCUCCCCUUGCCAAAUUGCCAAGUUCUUCAUUGCUCUGUUCCAACACUCGAUCCACUGGUUCUGUCCUCAUUCUGCUCUCGAAUGCCCCUUCGGAAACUCUAUCUUCUUGUGCUCUCAUUCUGGUCAUGCUUACUACGUCGUUUUCUACUAUUGCAUGUGAAGAAAUCCUCUCUUCCCCUACUCCGGUAUUUUCAAUCUCAAUGACUUGUUCUUGUGGACAAGUUGAAAUUCCAAAAUCAUUAACAUUGACUAAACUUGUCGUGUUUUUAUGUCUUUUGUUGCCACCACACAUAGCUAGAAAGGCUGCUUCUUGAACUUCUUUAGACACCCCACGAAAAAUGGCAACACCAUGCCCUUCUUCUCCUGACAAAUGCCAUUUGAUCAUUGAAAUGGAAGUUUUAAUGGCAUAUGUAUGUGGACAAAACUUACACUUCAUGCUAGCAUCAGCCCUUUCUUCAACAUAAUUCCAAAAUGAAUCAUUUGAACCACCCCUUUCAACCUAUAGGAAAAAAAGGGGGGUCAAAAUAUAGAAUAAAAAUCAGUCAAAAUAAAGAAUAAAAAUUGAUGCAAGUUAAACCAUAUCCGGAAAAAAUUUUGCUAUUAAAAUUGAUAGUUAGUUUAUUGCACAAUCAUAGGAGGGAAAAAAGACGACGAUAAUUCAGUUAGACUUCUUACUUUUUGAGUAUUUAAGCCCCUAAUUUGACUUUGCAAGGAGUGUCAGGGCCAGGAUUUGAGGCAUUUGGCCUAUCAAUUUGAUUUUGCAAUCCUCGGACUUGGAGGUUAUGGAAAGUGUUAAAAAGAAAAAUGUUUACGAGAAGAAAUAAAGAUAGGAGGAAGAAGAGAAGAGACAACAAAUAUUGUAAUUUGAGUUUAUUUCAGUUGAAUGAAUAAAACUGAUUGCAUACAUUAUAUGCAAUCGUUACACAUAUAUAUUCAAAAAUAAAGAAAUAGAAUUGCAAACUUCUAGCAUGAAAUCAUGCUAUGAUCUGUUAACAUAAUAACAGAAUAACUAACUCCUAGAGACUAGGACAACAGCUUAUUAUUUGCAUGAUAAUUAGAAAUAAUAGAAACAAAAGAAACGUCUUUGACAGCUCCUUCUUUGACAGCUCCUUGAAGCAAUCUUCAACACUCCUCCUUGCUGGAGGAGUUGCAAACUCCAAUCCUUUGUCUUAAAAACUCAAACAUGUUUACUGGAAGUGGUUUAGUAAACAGAUCAGCUAAUUGAUUUUCAGACUUGCAAUAAAUCAAUUUAACUUCACCAUUUUUCUGCACCUCUCGCAAGAAAUAAAGUUUGAUGUUAAAGUGUUUAGUUUUUCCAUGAAACAUUGGAUUAUGAGAUAUUGUUAUAGCUGCUUGAUUGUCAACUAAAAUUUCAGUUGCUUCUUUUCUUCCAUGUGUAAAUCUCGUCACAACUUUUGUAACCAUAAUGCUUGGCUUACUACAGUUGUGGCUGCAAUGAAUUCUGCCUCUGCAGUAGAUUGAGCCAUGAUAUCUUGCUUCUUAGAUGACCAUGAAAAUAUAACAGAUCCUAGAUUAAAACAGAAUCCAGAAGUGUUUCUCAUGUCAUCAGUAGAGCCACCCCAAUCACUGUCAGAAAAACCAUGUAGUUUUAAAUCUUGACACUUCAAAAAUUUAACACCAAAACUGCAUGUUCCUUUGAUGUAUCUCAGAAUUCUUUUAGCUGCUCUUAUAUGAAUUUCGGUUGGACAAUGCAUAAACCGAGAUAAAAGACUUGUUGCAUGAAGUAUGUCAGGUCGAGUUGCUGUUAAAUACAGAAAACAUCCAAUCAAGCUUCUGAAUUUUUCUUCAUCUACUCUGGCAGUGCCAUCUUCUUUGCUAAAUUUAUCCUUUUGAUUCAUAGAAGUAGCUAUCAGCUUACAAUUAUCCAUAUGGAAUUUCUUCAGGAUUUCCCUUGAAUAUUUCUUAUGGCAAAUGAAUAUUUAUUCUCUGUUUUGCAUCAUUUCCAUUCCCAGAAAGAAGCUCAUGAGACCAAGGUCGAUCAUUUCAAAAACUUGCAUCAUAUUCAGCUUGAAUUCUGCAACCUGCAUUGUAUUGCUUUCUGUCACUAAGAGAUCAUCAACAUAGAGUGAUAUUAUAAGCACAUCAUCAUUGAUUCUCUUCACAUAAAGUGUUGCUUCACACAAACUCUUCUGAAAUCCAGAACCUGUCAAAUAGUCAUCAAUUCUGCCAAACCAAGCUCUAGGUGCUUGUUUCAAUCCAUAGAGAGCCUUCUUUAGUAGAUAAACUUUGUCUUCUUUUCCUUGAGUCACAAAACCAGCUGAUUGCUGAACAUAAAUUUCUUCUUGUAGAAUGCCAUUUAGGAAAGCUGAUUUAACAUCUAACUGGAAAACUUUCUGGUUCCUGUGUGCAGUAACAACAAACAAGAAUCAUAUGGUGUCCAUCCUUGCUACAGGUGAAAAUGUGUCUGAAUAAUCAACACCAUAAAUCUAAGCAUACCCCUUAACAACUAGCCUGGCUUUAUACUUGUUGAUGGUGCUGUCUGUAUUCAGUUUAGUUCUGAAUAUCAACUUCAUGCCAAUAACAUUUUUACUUGGUGGUCUGUCAACAAGUUCCCAUGUGCAGUUCUUCUUAAUCAUGCAUAUCUCCUCCUGCAUUGCUUUCUGCCAUUCUGGGUUGUGUUUGGCUUCUUCAUAGCCUUCUGGUUCACAAAUAGCUACAUUGCUCCUUUGAUAAAUAUCAUCAAGGGAUCGAGUGCCUCUAAUUGGUGAAUCAUUAAAUGAUUCAUCCUGUAAUAAAUCUACAGUGCCUCUAGUUUGUGAAUCAUCAACUGAUUCAUCCUGUAAUAAAUUUGACAGCUGCACAUUUCUUUGUGAGUCUCCCCAGUCCCAUUGUUUUUCUUCAUGGAAAUGGACAUCCCUUGUAAUAACCAUCUUUUGAGUUUGAGGAUGAUAAACUUUGUAGGCUUUAGAAACAUCAUUAUAUCCAACAAAGAUUCAUGGCAUUGCCUUCUUGUCAAGCUUGUCCCUUUUGAUCUGUGGAAUAUGAACAAAACAAAUGCUGCCAAAGAUCUUAAGAAAACUUAGUGAAGGUUUGUUGCCAAAGAUUUCUCCUUCAAUGACUCCAUUCUGUUCAGGAGUGUAAGGGGCAAUGAAUUGAUGUUCAAUGCCAGCUUCUUCAUAGUAGAGAUUGAAUUAUGAUGAGGUGUAUUCUAUACCAUUGUAUGAUCGAAUGGAUUGAAUUCUACAUCUGCUUUUAUUCUCCACAUUCUUCUUGAAUUGCUAAAAAAUCCCAGCUACUUCUGACUUGUGAUUCAUGAAGAAAAUCCAGCACAUUCUGGUAAAGUCAUCAAUAAAAAGUAUGUAAUAUCGACUACCUUUUAUUGAAGGUGUGUUAAGUGGACCAGCAACAUCUGUAUGAAUCAAUUGAAGUUUCUGUGUAGACCUCCAUGUUGACUUUGGAAACGGUUUCCUGUUUUGCUUACCAAAUUGACAAGCAUUACAAUUUGGCAGAAAAUCAGUAAAUGAAGGCACUCCUCUUACAGCUUCAUGCUUCUUCAUGUUGAUCAUUCGCUAUUGAUGAUAGUGACCCAACCUCUUAUGCCAUACUUCCAUGUCAUUCAAUUUUGUUGGAAAGGUUGUGUGCUCCUCCUCAAAUGGUAAAAAUGAAAAGCUUUUUCCACUCAUUUUGGCUUGCAAUAUUUUUUGUCAAGCAGCAUAAAAAAUAUGGCAAGAUUGAUUUUUGAAAACCACUUUCAUGCCUUUCUCUAUUAAUUGACCAACAUUCAACAAAUUCUGAUCUAUAUAAGGUACAUAAAGAACAUCAAAAAUAGUUUUUGUACCUGAGUUGGUAGUGAUGGCAAUCGUUCCUUUUCCCUUUGUUGCUAUACAAUCACCAUUUCCAAUUCUGACCUUUGCAACUUCAGUAGUUUGCAAGGUUCUAAAGAGACUCUUAUUAGAAGUCAUGUGAUUUGUGCAUCCAUUAUCAAUUAGCCAGUGAUCUGAGGAAGUCUAGACUGAAAAACAUGUAGCUGCAAACAUUUGAUCUUCAUCAUCUUGACUGGCAACUUGAGUAUCUUCAUCCUUUUCUGAAAUUUUGUUCUGCAGAUGAUUGCUUCAUGUCCCAUUUGAUUACAUUUACUGCACUUUGCAUUAUGUCUUUUCCAGCACUUGAAUGGUGGAUGACCUAGCUUGUUGUAGUGUUGACAUGGUGGAAAGUUUCUCUUAAGAAAUUUUCCUUUGUUCUGGAAUUGAUUGACAGUAGUCUUACUACUGCUUGAAACCUGAUUCUUCUUGAAGAAUUUCUUCUUAUCAAAAUCGGGAUACUUUGCUUGUAAAGCUCCUUCAAUAACAUGAUCUUGCCUCAUAAGUCUCCAUUGCUCUUGAGCCUGCAAAGCAUUUAUCAAUUCUGCCAAGGUAAUCUUGGACAUAUCCUUUGUAUUCUCCAAGGUGGUUAUGGAUGCUUCAUAACGUUCAGGCACAGUUACAAGUAUUUUCUCUACAAUUUUGCAAUCAGAGAAGAUUGUGCCAAGUAACCUUACCUUGUUGACAAUUCCAAGUAAUUUGUUUGAAUACUCUUUGAUGGUUUCAGAAUCCUUCAUUAUCUGCAGUUCAAAUUCUCUUAUUAGAUUAAGACUUUGCAUGCCACGAAUUCUUUCAUUCCCUACAUACUCCUUCUUUAAAUAAUCCCAAACAUCUUUCGCUAAUUUAAGAGACAUAAUUCUUGUUGAAACAGCUGCAAAUAGACAAGCUUUUGCUUUUGAUUUCCUUGUUUUUCUCUCUUUAUGAUUUUUUAUUUGAGCUACUGUUGGAUUAUUUGGUAAAGGAUGAACUUUAUAGUCUUCUUCAACAGCUUUCCAAAGAUCCAACGCCUCCAAAUAAGUCUCCAUUUUUACUGCCCAGAGUUGAUAAUUUCUCCAUCAAAUAUAGAAGAAGAAAUAUGAGAGAAACUUGUUUCAGCCUCCAUUACAGGUCCCUUUAAAAUAAUAGCUCUGAUACCAAUUGAAAGUGUUUAAAAGAAAAAUGUUUAUGAGAAGAAAUAAAGAUAGGAGGAAGAAGAGAAGAGAUAGCAAAGAUUGUAAUUCGAUUUUAUUUCGGUUGAAUGAAUAAUACUGAUUGCAUACAUUCCAUGCAAUCGUUACACAUAUAUAUUCAAAAAUAAAGAAACAGAAUUGCAAACUUCUAGCAUGAAAUCAUGCUAUGUUCUGUUAACAUAAUAACAGAAUAACUAACUCCUUGAGACUAGGACAAUAGCUUAUUAUUUGCAUGAUAAUUAGAAAUAACAGAAACAAAAGAAACGUCUUUGACAGCUCCUUCUUUGACAGCUCCAUGAAGCAAUCUUCAACAGUUAUCCAUUUGUGACCUAUAUAUAAAUGAAGUGAUCAUAUUAUAAAACCUUUCCAUAAUUGGUAGUCUCUCUUAAAACACAACAGUUAGAAGUCAAUCAGUACCUCAUAGAGUUGCCGAAGUGACGAGGCACAAAGUUCUCUUGUUGCAUAUUGUCUAUGUCAGGAAUUACAGCAGCUUGAUCGACUUGUCCUUGAUUAGGAAAAUAUUGAAUCCUGAAUCAAAAAUCAUUCGCAAACAAUAUGAAGCAUUACAAACUUAUUUUUAGCUUAUGAUGGUUCAUGUUCAAGCUAUGAUGUUUCUUUCCUGAAUGAAAAAUAAAAUUAACAGAAAAAUUGGAUACCGGGGAGUAGGAAAAGAAGGUCCGGGUUGAUUGAAGCCACCAUGUUGUGAAGUGGUUGCAUUCGGUGUCAUAUAGCCAUGUCCCUGCUGAUGUUGAUGAAGAAAGGAGUUCUGAUGCCUGAAAAAUAUUCAAAUAGUUAAACUUAGAACUAUUAUGCUCACUUAGUUGAUUUUCUAGUUCCAUUAUAUGCACACAAAAAAAAAAGAGAUAGAGGGCUAAAAAAGACUUGAGAGAUAGAGUUCAAUUUUGGUCAAAUUUAUUGUUUUCAUGAUUAAAAAAGUGUGUAUUCGAGGUUAAUAUCAUUGAUUCAUUGGAGGUUGAAAGUAGCAUCGCAGGUACUUGAUGUGCAAAACUGAUUUGGUUUGGGGAGGGGAAAGUCACUGACGGUCAUAAAAAUUAAAAAAGAAAAAAGUAAUUUUCUUGCAAUUUUUCCUUAUAUAUCUAGAUUAACUUAGGUUGGGUUUGAGCUGACUUGAAUUUAGAUUUAAGCUAAAAGUUUGAGUCUUACAAUUUUCAUCAUUUAUAUCGAAUGUCGCACCCUCGCGGCGAAGCGUGGCGUCGCGGCGACCCUCGAUUGAUUUCUAUUUUUUUGUGUAAAGGAGUCGCCACCUAGUAUUUUGAUCACUAGAAACCCUAACUGGUCUUUCAGAGAUUCUAAGGCAAGGGACUGGUUGAGUAAAGGGAAGGUAUUAACACCCGUAGUACGCCCUACCUAGAGUAAGCUACUUGGUGUUUGGUUUGCUUUAUAAUUAUUAUGGUAUUAGUGUUUUCUAAUCCCAUCAGUUUUUCUAGGUUUGAUUCAAACUAAAUUUAUUAUGAUAGAAAUCCAAGGAGAUUCCACGUGUUUCGAAAGCUUAUUUUACCAACUUAAUCUAGUUGGUCAAAAAGGUUCUUCAUCUGACAAUGCUGAGCAUCCAAAUCUGAUUGAGAAUCUGCUCUAAGAACAAUGAUCCCUAGGACCUAAUAAAAGUGUACGUCAAUUUUUCAACAUGUAAUGAGUGAAUGAAUAUACCUAGGAUUGUCAGAUAUCGUACGAAACCGAGUCAGAAUUAGAACCUAAGUUAGAACAAAAAAUUACGACAGCAAUAGAAUCAUUUUUUAGUGUAAAUUCUAAGGGAUUUAUUCAACCUUAAAGACCAGAUAAAAAAAAAUGAAUUUAGCAUUAUGAAGACUCCUGAUCAACCUAAGAAAACCUGAUGAUUUUGGUAACAAAAGGAAAGGAUAAAAAGAGCAGAAAACAACUCAAACAAGGUUUCGAAAAAAAAUAUUUCUUUAUAUGCUUUUAUCAAUCUUCUAGCGAACAUGAGCUAAACUCCUACACUCUAUUCAAAAGAGGCAUACAUCGUCUCCAGCACGUGAGGUCAAAAAUUGAAUAACAACAUCAAAAAAUAAUUAUGUUUGCCCAUGAUUUUUUACAAAAAAAAAAAAUAUAUUGAAAGAAUGAUAUAUUAUUGAAUAAGAGCAAAUUUAAGGUUACAAUCAAUUAGUAUUCUUACAACAAAAGGAUUAACAAUACAGGAAUGAUGGCAAACUAAACAUUAUAAAGGGGCGAAGGACAUCCUUUACGUUAGGAUGCUCCCACCAUUUUCAAGCAACGGAAGACAAAUUAAAAUCCUCUUCAACUUCUCACAACGGCUUACACUAAUAUCUUUAAGAGAAUUGCAAAUCAAUUUUACACUGCAAAUGCUUUUCAGUUCUGGUAAAUCACACAAUUUCAGAAUUAUUAACUUUGGGAGUGUUAAUUCCGUGAUGGAAUUGGAGGUGCUGCUUUCUUCUUCUGGUGUUCCUAUUAUCUCCUCCAUUUUCUCACAAUCACUAACAUCAAUCACUUCCAGGUUUACGAGGUUUAAUAGCAACACAAGUGGGAACAGCUUCUUCAUACUAUUACAUCCACCACAAUAAAACUCUUUAAGACCGGAAAACAUACCAUUAUAUGAUGGCAAUGGUGGUGGAGCAGAGCAUAACCAAGAAGAUGAAACCAAGCUCUCCAUGCUAUUGCAAUCCCAAAUGCUAAUUUCUUCCAGUUCAGUUGCAUUCUCUAAUGACAAAACAUCACAUAAACUUUUUGCAUCGAUGCAUUUACAAACCAGUCCUUGAAUGCCAUUUAAUAACUUUUCCUGAAAAUCUCUAUCUCUGUUGAUACUCAAAUUACUCAACCCAACUUUUUUACUUGGAAAUUGAACAAUGUAUUCCCAAAAAUCUUCAUCCACCAUUCCUACAAAAAUUGUACAUGUGCUUAAUGAUUGGGUCACAUCCCGAGAUCUGAGAUACUCCACGAAGUCAGGGAGACCUUCGAAAUGGCAUUCCAAACAUUCCAAAUUUCUCAAGGAUCCCACUUCAUUUCCUUUAACUGUUAUCGGAGCAUAUAUUAAAUCAAUCGAAAAUUCAUGGAGUACAAAGACUUGCAGGUGAGAGAGUUUUGGUAAUAUUCCACUAGGAAACUCCUUUUCACCACAUCCACUCAUUCUAAGAUACCUCAGGUUGGUUAAGCAUUCCAUUCCUUGCGGCAUCUUUUCAAGUGGAGUGCAAAAGAGAUCCAACCUCUUUAGUUCCCUGAGCUUCUUUAAUGAUGGAACAUGUCUUAAGUUGUAACACUCAGUGAGCAAUAAUGCAGUGAGACUCACCAAAUUAGAGACAGAAUCUGGCAAAUUUUGAAUACUUGUGCGAGACAGAUCAAGGACCAUGAGCCCAUGCAAUUGCUUGAAAAAUGAAUCAGCAACAAAUCCCAACCCUUUAUUAUCACAUAGAAAUAGAGUGGACAGAUUUGGACAUAUUGGUGAAUGGCUGGAAGGAAUUCCUUUGAUCUCGUUUCGCAUUAGUGAGACUCUUGUUAGAUUCUCUGUCCACUCCUCUGCAUCUGGCAACUCUUUUAAUUGCGCACCUGCUUUAACCAUGCCUUGAGAGUUCUCUAGCAGUAUUUGGAUGGCCAUGUCCCUAAUCAAGUCAUGCAUCUUGACACCUCUACUAUAACCAUCCUCCAUUUUAGCACUUUCCAAUAGGCAGACAUAUUCAAGUCUAUUAAGCAUCGUGUGGCCCUCGUCAAAUGCAUCUCCCCUACUCCUCAUUCCUUUAACUAUUCCCUCAUCGAUCAAAUAACCUAUCAACUGCAUCCUUUCAAUCACAUGAUCUUCAGGAAAUAAUGCACAGUACAAGAGACAUUGUUGUAGUGCUAAAUCACUUAGCCGAGCAUAACUAAUCCUCAAUACCUGGAAUACCUUCUCAUCCAUGUCCUUGUAUCCUGAUUCUCUCAAUUUCUUCAAUGUAUUCCUCCACUCAUGUAGAUCAUCCACUCCCCUCAAGCUUCUUGCUAGUAUAAUAAUUCCCAAUGGCAAACCAGCACAUUCCCUUGCAACAGCUUUUGCAAUUCCUUCCACUUCUGGUGAAAGUGCUAUGUCACGUCCAAGUUUCUCCAUGAACAAAGUCCAAGCUUCUCCCGCAUAAAGUGGCUUCACUUUGAUUUUGUGGUGGUAAGUCAUCCGAUUACAAAUUGUUUCUGAUCGAGUUGCCAAAAUCAGCUUGCAUCCUUUCAAUGAGACAGGAAUUUCCACUUCGUCAAGCUCAAAAUUGUUCCACAAAUCAUCUAAAAUGAGAAUCCAUUUUUGUUUCUUCCUUAGUUCUUCUGACAAUUUGGCAGCUCUGUGUCGAUCAUCAUCUUCACUUGAAAGGUCUAAAUGAAGACGUUUAGCAAUAAGAUUCUGCAAUUUAUUAAUGUUGCAAUCUUGAGACACAGUCACCCACCAAACAUGAUCACAAAUGUCUGGUCUUUGUCGAAGCUCAUUAUAGAUAUGUAGUAUUAUUGUUGUUUUACCAACUCCCCCCAUCCCGUAAAUGCCAAUGAUUGAGACUUCAUCAUCCAUUAACCAAGACCAUAUGACCUUCGUAUUCUCUUCAAAUGCUUGACCAACCUGCUUUGUAGAGCUAGUAGGUAAUGGAACUCCUCUAGUCUUGUUGUAUUUCAGACUUUCAGAAGAUCUAGCUCCUGCACCAGCCUGCACUACUGAUCUUCCACUAUUCUCCACAUCAUCAUCCUCCACUGAUUCUGUCCUCACUCUAACCAUGUCCAGCGCAUCAUGCCUAUUUACAUCAUCGUUUACUGAUGGAGCACAAGGUUGAUCAUCACAUCUUCCAAUGUCAAGACAAAAUUGCGAUGAAUCUCCUUGAGGCUCCAGAAGCUGCACUUGCUCUGUUCUAAGUACAUUCUCAAUCUGCUGAAAAGAUCCUUCACCAGUGUUUUCCAUGCCAUUUUCUGCUUGUAGAUGCGACUGAAUUCUAUUUUCUCCUGGACCUUGUUCCAUGCCCUGAACUCCCACUUGUAUCCUUCCAGCACCCCAUGCCAAAUUGCCAUGUACUGCAUUGCUUUGUUCCAACACUCGAUCCACUGGUUCUGUCCUCAGUCUGCUCUGGAGUGCCCCUUCGGAAACUCUAUCUUCUUGUGCUCUCAUUCCAGUCAUGCGUACUUCGUCGUUUCCUGCUAUUGCAUGUGAAGAAAUCCUUUCUUCCCCUACCCCGGGUUCUACAACCUGAAGUUCUCUUUGUACCCUUCCAAUACCUCCUACCAUGUUAAUCUCAAUGUUUUGUUCUUGUGGACAAGUUGAAAUUCCACAAUCAUUAACAUUGACUGAACUUGCUAUGAUUUUUUGUCUUUUGUUGCCACCACACAUAGCUUGAAAGGCUGCUUCUUGAACUUCUUUAGUCACCCCACGACAAAUGGCAACACCGUGCCCUCUCUCUCCUGAUAGAUGCCAUUUGAUCCUUGAAAUGGAAGUUUUAAUGGCAUAUGUAUGUGGACAAAACAUACACUUCAUGCUACCACCAUCAUCAGCCCCAUCUUCAACAUAAUUCCAAAACGGAUCAUUUGAUCCAACCAUUUCGACCUAUAGAAGAAGAAAAAAGUCAAAUAUAGAAUAAAAAUCGGUCAAAAUAUGGAAUAAAAAUUAAUGGAUCAAGUUACCCUUAUUUUGCUAUUAAAAUUGAUAGUUAUUUUAUUGCACAAUCAUAGAGGAAAAAAGAUGACGAUAAUUCAGUUAGACUUCUUACUUGUUGAGUAUUUAAACCCCUAAUUUGACUUUGUAGGGAAGUGUCAAUGCCAGGAUUUGAGGCAUUUGGCCUAGCAGUCUGAUUUUGCAAUCCUCGGACUUGGAGGUUAUCCAUCAGUGCCCUAUAUAAAAAUGAAGUGAUCAUGCUAUAAAACCUUUCGAUAUUUGGUAGUCUCUCUUAAGCAGUAAAAAUCAAUGGUGUAUCUAAUUAUCAAAAAGGUAUUAAUACUGUGUUAAAACACGACAGCAUAUUGCCAAGGUUUGAUCAAUACCUAGUAGAGUUGCCAUAAUUUUGAGGCACGAAGUUCUCUUGUUGCAUAUUGUCUAUAUUAGGAAUUAUAGCAGCUUGAUCGACUUGUCCUUGAUUAGAAAGAAAUUGAAAUCUGAAUCCAAAAUCAUUCACAACCAAUAUGAAGCAUUACAAACUUAUGAUUAUCAUGCUGGGUUCAUGUUUUUACUUUCCUAAUUGAAAAACUAAUUGUUUGUUUACAGAAAAUACUAAAUAUAAAAGAUUGGAUACCGGGGAGGAAGAAAAGAAGGUCGAGGUUGAUUGAAGCCACCAUGUUGUGAAGUGGUUGCGUUCGGUGUCAUAUAGCCAUGUCCCCGAUGAGGUUGAUGAAUAUUGGAGUUAUGAUGCCUGAAAAAUAUUCAAAUAGUUAAACUUAGAACUGUUAUGCUCACUUGGUUGAUUUUCUAGUUCCAUUAUGAUCACAAAAAAAAAGAGAGAGAUAGAGAGCUCACAAUAAAUUAGGAUUAGGCAGAAACCUAUAUUCAAACAUAAUGAAUUCAUUUAGUGUGAACAAGAAGAAAAGUUAAAUAAUGAUGAAUAUAAUGUACCUUGAUGGAGUUUGAGGCCGAUUUGGUUCAUUUUGGUUGAUCCAUGACGAUGAUGUUCCAUCUAAAUCCCCCAUUGUUGUCUGUUUGUUUAACAAUAAACAAUUUGAAGAUGCUCGAGAUAAGAACAUAAAAACUUUUUGUAUAAUACAAACACUUGCUAAUUCAAUGGACAUUGCAGCAAAUUGGAGUAAGAAUUAGUACUCACCAUGGUCACAUUGUUCUGUCCACCUUGAUCAUUGCAUAAUAUGGAGCUUUGGUUGUCUGGAAACUCCGGUGGCAGCCUGCUUCCAUGGACAGUGACAUUAUUCGUUUUUGUCAAUAAUAGGAUAAACUGAAGUAACUAAAUUGCAAGCAAUCAUCUUCUGAUAAAAUAUGCUUAAGAAUGACGUACGAGUGAAGCUCAAGCUCGGACAGUAGUGAAUGAAGAUCGAGCUCAUCCGAUAUCAUGUUGACAUCCUCUUCUAUAGAAGAUGGUGGGAACCCUUCCAUCUGACCAGAAAAGAUUAGAAAAGAGAAAAGGAACUGAGGUUUAAAAAGAACAGAAAGCACAGAUCAGAAAGGAAUAUAUAUAUAUAUAUAUAUAUAUAUAACUUUCUUGUUUGUUAAAGAAAUUCGGAUGAAAAAUAUGAAAUAUAAAUUCUUUUUAUGACACGAGAUCCUAAAAUUGUUGAAGAGCUGAUUGUUUUGAUGGGGUGAACAAACCUCUUUCAACAGGAUAAUAACAGGAUAUUGUUUUGUUCAAAAAGAUUCAGGUAAUUACUGAUAAGUUAAUUCAUUGAAUCAUUGUAAGAAACAAAAGUUGAAAAAUAUUUAAUAAAAAUCAAUGGCAGUCCCAUUAAUUGGAAAAGAAAAGGGUGAAUCUAAAAUAAGGAGUUAAAAACAGCAAAGAAUCUUGAAAAGACGAAAACAAUGAAUUCAACGUUUAGGGUUAAUUUAAUCAGUAUGAGCACCACAGGGCAUGGAUUAUAAAAUCUGAGAAAAAGAUCUAUCUAUUUAUCAUGGAUUACUUUAAAGAUUCAGACAAGAUGAAUGACAAAUAAUUUACCUGGAUUCAAGAUGUUCUUCAAGUGCUAGCUGGUUUGCUUGAGCAGUGAUCAGCCAAAAGAAAAGGAAGAGAAAUCACAGAUCACAGAAGAAUAUAUGGUUUAGAAAAAUAAUAAAGUUCGCACUGAUCAUGAGAUGUGGAAAGGAAAAUAGGGAAUUGUAUAAUGAGAUGAGAUGUGGAAGAGAAUGUUACAGCAGCAAGGUCGCCUCAAUAAUAAUAAUUAAUUAACGUAUUGUUUGAUAGGAAGGAAGUUGCCAGGAAGCAACCCAAACAUUACAUUAUAAGACGAAGACAGUUAACGUGUGGACCCGCCCCAUGUUGACACUUCGAUGCAUAGUCUUUAAACUCGGAUCUGGGAUUGAUCCGGUUAAGGGACCGGGUCCCAGAUUUUAUGCAAUCUGUAUUAAUCCGGGUUAACUCUAAAAAAUAUAUUUAAAAUUUUAAUAUUGAUCCUUCACCCGGACCAGUCCAAGGCCCGAUCAGUCGGGUCCCGGGUCGACCUAUCAGGCUGGUCCGGGUUUUAAAACUGUGCUUCGAAGAAGCUGCUAAGAAAAUGUAAACACAUGAAAUUUUUAAAAAAAAUUGGUAUAUUUAUGCAUGCUGUAAAUUUUUAAAAAAUUAUAUUUUUUAUUUAGAAACACAUUAAAAUAAUAUUUUUUAUUAUUUUAUUUUUUAUAUUAUAAUAUCAAAAUAAUUAAAAAAAUUAAAAAACACACUACGACUGUAAAGAUAAAUCAGUUCCGACAAUGCUAGAUAAGUCUUGUGCAUAUGAUAGUGAGGCUCCAAAUCUAAUUACGUGGCAAUUACUAAUUGGGAUAAUUUUCCAUCUUUUUCCGAGUUUUUCAGUGACUUUUUGUCAGUUAAAAAUAUAAAGAUUUUUGUGGUGAUUGAAGCCCAACUUUGGGGUAUCCAGAAUUGUUUUAAAACCCGACCUGGUCAUUGAUCCAGUUAAGUGAUCGGGUCACGGGUUAGAUGAGUUGACUCGUGUCAAACCGAGUCAAUUCAAAAAAAAAAAGAGGAAAAACCAUAUAGCUUCUCGAAGAAAAAAUUAUAGCAACUGUGAUCAAAUAUAUUCAAAGAAAGGUGGAAAGGGCAUUUUUAUUUGUUUUGCAAGGAAAUUGGCAAUCUAUCCAAAUAUAGGCAAGGAAAUCAAAUUGACAAAGGGUGAAAUGAACACAUCCAUGUCAUCAGAGAAUCAAACACGAUAACAAACAACUCCACAUUUGACUGUCAUUAAUCAUAACAAAAUUUUGCUCAAACACAUCCUCUAACUCAAAAGACUUCACUUCAUCAUUUUGAGGCCUGUUUUUCCUUUGCCUUCUGAAUCUUCAAAACCUUCUUCACAAUCUUUUGCUCCUCCACCAAGAAAGCCCGAAUAAUUCUCUCCCUAACAGCACUUCCAUACAAGACUCCACCAUAGGCACGGUUCACAGUCUUGCGAUUCCUUGACAGUCUAGACCUCUUGUAUUCAGCAGGUCUCAAGUGAGGGAUCCCUUGAAUCCUCUUGCCAGUAACUGGGCACUUAGGUCCGCUAGCCCUCUUCUUGGUGGUUUGGUAAACCAAUUUCCCACCAGGGGUUUUGACCACACGGUGUUGGUUAGAUUUUGUGGCGUAGCUGUGACGCUUCCGGUAAGUCAGACGCUGCACCAUUUUCAGAUCACCAGCUCUUAAGUCUCUGGGUGGUGUAUGGUGGGCAGACAAAGGAGGGCAUUUUCAUUUGUUGCUUAUGUGCUCAUGGCAAGGAGCCUAUGGUGAAUCAGCUGCACGUAGGGGUGUUCAAAAUAACCGAGAAAACCGAUAAAACCGAAGAAAAAUUAACCGAAAAAACCGAACCGAAAGUAAAAACCGAUUAAACCGAUUUAAAAAAUCAUAAAUGUUAACAGGUCCGGUUCGGUUUCGGUUUUGACCUAGAAACCGAGCCAAACCGAACCGGACCCAUUAAACCAUUAAAAAAAAAGUACUAUAAAUAGUUAAGUUAACCUGGCCUCCCUCUCUAACCCUAACAUAUUCUCAUCUCAUUUCUCUUACAAUCAGCCGUCUUCAUCUUUCUUCUCAUUUUCAACAAAAACCCAAUCUUCCUCAAUAAUUAAUUCAUAAUCUUCCUUUCCCAGAAACCUUCUUCAUUCUCCAUUGAAGCAACGACAGUAAGGUAAAUGACUAAAUUUCAUCUUCUUUGAUUCUUUGUUUCAUGGGUUUGAAUUUUGAAAGUAUUUUCUAAAUUUCCAAGUUUAUUCCAUCUUCAUCUUCAUAUUUUUAUUUUCCAGAAAUCGUCUCCAUCUUCAUCUUUCCAAGAAACCAUCUCCAUCUUUCAGGCGUCUUCAUUUAAGCAACAACAGUAAGGUAAAUUUCAUCUUCAUCUUUGAUUCUUUAUUUAGUGGGUUUAAUAUUCACCGUUGGUAGAUCUGUUAUCUGUAAAUCUUUCCAAGGAACAUAACUUUCGGCCACAAAAUUGAGAAAAGAAGUUAGGUAGGGCCCUCCAUCCAUGUCCUUCCUCUCCCUUUUCCUCCCAUGCUCCUUAAGCCACCCGUUAAUUAACGUAUAAAACUAAUUAGAUGAUCAAAAAGACCUUCACAUGUGUUACUGUGUGCACAGUAACCCCGUUACUGUGCACACAGUAACCAGUCCAUUUACUGUGCCAACAGUAACCAACAUGCAUAUAUUAGAUAUAUAAUAUAUAUGUCUGUCGGGUGAUGAGCAAAAGCAUGUUAUUUCCUGAAAGAUUUCGAGGUGUGACUCAUGAACAAUUGCGUGGCAAUGGCAUGGAUAAGACAAGCUUUAUGCAAAUCCUUGGUGAAGAAAUAAGAAUAUCCUGGGAACCUGUGUUAUGAUCACAACCGUUGAUAUAUUCCCACGUCAUUCCAAACAUUUGCAUAAUUCUCUUACAGAUCAAAACUCGGCCAUUAAAGCAAACGUGCACCGACAGAUGAUAUUGGACGACUGUUGCAAUAUUUAAACUAUAUGCUAAAGGCAGAUGAUGAUGCAGAGAUGACUAGUUUCUUCAUUUCUUCGGUUCUUCUGUUUUGUUUCAUGCUUUUCAUUUUGUUGACUAUUGCAUUUUCUUUUCCAGAUGUAAAUAUACGUUUUAUUUGCUGGGUCUUCUACUGGAAUGUAUGACAGAAUUGUGCAAGCAUUGGUUUGUUGUCAAAAUUGGUUGAGUUUAGCAUCAAUUCCAAUCAACAUCGGAAACUACAUUGAUUAUAUUGAAAAUUCUGAGAUAAUUGAGUCAGGUAAUUUCUUUUACAAAUUUAAAUGUAGUUAUUUUAUAAUAUCAUUUAUUUACAUAUAUUUAAUCUAACAUUUUAAUUUUUGUUUUUGUAGAAUUUAGUGAAAUUUUAAAAAUCUCAACUGAUUAUUUGUAAGUUAUAUUGAUGAUGUUGGUGCAAUCUUGGAAUAUAAUUGUUUUGGGUAAUUAAUUUACUUUGCCUUAUUAAUUCCUUUUAAAAUUUUACAUUCCUAAUUUUUUUAAUUGUCAAACUAUAAUAUGUUGCUAAUUUGCUAGUGUUUUUUUAUAGCAUUAUCCUUGCUGGAUCUUUUGGCUUUUGCUGUUGCUGGAAGUUUUGGAUGCUGCUGUAGUGCUGGUGUUGGAUUUUUUCUUCAACUUAUGCCGAAUGUUUAUGAUAAUUUAUUACUAGUUGCUAUUUGCUAAUGUAAAUUUUUUUUAGUGUGAACACCUCUUUUAAUUUGAGGUGUCCAAAUUUGAUCAUGCAUCUUGCAUAUUGCAUUGAUUUGAAUUUUCAUAACAUAUUUCUUUGUAUAUUAAAAAUAGUAAGAUAAAACAUAUCAGAUUUAUUGUUACUAUAAGCAAUUAAGCAUUUAAAAAAAAAUUCAAUAUUUUAAUUUCAUUAGAAAGCUUAUAACAAAAUUAAUCAAAUUAUAACAUUUUAAAGAGUUUUGAUUAAAAAGCCUAUAAAUUUAGCCCAACAAGAAAAUUUAACAGCCCAAUUUAAUUUAAGCCCAUUAAAAAAAGUCAAAAAAGCCCAUUAAUUUAAUGAUUAGGUUUCCCGGUUUUUUAGCUGCAAAACCGGAUUCAACCGAACCGAACCAGUUCGGUUUGAACUGGAAUUCGGUUCGGUUCGGUUUGAAAUUUUAAAAAUAUAAGGUACUUGGUUCGGUUGGUUUUUAUGGUUGAAACCGAACCGAACCGAACCGUGAACACCCCUAGCUGCACGUGCUUGGUUGGCAGAGCUUAUGGGGUGGACCAGAAGUUGGGACCCUCUUGCUGAAACAGGCUCUUGUGAUUGUGAUAGAGGAUAAAACCUGAGAAGCAGAAGCUUUUGAGCCCUUGAUUAGUUGACCUUGAUUAGUUGGGUUUCAAAGAGUAACAUUAAUUAGGUUAGUGAUUUUGCUUCGCUUUUCUUCACUUUUCAGUCUUCAGCGUUUUAGCAUUUCAGAAAGACAAAAACAACGUAAUUUAAUGACAGUCAAAAUAAAAAAAAAUUGAUCGGGUCUCACUUUGGUUUGACCGGGUGGACCGGGUUUUUCCGGGCCAAUUUUCGAGCAGGUUUUUGCCUCCACCUAGACCGGUUUCAGGCCCGGGUCAGUCGGGUCCCGGGUCGACCCGCCGGACCGGUCCGGGUUUUAAAACACUAGUAUCAAGUCUCCACGGUAACAAAUUAAGAAAAUAGAAAAAAAUUACUAUUUUAAGUGCGUCCAGGCUAGUUCAAAGUGAAUUUCAUGACUCCUGGGCCUUGACUUUUCUGUGAGAGCUUCAACUCUAACAUUGAAAUGUUUUUUCUUAAACUGUGAGAGCCUCAUAAUAAGCAUAAUGAGGGAAUUUUUACUAAACUAUUAAAUCUUAACAUAAAAGAGAAUUUUUACUAUAUAUCCACGAAUGAUACAAAAAUCUAUACUUUUUUUUUAAAUUAAUUCCUGAACCUAGUCUACCGAACGCAAUCAAGCAUUGGCUUCAAACUAAAAAGAGGGAGCUUCAGUGCAGUAGGAAACUUCAACAUCUACCGGUCUUGCACCGCAUUCCAUUAAAUUUUAUAAAAUUUUAAAAUAAAAAUUAUUUUUUUAAAAUAUUUUUAUAUUGUUUUAAUAUGCUGAUAUCAAAAAUAACUUUUUUAAAAUAAAAAUAUUAUUUUAAAGCAUUUAUAAAUAAAAAAUAUUUUAAAUCGCAAUCACUAUUAUAAUUUUAAACAUACCCUUAUGAUUUGCUAUCCAAUCUUCAUACAAAUUCUCCAUUAAUACAAAGAUUUUUUUUUUUGUUGUACGGAAAUUAUCAACCAAUAACUUUCUAUCUUUUUUCGAGUAUUUCGGUGAUUUUUUUUAUCUCAUAUUCACGAACUAAAAAGUAAAUAAAAUAAAAUUUUAGAUAAAAAUUAAAAAUCAAAAUCAAAAUGCAAAAUGCGAAAACUUUAUGGAUCAAAAUUUUAAAAAACACACCUAGGCUACUUUCUGGUUUCAAUAUCAUAUUUGAUCUAGGAAGUUUCAAUUAUUUUUAAUGAAUUAAAUUGAACAAAAUUUUGCCAAAUCAAAAGGUAGCAGCGUGAAGCCUAGGAAAUUCUACUACUUCUCGAGAUAAUAGUGACUUUGAUGACAAUUUUGUAGCUAGGCCAUGAAAUGUACAUGUGCUAGUGAUUCGUGUUAGUCCAAAUCCGUGCCAAGACAUUUCCAGUCUACGAGAAUAUCAUCAGUGGCGAUUUGUGUUAUCCUAGUGGGUAAAGCUCCUAAAUUAAUACAUCAUUCUAUGACAAUCCUCAAUUUAGUCCUUUCAUGUAAGAUUGUUACAAACUUUUAAAACAUGUCCAGUUCUCUUUAUAUAUAUAUAUAUAUAUAUAUAUUUAAAAAAACAGCUUUUAAAUAGAAAUCAUCGACGGAUUUGAAUACGGGGCAAAACUAAGAAUGUUUUAUGCAUUAAAGAUGUCACUACAGAAAACAAUGAGGACCCAAUUGAGAAUUGGUUAUAAGUUGGGGGCUUGUACGAAGCUAGCCCUUAUCCAAACCAAUGAAGCAAGUGGUAGCCCUUAUCCAAACCAAUUUGCUAAAGUGGUGAGUGCCUAUGUAGUGCUACGCUGUAUUUUGAUUUUUUGUUUUGUUAAUAUAACAAAGAUAUCCUAAUAAUAAUAGCUUUUAAAAGCAAUAAUAAAAAUUUGAAAUUUAGGUUAUUAAUUUGAAUGGAUUCAAUAAACUCGAUUAAUUUAUUAAUAAUUAAGCUAGCAUAUAAAAAAUCGAAUAAAACAAUGAAGGUCAACUCUCAAGUAAAUUAAAUGAUAAAAGGUAAAAUUGAAAAAAAUAAUACAAAUAAAAUAACAAUUAAAAUAUUUAGGAUCAAAUCUAGUAUAAAAAUUAAAUGAGAGAAAAUAAUAAAGGAUUAAAUCAGAAAAUAAAAUAAAUAAAAAACAAUCAAAAGAAUAAGGAUUAAAUUGAAUAAAACAUUAAAAAAAAUAAAAAAAAUGAGAGAUAUAAUUGAAAAAUCAAGAAAAUAAAAAAACAAAACUAUAAAAUAACAAUAAAAAAAUUAAAAAAUAAGAAUAAAAUUGAAUGGUACCAUAAUUAAUGAAAAAAAGAGAGAGGAUAAAAACCCUGGUUCAUAUUUGAAGCUCACAAGUCAUUAAGGUAGGCUGGUGUUUGUCCCUUUACAUCAAUGGGACCAUAAUUAAUGGGUAAGUGUAAAGUUGUCAUCUCUUAUGCAAGUGGCUAAGAGAUCGAACUGACUCUGUCUAGCCAAAAAGGUCGUUCUUUAAUCUAUCCAUUUCAUCAAGUGGCGAAGAAAUGCUUCUUAAAUUAAAUAAAAUGGAGAAGAAAACUCAGGUAAUAAAUUAAUGUUUAAUUCACUUUCAAGCUGACAAUAAAAAAUGAAAGCAUUUCUAUUCAAUAAUAUUAAUUUAUUGCUAGUUAAUGAUAUAAGAUGAUUUGUACUAAUGACUAAAUCUAUUAUUUUAUUAGUUUACUUUAAUAAUAAAUCAAUAUAGUAUUUAUUUUUUUUGGGAUUUUCAUCUUGGAGAAACUCAAUAAGAUGAAAAUAUAAUAUUAAUCAAACUUUAAAUUAUAAUUAUUUAUUUAUCGAGUUAAAAAAAUAUAUGACAAUACAAUAGUCUUAAAAAGAUAAUGAAAUAAAAAAAUGAAAAAUGUUAUUUAUAUAAUUGUAUGCACAUUAUAUAAAAAAAGAAGUAUUUCAUAUUAAUAAACGCUCUUUCUUUCUAUGAAUUCAUGUUAGGCUAACCAUGUGGCUAAUUUGUAGCCCUGCAAGAUACUUUUCCAACGCGUCAAGAAUCACAGCAAUUCGAUACGUGAGUGGAAAGUUGCGAUUAAAAUACUAAAGUGUGUGCAGGCUGGUUCAAAGUGAAAUUUCACGACUGCUGAGCCUUGACUUGUUUGUUUAAUUUUUAUUAUUUUUAUUCACAUUUUAGCAUUUUAUUCCAAUGAUAGAAUAGAAUGCACUUUCAUAGACUCAUCAAAACCACAGGAAUGCAAUCAAGCUUUAGCUUCAAACAACCAGAGGGAGAUUCAGUGCAGUGGAAAACUUCAACAUCUACUAUGAAGCUUGAUUUGCUAUCCAAUCUUCAUAUCAGUUUUCCAUUGAUACAAAGAUACUGUAUGUGUUUUUGUUGCCAGAAAGUUGUUCGAUCAAUAACUUUUUAUCUUUUUCCAAGUUUUUGUUGUGUGAUUGUUUUUUCCUUUCAUCUCAAACUCAUGAACUAAAAGUUAAACAAAAUAAAAUUUUAAAUCAAAAUAAAAAAUAAAAAAUAUAAGUACUUUUCAGUUCCGGUAAAUCAAACAAUUUCAGAAUUUUCCAAGAUAAACAGAUUUUUAAAUGCACUCAAACAUAAUUUUAAAUAUAAAAACAAAUUAUGUUUUUUUUAUUGCGGCAUAACAAUGUUGGCAGUACCGUUGUUGUUUGGACUUUGAGCAGCAGUAGAUAUCUCCAGCGUACUGUUACCUGCCGGCUAGAAAAUGUAUGUUUAUAAAAGUUGUGUUUGGUAACAGAUUUUUAAAUGCAAUCAAACAUAAUUCUGAGUACAAAAACAAAUUACAUUUUGAUUGCGAGCAUAACAAUCUUGGCAGUAAGUACCAUGAUUCUUUCCAAUUGAGUUAAUUUUAAGAUUUUUUUUGGCACCCACGUACAUGCUUUAGGAGUUCUUUUUAUUAAAUCAAUAUUAAAGUAAACAAAUUUAAAUCAAUACAGAUAAAUAAAUGAACUAAAUAUAAUCAAACAAUUAAUCCAUUUAACAGAAAAAACAUUACUGAAUCCAUAAACUACAUUAAUCCCUUUUCUUUUCUAGUUUUUUUUUUUUUCUCUCUGGUGGAAUUCCCACACGUCUUCUUUAUGGGCAGCCCCACUUUUAAACCCUCUUUUUCAUCACGUCCCCAUGGUCCCCGUGUCCCACACGUUUUCAUCAAAAACCUAAAUUUUAGGACUUCUUUGGCAGCCAUCUAACAAUAUAUAAAAAUAGUAUUUUUAUUUUUAAAAAAUUAUUUUUAACGUCAAUACAUUAAAAUAAUCUAAAAAUAAAAAAAUUAUUUAAAAAAAAUCAAAAUUUUUAAAAACACAAGCAUUCUCAAACAAGGUAACGCGUCAAGAAUCACAGCAAUAUAACAUGUGAGUGGAAAGUUGUGAUUAAAAAACAUUAUUACUUUUAGAGUGAUUUUGACAGCGUAGCAGGAAAUGUCAUUAUUGUUAUUUUUAAAAUAGUUUUUUUAUUUAUAAAUAUAUUAAAAUGAAAGUUGUUAAUUUCGUUUCGUUUUAUUUGUAAUGACUUCAUACCAAUUCAAAAAAAGAAAUAAAACAAAAUAAUUUUCAUCUCAUUUCAAAUCUCGAUCCCUUCUAAAUUUUUCGGCUAAAUUCCGUUCAGAAUGUUCUGGUUUCAUUCCACAUGUUCUGUUCCGGUCUUAAAAAGCCAUUGAAUCAAAGUAUAAAAAGCUCUUUUUCAUUACUAUUUUCAUUAACUAUGAUAUUAAUUUUUUAAAAUUUGAUUUAUCACUAAUAUAUAUGGUUUAUAUUCAUGUUGUUUUUUUUCAAGUUUAUACUUUGUAGGAAUUUAAGCAAAAAAGUAAAUGUUUUAGAUCUCGUUAGCUUUAAUAACAUUGACCUCGCUUUAUAUUUAAAAUAUUAGUGUUAAAAUAUUUUAAUUUUAUAAUAUUUGAUAUUUUAUUGAAGCUGAAUUGUUUUAAGUUAAAAAAUUAUUUAAUCUUAACUAUUUAAAAAUAUUUUAAAUUUUAAAAUUAUAUUUCAUCACGUUUCUAUGAUCUCCGUUGUGUCAAAAACAAAUUGCCUAAAUUUUAGGCUUUAGCAGUUCCUUUUUUGAAAUCCUCAUCAGUGAAAUUUCACGACUCCAGCUGGGCCUUGACUUGUCUGUUUAAUUUCUAUUAUUUUUAUUCCAUUUUAGCAUUUCAUACUCAUCAAAACCACUGGAACGCAAUCAAGAUUUAGCUUCAAACAACCAGAGGGAGAUUUUCUAGGGAUAAAAUUUUAAAAAUCACGCCUAUACUACUUUCUAAUUUUAGUAUUAAUUUAGUAUUUAAAAAAUGUGUUUAGAAACCAAAACUGCCACAUUCAUACUCUCUCUUAUACAUUUUAAAAAUGGUGUAGAAGAAUACUUUCAGUGAUGAUUUAUAAUAGUGAAUAUAUUUAUUAUUUUAUUAGGUUACUUUAAUGAUAAAUCAAUAUAGUAUUUUUUUUAUUUUUUGGAUUUUCAUCUUGGGGAAACUCAAUAGGAUGAAAAUAAAAUAUUAAUCAAACUUAAAAUUAUAAUUGUUUAUCUAUCGAAUUAAAAAAAUAUAUGACAAUUCAGUGGCCUUUAAUGAAAUAAAAAAAAUGAAAAAUGUUAUUUAUGUAAUUGUAAGCACACUAUAUUAUAUUACUUCACAAAAGGAACGAAGGACAUCCUUUGCAUUAGGAUGCUCCCACUGCACUACUGUCUCCCACCAUUCUUCUGGAAAUGCCACGAUUUUUUUAAGAGAAGGGGGAGGAGAUGGCUGGCCAUUUUCAAGCAAGGGAAGACAAAUUGGUAUCCUCUUCAGCUUCUCACAAAACGUUACACUAAUAUCUUCAAGAGAAUUGCAAAUCAGUUUUCUACUGCAAAUGCUUUUCAGUUCUGGUAAACUAAAUAAUUUUAGAAUUCUUAACUUUGGGAGAAUGACUUCCGUGAUGGAAUUGGAGGUGCUGCUUUCUUCAUCUGUUGUUCCAAUUAUCUCCUCCAUUUUCUCACAGAAACUCACUUCAAUCAUUUCUAGGUUUACGAGGUUUGGCAGCAACACAAACGGGAACAACUUCUUCAUACUAUUACAGCCAAAACAAACAAACACUUUAAGACCAGAAAACGUACCGUUACAUGAUGGCAAUCGUGGUGGAGCAGAGCAGAACCAAGAAGAUGAAACCAAGCUCUCCAUGUUAUCGCAUACCCGAAUGAGGAUGCGCUCCAGUUCAGUUGCAUUCUCUAAUGACAAAACAUCACAUAAACUUCUUGCAUCGAUGCGUUGACAAAUCAGUCCUUGAAUGCCAUUUAAGAACUUGACCUGAAAAUCUCUAUCUCCGUUGAUACUCAAAUUACCCAACCCAACUGUUUUACUUGGAAAAUAUUCAAUGUAUCUACCCACCUCUCCUACUGAAAUUGUAUAUGUGCUUAAUGAUUGGAUCCCAUCCCGAGAUCUGAGAUACUCCACGAAGUCAGAAAAACCUUCGAAAUGGCAUUCCAAAGUUUCCAACUUUCUCAAGGAUCCUACUUCCUUUCCUUUAACUGCUAUAGGAGCAUAUCUUCGAUCAAUUAACCUUUCCUCUAGUACAAAGACUUGCAGGUGAGAGAGUUUUGGUAAUAUCCCACAAGGAAACUCCUUUUCACCACAUCCAUUCAUUCUAAGAUACCUCAGGUUGGUUAGGCAUUCCAUUCCUUGCGGUAUCUUUUCAAGUGCAGUAUGAGAGAGACUCAACCUCUUCAGUUCCUGGAGCUUCUCUAAUGAUGGAACACGUCUUAAUUUCUUACAAUCAUUGAGCAAUAAUGCUGUGAGACUCACCAAAUCAGAGACAGAGUCUGGCAAAUUUCCAAUAUCUGUCCAAGACAGAUCGAGGACCUUAAGCCCAUGCAAUUGCUUGAAAAAUGAAUCCGCAAUAAAUCCCAACCAACGAUUUUCACAUAGCAAUAGAGUUGAUAGAUAGGGACACCUAGGUGAAUGGCUGGAAGGAAUUUCUUCGAUCAUGUUUCUCAUUAGUGAAACUCUCGUCAGAUUCUCCGUCCACUCCUCUGCAUCUGGCAACUCUUUUAAUUGCGCACCUGCUUUAACCAUGUAUUGAGGGCUCUCUAGCAGUCUAUGGAUGGCCAUGUCCCUAAUCAAGUCAUGCAUCUUGACAAAUCUACUACCACCAUACAUGAAUUUAUCACCUUCCAAUAGGCAGACAUUUUCAAGUCUAUUAAGCAUCGUGUGGCCCUCAUCAAAUGCAUCUCCCCUGCUCCUCUUUCCUUUAAUUAUUCCCUCGUCGAUCAAAUAAUCUAUCAACCCCUCCCUUUCAAUAUAAACAUCUUCAGGAAAUAAUGCACAGUACAAGAGACAUUGUUGUAGUGCUAAAUCACCUAACCGAUCAUAACUAAACCUCAAUAACUUGAAUACCUUCUCAUCCAUGUCCCUAAAUUCUGAUUCUCUCAAUCUCUUCAAUGUAUUCCUCCACUCAUGUAGAUCAUCCACUCCGCUCAAGCUUCUUGCCACUGUAAUAAUUCCUAGUGGCAAACCAGCACAUUCCCUUGCAACAGCUUCCGCAAUUCCUUCCACUUCUGGUGAAAGUGCUACAUCACGUCCAAGUUUCUCCAUGAACAAAGUCCAAGCUUCUUCCUUAGAAAGUGGUUUCACUUUGAUUUUGUGCUGGCAAGCCAUCCUAUGACAAACCGUUUUUGAUCGAGUUGUCAUAAUCAGCUUGCAUCCUUCCAAUUUUUCAGGAAUUCCCACUUCGUGUAGCUCAAAAUUAUUCCACAAAUCAUCUAAAAUAAGAACCCAUUUUUUUUUCUGCGUUAGUUCUUCUGACAAUUUAGUAGCUCUAUGCAAAUCAUCAUCUUCGCUUGAAAGGUCUAGAUGAAGACGUUUAGCAAUAAAAUUCUGCAAUCUAUUAAUGCUGAAAUCUUGAGACACAGUCACCCACCAAACAUGAACACAAAUAUCUGGUCUUCGUAGAAGCUCAUUAUGGAUAUGUUGCAGUAUUGUGGAUUUACCAACUCCCCCCAUCCCAUAAAUGCCAAUGGUUGAGACUUCCCCAUCCGUUAACAAAGACCAUAUCACCUUUGUAUUCUCUUCGAAUGCUCGACCCACUGGCUUUGUUGAGCUAGUAGGUAAUGGAACUCCUCUAGUCUUGUUGUAUUUCAGACUUUCGGAAGAUCUUGCUCCUGCGCCAGCCUCCUCCAUUGGUUCUGUCCUCACUCUAACCAUGUCCAGCGCAUCAUGCCUAUUUACAUCAUUGUUUACUGAUGGAGCACAAGGUUGAUCAUAACAUCUUCCAAUGUCAAGACAAAAUUGGGAUGAAUCUCCUCGAGGCUCCAGAAGCUCCACUUGCUCUGUUCUUGGAAUAGUCUCAAAUGCAUCAUGCUGAAAAGAUCCUUCACCAGUGUUUUCCAUGUCAUUUUCUGCUUGUAAAUGCGACUGAAUUCUCUCUUCUCCGGGACCUUGUUCCACGCCUUGAACUCCCACUUGUACUGCUUUGCUCUGUUCCAACACUCGAUCCACUGGUUCUGUCCUCGUUCUGCUCUCGAGUGCCCCUUCGGAAACUCUAUCUUCUUGUGCUCUCAUUCCGGUCAUGCUUACUACGUCGUUUCCUGCUAUUGCAUGAGAAGAAAUCCUCUCUUCCCCUACCCCGAGUUCUACAACCUGAACUUCUCUUUGUACCCUUCCAAUACCUCCUACCAUUGUUGAAAUUCCACAAUCAUUAACACUGAUUGAACUUGCUGUGAUUUUAUGUCUUUUGUUGCCACCACGCAUAGCUAGAAAGGCUGCUUCUUGAACUUCUUUAGGCACCCCAAGACAAAUGGCAACAUUAUGCCCUUCCUCUCCUGAUAAAUGCCAUUUGAUCCUUGAAAUGGAGGUUUUAUUGGCAAAUGUACGUGGGACAAAACUUACACUUCAUCCUACCCUCAUCACUUUCUUCAACAUGAUUCCAAAACGGAUCAUUUGAUCCAACCUUUUCGACCUAUAGAAAAAAGAAGUCAAAGUAUAGAACAAAAAUCAGUCAAAAUAUGGAAUAAAAAUUGACGGAUCAAGUUACAGAACAGAAGUUUCCGGAUUGAGAAACUAUUUUGCUAUCAAAAUUGAUAGUUAGUUUAUAGCACAAUCAUAGGGGAAAAAGACUACGAUAAUUCAGUUAGACUUCUUACUUGUUGAGUAUUUAAACCCCUAUUUUGACUUUGGAAGGAAGUGUCAGGGCCAGGAUUAGAGGCAUUUGGCAUAGCAGUUUGAUUUUGCAAUCCUCCGACUUGGAAGUUAUCCAUCUGUGACCUAUAUAUAAAUGAAAUGAUCAUAUUAUAAAAAUUUUCGAUAAUUGGUAGUCUCUCUUAAGCACUAAAAAUCAAUGGUGUAUCUAAUUAUCGAAAAGGUAUUAAUACUAUGCAGAAAAACUAACUGUUUUUUUUACAGAAAAUACUAAAAAUGAAAAAUUGGAUACCGGGGAGCAGGAGAAGAAGGUCCAGGUUGAUUGAAGCCACCAUGUUGAGAAGUGGUUGCGUUCGGUGUCAUAUAGCCAUGUCCCGGCUGAGGUUGAUGAAUAAAGGAGUUCUGAUGCCUGAAUAAUAUUCAAAUAGUUAAACAUAGAACUGUUAUUCUCACAAAAAAGAGAGAUAGAGAGCUCAAAAAGACUUGAAAGAUCCACGUCAAUUUUGGUCAAGUUCAUUGUUUUCAUGAUUAAAAAAGUGUAUAUUCGAGGUUAAUACCUUUGAUUCAUUGGAGGUUGAGGUCCAGGUAGCAUCGCAGGCACUUGAUUGCUCAUUGGUAACUGAUAAUCAGUCCAUUGUUGGUCCCUAAAUGAGCAACAUUUGUUGGUGAUUUCUUUAUACAUAUGCAUAAUUCUUUGCUAUUAAUCCACUAAGCAUUUGAUAUCAUUUUAGCUUACCUCAAAGGCAUUGAUGGUCCAGGUAGCAUGGGAUUGGCACAUUGAGGAUCAAAUAAAUUAGGAUUAGGCUGAUACCUAUAUUCAAACAUAAUGAAUUCACUGAUAAGUACAACAACAAGAGGAAGAAGAAGAAGUUAAAUAAUGAUUGAAAAACUUUUUUUUUUUUUCAGAAAAUACUAAAUAUGAAAAAUUGGAUACCAGGGAGCAGGAGAAGAAGGUCCAGGUUGAUUGAAUUCACCAUGUUGUGAUGUGGUUGCGUUCGGUGUCAUAUAGCGAUGUCCCGUCUGAGGUUGAUGAAUAAAGGAAUAAUGAUGCCUAAUUCAAUGGACAUUGUAGCAAAUUGGAGUAAGCAUGAGUUCUCACCAUGGUUUCAGGAAAUGAAGUUGGAAACUGAGUUGUUUGUUGAAUACUAUCGUUGAUCACAAUAUUCUGUCCACCUUGAUCAUUGCAUAAUAUGGAGCCUUGGUUGACUGGAACCUCCGGUGCCGGCCUGCUUCCAUGGAAUAAUAGGAGAAGUGGUGAUUGAAGAUCGAAAAGAUCAUCAUCCAUAGAAGAUGGUGGGACAUCUUCCAUCUGACCAAAAGUACAAGAUGAUUAGUACAUGCUGAGGAGUGAGGUGAAAAAAGAACAGAAAGGACGUGAAACUCAAUUCCCAUUAAUUGGAAAAGAAAAGGGUGAAUCUAAAAUAAGGAGUUAAAAACACUACUUUACCUACCCAAUUAUAAAGCUUAGAAGAAGAUGCCUAGAAAAUGUAAACACAUGAAUAUGAGAAACAAUAAUAUACUUUUCUUUUAAAAAAAAAAAAAAAGGAAAGGAAAAAAAAAUAGAAAAAGCAAAACACUAUUGAUUACUAUUGUAAUCCAUAAUAUAAUGAAAUGAGUAUGAGUAAAUAAUGAUUCUCUUAUAUUUUUUAGGUUUUUUUUUUAAUUAAUAAACAAAAAAAUAUUCCACCAAACCUAAAAACUAGUAUAAUUUGGAUUACGUACUAUUGUAAUUUACAAUAAAAUAGGUGUGGAUAUAUAGUGAUUCUCCCAAGUCUCUUAGCUUUUCUUUUAAUGAAAAUUAAUAACCGUUAUUUUCUUGUGGAUGCUCUAUCGUUGCUAAAUUAAAACAUCUUCUUAUUUUUUUAUCUACAUCUAUGUGAAACUUUUUUAAAAUAAAAAUAUUUAAAAAGAUAAUGUUAAAAUAAAACAUUGUUAUUUUAGUUUUUUUUUUUAACAAAUACCAUCAUAAUAUGAUGUGGUUUUCUUUUUUACUCAGGUUAUUCAGUUAAUAUGUGAGUCAACCAGUAAACUAAACUUUGGAAUAUGGUUUUUAACCAUUCGUAAGCUUCCUAUUUAUUCAUAGUAAUCAAAAUAUUUUUUUAUUUUUAAUAUUAAUAUAUUAAAAAAUAUUAAUUUAAUAUUUUUUUUUAAAAUAACCAGAUUUUUUAAUAAACAUAUCUCUUGAGUACAAAACCAAAUUAUAUUUAGAUUGCGGGCAUAAGCAUAACAAUCUUGACAGUACCGUUGUUGUUUGGACUUUGAGAAUGAUAAAACAAAAGAGUUAGAAUAAAUUUAAAAUAAAAAAUUAAUUUUUUAAAAAUACUUUUAAAAUACAAAAACAAACUAAUAAUAAAAUAGACUUUCAUACACUUAUUAAAAUCACAGGAACGCAACAAUCAGGCAUUAGCUUCAAGCAACCCGAGGAUAUUUAGAACAUAGCUUGAUUUGUUAUCCAAUCUGCACACCAGUUGGAUAGCAAUUUCUUUUCAUAACAUUUACCUUUGUAAAAACUUUCUACUUAUUUUUAGUUUUAAUAUCAGAUUCAGUCUUUAAUAUUUAUCUUCAAAAUUUUAAUAUAAAAUUUGACGGUCAAAAUUUCACUUAUUUUUAAUCAAUUAAAUUGAACAAAAUCUUGUGUUAAGUCAAACAUCAACUCUACAUUGAAUUGUUUUUUCUUCUUAGACCACAAGAGCUCCAUAACAAGUUUAUUGAAAUAAAUUAUCAAAUGAAAUUAAAAACAAAAAUGCUUUAUAAAAAAAAAACAGAGAGACAUCUACCUUGUUUUCUCUAUUGGUACAUGGUAAGAGUCUGAGCAUAUUUAUUUAUUUAUUUAUUUUUAUUUUUAUUUUAAUAAUAGUCCUGUUAUUUCUACCGUCAAGAAAUCAAGAACGAUUCUAAAGAUUCUAAAGUCCAUAUUUAGAUAAUUUCGGUUGAUUGAAGCCACCAUGUUGUGAAGUGGUUGCGUUCGGUGUCAUAUAGCCAUGUCCCGGCUGAGGUUGAUGAAUAAAGGAAUUAUGAUGCCUUGAUGGAGUUUGAGGCCAAUUUUAUAUAAAACUUAAUGAUAAAAAAAUAUCAUAAAAAAUGUCUAAAUCUCCCAAUUGUUGUAUGUUUGUUUAACAGUAAACAAUUUGAAGAUGCUCGAGAUCGAUACACUAAACAUAAAACUUUUUGUAUAAUACAAACACUUGCUAAUUCAAUGCACAUUGUAGCAAAUUGGAGUGCUCACCAUGGUUUCAGGAAAUGAAGUUGGAAACGGAGUUGUUUGUUGAAUACUAUCGUUGAUCACAUUGUUCUGUCCACCUUGAUCAUUGCAUAAUAUGGAGCUUUGGUUGACUGGAACCUCCGGUGGCGGCCUGCUUCCAUGGACAGUGACGACAUUAUAUUGUUUUUUGGGAAUAAUAGGAUAAACUGAAGAAUAACUAAACUGCAAGCAAUCAUCUUCUGAUAAAAUAUGCUUAAGAAUGACGUACGAGUGAAACUCAAGCAGACAGUAGUGAUUCAAAGUUGUCAACCUCCUCCAUAAAAGAUGGUUGGAACCCUUCCAUCUGACCAGAAAAGAUCAGAAAAGACAAAGAACUGAGGUCUAAAAAGAACAGAAAGCACAGAUCAGAAAAGAAUAUAUAUAUAUAUAUGACUUUCUUGUUGGUUAAAGAAAUUCGGAUGAAAAAUAUGAAAUAUCAAUGUUGUUGUUAAUGAUUUAAUCCUUUGUCUUUUAAGAUAAAUUAUCAUACUCAAAUUCUUUUUAUUAUAGAUAGAAAGAUGCAGGAUAACUGUUGAAGGUAGAAGAGCUGAUUGUUUUGACGGGGUGAACAAAAACCUCUUUCAACUCCUCUUUAUUCAUAAUUUGGGGAGCAAAACAAAUGCAAGAUUCAUUGUUUACUGUUAAACAAACCUCUUUCAACUCCUAUUUGUUCUUUUUUAAUUAUUCUUAUUUUGUUUACUGAAAGGUAAUUACCGAUCAAGUUAAAUCAUUGAAUCAUUGUAAGAAACAAAAGUUGAAAAAUAUUGAAUAAAAAUGAAUGGCAGUCCCAUUAAUUGGAAAAGAAAAGGGUGAAUCUAAAAUAAGGAGUUAAAAACAGCAAAGAAUCUUGAAAAGACGAAAACAAUGAAUUCAACGUUUAGGGUUAAUUUAAUCAGUAUGAACACCACAGGGCAUGGAUUAUAAAAUCUGAGAAAAAGAUCUAUCUAUUUAUCAUGGAUUACUUUAAAGAUUCAGACAAGAUGAAGUACAAAUAAUAAUAAUAAUUAAUUAACCUAUUGUUUGAUAGGAAGGAAGUUGCCAGGAAGCAACCCAGACAUUACAUUAUAAGAUAAAUAUCAUUUUUAUCACAGAUGUGGAAGAGAAUGUUACAGCAGCAAGGUCGCCUGAAUAAUAAUAAUUAAUUAACGUAUUGUUUGAUGGGAAGGCAGUUGCCAGGAUCAUCUGAUCUACCCAUUUUGUCCUAUAGAUAAAAAGGGUCAAAAUAUUGAAUAAAAUUUAAUGGAAGUACAUUAAUUGGAAAAAGGAAGGUUGAAACUAAAAUAAUAAGUUACAAACAGCAAAGAAACUAAGAAGAAAAAACAAUGAAUUCAAGGUUAGCUUGGGGUCAAUUUAGUAUGAACUGCAUAAGGCAUGGAUUGUUACAACUGAGAAAGAUCAAAUUAUUUAUUUUUGGAAACUGUUGAUGAUCCUAUCUCCCAAGUUUCUCAUCAUAAUUUCUACAACUUGUGUUUUCCUUGAAAGAUUCAAACCAGAGUUACAUGUGAAAAACAAAAUGAAGAAGAUGGAUUAUAAAUAAUUUACCUGGAUUCAAGUUGUGCUUCAAGUGCUGGUUUGCUUAAGCAGUAUUCAGCAAAGAAGACAAGAACAGAGAAGAAUAUACGGUUUAAAAAUAAUAAGGAAGUUGCAAGAUGUUGAGCUCCAGAUGUUUCGAUUCAAUCAGAAAAGGAAGCACUGAUCAUCAGAAAGGCUUAAGAAAUUUGAUGAGGGUAAUCGGGAAAUCAAUGGUAUAAUGAGAUGAGAAUUGGAGGAGAAUGUUACAGCAGCAAAGAUUAUUGUAUUGUUUGAGAAGAAGGAAGUUGCUAGGAAGGAAGCCACAACUUUACCUACCAACUAUUAUAUUAUAAGAUAUGGCAAGUUGCUGUACACCUCAAAUUUGCUUUUCUUUUGUCUAGCGCUGCAUAUAAUUAAAAACUUCAACAAAGAAUAAGAAGCAAAUUGCUGCCUGAGUUAACAAGCUUCUUAAAAUCGUGAUUUUAAUAUGGUAUAAAAAGUUGUUUAUAAAUUUAGAUCGUAAAAAUAAAUUGUAAAAUCGUAAAAAAAUCGUAAGUAAUUUUAAAAUACAUUAAAAAAAAUUUAUAUUUCAAAUAAAAAUUUAUAUAUAGUUCAAGUAUCUUAAAAAACAUGUUUCAAAUAAAAUUUAUUUAAAAUACUUAAAAAGUAAUUUUUUUUUAUUAGUUUAUUGUCCACCUAUGUUCGUGCUGACUCAGCUAAUAAUUUUUGUAAAGCUUAUUUUUAAGGUGCUGACUCAUCAUGCAUGCGAAUUUCAGGGGGGAGCUUUGACUAGAAAGAGGGAAAAAAAAAGGAAAAAAGAGAAUUUUUUUAUUAAUUUUUAACAAGAUAAUUUUAUCUCUUCUUUUUUAUAUUUAUUUUUUUAUUCAAACAUCAUGAAAUUUUUCUAUAUUGAACGCAAGGAGGUGAGAUUUAGGUUAGAAAAACACAAGUGGAAGUGACUGGAUGGACAAGUUUUGGUUUUGUUGGUGAAGAAAGAUGCACGUAUCCUAUCUCUUGGAUUUUAUUGACAACCUUGACUUCUAUUUUGAAGCUAUCUUUUAUAUAUAUAUAUAACACGGUUGUUGGCUUCUUUUGAAAUAAAUACACAGAAGAGCCCGAAGAGGUAAGAGAGCACGUGGCCAAGCACAGAAUAUUAAUUUAUCUUGGAUUAUCGAUAAGCUCCCCCCUGUCACAGUAGUUGUAGCAUCAGCCACACUUUUGCCAUUUGUCAAGGAGAGUUUUGCCUCUCCCUAGAUGAAAAGAGAGCUUUAAAAAAAAAAAAAAAAGAAGAGAAGAAACACUUGGAGGAUGCCCAUUGCAGGAAGCAGACAGCAUAAGGGACACACCGACACAGGGCCCCACGCUUUCAAAGAGAAAAGGUGCCCACCCCAAGACCAGACCACGGGUGUUCCUUUUUUCCUUUCAAAAUCGUAAAAUCGUUCCUUAAAUUGCGAUUUUGCGUGAUUUCAUUUUAUUUUUGUGAUUUUACAUGAUUUCAACCUGAUUUUAUUUAUUUUUGAUUUUUUCAAGCGAUUCAACCCGUAAUGCAUGUUUUGACUCGUAAAAUCGUACGAUUUUACAAGUUAAAACGUGAUUUUAACAACCAUAGACCCACCCCAUUGUUGAAACUUUGAAAAAGCUGACCUGAAAAUGUAAGAGCCUGAAGCUUAGCUUCAAGAGCUGUAAGUACUAUGCUAUGAAUGAUGCCUCUCACUCCUCCCCCGUCAAUUUUAUCUAAAUGCUGUUUAUUGCACGCUGCUAAUUGAGAAAUACAGAACUCAGUUCAACCCAGCAAGUUGUUGCGUCAGAGUUAAAACUCCAUAGCAAUCAGCACAGUCUAUGAUGAUAAAAUUGAAAACAAAACAAUCAAUGACUAAAAUUACAAAAUGCAUCAAAGGUUUAGAAAAAAACUGGGAUAAAACACUAUUUUUCUCUAUUGAUACAUGGUAGAAGUCUGAGCAUAUUUAUUUAUUUAUUUUUAAUUUUAAUAAUAGUUCUGUUCUUUCUACCCCAAGAAAUCAAGAACGCUAAUUUCAAUAAACAAGAUUCUAAAGCCCAUAUUUAGAUAAAUUAGAAGAAAGCUAAAUGUUUUUAUAACCAGUGCAAAAGACCUAUAAACUAGCCUAACAGAUCAUACCCAGAGAAGCAAAAGCCAGAAACAAGCUACCUCAAUUCUUGCUCCCCCUAGCUAAGAAAUGCAGCAUGCCCACUUGGAAUUAUAGAUCAUCCAAACUCCAGGGUAAAUAAUUGGAGAGUAAUUUGAUAGCGCUUAUAGAUUAAUUAAUGAAAUUUUAUUCGUUAUGUUUUUAGAUUUAUUUUAAAGAAAUAAAAAGAUACAACUUGAAGAAGAAAAAUCCAAGGUAAAAAUAUUCUUAUAAUUUUUCAUGGGUCAUGGAUUUUAUAUAUAUAUUUUUUUGUGUUUAUAUUUUUUUAAGUUAAACUAGAAAAUAAUUAAUAAUAUAUCACUAGUUACUUCAUGAAUAAUAUAAAAUAAAAUCAACGAUAUUGAACUAAAUAAUUAACUACUUAUUGCGUGGGAAAUGCAGGUAAAGAAUUAGAAACAAAGAAAAAUGUGGAGACAAUCAAAAUUAAUUUCUUAUAUAAGUGAACAUGGCAUACACUUUAAAGCUCCGAACAUGGCACACACUUUAAAGCUCCGAACAUCAGUCAAUGAGUUUGUAGUUCAAUUAACAUUAUAAUCCCACGUCAUGACCUCGGUUGUUGCAAGUGAUCUAGUUAUUCUAAACGAUUUGCUUGAUGGUGAGAAAAAUAUAAAAGUUUUUUAAUAUUAGUUUCAUUAUAAUAAAUAAUCUAUACAUUAAUAAAAGAUAUGAAAAAAAGUUUCAGGUUCAUUUAAUUCUCGUGCCCUGAUUUCACCCAAAGAAUAAUAAGAUGAUUGUAGCACAAGUUUGGGGUAUCGAUUCUACAUGGAGACAAAUUAAAAGAAUAGAAGAAAAUAUUAAAUGCUUUAAUAGAAAAUAAAAUUUAAUUUUAAAUACAAAUUAAAAUAAAGCAAAGUGACUAAUGGAGAACGUACUGGAAUUCUACAAACAGUAGAGCAUCGGGAAAUCAAAUGAUUUUAAAUUCAACGACAACAACAAUAUACUCAAGACCAAUAUUACAGUAAAGAAAUUAAAACAAUACAGAUCAAUAAAUGAUCCAAAUAUAAUAAAGACUUAGUCCAUUUAAUAGAAGAAACAUGAGAAAAUAAAACACAAUAUUUUUUAAACUAAUAAUUUUUAAACUAUCUCAUGAAGGUUGACGCCAUCAUGCCUUGGAAACAGAGGAUCUGUAAGGUUAGCGUUCUUGUUUAAGAGAACGACAUCAAUUUAAUUAUGCGAGAUUCAAUCUUUUUUCCACUACAAAUUCAAUCAUGUACGUAGACCUCUUACCUACAUUUUGUAAUAUUUCUGGAUCUGCUUUUUGAUUCAUCAAGGACAGAGUAGAUUGCAGCUUCAUCAUAGAAAAGUUCGUCUUCUUCAUCUUCUUGGUUGGCACGAGGAAAUAUAAGUGGACUCUUCUCCAGACAAAACUUGACAGUAUCUUCUGUUGCAAACGAAGGUCUUUUUUCAAAAACAUGAUGCUUAGCAUAUUACAUCAAGGGCAAAGUCAUCAUUUAAAUAAUAAAGGGACGAAGGACAUCCUUAGCAUUGGGAUGCUCCCACUCCACCACUGACUCCCACCAUUCUUUUGGAUGAAUCUCCAUUUUUAUAAGAGAAGGGGGGUGAGAUAGCUGGCCAUUUUCAAGCAACGGAAGAUGAAUUCCCAGCAUUUUCAGCAUCUCACAAUUUGUUAUCCCAAUUUGUUGGAGAGAAUCGCAGAUCAGUUCUGCACUAAAAAUGCUUUUCAGUUUUGGUAAUUCGGUCAAAUAUAGAAUUCUUAACUUUGGAAGUUUGAGUUCGAUGCUGCUGCAGCUGCUUUCUUCAUCUGAUCCUGUUCCUAUUAUCUCCUCCAUUUCGACACACCAUCUAACUUCAAUCACUUCCAGGUUUACAAGGGAUGUCAGCAAGACGAUAGGGAACAAUUUCUUCAUACUAUUACAUCCAGAGCAAUAGAACUCCAUAAGACCAGAAAAUAUGCCUUUAGAAGAUGGGCGUGACCUCAAAUCCUCCAUCUCUUUACGUAACAAAGAAGAUGAAACCAAGCCCUCCAUGUUACUGCAAUCCUUGAUGUUGAUGACCUCUAGUUUUUCUGCACGUAUUAUUUGAGAGGAAACAUUGCAUAAACUUGUUGCAGCAUCACAAUAAAAAAUCAUCAGCUGUUGAAUGUCAUUUGGAAAAAUGUCCUCAAGAUCUCCAUCGCUCUCGAUACUCAAGUCACCCAACCAAACACUUUUACAUCUAUAAUACCUUUUUACAUCGUAAUCAUCAUACCCAAAGUCUCCUACAAAAAAAUUGUAUUCUCUUGGCGAUUGGGUACUAUUAUCCCGAUAUUUGAGAUAAUCCACAAAGUCAGAGUAACCAUCAAAAUGGCAUUUUAAAGUUUCCAACUUCCUCAAGCAUGCUACUUCUUUUCCUUUAACUGUCACCGGAGCAAGUUGUUUAUCCAUACGACCCGCAGUAGGCAUAAAGUCUUCUAGUAUAAAAACUUGCAGGUGCAAGAGUUUUGGUAAUAUCCCACUAGGAAACUCACGUUGACCACAUCCAUUCAUUCUAAGAUACCUCAGGUUGGAGAGAUAUUCCAUGCCUUGAGGCAUCUUUUCAAGUGCAGUACGAUAGAGAUCCAACCUCCUCAGUGCUCUGAGCUUUUCCAAUGAUGGUAAAUGUCUUAGCUUAUCACAAGCGAUGAGCAAUAGUGAAGUGAGAGUCAGCAAAUCAGAGACAGCAUCUGGUAGUCUAUUGAUAUUCGUAUAAGACAGAUCAAGAACCUUGAGCCCAAACAACUGCUUAAAAAAGGAUUCUGCAAUAAAUCUCAAGUCGUAAUUACAACUUAACAGUAAGGUUGAUAGAUUUGGACAACUUGGUGAAUGGCUCGAGGGAAUUUCUUCAAUUUUGUUAUACAUAAGUGAAACUCUCGUGAGAUUAUCUGUCCACGCAUCUGUAUCCGGCAAUUCUUUUAAUUGCACAUCUGCUUUAAACAUGCCUGGAGAAUUCUCUUGCAGUAUUUGGAUGGCCAUGUCCCUAAUCAAGUGAUGCAUCUUGACAUUAUCACUAUCAAUUCUUUCCAGCAAACAGAUAUUUUCAAGACUAUUAAGCAUCGAAUAGCCUUUGUCAAAUUCUGCCACCCUACUGUUGAGCCCUUUUAUCACUCCCUCGUCAAUCAAAUACCCUACCAAAUCCUUCCUACAGAUCGUGUAGCCUUCAGGAAAUAAUGCACAAUACAACAGACAUUGUUGCAAUGCUGAAUCUUUUAAGUGCGUAUAACUAAAUCUCAAUAUCCGGAAUACCUCUUCUUCCAUGCCAUCUUGCCUAACUCUUGAUUGUCUCAGGUCCUCUAAGGCAUUCCUCCACUCGUGUAUGUCAUCCACCCCUUCAUGGUUCCAGCCAUUGUUAUAAUUCCCAGAGGCAAACCAUCACACUCCUUUGUGAUAGAUUUUGCAAUUUGUUCCACUUCUGGAGAAAUGCCAUGAUGUCCAGUCUCUCAAUAAAAAAGUCCAAGCUUCUUCCUCCAAUAUAGGACUUACUUUGAUUUUGUGUUGGGUAUCCAUCUGUGACAAACCUUUUCUGAUCGUGUUGUAAGAAUCAGCUUGCAUCCCUUAACAGCUUGGAUAGGAACCCACCUUGUGUAGCUCAAAGCCUUCCAAAUCAUCUAAAAUCAAAACCCAUUUCUGUUUCUUCAUUAAUUCUUUUGACAAUUUGAAGCUCUAUACAGCUCCUCUCUUCAUUAGAAAGAUCUAAACCAAUCCUCUUGGCGAUACUGUUUUGCAAUUUACUAAUGCUGGUAUCUUGUGAAACAGUAAUCCAGUAAACAUGACAGAAAGUAUCUGUUUCUAGAAGCUGAUUAUAUAUGUGUGUCACCAAUGUGUCUUUCCCACUCCGCCCAUCCCAUAGAUGCCAAUAGUUGAAACUUCAUCGUCAUCAACCAAGACCAGAUAAUCUCCAAUGGUCUUCGAAUCUUGACCCACCAGCUUUGUCGUUGGUAGUGCAUCUUCUUUAAUCUCAUCUAUGUUCCAUGUAAGCCUCCAAAAGAGCUAGCUCCUGCACCAGGCUGCACUACUCCUCUAGUCCCGUUAUCUAUAUCAUCCUCUGUUGACAAAUUACAGAUCUCAUCCAAACUUCUCUCAAUUGAUUGACCCGUUACAUCUGGUGCUUGUAUCCUUCCAGCAUCCCCAGCCAAAUUGUCAAGUACUGCUUUGUUUUGUUCUAGCAGACCGGUUGAAAUAGCAUGAUCAUUAACAUUGCUCGAACUUUCUAUGCUUUUAUCUCCUCGAGGCUCAUCAGCUUGAUUAAUUGAUGGCCUCUCACAAGAGCUACCUCUCUCCAGAUGCUGCACUUGUUCUGUUCUCGGUACAGUUUCAAAUCCAUCAUGCAGACGCUCCACAUCCUCAUCUUCCUGCAUUAAAUAGGUAGAGAUUGCAUUCAGCUUCUGCUCCUUUGAAAGGGCAGAGUGUAUCUGAUCCCAAUUAUAAUCAGCAAAUGGAUCCACCAAAUCUGUUCCUGGUGUUGCUUCUCCUCUAUUCUCAUGAGCAUCAACUCUGAGUCUCCAAGGAGAGACACUUCUGUCAACAUGCUGAAAAGAUCCUUCACCAGUGUAUUCCAUGCCACUUGCCGCUUCUAAACGCGAAUGAAUUCUCUCAGGCCCACAACCUUGUGCCAAAUUACCAAGUACUGCAUUGUCUUGAUCUUGUCGACAGGUGGAAAUGUCAACAUUGCUUGAACUUGCUAUGCUUUUAUGUCUUUUGUUGCCAACAUGCAUAGCUAGAAAGGCUGCUUCUUGAACU
rnacentral:lncRNA from 1 species